UUUUAUUUAGUUUCGGAAUGGCUAAUAAGAUGGGUGGAUUACCUGCAAAAAAGUUAAGAUGGAUAGAUGACAUCGUCAAUAAGAUGAGACAUUUGGUUUCAGUGUUGCUCUUUUAGUAAAGGCAAUUUUAGUCGUUAUUAUUGUUAUUAUUGAUCUCUUCCAUGCUCUAUUUGUUUUAUCAGUUAGUUGCAACGUUGAGGUUGUACCUACUCUUGAUGUUAACUUGUUUUCACUAGUAGAAAAAGGGUCAAACGUGAAGCACAUUAGUGCCGGUUUGUAUUUGAGCCGGCACAAAUGUAUACAUUAGUGCCGGUUCCAACAGCUAGCCGGGCCGCUCUCAUUAGUACCUGUUCGUGGAUAACCUUUAGCACCGGUUCGUGCCACGAACCGGUACUAAUGAGAGUGGUGGCAGGAUGUUGUUAGUCUGGGCCCCCUACAGUACCUUUAGUACCGGUUCUUGGCACGAACCGGUACUAAAGGUCGUCCUACAUAAACCCUUCGUCCACCCGAGCUCGCUCUGUUCUUCCCCUUUCCCCUCUCCUCUCUGUUCUUCCCCUCUUCCUCUCGAGCUCAUCACACAUUUUGCCCAAAAUUUGUCAAGAUUUGAAGGCCCCCAUCCAUUCAAAUGAUCACAAAGGUUAGCAACUUUGUCCUUUCAUCUCUCAUUGCUAUAUUAGCUCUUGCAAUGCUUUAUAUAGUUAUUAAUUUGUGAGUUUAGUAAUUUGGGAGGAAAUAUAUAUAUGUGCUAGUAUUUGAUUUAUAUGCAAUUUGAGGUUAAAAUAACACUUAGUUUGCAUAUGUAGGUGUGGUUUACUUAGUGCCUUCUAAAUCUCCGUCGUAACCACCGUCGAUCGCCCGCACCGUCCCGUCGCCGGCACCACCUUGUGGUGAGCCUCUUGUUCAUGAAAUUUUAUAUAAAAAUUGAUGUUUGUGUGAUUUGGAUAUAUAGUUACUCGUAUAAUAAUUAUCUUACCCGUACGUUGUUUGUUAUACAUAGUGCCAUGGUUUUGAUAUCCGUCCCCGUCGGCCCUCGUCCUUGUUAUGAUUCGGAUGUGGUAUAUUCUCUUUUAAAACUAUUUGUUGCAUUUCGUGUUUAUGACAAAUUAUGCCCAUCAAGUUGACAUAGAUAUUUUUAUGUAGGAGGUAUGUGAACCGGAAAUUCCAACCGACCCUAUUGUCGAGAGAUUAAAUUUAGUUGAAAGAGAAAACGAGUACUUGAAAGAAAAAUUGAAAAGAAUUGAGGGGGAGAAGAUGGAAUUGAAGUUGCAUGUUGCCGAUGUCGUCGAUGAUCACAAGAUCAAGAAGGAGAAAAUGCGCUUGAAGAUUAGAAAGAUUAGAAAAUAUGCCAUCGAUAGUGAGGCUUGGUAUCAUUAUGCUGUUGGAUCAAUUGUUACCUUAGUUGCGAUCUUGAUCGCAUUUGUUGUUGCAUUUAAAUGCUUUAGCUAGAGAGUUAUUUGUUUGUUGCAUUUAAGUGUUGUAUGAACUUUAUGUAUGAACUUGUAUUAAUUUGGUCUAUUCGGUGUUGUGUAAUAAAGAUGAGCCGGCAAUGGAUGUACGAUGACCGAUGCUCUGCCCAGUUCGUUGAGGGCGUGCAUACUUUUCUGCUUGCGGCUGAGGCAAACAAGCGGGCGGAUGGUUUUAUGCCUUGUCCAUGUGCUGGCUGUAAGAAUGGUCGCAAUUACUCUACGUCAAGAACCAUUCACGUCCACCUGUUUGAGUCCGGUUUCAUGCCCCACUAUAAUGUUUGGACCAAGCACGGAGAAAGAGGGGUUAUGAUGGAAGACAAUGAAGAAGAAGAGGACGAUGACAGCUAUCCUGGCCAUGGGUUCCCUGAAUACAAUGAUACAACAAUGGGGGAAGAAGCUGAGCCAGUAAUGUGGGAAGAAGCUAAGCCGGCAAUGCGGGAAGAAGCUGAAGAAGAGGCAUCAGAUGAGCCCGUUGAUGAUCUAGGUCGGGCCAUUGCCGAUGCAAAGAGAAACUGCGCAAGUGAUUUGGAGAAGAAGAAGUUGCAGCGCAUGUUAGAGGAUCACAAAAAAUUGUUGUACCCGAAUUGCGUAGGUGACAAGAAAAAGCUGGGCACCACACUGGAAUUGCUGCAAUGGAAGGCAGAAAAUGGUGUAUCUGACAAGGGAUUUGGAAAGUUGUUGGUAAUGAUAAAGGAUAUGCUUCCAAAGGACAACGAAUUGCCCGAGAGUACGUACGAAGCAAAGAAGGCUGUCUGCCCUCUAGGGUUAGAGGUGCAGAAGAUACAUGCAUGCCCUAAUGAUUGCAUCCUCUUCCACUGUGAGUACGAGGAUUUGAACGCUUGCCUGGUAUGUGGUGCAUUGCGCUAUAAGAUCAGCCACGAUGAGCAUGGUGAUGUCGAGGGCGAGCGCCCCAGGAAGAAGAUUCCUGCCAAGGUGAUGUGGUAUUCUCCUAUAAUACCACGGUUGAAACGUUUGUUCCAAAACAAAGAGCAUGCCAAGGCGAUGCGAUGGCACAGAGAAGACAAUAAGAAAGAAGGAAAGUUGAGAGUACCCGCUGACGAGUCGCAGUGGAGAAAAAUCGAAAGAAAGUACGGGAAGGAGUUUGCAGAUGACGCAAGGAGCAUAUGGUUUGGUCUAAGCGCAGAUGGCAUUAAUCCUUUUGGGGAGCAGAGCAGCAACCAUAGCACCUGGCCUGUGACUCUAUGUUUGUAUAACCUUCCUCCUUGGUUGUGCAUGAAGCGGAAGUUCAUUAUGAUGCCAGUGCUCAUCCAAGGCCCUAAACAACCCGGCAACGACGUUGAUGUGUAUCUAAGGCCAUUAGUUGAAGAACUCUUACAACUGUGGAAUGGAACAGGUGUACGUGCAUGGGAUGAGCACAAACAGGAAGAAUUUGACCUAAAGGCAUUGCUGUUCAUGACCAUCAAUGAUUGGCCUGCUCUCAGUAACCUUUCAGGACAGACAAACAAGGGAUACCACGGAUGCACGCACUGUUUGGAUGAUACCGACAGUAUAUAUUUGAAUAGUUGUAAGAAGAAUGUGUACCUGGGACAUCGUCGAUUUCUUCCGAGCAGGCAUCCCGUAAGAAAGAAAGUCAAGCAUUUCAAAGGUGAGGUGGAUCACCGGACGAAGCCUCACCACCGUACUGGUGCUGAUGUAGAUGAUAUGGUCAAGGAUUUGAAGGUGAUAUUUGGAAAGGGUCCUGGUGGACAAUCUGUUCCAAAGGACGCUGACGGACGCGCACCCAUGUGGAAGAAGAAAUCUAUAUUUUGGGACCUGCCAUAUUGGAAAGACCUAGAGGCCCGCUCCGCAAUCGACAUGAUGCACGUGACGAAGAAUCUUUGCGUGACCCUGCUUGGCUUCUUGGCGUGUAUGGGAAGACAAAAGAUACACCUGAGGCACGGGAGGACCAGCAACGUAUGCACGGAGAAGAUGACAUACAUCAGGGUCAUGCAAGCUACGCUCUUACCAAAGGAGAGAAGGAAAUCUUCUUUGAAUGCCUGCUCAGUAUUAAGGUACCGUCAGGCUUCUCGUCUAAUAUAAAGGGAAUAAUAAACAUGGCAGGGAAAAAGUUCCAGAACCUAAAGUCUCAUGACUGCCACGUGAUUAUGACGCAACUGCUUCCGGAUGCAUUGAGGGGGCUUCUACCGGAAAACGUUCGAUUAGCCAUUGUGAAGCUAUGUGCAUUUCUCAAUGCAAUCUCUCAGAAGGUAAUCGAUCCAGAAAUCAUACCAAGGUUACAGAAUGAUUUGGUGCAAUGUCCGGUCAGUUUCGAGUUGGUGUUCCCACCAUCCUUCUUCAACAUCAUGACACACGUCCUAGUUCACCUGUGCCAAGAGAUUAACAUUUUGGGUCCUGUAUUUCUACACAAAUAUGUUCCCCUUUGAGAGGUUCAUGGGAGUCUUAAAGAAAUAUGGUCAUAACCGUGCUAGGCCAGAAGGAAGCAUCUCCAAGGGCCAUCAAAAUGAGGAGGUCAUUGAGUUUUGUAUUGACUUUAUUCCUGACCUUAAGCCGAUUGGUGUUCCUGAAUCGCGGCAUAAGGGCAGACUGGAUGGAAAAGGCACGCUAGGAGGGGAACAAAUAAUAUGUAUGGACGGACAUUCUCUCACUGAAGCACACUACACAGUUCUACAGAAUUCCGCCUUGGUGGCUCCGUAUAUGGAUGAACACAAGAAUUUGCUAUGCUCCAAACACUCGGAGCGGUCUGAUGACUGGAUUACACGUGAACAAACCAGGAGUUUCGCCAGCUGGUUGCAGACACGUACCAUGCAUGACACCUCUAUUGAAGAUGACCUGUACUUGCUGUCCCAGUUACCAUCUUCGAAUAUAAUGACUUUCAAAGGGUACGAGAUAAAUGGUAAUACAUUUUACACGAUCGCCCAAGAUAAGAAGAGCACCAACCAAAAUAGUGGUGUCCGCUUUGAUGCAGAAACCAAGACGGGAAAGNNNNNNNNNNNNNNNNNNNNNNNNNNNNNNNNNNNNNNNNNNNNNNNNNNNNNNNNNNNNNNNNNNNNNNNNNNNNNNNNNNNNNNNNNNNNNNNNNNNNNNNNNNNNNNNNNNNNNNNNNNNNNNNNNNNNNNNNNNNNNNNNNNNNNNNNNNNNNNNNNNNNNNNNNNNNNNNNNNNNNNNNNNNNNNNNNNNNNNNNNNNNNNNNNNNNNNNNNNNNNNNNNNNNNNNNNNNNNNNNNNNNNNNNNNNNNNNNNNNNNNNNNNNNNNNNNNNNNNNNNNNNNNNNNNNNNNNNNNNNNNNNNNNNNNNNNNNNNNNNNNNNNNNNNNNNNNNNNNNNNNNNNNNNNNNNNNNNNNNNNNNNNNNNNNNNNNNNNNNNNNNNNNNNNNNNNNNNNNNNNNNNNNNNNNNNNNNNNNNNNNNNNNNNNNNNNNNNNNNNNNNNNNNNNNNNNNNNNNNNNNNNNNNNNNNNNNNNNNNNNNNNNNNNNNNNNNNNNNNNNNNNNNNNNNNNNNNNNNNNNNNNNNNNNNNNNNNNNNNNNNNNNNNNNNNNNNNNNNNNNNNNNNNNNNNNNNNNNNNNNNNNNNNNNNNNNNNNNNNNNNNNNNNNNNNNNNNNNNNNNNNNNNNNNNNNNNNNNNNNNNNNNNNNNNNNNNNNNNNNNNNNNNNNNNNNNNNNNNNNNNNNNNNNNNNNNNNNNNNNNNNNNNNNNNNNNNNNNNNNNNNNNNNNNNNNNNNNNNNNNNNNNNNNNNNNNNNNNNNNNNNNNNNNNNNNNNNNNNNNNNNNNNNNNNNNNNNNNNNNNNNNNNNNNNNNNNNNNNNNNNNNNNNNNNNNNNNNNNNNNNNNNNNNNNNNNNNNNNNNNNNNNNNNNNNNNNNNNNNNNNNNNNNNNNNNNNNNNNNNNNNNNNNNNNNNNNNNNNNNNNNNNNNNNNNNNNNNNNNNNNNNNNNNNNNNNNNNNNNNNNNNNNNNNNNNNNNNNNNNNNNNNNNNNNNNNNNNNNNNNNNNNNNNNNNNNNNNNNNNNNNNNNNNNNNNNNNNNNNNNNNNNNNNNNNNNNNNNNNNNNNNNNNNNNNNNNNNNNNNNNNNNNNNNNNNNNNNNNNNNNNNNNNNNNNNNNNNNNNNNAUAAAUAAAGCAAAAAAAUAAUAAAAAAAACCCUAACAGAAAGUUUGUAAAUUUUUGUACCUAAAACAAAAAUGUUCACAAAGAAACUCUUAAUACACAAAAAAAAAACAACACAAAACUAAAUAAAGCAAAAAAUAAAAUAAAAAAAGCCCGCCUACUAGGCCAGAGCGACCUGCAUACGACUAGAAACCCAACCUGUCGUUGGGCCAGGAUGCAGGCCCGCAAAGGCCAAGUGGGCCCACAAGGCUGCAAAGAACACGUAGGCCUAGUAAGCCUGCUUUGGAGAGGAGCUCGAGAGAGCGACCGCACGGGGGUUUGUAAACCAGUGCGGUCGCCCCUCGGCUAGCGAGGUGGGACUAAACUUGCCGCACCGCACCUGCGCCAGCGCACCCCCUUUAGUACCGGGUCGUGGCACAAACCGGUAGUAAAGGGGGGGCCUUUAGUACCGGUUUGUGCCACCAUCCGGUACUAAAGGGGGUCGCUUCCCGCCGCAUGGCCUGGCCAAAACAGGCCUUUAGUACCGGUUGGUGGUUCCAACCUAUACUAAAGGUGCUUUCUAUAUAUACAACGGCUACGAAAAUUUCAGUUUCCCUCUCUGUUCGUUCCCCUGUUUCCGUCUCCGUCGCCGUCGCCGCCACCCUCGAUCGUCUCCGUCGCCGCCCCCGUCCCCGUCGCCGCCCACGUCCCCGUCGCCGCCCUCGUCUCCGUCGCUGCCCCGGGCCCGUCCCCGUCGCGCCGUCCCCGUCCCCGUCGCGCCGUCGCCUCGCCGUCGCCUCGCCUCGCCGUNNNNNNNNNNNNNNNNNNNNNNNNNNNNNNNNNNNNNNNNNNNNNNNNNNNNNNNNNNNNNNNNNNNNNNNNNNNNNNNNNNNNNNNNNNNNNNNNNNNNNNNNNNNNNNNNNNNNNNNNNNNNNNNNNNNNNNNNNNNNNNNNNNNNNNNNNNNNNNNNNNNNNNNNNNNNNNNNNNNNNNNNNNNNNNNNNNNNNNNNNNNNNNNNNNNNNNNNNNNNNNNNNNNNNNNNNNNNNNNNNNNNNNNNNNNNNNNNNNNNNNNNNNNNNNNNNNNNNNNNNNNNNNNNNNNNNNNNNNNNNNNNNNNNNNNNNNNNNNNNNNNNNNNNNNNNNNNNNNNNNNNNNNNNNNNNNNNNNNNNNNNNNNNNNNNNNNNNNNNNNNNNNNNNNNNNNNNNNNNNNNNNNNNNNNNNNNNNNNNNNNNNNNNNNNNNNNNNNNNNNNNNNNNNNNNNNNNNNNNNNNNNNNNNNNNNNNNNNNNNNNNNNNNNNNNNNNNNNNNNNNNNNNNNNNNNNNNNNNNNNNNNNNNNNNNNNNNNNNNNNNNNNNNNNNNNNNNNNNNNNNNNNNNNNNNNNNNNNNNNNNNNNNNNNNNNNNNNNNNNNNNNNNNNNNNNNNNNNNNNNNNNNNNNNNNNNNNNNNNNNNNNNNNNNNNNNNNNNNNNNNNNNNNNNNNNNNNNNNNNNNNNNNNNNNNNNNNNNNNNNNNNNNNNNNNNNNNNNNNNNNNNNNNNNNNNNNNNNNNNNNNNNNNNNNNNNNNNNNNNNNNNNNNNNNNNNNNNNNNNNNNNNNNNNNNNNNNNNNNNNNNNNNNNNNNNNNNNNNNUUUUUUUACUAUUAUAUAUGUAUGAAUGCAUGUUAGAUGGAUAUAAUUAGUGUUUAAUCAGUUAGAAAUUAGUGUUAUAUAGAAAUGUUAGAAAUUAGUGUUAUAUAGAAAUGUUAGAAAUUAGUGUUAUAUAGAAAUGUUAGAAAUGUUAGAAAUUUUAGUGUUAUUUAGAUUAUUUAGAUUAGCAUAAUUAGUGUUAUAUAGAAAUGUUAGAAAUUUUAGUUAUCAAAAUCCAAUCAUUAAAAAAAUGUUACUUUUUGCGGGCAUAUAGCUAGUAUUUGUUCUCGACGAUGCCCGGCCCGCAUCCUCGCCGUCGACCCGUCCGCGACGACGUCCAGCCGACCCAUGUCCGGGACUGGGCUCCGCCGGGCUGGCACUGAGAGGUGCUGCCUGGAGGGGCGCGCCGCUUGAUGAGGAACCCGGCCCCGGGUCCCGUCGUCGACCCUGAUCUCGUUUGGCGGCGUUCGCGUGGGCCAGUUUCGGUGCGGAGGGACCUGGCCCCGCCGGAGGUGGUACGUCGCCGUGUCAGGGAGGAGGACGAGCACGUCCAUCGCUACAUGGUUGCGUUAGAGGGCGGCAGGUUCUCCAAUACCUGGCAAUAUCUUCGGGGAUCUCACUUCAGCUAUGAUCCUGUGAGGGUUCCUUCUCUUUGGGUGUCCACCGCCCGCGCCGCAGGAACCGCGAGUGUCCUAGAUUCUUCUGUAGUAUUCGAUCUUUAAUUAGCUAGCCAGUGAUGUACUAUUCAAUAUUAUAUAUUAUUCGAGGCGAUGUAUUCGAGAUUAUAUCUAUUAUUCUAGACGAAGUAUUCGAGAUUAUAUCUAUUAUUCGAGACGAUGUAAUUUGAAUACUAAAUUGUUUUAUAUUUCUUUUGAAUUAGUUAAACAAAAGCUAUACAGACAAUACUGACAGAGAGGGAGAACAGACCAUGUUCGAUAUGAUACGCGGGCCAAAUGAUGAUCAGAAUGAAGAAGAUUAUGACGGCUCCGAAUUUCUAAACAACACCGGAGAGGGUGAUAUGAUAUUCGAUUGCGACGACCGAAUUGAUGAAGUCAUGAACUACGAUUAUGACGAUGACGAAGAACAUGUUGAUCCUGAAACAACAAAGACCGGCGAGGUAUAUAUAUUUAUAUAAGCAGGUAUCUGGUGAUCAUCACAUGUUUUAAAUGACUUGAAGAUAUAUUAACGAAUCGAUCUUUGUUCUUUCAGCCAUCCGGAUCGAGCAAAUCUUCAGGCAAAAGGACGAAACGAGGCCCGAACAAAAAGUUGAAGGAGGGCGUAAAGUACAAUAUCGAGGCAGUCAGACCUAAUGGCGAACCAUUAGUGCCUAACAAGAUUGCAGACAAGUUCAUUCGUCAGUGCGGAGUUCUUGUGAAGGACCAACUCCCAAUCUCCCUUCAAGAAUGGAGAGAGCCAGCAAAAGAUAAAAGACAAAAAGGCAAAGAGGACGCUGCUCCACGUUCAGAUGUUACUUUUAUCAACAAGAAUCAAAAAGAUCUGCUUUGGGAUACUCUCAUGGAACAUUUCACCCUACCAGAUCAUUUCACAGAAGCAGAUGUGCAGAAAGUCAAGGACGCUGCUCUUAGGAAGAUGGCGGUUGCAUUCAAGAACCACAAGAAUCGUGAAUGGGACAAGUACGUCAAGGGAGGAAGGAAGACUCCAGUAUUCGAGGGAACACUAGAGAACCAACGUGCUCAUUGGGACGAUUUCGUGAAAUUCAAGGAUUCGGAAUUAGCUAAGGAACGGUCGAGAAUAAACAAGAAGAAUGCCGAAAAAAGGAUAAGUUCCAUAAGCUGGGGCCAGGUGGCUAUGCGGUGGCAAUGCCUAAGUGGGAUAUGUCUGAGAAAGAGAUGGAGGAUGCAGGUGCCACUCCGGUUACUAAGAGCUGGCCCCCAGGGUCAGGACUUGGUUCUAUGCGCAUGGGGGGGAGUUGGACCCGAAGACAGGCAAUGUUUCGACGAGGGCAAGUCUAAAGGGAGCCGACGAUGCGAUACUUGUUGCAAUAGAAGAGGCACGAUCGGGGGUGUUCCAGCCCAACAGAGAGAACGAUGAGCUUACGCGUGCCCUGGGAAAUCCUGAACACCCGGGAAGAACACGAGGCAAGGGCGCUAUUCCGUGGUAUGAGGGGUUCUCAGACUGGAACACCGACUACAGUACCCGUGUGAGAAAGAAGAUUGCGGAGGAGAAGAAGAGGAAGAUGGAGGAGGAGCAGAGGAAGCGGGACUAUGAACGCCUUCAAGGCCUAGAAGCAAGUCAAGCAGAAUUGGUAGUCAAAUUCCAGCGGCAACAGGAGCAGAUCGACUCACUUACCCAGCAAAGGGGGUCUCAGCAGCUGCAGCAGCUAGCGAAUGAUCUAGCAUUGGAUAGCACCACCCCAUCCAUGCCGAGAAGCAGCGUGGGUUCCGCCCCGGACGACGCAAUGCUGGGUAGAUACCCCGUGGAUGACAUCACGGAGAACACUAGCUGCGAGCUACACGUCAAAAUGAAGAACAUAUCCAUGAAGGUGGCGGACGCCGUUGCUUUUACAAAUCCCCCCGAGGCAACCUUCCAUUGCAACCCGAUUCCAGCGGGCUAUGCUCGUGUCUUGGUUGAUGAGGUGGUGGACCCAUAUUCAGAGCUAGAGCUUGACUAUCCUGGAGGUGACGACGAGCGCUUUCUCGGAGACGCCAAACAUCGUAUCAUCCUAUGGAAAAAAUAUUGCAUCAUCAUUCGAAGGCCACCGAGACCGCGUCAGCCGACUCCUCGUCGAAGUCCACCACCGAGUCAGCAGUCUCCCGCUCCUGCAAGUCCACCAAGUCCGGCAAAAUGUCAGGCCACUCCUCCUCCAUGUCCGGCAAAGUGUCAGGCCACUCCUCCUCCUCCAAGUCCGCCACAGCGUCAGACAUCCACUCCUCCUCCAAGUCCGGCACAAGCUCAGGCCACUCCUCCUCAAAGUCCGGCACAGCUUCAGGCAGCCACUCCUCCUCGUCCAACUCAGCCCCGUCACCCGUCUCCGCCGCCUCAGCAAUCACAGAAGAGACACCCUGCAGCUAUGGUGCGUAGCGGUACGAGUCGAGGUAGUACAGGAAGUAUAGGCGGAGGCAAGCGAUAUAAAUAUGGUCCAAGCCUCACGCCUCUUCCGCAGAGGGCUUAUGACAGGUCCGAGGAGGAAAUCGCAGCCAUAUCCAAGUCCGAGGUGGAAGCCCAUUUUGCACCGAAACCGCCAACACCGCCAAGGGAGAAAGUGCCUGAGGAAACGAUUGACCACUUCAUUCGUAUGGCUCAACCACCAGCUCCCGAGCCUGUUGACACAGACUAUGAGCGCCACAUCAGGAAGUUAAAUCGAGCACGUGUAGGUAAGGAGGCGAGCUCAGGAUCGAGCAAACAAGAAGCAGCUGUCAAAAAAUGCGGGAAAACCAUUCCCUAGCUGGGAGAACAUGCGGCGCAAUCGAUCCCCUCGCUUGUUGUGCCAACAACACGUGACAGUACGCGCGCCCAAUAUUAUUGUGGGCAAACAGUUUACAUUCCUAAGGUGGGCAAUGUGAUAAUAACGGAGGAGCAUAUAAUGCAGGCUGAAGUUCUCAAAAUCACUGUUGGACAACUCCUCGAGAUCAAGCCCAUGCCUGUGCUUAGAGAGGAUGAAAUAAAACGAAAAUAUGUCCGGGGCCAACCUUUGGUCGAGCCAGACAAGGUCAAGAACCUCCCAACGAGAAUGUAUGAAUUGCAUCAAUGGUACAUGAACAUUACCAAGAUUUCCGAUCGAUUGUCCCUCAUGGUGAAUGUCAAGGAGGAUCAUUACUACCAUGAGAAAGCUGUGUCCGUUGAGUAUUCUGAACUGUUUCAGUUAUACAAUCAAGACGCACUCGACAAAUCUAUCGUCAGUUGCUAUUGUCUGUAAGUGAUUUCUUUCUGUAAUUUAAGUCUCAAGCUAGCUGUAGUGAUCCUUAUCAUUACCUGUAAUUAUCCUCACUAUAUUCUUUUCUGUGGUAUUAUAUGCAGGAUGAAGAUGUAUGAAAUGAGAAAAGGUGGACGCUAUGGCAUUGGGUUCAUUGACCCAAACACCGUUAAUGAAUACACAUGNNNNNNNNNNNNNNNNNNNNNNNNNNNNNNNNNNNNNNNNNNNNNNNNNNNNNNNNNNNNNNNNNNNNNNNNNNNNNNNNNNNNNNNNNNNNNNNNNNNNNNNNNNNNNNNNNNNNNNNNNNNNNNNNNNNNNNNNNNNNNNNNNNNNNNNNNNNNNNNNNNNNNNNNNNNNNNNNNNNNNNNNNNNNNNNNNNNNNNNNNNNNNNNNNNNNNNNNNNNNNNNNNNNNNNNNNNNNNNNNNNNNNNNNNNNNNNNNNNNNNNNNNNNNNNNNNNNNNNNNNNNNNNNNNNNNNNNNNNNNNNNNNNNNNNNNNNNNNNNNNNNNNNNNNNNNNNNNNNNNNNNNNNNNNNNNNNNNNNNNNNNNNNNNNNNNNNNNNNNNNNNNNNNNNNNNNNNNNNNNNNNNNNNNNNNNNNNNNNNNNNNNNNNNNNNNNNNNNNNNNNNNNNNNNNNNNNNNNNNNNNNNNNNNNNNNNNNNNNNNNNNNNNNNNNNNNNNNNNNNNNNNNNNNNNNNNNNNNNNNNNNNNNNNNNNNNNNNNNNNNNNNNNNNNNNNNNNNNNNNNNNNNNNNNNNNNNNNNNNNNNNNNNNNNNNNNNNNNNNNNNNNNNNNNNNNNNNNNNNNNNNNNNNNNNNNNNNNNNNNNNNNNNNNNNNNNNNNNNNNNNNNNNNNNNNNNNNNNNNNNNNNNNNNNNNNNNNNNNNNNNNNNNNNNNNNNNNNNNNNNNNNNNNNNNNNNNNNNNNNNNNNNNNNNNNNNNNNNNNNNNNNNNNNNNNNNNNNNNNNNNNNNNNNNNNNNNNNNNNNNNNNNNNNNNNNNNNNNNNNNNNNNNNNNNNNNNNNNNNNNNNNNNNNNNNNNNNNNNNNNNNNNNNNNNNNNNNNNNNNNNNNNNNNNNNNNNNNNNNNNNNNNNNNNNNNNNNNNNNNNNNNNNNNNNNNNNNNNNNNNNNNNNNNNNNNNNNNNNNNNNNNNNNNNNNNNNNNNNNNNNNNNNNNNNNNNNNNNNNNNNNNNNNNNNNNNNNNNNNNNNNNNNNNNNNNNNNNNNNNNNNNNNNNNNNNNNNNNNNNNNNNNNNNNNNNNNNNNNNNNNNNNNNNNNNNNNNNNNNNNNNNNNNNNNNNNNNNNNNNNNNNNNNNNNNNNNNNNNNNNNNNNNNNNNNNNNNNNNNNNNNNNNNNNNNNNNNNNNNNNNNNNNNNNNNNNNNNNNNNNNNNNNNNNNNNNNNNNNNNNNNNNNNNNNNNNNNNNNNNNNNNNNNNNNNNNNNNNNNNNNNNNNNNNNNNNNNNNNNNNNNNNNNNNNNNNNNNNNNNNNNNNNNNNNNNNNNNNNNNNNNNNNNNNNNNNNNNNNNNNNNNNNNNNNNNNNNNNNNNNNNNNNNNNNNNNNNNNNNNNNNNNNNNNNNNNNNNNNNNNNNNNNNNNNNNNNNNNNNNNNNNNNNNNNNNNNNNNNNNNNNNNNNNNNNNNNNNNNNNNNNNNNNNNNNNNNNNNNNNNNNNNNNNNNNNNNNNNNNNNNNNNNNNNNNNNNNNNNNNNNNNNNNNNNNNNNNNNNNNNNNNNNNNNNUGGAACCGGCACUAAAGGGCCUUACGAACCGGUGCUAUUGCCCGGUUCUGCACUAGUGUUUGUUAAGUAUAUAUGUUUUUGUUGACUCUUAGCACUGCAUCAAGCGACCCAACUAUGUAGAGUUACCUCUCGGCUUCUGCAUAGCAAGAUGCACACGACCUAUGCAAAUCCUUAAUAGUUGUAGGAAAAUGUGAGCACAUGUACUAAAACAUUUCCAGUACUACAUUUGAUUUUCGAAACAUGUGAUUAUAACAUUGAGUGAUAGGAUGUUGGCCUCUACACCCGCAACAUAUUGGGCAUGUUUCACAAUUAGGUGACUGUGUUGACCAGUUUCAUCAUUAAUCAAGUUCCAUGCCACUCCGGAGAGAGCACUGUGUUUGAGCUAUACUGAAGCUACUAUGAGAACCCCAAACUCUAUUGGCUGCAUCAUGUGAUUGAAGAUGUGGUAUAUGAAUGCAGUUGCCACUACUUUGAAAAUGAAUGGUGUGAUUUGUGGACACAUAAUUAGGCAGAUGGUGCACCCAAAUGUGUUCAUUCCACUGCGAUAUUUUCUGGGGAGGUGGUCAAAAGCAGCAACGACAAGCAUGGAAGGUGCUGGGCACCUGCUGAACUUUGUACUGAGUGAAAGGGUAUUAUAACUUUUUUCCUCCAAAACAAUUCCCACUCAGCCUAUCCCACGCUCCUACCUAUUGCUAUUUGCAGGAUCCUCAGAGGACUAGCAUACAAGAGGAGAAGUGUAUGUAAUAUGCAAAUUUACAACAUCGUGUACCGUAGUCACUCUUUAUACAUGUAGUCCUUUAUAGAACACAUCGAGCUCGAAGGAUUUCCAUUUUCAAAGCACAUGAAAUAAAAUGCAAUGGCAUGUGUCAAGUACAUUAUGGAGGCUGAAAUGCAUAUAAUGUGGUUGCAAAUAGAAACAUAACCUCGAAACAUCAGUAAGUAGUAGCGCUACCGCAACCGAGCUAUUUUCCUGGUGUAUGCCUAUUUUCUAAUUAUCCUUUUUCCGGUACUCGACAAACAUGUCCUUUCCCGAGUGCGAGAAAGAAAAAACUCGGCAACCACAAGACACACGAAGAGCAUGGGCCUUCGCCAAGUGACACAAAGAAAAAGAUUCGGCAAAAGAGAAAACACACGGCAAAAGUUGAAUAGGUAACUUGGCAAAGCCCAGAGAUAUGGGCCCUUUACCGCUACAAAUGAUGACACUAUAGCGGCAAGUCAUAGUUUGCCAAGUGUCUACUACUAGACACUCAUCAAAGAAUUUUCUUUUCUUUUUUCCAUGCCAAAAAUGUUUGCUGAGUGCCAGUCACAGAGCACUCAGUAAACCUACUUCUUUCUUUGGUUUGCCUUCUUUUUUUUCCUUCCUUUUUACUUCCUUUUUCCUUUCUUAUAUUUUUUUCUUUUUUCUUUCUUUCUUCUUGGGUCAGAUUUGCGUGCAAAGUGCCACAUCACCUUUUCUUCUUCUUUGGCCAUGGAAGUUUUUGUACACUCAAUAUACACUAUUAGAUGUAACAUGUUAAAAUUUGGCAUUUUCUGGGUAUAUUUUCUAUAUUCAAGCCAUUAGACACAUUUCUAGGCAUUUAAUGGAUACAAUUCAAAUUUUAAUUGCAUGUACAUGAAAUUACCGCUAAAGCUGGGUUGAAAGGUCUAGCUGAUGAUAUUUAUUCUAUGCUUAUGUCUUAUAUAAGGAAGUAGAAGUAGUUCCAAACACCCAUGGGGCCAAGACUCAGGAAGAAACAUGGAGAAUUGUGGUUAUUUAAUUCUAAAAAUAUCAAACAAAGCCAUAAAACGGGAAACGUUGCAUGGUGUCAUGAUAUUAGGCCUAAAGGCUUUGGUACAAACUUGAUUCUUUUAGAAAAGUUGCCACGUAGAUUGCUUAGAGACGAUACCACCUGCAAGGAAGAAUUUAGGUUUUGAUAAGGAAGAGGUCAGGUUUGGAGGCAAAGAAUUGUUUUAUCCAUUGGCCUUAAAAUUUUCUCUACAGAAACAUACACCAUUAAAUAUAACAUGUCAAAAAAAGAUUACCAUUUUUCCAGCUUUGUUCGUUAUACUUAAGCUAUUAAGUGCAUUUCUAGGCAUUUCAUGGAUAUAAUUCAUAUUUGAAUUGGAGGUACAUAAAAUAGUCGCCACAAAUAGGUUGAAAAACUUGUUGAUGAUCGCUAGUCUAUGUUUAGCCUUUAUAAAAGGAAAUAGAAGUAGCUGCAAACACCAUCGGGCCGAGACUCGGACACCAACAUGGAGCUUAGUGGUUAUUUAAUUCUAAAAAUUUCAAAUGAAGACAGAAAACACGCAAAUUUGCAUGGCGUCAAGAUAUGACUCCUAGAGGUUGUGGUUAAAAUUUAAGCAUGCUCCAAAAAAGGAAAUUAUCUCGUAGACUACUACAAAACGGGACCAUCUCCAAGGAAGAAUCUAGGUUUCAGGAUGGAAUGGCUCAUAUGUGGAGGCAAUGCGACUGUUGCUUCAUUCGUUGGCCUUAAAACUUUUUCUACACUCAAUACAAACCAUUACAUGUCAUGCACGUCGGAAUUUGCUAUUUUUUUGGGCCCAUUUGCUAUAUUUAAUCCAUUAAGUGCAUUUAUAUGCUUUUAAACUUUUAAUUAUCAAAUCAAUUCAAACAUUAUGAAAACUCCUAAAAAACAGCUUAUAUGUAGUACAUUACAUUUGAAAUUUUAUUGAGGUAUAUAAGAUAAAAAAUGUAUUGGGUAUCCAAGUUGAGCAAUUUUAACCUGCUUCCUCUUACCCCCUCUUUUCACAUGGGAGGUUAGAAGGUAAGAGUUAAUUAAAAUCACUGCUUAGUGCAAUCAAUGGCUCAUAUCUAUUUUAUACUCUUACCUCUCAUGCAUGUCAAAAGGAGAGGUAAGAGGGAGCAUGUUAAAAAACCUCAAAGUUAUAUUUUUUAUGUCAUAUAAAAGGAGUUGGCCGAGUGUAAUACUCGGGUAAGUCAUUUGUGGGUUCUGAUUGGUAAGCUUGACACUCCCACUAUCGUGAUCUCCAUCGCUUAUUGCCCACAUAUCUAACAACUAGCAAUGACAGUGUAGGUCGAGGGUAGGUCAUCUCUACCAUGAAUGCACCCAAGGGGGCGGGAAGAACAAAAUGCCACUCGCAACAGUGAAAUUGAGGGAGUGUGUUAAGAGAAGGCUUGCAAGUUCUAGAAUAGAUAGUUUGUUGUAAUUUCUUUGGUAUGAUAUAAACCCAAUCUAACUUGUACGCCACAGAUGUUCUGUAAUCCUAGAGAUCCUAGAGAUCGAUCAGCAAAUGCCCUAGCGAGGCUGUCUGGCUUUUAUUAAUACACGACGACCCAAGACCAAAGGAUAACGCCCUUGCCUGCAUAUUAUUUCAAAAUCCAUCUGCAUAUUUAUGAAUUGUUAUGCGUAAUAUAUUUUACUUCCUUUGUGGGUAGGCUUUAGAACUCAAAAUUACAAGGCAACUUCAAACGUAUACCCACUAUAAUGCUCUAGAGCUUUAGGUACUGUUUCAUCAAUUCAAAUUCAACAGGUCGUCGCAUAUAUUAUUGGGCUAUGUUUUUUCGAACCAUGCAGGAGGACUGCAUGCAUUAUAUUAAAGAUAGAGAGAGGGAGAAAUACACGACCAACAUCCAUCAGAGUUACAACAAGGACAACCUAAACUAAUUCAAACAAAAAGGCCCACCAAAACUGUCUACAAACACCGCAAACCGAAUGAAACUAAUGUAAUACAAAACGACCUAGACUUGCUUCUGCCCAUUGCGCCACGUCAAUCAUAAUUUGAUUGAUGAUUCCUUGAAGAGGUGUGUGUGAAUUUUCAAAAAUUCAUCCAUUUCUUUCACUCCAUAUACUCCAUACAAUUAGCGGUACCAUUGUAAUAGCCUAGAUUUUGCCCUUCUCUUUUUUGAGGAUUGUCUUGAAUUUCUUGAUUUGAAUUUCUUUUCUGUGGCUAUGUGGUUCCAAAACUUGGGAAGAUCAUGUCUUCCUAGGUUUUAUAGUGGCUUGUCAUCCCUAAAAAAAUCCCUAGCUCAUGUCAUUUCCAUCCUAGCCCAAAUCCCAAUAUUCUUUUUAUGGGGAAUAUUCCUUUUCUGAAAAAGGAAUUACCCUUUUUCCAUAGGUUGUGAAGCAACCUAUAUUUUUGUCACUCCAAAAAUUCCCAAAAAAUUCUCAUAAUUUUUUUGGGUAAUAUCUUGAUCAAAUAUGGAAAAACUUUUCAUUGCCAUGUUAAAAAAUAAUCCUCCAAUAAUCAUUUUCCUAUUCUGCCCAAAAUGACACUUUGUGAACCAAGUGCUAUUUAUCUUUGCCCAAUUGACUCCAAACUUCUUGUACACCUUUUACUAUCCAUACCAUUUCCAUGUGCCAAAAUUUAACCUCAUUUGCCUAGUAAUUAUUUUUCAAUGAUUUUUCAAAGUUUCUGCCCAGGAAGAAACUUUGUGAAGGAAGUAUAUUCUAGGCAUGUCCACAUGAGAUGAACUUUUGCAACAUCCUUCAUUUGGUCACAUAAUCACUCUCCACCCAAUUUGAGCUCAUGUAACCUUUCUAUAUGAGCACAACUCCAAAUCUUUGUUUCUGGUAAGAUUUUUAGUUUGUGAAACAACUAUAUUUUAUAUUGCUUCAUUUAAGCUUCCAAUUUACCAGGACAUUCUCUUACCCAUAUAAACUCCCUCCACCAAGUUGUGGCUCAAUCCAUUUAGCCAUUUGCCCUGUGGAAUUUUCCCAAGUUUGUGGUCAGAAUAAAGCUUUGUGAAGCAAGUGCUAUUUUGGUUCAUCCAAAUGGCCUGAAACUUUUUGAGCAUAUUCAUAUACUCAAAUCAUUGGGCCAUGCCCAAUUUCAGCUUAGCUUGCAUCUCCAUGUGAGUGCAUCAUCCAAAUCUCCAUUUCUGGCCAGUAUGGCACUUUCUACAACAAGUGUCAAUUUUUUCCAUCCUAAUGAGCUAUAAAUUUGCAGAGGUGAUCAUCUUAGUGUGUGAUCACACCGUGCCAAAGCCCAGCCUCUACCUCCUUCUGUGUUUGUCUCCCCGCAGCACAAACACCUUGUUGUCACAAUCUUUUGGCCCCUCCUCCAAAUCACUUCUUUGCCCCUUGAUCGAUUUCUUUUCUCAUUUUGACUAAGGACAAUGAUGUCUACUACACAACCUUCUUCUUGUAGACGUUGUUGGGCCUGCAAGUGCACAUGUUUGUAGGACAGUAGCAAAUUUCCCUCAAGUGGAUGACCUAAGGUUUAUCAAUCCAUGGGAGGCGUAGGAUGAAGAUGGUCUCUCUCAAGCAACCCUACAACCAAAUAACAAAGAGUCUCUUGUGUCCCCAACACACCCAAUACAAUGGUAAAUUGUAUAGGUGCACUAGUUCGGCGAAGAGAUGGUAGAUAAAGGUUUUUGUAAUCUUAAAUUAUAAAAACAGCAAGGUAACUAAUAAUAAAAGUGAGCACAAACGGUAUUGCAAUGAUAGGAAACAAGGCCCAGGGUUCAUACUUUCACUAGUGCAAGUUCUCUCAACAAUAAUAACAUAGAUAGAUCAUAUAACAAUCCCUCAACAUGCAACAAAGAGUCACUCCAAAGCCACUAAUAGCGGAGAACAAACGAAGAGAUUAUGGUAGGUUACGAAACCACCUCAAAGUUAUUCCUUCGGAUCAAUCUAUUUAAGAGUUCGUACUAGAAUAACACCUUAAGACACAAAUCAACCAAAACCCUAAUGUCACCUAGAAACUCCAUUUUCACCUCAAGUAUCCUUGGGCAUGAUUAUACGAUAAGCAUCACACAAUCUCAGAUUCAUCUAUUCAACCAACACAAAGUACUUCAAAGAGUGCCCCAAAGUUUCUACCGGAGAGUCAAGACGAAAAUGUGUGCCAACCCCUAUGCAUAGGUUCAUGGGCGGAACCCGCAAGUUGGUCACCAAAACAUACAUCAAGUGGCACAUGAUAUCCCAUUGUCACCACAGAUAAGCACGGCAAGACAUACAUCAAGUGUUCUCAAAUCAUUAAAGACUCAAUCCGAUAAGAUAACUUCAAAGGGAAAACUCAAUCCAUUACAAGAGAGUAGUGGGGGACAAACAUCAUAAGAUCCAACUAUAAUAGCAAAGCUUGCGAUACAGCAAGAUCGUGCCAUAGAGGGAACAUGAGAGAGAACACGAAAGAGAGAGAUCAAACACAUAGCUACUGGUACAUACCCUCAGCCCCGAGGGUGAACUACUCCCUCCUCGUCAUGGAUAGCACCGGGAUGAUGAAGAUGGCCACAGGUGAUGGGUUCCCCCUCCGGCAGGGUGCCGGAAUGGGCUCCCGAGAGGGUUUUUGUGGCUAUAGAGGCUUGCGGUGGCGGAACUCCUGAUCUAUCUUCUCCGUGGAUGUUUUUAGGGUACGUGGGACUAUAUAGGCGAAUGAAGUCGGUCAGGGGGGUGCUCGAGGGGCCCACAAGACAGGGGGCGCGCCCAGGGGGGUGGGCGCGCCCCCCACCCUCGUGGCCUCCUCGAGGAUCUUCUGACGUGAACUCCAAGUCUCCCGGAUCAUAUUCUUCCCAAAAAUCACACUCCCGAAGGUUUCAUUCCAUUUGGACUCCGUUUGAUAUUCCUUUUCUUCGAAAUACUGAAACAGGCAAUAAAACAGCAAUAUGGGCUGGGCCUCCGGUUAAUAGGUUAGUUCCAAAAGUAAUAUAAAAGUGUAUAAUAAAGCCCGUAAUCAUUCAAAAUAGAUAAUAAAAUAGCAUGAAUGCUUCAUAAAUUAUAGAUACGUUGGAGACGUAUCAGCAUCCCCAAGCUUAAUUCCUGCUUGUCCUCCAGUAGGUAAAUGAUAAAAGAAAGAAUUUAUGAAGUGCGAAUGCUUGAGGUGCACAAGUUUGAUCAAUGAUAAUUUCAAUCACCUUUACUAGCAUCAAUAUAUGUCAUAACAAUAGUUCAUCUCAUAAAACUUUUCAUGAUCAAGUAACAAGCAAUUCACAUGUUAAAGUAUAGACCAUAAACUUUCUUGAAAACUAGCAAACUUCAUUCUUAGUAAUCAAACAAUUGCAAUUCAUCCUAUUUUCAGGAAGGGUCUAUGUCAGAUCUUUGAUUUAGCAAACUUCACAUACUCAACUAUCAUAUAGUCUUCUAAAAUUGCUAACACUCACGCAAUACUUGUGGUUAUGAAGUUUUAAUCAGACACAGAGAAAGAUAGGGGCUUAUAAUGUUGCCUCCAAACGUAUUCACCUUUGGGUGAUGUCAACAAUAAUAGUUCAUGCUAACGUACAUCCAAUUGGAUAUAUAUAUCAGGAUCACCUUAUAUUGCCCCUUGUAUAUCUACGGAUAAAAUGAGAAAGGGAAAGGAUAAAAUGGGAAAGGGAAAGGUGAAGAUCACCUUGACUCUUGCAUAAAGUAAAAGACAUAAAGUAAAAGAUAGGCCCUUCGCAGAGGGAAGCAGAGGUUGCCAUGCACUUUUAGGGUUGGAUACACAAAAUCUUAAUGUGAAAGAACGUCACUUUAUAUUGCCCCUUGUAUAUGGACCUUUAUUAUGCAGUCCGUCACUUUUAUUGCUUCCAUAACAAGAUCGUACAAAGCUUAUUUUCUCCGUACUAAUAAGUCAUGCAUAGAGAGCAAUUUUUAUUGCUUGCACCGAUGACAACUUACUUGAAGGAUCUUACUCAAUCCAUAGGUAGGUAUGGUGGACUCUCAUGGCAAAACUGGGUUUAAGGAUAUUUGGAAGCACAAGUAGUAUCUCUACUUGGUGCAAGGAAUUUUGGCUAGCAUGAGGGGGAAAGGCAAGCUCAACAUGUUCGAAUGAUCCAUGACAAUAUACUUUAACUGAGAUGUGAGACAACAUAACCCAUUAUGUUGUGUUCCUUGUCCAACAUCAAUUCUUUAGCAUGUCAUACUUAAUGAGUGCUCACAAUUAUAAAACAUGUCUAUGAUAAUAUAUUUAUAUGUGAAAUCUCUCUUCCUUCAAUAUUCUUUCAUGAAUUGUUCAAAUGACCAAUAUAAUGCUUGCUAACCGUCAAGAAAUUUACAACCUCUACUUCUUAGAUGUGAAGUCAUUACUCCCCAUGGGAUAAGGGAAUGAGGCAUAUAUAAUUUCAAAUUUAUGACAUUCAACUCAUUCAACCAUUUACUCAUAGAAUAUAAGUGAAGCACACGAGUAAAUGAUAAACUACUCCAACAAGAUAUAAGUGAAGAUCAAUGAGUAGUUAAAUAAUUAUGUAACUAUUUGAAGACUCUCUCUCAUUUAAGAAUUUCAGAUCUUGGUAUUGUAUUCAAACAGAAAACAAAGCAAAAUAAAAUGACAUUGCAAGGAUAGCACAACUUAUGUGAAGAAGCAAAAACUUUGGCUCAACCGAUACUAACCGAUAGUUGUUGAAGAAGAAAGGUGGGAUGCCUACCGGGGCAUCCCCAAGCUUAGAUGCUUGAGACUUCUUGAAAUAUUAUAUUGGGGUGCCUUUGGCAUCCCCAAGCUUGAUCUUUUGUGUCUCCUUAAUUCCUCUUAUAUCAUGGUUUCUCUUUUUAUCAAAAGCUUCAUCCACACCAAACUCAACAAGAACUCGUGAGAUAGGUUAGUAUAAACCAAUGCAAAACCAUAUCAUUUUCUACUGUAACAAAUUACUAACAUUAUUAUUCAACAUUUCAUAGUAAAUGUCUCUGCAUAUUUAAUACUCCGAUCCUCAAAUAGAAUCAUUAAACAAGCAAACAUAUGCAAACAAUGCAAACAUAACAGCAAUCUGCCAAAACAAUAUAGUCUGUAAAGAAUGCAAGAUUCAUCAUACUUCCCUAACUCCAAAAAUUAUAAGAAAAAUACUAAGCUGUAGAAGAUUUAUCAGAGCUCAUUAUUCAAAAAGAUUCAACAUUAUAUCACUCCCUUACUUUUCUAGGGAAUUUUUGCAACAGCGGUAAACUUUCUGUUUUCAAACAGCAACAUGUAUACUAGCAAAAUAAGCAUGGUAAAGGCUAUCCUUAACAUUUUUAUUGAAAGUGAAGAUGCAAAACAUUAUUCUAAAUAACAGCAAGCAAAUACUAAUAAAAUAAAAUUACACUCCAAGCAAAACACAUAUCAUGUGGCGAAUAAAAAUAUAGCUCCAAGUAAAGUUACCGAUGAACAAAGACGAAAGAGGGGAUGCCAUCCGGACCAUCCCCAAGCUUAGUUGCUUGGUUGUCCUUGAAUAUUACCUUGGGGUGCCUUGUUCAUCCCCAAUCUUAGGCUCUUGCCACUCCUUAUUCCAUAGUCCAUCGAAUCUUUACCCAAAACUUGAAAACUUCAACCACACAAAACUAAAAACAAAACUCGUAAGAUCCGUUAGUGUAAGAAAAUAAAUCACCACUUUAAGGUACUGUAAUGAACUCAUUCUUUAUUUAUAUUUGUGUUAAAACUACUGUAUUCCAACUUCUCUAUGGUUCUUACCCUUACAUACUAGCCAUAGAUUCAUCAAAAUAAGCAAACAACACAAUGAAAACAGAAUCUGUGAAAAACAAAACAGUCUGAAGUAAUCUGUAUCAAACGUAUACUUCUGGAACCCCAAAAAUUAUUAAAUAAGCUGGUGGACCUGAGGAAUUUGUCUAUUAAUAAUCUAGAAAAAGAAUCAACCAAAAAUCACUCUUCAAUAAAAACUGGUAGCAAAUCUCGUGAGCGCUAAAGUUUCUGUUUUUUACAGCAAGAUCAUAUAGACUUCACCCAAGUCUUCCCAAAGGCUCUACUUGGCACUUUAUUGAAAUAAAAGCUAUAAAACAUGAUUAAUACAGUAGCAUAAUCAUGUUAACACACAAAAACAGUAAGGGUAAAUAUUGAGUUGUCUCCCAACAAGUGAUUUUCUUUAAUGCCUUUUCUAGCUAGGCAUGAUGAUGACAAUGAUGCUCACAUAAAAGAUAAGAAUUGAAACGUAAAGAGAGCAUCAUGAAUAAUAUGACUAGCACAUUUAAGCCUAAACCACUUCCUAUGCAUGGGGAUUUUGUGAGAAAACAAGUUAUGGGAACAAUAAUCAACUAGCAUAGGAAGGUAAAACAAGCAUAGCUUCAAAAUUUUAAGCACAUAGAGAGGAAACUUGAUAUUAUUGCAAUUCCUACAAGCAUAUGUUCCUCCCUCAUAAUAAUCUUCAGUAGAAUCAUGAAUGAAUUCAACAAUAUAACCAGCACCUAAAGCAUUCUUUUCAUAAUCUACAAGCAUAGAAAAUUUACUACUCUCCACAUAAGCAAAAUUCUUCUCAUGAAUAGUAGUGGGAGCAAACUCAACAAAAUAAUUAUCAUGUGAAGCAUAAUCCAAUUGAAAACUAAAAUCAUGAUGACAAGUUUCAUGGUUAUGAUUAUUCCUAAUAUCAUACAAGUCAUCACAAUAAUCAUAAUAGAUAGCAACUUUGUUCUCAUAAUGAAUUGGAACCUUGUCACGACCGGCUUUUCAAUAAUAUGAUUAUUGAUAAAACCGAUCUUUUAAACCCAGUAUAGGAAAAGUCAUCCUUUCUGGUAGACAAAAGCUUGAUAAACAGAGAACCAGUGGCAUCAAAUAUAUUACAUGAUUGAGCUGAGGCUGCUCAACAGUUUAUUACAAACUCGCCAAUAUCUUACAUAAGGGCGGUUAUGACACAGGGGUGGGGUGGCAUGCUACUAGCUCGAGGAAAAGUGGUGGUGGAUAACUUGACUUCUACUGGCAGUACAUCGAGCGUCGAGGUGAGGCUCGAUGAAUUUAUUUGGGGUUGCGGAAGCGGAUAAUACAAUGACCAAGACAGGAUCGCAUGGGACUGACUAGGACUCCUCUAGGCGUCGGACUAGCUAUCAAAUUCUUCAUCCAUGAGGUCGCCUUCAUCAACAUCUGGCCAAAUCAACAAGCCAGGUGAGUACUUGAAAGUACUCGCAAGACAGUUCGGACAAAAGAUAUAAUCAAUGAAUGCAUGAAUGCGUCAUGAACAAAGGAUGAUGCUCAUAUCACAAUGAUAAUAUUGCAGGACUUGAUAAAUAAAAUAAAUAACUAAAAACUGAUCGGGUGUCUGGAGCGACGCCUCGAAAGGUGAAUAAAUGAAAUGCAUGCCGCAGUUGGACGUCUAAGCAACAUCACAUAAAGGGCUUUAAAAGAAAUGCCACAGUCGGACGUCUGGGCGACAUCACAGACAGGGCUUUAAAAGAAAUACCACAGUCGGACGUCUGAGCGACAUCACAGACCGGGCCUUGAAAGAAAUACCACAGUCGGACGUCUGAGCAACAUCACAGACAGGGCUUAAAAGAAAUACCACAAUCGUCUGAGCGACAUCACAGACAGGGAUUUUAAAAGAAAUACCACNNNNNNNNNNNNNNNNNNNNNNNNNNNNNNNNNNNNNNNNNNNNNNNNNNNNNNNNNNNNNNNNNNNNNNNNNNNNNNNNNNNNNNNNNNNNNNNNNNNNNNNNNNNNNNNNNNNNNNNNNNNNNNNNNNNNNNNNNNNNNNNNNNNNNNNNNNNNNNNNNNNNNNNNNNNNNNNNNNNNNNNNNNNNNNNNNNNNNNNNNNNNNNNNNNNNNNNNNNNNNNNNNNNNNNNNNNNNNNNNNNNNNNNNNNNNNNNNNNNNNNNNNNNNNNNNNNNNNNNNNNNNNNNNNNNNNNNNNNNNNNNNNNNNNNNNNNNNNNNNNNNNNNNNNNNNNNNNNNNNNNNNNNNNNNNNNNNNNNNNNNNNNNNNNNNNNNNNNNNNNNNNNNNNNNNNNNNNNNNNNNNNNNNNNNNNNNNNNNNNNNNNNNNNNNNNNNNNNNNNNNNNNNNNNNNNNNNNNNNNNNNNNNNNNNNNNNNNNNNNNNNNNNNNNNNNNNNNNNNNNNNNNNNNNNNNNNNNNNNNNNNNNNNNNNNNNNNNNNNNNNNNNNNNNNNNNNNNNNNNNNNNNNNNNNNNNNNNNNNNNNNNNNNNNNNNNNNNNNNNNNNNNNNNNNNNNNNNNNNNNNNNNNNNNNNNNNNNNNNNNNNNNNNNNNNNNNNNNNNNNNNNNNNNNNNNNNNNNNNNNNNNNNNNNNNNNNNNNNNNNNNNNNNNNNNNNNNNNNNNNNNNNNNNNNNNNNNNNNNNNNNNNNNNNNNNNNNNNNNNNNNNNNNNNNNNNNNNNNNNNNNNNNNNNNNNNNNNNNNNNNNNNNNNNNNNNNNNNNNNNNNNNNNNNNNNNNNNNNNNNNNNNNNNNNNNNNNNNNNNNNNNNNNNNNNNNNNNNNNNNNNNNNNNNNNNNNNNNNNNNNNNNNNNNNNNNNNNNNNNNNNNNNNNNNNNNNNNNNNNNNNNNNNNNNNNNNNNNNNNNNNNNNNNNNNNNNNNNNNNNNNNNNNNNNNNNNNNNNNNNNNNNNNNNNNNNNNNNNNNNNNNNNNNNNNNNNNNNNNNNNNNNNNNNNNNNNNNNNNNNNNNNNNNNNNNNNNNNNNNNNNNNNNNNNNNNNNNNNNNNNNNNNNNNNNNNNNNNNNNNNNNNNNNNNNNNNNNNNNNNNNNNNNNNNNNNNNNNNNNNNNNNNNNNNNNNNNNNNNNNNNNNNNNNNNNNNNGCUGUAGCACUGGGCUAGCAGGACUCCGGUAAACCGGGCUGUAGCGGGCUAACAGGACUCCGGUACUCAAAGCGUGACAUUUCCCCGAAGGGACAGACACAGGAACGAAGAAGGACACAUGCCGGCCAGCCUAAGUGUUCCAGAGCAGUAGCAAGCUACCAUGGCUCAGCGGUAACACUAGGAGACAUUUCCCGGUAAGAGAGGCUACUAAAGAUAAACAACUAGAUGGUCAGAUCCCACACAUACCAAGCAUUUCAAUCAUACACACAAUAUGCUCGAUAUGUGUAAAUACAACGAAGCAUCACAACAUGACUCUAUGACACAAGUACUUUAUUUAAGGCUCAGGGAGCCAUACAUAUCAUACACACAGGUACGGGUCUCACGACCCAACAUACAAAUCAUACAGUCAUACAAGCCAACAGCGGAAGUACUUUGUCUGGGUACAGACAACUAGUAAAAUAAAGGAGGCUUGGAAGCCUAACUAUACUANNNNNNNNNNNNNNNNNNNNNNNNNNNNNNNNNNNNNNNNNNNNNNNNNNNNNNNNNNNNNNNNNNNNNNNNNNNNNNNNNNNNNNNNNNNNNNNNNNNNNNNNNNNNNNNNNNNNNNNNNNNNNNNNNNNNNNNNNNNNNNNNNNNNNNNNNNNNNNNNNNNNNNNNNNNNNNNNNNNNNNNNNNNNNNNNNNNNNNNNNNNNNNNNNNNNNNNNNNNNNNNNNNNNNNNNNNNNNNNNNNNNNNNNNNNNNNNNNNNNNNNNNNNNNNNNNNNNNNNNNNNNNNNNNNNNNNNNNNNNNNNNNNNNNNNNNNNNNNNNNNNNNNNNNNNNNNNNNNNNNNNNNNNNNNNNNNNNNNNNNNNNNNNNNNNNNNNNNNNNNNNNNNNNNNNNNNNNNNNNNNNNNNNNNNNNNNNNNNNNNNNNNNNNNNNNNNNNNNNNNNNNNNNNNNNNNNNNNNNNNNNNNNNNNNNNNNNNNNNNNNNNNNNNNNNNNNNNNNNNNNNNNNNNNNNNNNNNNNNNNNNNNNNNNNNNNNNNNNNNNNNNNNNNNNNNNNNNNNNNNNNNNNNNNNNNNNNNNNNNNNNNNNNNNNNNNNNNNNNNNNNNNNNNNNNNNNNNNNNNNNNNNNNNNNNNNNNNNNNNNNNNNNNNNNNNNNNNNNNNNNNNNNNNNNNNNNNNNNNNNNNNNNNNNNNNNNNNNNNNNNNNNNNNNNNNNNNNNNNNNNNNNNNNNNNNNNNNNNNNNNNNNNNNNNNNNNNNNNNNNNNNNNNNNNNNNNNNNNNNNNNNNNNNNNNNNNNNNNNNNNNNNNNNNNNNNNNNNNNNNNNNNNNNNNNNNNNNNNNNNNNNNNNNNNNNNNNNNNNNNNNNNNNNNNNNNNNNNNNNNNNNNNNNNNNNNNNNNNNNNNNNNNNNNNNNNNNNNNNNNNNNNNNNNNNNNNNNNNNNNNNNNNNNNNNNNNAUGCUAGUGGGUUUCAUCUAGUUACUGUGGCAAUGACAGGUCAUGCAGAGGAAAUGGGUUCAACUACCGUAGCACACAGCAGUUUGAAUCGCGUUGUCUUAAUGCAGUAAAAGAGAGCAGGAGCGAGAACAUGGGAUUGUAUCGAUAUGAUCAAAUGGUUGGUUGCUUGCCUGAUGGUUCGUUGCACGGAUACGGUUCUUCGUUAGGGUAAUCACGGUACUCUUCGGGGACGGAACCUGCCGCAGAGAGCACCGGUACACAACAUUACCAAACAAUAUGCAACAAUAUGAUGCAUGCAUGAAACAUGGCAAUAUGAGUGUGUUGGGCUAAUGCAACUAAAACCAGAAGGGUUUGAGCAAAUUUGAAUCAAAGAUUCAAAUUUCAAAUUCAAAUAUGGCCUUUUAAAGUGCUUUUCCUUGUUCUGAUUAAAACAUCAAUUUAACUUGUUUGAUCAUGCAUUAAAAUAGUACAGAUGGAUAGAUUGGAUUUUUCUGAUCAUUUUUCAUAUAUAAUUUGUCCAAUUUGGAGUUACAGAAUAAAAGUUAUGAAUUUUUGAAGUUUAAAUAAUAUUCUGGAAUUUCCUGAUUUAAUUUAAAUCCAGAAAUUCAAUUAAUGCGUCAGCCUGACGUCAGCAUGACGUCAGUGGUCAACUGUGGCUGGUUGAAGUCAAACCUGACAUGUGGGGGCCACACGUCAGUGACAGGGGGGGUUAAACAGAUUUAAAUUAAUCCUAAUUACUAAUUAGUGGCGCUGGGGCCCACUGUCAGUGUCAGGGGGGGUUGACUAACAGUAGUUAGCGCUAACCUAACCACCUGGCCGACAGGGCCCACGCGUCAGUGACCCUGGGGGUCAAACCCCAGGUCGGUCAAGUCAAACCCCACCGGCGACAUGACGUCGGCGAGAUCCGAGACGGCGGCGAGAGUGCUUUUUGCCAUUCCGGCGACCAAAUGGACGGCGGAAGGCAUCUACGUGUUGCUGAGGCUGAGCCGCGUCUAUUGGUGGUGGUGGUUGGGCUCGGGGUGGCCGGAGUUGACGGCGGCGAGCUCGGCUGCGGUGGCCGGAGUUCGGGUGCGGUCGGGAUCAGUGUUGCAGGGGGUUUGGGGAGGCGUUGGUGCGUUCUACGUGCUCCUGGUGAUGUGUGGAGCACGAUGGUGUGCUCGGUUGGGCGCUACGGCGACCGUGGCCACGACGGCGACAUCGCCGGCGGCGUGGAGCUCUCGGUCGAGGUGGAGCUAGGGCCUAGAGGUCGGGGGAGACCAGGGAAGAAGGGGGAAACGACGCGGAGGCUCACCGCGGUUGCAGUGGGCGUCGAAGCGGGCUCGGGGACGCGCUGGAGACGACGAAUUCGACGGCGACGAUGAUCGGAGCCGAAGAGGGGAACGGCGACGUGGCGGCGAUGCAGGGCUUCCGGGGACCCGUGGAGCGGUGGGGAGGAAGAGGGAGUUGUGGCGGAGCUUCUGAGCUAAUCGGGGGAGCGAGGGGUGGUCGGAGGCGGUGGCUAUGGCGAACGGUGGCGACGGUCGUGUUCGGCCGAGCGAGAGAGAGAGCGAGAGAGAGGAAGGAGAGAGCCAGGGAGAGUGAGAGAGAGCAGGGGGGAUCGGGACGGGCUGCGGGCGUCGUCCACGCGGCCAGGAGGGCGUCGGCAAGCAGGAGGUGGCCGCGCGGCCGCGCGCGCGCGAGCACGCAGCAGCUUCGGGGCGUGGGGAGGAAGACGACGGGGAGCUACAGUGCUGGGCUGGGUCGGUUGCUGGCUGGGCCGGCCGGCUGGCUGGGCCGCACAGGUAAGUCUUCCCCUUUCUUUUCUGUUUUCUAUUUUAUUUAAUAUAUCUGCAACUUUGUUGAAUUAAAUAAAAUACCUAGGCAAUUCCAAAAAUCACCAAACUACUCCUGGCUCAUGGUUGGAUUAUUUCCAACAUGAAACAUUUUAGUUUGGAGAUAUUUGAGCAUUUAAAUAUUUUAUAUAAUUUUAAAUGCCCAAAUUCAAAUAGUUAUGAUUUAAUUCAAAAACCCUAGGAUGGCCUAGGAAAAUGUGCACCACUUUUGCAGAGGUUCUGAACCCAGACAAAAAUGAUGGGCAUUUUAGAAGGGCAUUUCAGGUUCAUUGAAAAUUAUUUUAGUAAACCCUAGUUGGUUUCAGAGGGGACUGGGGGUUCUGUCAUCCCCAUUUCAAGUUUCUGCUGAAAGAGUAAACAUGAUGCAACACUCUAAUGCAUGACUAGCUAGGGUGUGACAACUCACCCCCACUCAAAAGAAUCUCGUCCCGAGAUUUGGGUUCCUCUGGGAAGAAGGCGGGAUACUCAAGUCGAAGACGAUCCUCCCUUUCCCAAGUUGCUUCAUCUUCAGGAUGAUGCGACCAUUGAACUUUGAGGAACUUGAUGUUAUGACGCCGCGUGGUACGCUCGGCCUGAUCAAGGAUACGGAUGGGAUACUCUCGAUAUGUAAGAUCAUCUUGGAGAUCAAGCGUUUCGUGGUCCACUUCACGGAUAGGAUCCGAGAAGCAACGCCUGAGUUGAGAAACGUGGAAGACAUCGUGAACUCUGGAGAGGUGCGGAGGUAGUUCCAAUUGGUAGGCAACUUCUCCUCGUUUGGCAAGAAUGCGAAAAGGUCCAAUGUAACGAGGAGCCAAUUUGCCUUUGAUACCGAAACGAUGGGUUCCCUUCAGAGGGGUGACCCGAAGAUAAGCCUUCUCGUCAACCUCGAAAGUCAUAGCCUUAUGCUUUCGGUCAUAUUGACUCUUUUGGCGAGAUUGGGCUGUUCUCAACUUUUCACGAACGAUACGAACUUGUUCUUCUGCUUCCUGAAUCAUAUCCGGGCCAAAGAAUUGUCUUUCCCCGGUCUCUGACCAGUUAAGGGGUGUUCGACAUCGUCGUCCAUAGAGAACUUCGAAAGGGGCUUUACCCAAGCUAGAUUGAUAGCUGUUGUUGUAAGCGAAUUCGGCAAAUGGAAGGCACUUCUCCUAGUCCAUUCCGAACGAGAUAACAGAGGCUCGAAGCAUGUCUUCUAGAAUUUGGUUGACGCGUUCCACUUGACCACUUGACUGAGGGUGGAAAGCGGUGCUAAAGGAGAGACGGGUUCCCAUAGCAUUUUGGAAACUUUCCCAAAAUCGAGAGGUGAAAAGACUUCCUCGAUCCGAAUUGAUUUCCAAAGGGACACCAUGGAGGGACACUAUUCGGGAGAUGUACAAAUCUGCCAGCUGACUAGCGGUUAUACUCUCACGAACGGGUAAGAAAUGAGCUACUUUGGAAAGACGAUCGACCACGACGAAGAUAGCAUUAUUCCCUCUCUUGGUCCUGGGAAAACCGGUAAUGAAAUCCAUACCAAUUUUAUCCCAUUUCCAUUCAGGAAUAGCUAAGGGUUGAAGGGUGCCAGUAGGCCGUUGAUGCUCUGCUUUUACACGACGACAGACGUCGCAAUUAGAAAUAUACUGAGCAAUUUCUCUUUUCAUCCUAGUCCACCAGAACCUCUGGCGUAGGUCCUGAUACAUCUUAGUACUACCGGGAUGAAUAGUGAGAGGAGACUCAUGAGCCUCCUUAAGGAUCAACUGCCGUAGAUGCUGGUUCUUGGGAACCACUAGACGGUUCUCAAAGUACACAACACCAUGAUCAUUUGUGGAGAAACAACUAGCACCUCCGCUAGCAAUGUUCUCUUUGAUUUUGGAUAUUCCCUUAUCUCGCUUUUGGGCAGCGAUGAUCUGAUCCGUAAGAGUAGGUUUUGCUACCAAGGUGGAAAGAAAACCUUGAGGUACAAUGUGAAGGUUAAGCUUCCGAAAUUCCUCAUGGAGAAGCGGUUGACUUUGUUGUAACAUCAGAUUGUUACAAUAAGAUUUACGACUUAACGCAUCAGCCAUGACGUUGGCUUUCCCUGGGGUGUAGGUUAUCCCUAAGUCGAAGUCAGUGAUCAAUUCAACCCAACGUCUUUGCCUGAGAUUCAGAUCCGGUUGGGUGAAGAUGUACUUCAGACUUUGGUGAUCAGUGAAUAUCUCGCAACGAUUACCGAGGAGGUAGUGUCGCCAGGUCUUAAGUGCAUAGACUACGGCUGCAAGCUCUAGAUCAUGAGUAGGAUAAUUCUCCUCAUGUGGGUGCAAUUGCCGUGAGGCGUAAGCAAUUACGUGUCGAUCUUGCAUGAGAAUGCAACCUAGUCCUUGUCGCGAGGCGUCGCAGUAGAUAACAAAGUCCUUGGAGAAGUCUGGCGGUACCAGCACAGGAGCAGAGGUCAGGCGUCUUUUCAGUUCCUGAAAGCUGUGCUCACAUUGUGGAGUCCAUUCGAACUUCUUAUCUUUCUUGAGGAGUUCGGUUAGAGGUUUAGCAACCUUGGAGAAAUUCUCGACAAAGCGACGACAAUAGCUCGCUAAGCCUAGAAAACUCCGAACUUGCUUGACCGAUUCGGGUGGAGUCCAAUCAAGGACGGCUUGAACUCGCUCAGGGUUAACAGCAAUACCUUUACCAGAUAUUACAUGACCCAGAUAGGUCACUUCUGACAACCAGAAUUCACAUUUCGAAAAUUUGGCAUAAAGGCGAUGCUCUCGAAGUUUCUUCAACACUAGCCGUAGAUGUUCGGCAUGUUCUUCCUUGUUCUUGGAGUAGAUGAGUAUAUCAUCGAGAUAAACUACGACGAAUUUAUCCAAAUACUCCAUGAAGAUUGAGUUCAUUAACCGAGAAAAGGUGGCUGGAGCGUUGGUUAAACCGAAGGACAUGACGGUGUACUCGUAUUGGCCAUAACGAGUAACAAAGGCCGUUUUAGGAAUGUCCCCGUUUCUGAUUUUGAUUUGAUGGUAGCCCAACCUCAAAUCCAUCUUGGAGAAGACUGAGGAUCCAGCGAGCUGAUCAUACAGGUCGUUGAUCCUGGGAAGCGGGUAUUUGUUUUUGAUUGUGACCAGGUUGACAGGUCGAUAAUCUACAACCAUUCGGUCCGUACCAUCCUUCUUCUUAACGAAUAGGACGGGGCAAGCCCACGGAGAUGAACUAGGGCGGAUGAAACCCUUUUUCAAGGAUUCAUCGAGUUGUUUCUUAAGCUCGGCUAGUUCUAGGGGUGCCAUCUUAUAGGGUCUUCUAGCAAUCGGAACGGUUCCGGGGAUGAGGUCUAUUACAAACUCAACAUCCCUGUCAGGUGGAACACCUGGCAAUUCCUCUGGAAAGACAUCCGGAAAGUCACGGACUACCGGAACGUCCUCAAGGUCUGGCAAAGGGCUGGCGUUAAGAGAAUAUAAUUGUCGCUUGGCUAUUCGGGUCAAGACAUUGACUAUCUUCCCCGAAGGAUGGGUGAGUUGAACAGUCCUAGAGAAACAAUCAAUUUUGGCUUGAUGAGCCGACAUCCAGUCCAUACCCAAAAUGAUAUUAAUAUCUGACGAUUUAAGGGCUAUCAAAGAUGCAAGGAAAACAAGUCCGUCGACUUGGAUUUCAUUUCCAUAACUUACCCUAGAGGUCUACCAUCUAGACCCAGGGGUAGAGAUUUCCAUAGUGGAUGGCAAGUCACAGAAUGCAACGUUAUGCAAACGAGCAUAACUUUCAGAUAUAAAAGAAUGAGAGGCUCCUGUAUCGAAAAGAACAGAUGCCGGAUGGCAGUUAACAAGAAGCGUACCGAGAACGACGUUGGGGUCCUCUUGAGCUUCUUCGGCAGAGAUACAGUUGACAUGGCCACGUGAAGCGGUGACCGGUUUAGCAUGAAACACCUUCCCUGUCGGCUUGCCACGGCCAACAGCUUUAGCAGAUUGAUUGGGGUUGGUCUGGGGACACUCACGCAUAUAAUGACCAGAUUCCCCACACUUGAAACAAGUCACGGAACUGGUACGUGGAGGAGCAUUAUUGGUUGGACCCCCAUAGGGCUUGGCCGGUGCAGACUGUUGAACAGGGCGAGGCGCCUAGAAAGAUGGCCUCGGUGUGAACCUGGGUGGCAGGGCGGUGUUGGGUACCCACACGCGGCGCUUCUGAGGACCAGCACCGGAUGAGGAACCCAUGUCACGUCCAUGCUUGCGUGUUGCGUCAUAGUCAGUCUGACCAGUUUCAGCACUGAUGGCUUUGUUGACAAGUUUCGAAAAAGAUGUGCACUCAUGCAGACGGAGGUCGCGGCGAAGCUCAGGACUAAGGCCCUUACGGAACCUUGCUUGCUUCUUGGCGUCAGUAGAAACUUCCUCAGUUGCAUAUCGUGCGAGAUUACCAAACUCCCUGCUAUAGACAUCCACAGAAAGUCGGCCUUGGGUGAAAUUGCAGAAUUCCUCACGUUUACGGUCCAUGAGACCCUCCGGAAUGUGAUGUUCACGGAAAGCCUCGCUGAACUCAGCCCAAGUAGUGACAUGGCCCGCUGGGCGCAUAGCUCCAUAAUUCUCCCACCAUAGACUGGCGGGGCCUUCGAGAUGAUACGCAGCAAAGGUGACCUUGUCAGCCUCCGCUACCAGCGCGGAACACAGCUUGUGAGAGAUACUGCGAAGCCAGUCAUCAGCGUCGAGAGGCUCGACGGAGUGGUGGAACGUGGGUGGAUGCAAUUUGAUAAAAUCGCUGAGUGACACCACGUUAGCCCUCUGAUGGUGUGCUGUAUUCUGUUCAAUACGCUCCAACAAACGGUUUGUCUCCCGCUUGUUUCUCUCAGCUUCCAUCAUAACCUCGGCUAGUGAAGGAGGAUGAGGCAGAUUUUCAUUCCUGGCUUCACUGCCUUCGGCCUGCUCUUGAGAAGCAGGGUUGGCGCGCGUGUUGACCAUCCUAGGUAAACAAGACAAUGAUUUAGUCAGAAUGAUAAAAUUCCGACAUGGGAAUACAUAAUGUAAGGAAUAACUCGAAAUGCAAGAUGAUCAUCCGUAUGACAUGGUAGAUACAGAAACUGCUUCUUUAUUCCAUCGUCAUACACACCAUACAAGGUUUAGUACAAGACCAAACAAAGUACUAUUACGGUGAGAAAAGGAUUACAUCUCAUCGGAGGCAUUCCAAGCUCCUAUACAUUAUUUUUCUACAUCUCCGGAAGGAGUACAAACUAGGUCAUAUCCCACGAGUCACGCGGGACGACAGACGACACAGCUAGUGCGAACUAAGGAUACUAUCACUAACUCAGACCGAUCCGUAGUAGUCCUCAUAGAAGUCACCUCCAUGGCCUGGAAGCUCAACAUGUUCAUCCGGAAACAGACGAUUUCGCGGAGCUUGUGGACCAUAAGGGCUAGGAUGAGGUCUUGAACCAACAAACGGUGGCCUGCGGGGACCGCGAGGGGGGGUGAUGCCUCCUACAUCACGCCAAACCAUCACGUCUGGCAGAGCAGAUCUCACAGGAUAGAGAUCGCGCAUAUCUGAGAAUCCAGCUUGUACCGCCGGUGCGAACCGAGUCAAAGUGGCCCAGUGGUCAGCACGGGUAUUGAAGAGCUCUAACCUUAAGGCCCGAUUUUCACGGUCCUUAUCCUCGAGCAUCUCAGCAGUGGUGCGAGUUCGUGAAUCCUCCUGAGUGGGGUCAGCAUAAAUGGCUUGGAGAUAUCCUUGUGCUCCCGGAAGUGAUCCUGGCAUAUACCGGAAAUCAGAGUCCCGAAAUAAACCAGAUCUGACUCGCAUAAUGGUCAUCAUGGAAUAGGCGGCAUCCUGCACAGCCAUCUCAAUAGUAACCCCGAGUCCAUAGGAGCAGUGAAGAGGCUCGGUGGAUCCAGGAUAAGAUGGAAAUAUCCUGACAGUGCAGAGAUACUGGCUUUGAUUGAAGUCCCGGAAUUGCUCUUCGACCGUGUACUCAGGAUACCAGCGGUAUCCAGCCUCAGUCAUUACCCUGACCAACUUAGCAGUAUGGCCGGGUACAUCUAGGCAUCGAGUCAGGCGAACCACUUGAUCGAGGUCGCGAGUGGCCAUCUGAAAGCAUGAUCAUAAUGCAAAGGCAUUAGAAUUUCUAGCAAAAUUUCGGCAGCAUAACAGCUGUAAAUGCUCAAAAAGGAUAUUGAGACAUUUGACAAAGGAUUUCGUACACACUCAACAUCAUUACAUCAAAGUUCUGAACCAUUCUGGCUACAUAAUGCGGUAGUAGAACUGAACUAGGCUUGUAACCAUCAAACUUAUAAGGUACUACUGAUUAGUAACACGUGAUCCUGAUAGAGAGAAUAGAUCCUAAUUCCUUAACCCCGGUGGAAGAAUGGACUGACUCAGAUCAGAAAGUCAUAAGGCAUAAGGAGUAAAAAGAGCCUUACGUUCCAUCCCACAAACAAUUCCCCUACAUAUAACUAAAGAAUUUCUAGACUCAACAUCGACCAGUUUGGCUUGGAGAACCUACAGGCAGUCCGGCUCUGAUGCCAACGCUGUCAGGACCCCGACUCGAUGUCACAUCGAUCUAGCUGGUAACACCUCAUAUCACUUUGCGGCCUCACGCACGGUAUCCCCACGGGUGUCGUCUUACCUUUUCCCGGGACCGUUUGCGCCUUUUGGCUCACGUAUAUGAUAGUGUCGCUAGCAUCCAUAUGAUAAAGAGCCCGGGCUGACAUGACUAGUCGUAAACCCAAAGUGGCACAGACUUACAGAGACAGGCAUCCAUGACCCAGCUUCGAACGUGUCGGUCAUCAGCAAGUGGGUCCGGGCUGUAGCACUGGGCUAGCAGGACUCCGGUAAACCGGGCUGUAGCGGGCUAACAGGACUCCGGUACUCAAAGCGUGACAUUUCCCCGAAGGGACAGACACAGGAACGAAGAAGGACACAUGCCGGCCAGCCUAAGUGUUCCAGAGCAGUAGCAAGCUACCAUGGCUCAGCGGUAACACUAGGAGACAUUUCCCGGUAAGAGAGGCUACUAAAGAUAAACAACUAGAUGGUCAGAUCCCACACAUACCAAGCAUUUCAAUCAUACACACAAUAUGCUCGAUAUGUGUAAAUACAACGAAGCAUCACAACAUGACUCUAUGACACAAGUACUUUAUUUAAGGCUCAGGGAGCCAUACAUAUCAUACACACAGGUACGGGUCUCACGACCCAACAUACAAAUCAUACAGUCAUACAAGCCAACAGCGGAAGUACUUUGUCUGGGUACAGACAACUAGUAAAAUAAAGGAGGCUUGGAAGCCUAACUAUACUAUGUGGUCCAUCACAAGCUCAGGGUCACCACCUGGGUCUUUAGCCUACUCGUUGAUGUCAACGUCUACAUAGAACCCAUCAGAAGGGGUUGCAGCGUCUUCUGUAAAAUGUAAAUUAUAGCAACAUGAGUACAAAGGUACUCAGCAAGACUUACAUCAGAUCCUACAUACAUGCAUAUUAUCAAGAAGGGUUGGUGGAGUUAUUGCAGCAAGCCAGCUUUGACUCUUGGCUAGACUAUCCUACGAUACUCCAACUUGAAAUAGUUUUGCGCACACGAGUCCACUACUCACCACUUCAAUACACUACCGAGGAUCCAACUCCGUCUUCCUACGGAAGAGCCAUCCUCGGCACUCACACUUAUCUUGAGGCUUUUAAUAGUUUCCAUUUACUUGUCUAUGAACUGUAUAGGCAACCAAGUAGUCCUUUACCGCGGACGCGGCUAUUCGAAUAGAUCAUGAUAACCCUGCAGGGGUGUACUUCUUCAUACAUGUUUCCACCACUUAGCGUCUGCACAUGAUAUGUGCUCGGCAGACUUCAAGCGAAAGCCGACGUGGGUGUAGACCACGACCUACCUAAACACUUAAGCCUCUAGUCCAGGUUUAUCGCCUAUUCAGGUUCCAUCCGCAGGGAGUCCGGCCGAGGUUUCCCAUACGGCCCCGAACGAUGUGAACAGGGUUCCCGAGAUACCUAACGGGUAUUCGGUACACCCGGCCACGUACCUACCGCAUCACAGCCCACCCCUACGGUUAGCGCUGUCCAUGGCCUCCAGUAGGCUACAAACACCAGAAACUACUUGCAACUCCUGGACAGAGAGCUAGGGUGAAUAAGAAGUCGAGCGGGGUCAUAUUUCAGGGCCCAAUGUAUGGUAGUAGCUGAUUCUUAAAUCACACAUACAGAUCUCAGUGCUUAAGGUCGGCUUCAAUGAAACAACCCACCAUGUACUCCUACAUGGCCUCUCAUCGAUACCUUUACCAAAUCGUGUUCACCACACCACUCUCAUUACCGACAUAAUCAUUUCACUCUAGCCCAUCACCCAGAUGAACCAGACCUGACACGACUCUAAGCAUAGCAGGCAUAGCAAGGUAGGAACAACACAUACAUAUGGCUCAAUCAACUCCUACACAUGCUAGUGGGUUUCAUCUAGUUACUGUGGCAAUGACAGGUCAUGCAGAGGAAAUGGGUUCAACUACCGUAGCACACAGCAGUUUGAAUCGCGUUGUCUUAAUGCAGUAAAAGAGAGUAGGAGCGAGAACAUGGGAUUGUAUCGAUAUGAUCAAAUGGUUGGUUGCUUGCCUGAUGGUUCGUUGCACGGAUACGGUUCUUCGUUAGGGUAAUCACGGUACUCUUCGGGGACGGAACCUGCCGCAGAGAGCACCGGUACACAACAUUACCAAACAAUAUGCAACAAUAUGAUGCAUGCAUGAAACAUGGCAAUAUGAGUGUGUUGGGCUAAUGCAACUAAAACCAGAAGGGUUUGAGCAAAUUUGAAUCAAAGAUUCAAAUUUCAAAUUCAAAUAUGGCCUUUUAAAGUGCUUUUCCUUGUUCUGAUUAAAACAUCAAUUUAACUUGUUUGAUCAUGCAUGAAAAUAGUACAGAUGGAUAGAUUGGAUUUUUCUGAUCAUUUUCAUAUAUAAUUUGUCCAAUUUGGAGUUACAGAAUAAAAGUUAUGAAUUUUUGAAGUUUAAAUAAUAUUCUGGAAUUUCCUGAUUUAAUUUAAAUCCAGAAAUUCAAUUAAUGCGUCAGCAUGACGUCAGUGGUCAACUGUGGCUGGUUGAAGUCAAACCUGACGUGUGGGGGCCACACGUCAGUGACAGGGGGGGUUAAACAGAUUUAAAUUAAUCCUAAUUACUAAUUAGUGGCGCUGGGGCCCACUGUCAGUGUCAGGGGGGGUUGACUAACAGUAGUUAGCGCUAACCUAACCACCUGGCCGACAGGGCCCACGCGUCAGUGACCCUGGGGGUCAAACCCCAGGUCGGUCAAGUCAAACCCCACCGGCGACAUGACGCCGGCGAGAUCCGAGACGGCGGCGAGAGUGCUUUUUGCCAUUCCGGCGACCAAAUGGACGGCGGAAGGCAUCUACGUGUUGCUGAGGCUGAGCCGCGUCUAUUGGUGGUGGUGGUUGGGCUCGGGGUGGCCGGAGUUGACGGCGGCGAGCUCGGCUGCGGUGGCCGGAGUUCGGGUGCGGUCGGGAUCAGUGUUGCAGGGGGUUUGGGGAGGCGUUGGUGCGUUCUACGUGCUCCUGGUGAUGUGUGGAGCACGAUGGUGUGCUCGGUUGGGCGCUACGGCGACCGUGGCCACGACGGCGACAUCGCCGGCGGCGCGGAGCUCUCGGUCGAGGUGGAGCUAGGGCCUAGAGGUCGGGCGAGACCAGGGAAGAAGGGGGAAACAACGCGGAGGCUCACCGCGGUUGCAGUGGGCGUCGAAGCGGGCACGGGGACGCGCUGGAGACGACGAAUUCGACGGCGACGAUGAUCGGAGCCGAAGAGGGGAACGGCGACGUGGCGGCGAUGCAGGGCUUCCGGGGACCCGUGGAGCGGUGGGGAGGAAGAGGGAGUUGUGGCGGAGCUUCUGAGCUAAUCGGGGGAGCGAGGGGUGGUCGGAGGCGGUGGCUAUGGCGAACGGCGGCGACGGUCGUGUUCGGCCGAGUGAGAGAGAGAGCGAGAGAGAGGAAGGAGAGAGCCAGGGAGAGUGAGAGAGAGCAGGGGGGAUCGGGACGGGCUGCGGGCAUCGUCCACGCGGCCAGGAGGGCGUCGGCAAGCAGGAGGUGGCCGCGCGGCCGCGCGCGCGCGAGCACGCAGCAGCUUCGGGGCGUGGGGAGGAAGACGACGGGGAGCUACAGUGCUGGGCUGGGUCGGUUGCUGGCUGGGCCGGCCGGCUGGCUGGGCCGCACAGGUAAGUCUUCCCCUUUCUUUUCUGUUUUCUGUUUUAUUUAAUAUAUCUGCAACUUUGUUGAAUUAAAUAAAAUACCUAGGCAAUUCCAAAAAUCACCAAACUACUCCUAGCUCAUGGUUGGAUUAUUUCCAACAUGAAACAUUUUAGUUUGGAGAUAUUUGAGCAUUUAAAUAUUUUAUAUAAUUUUAAAUGCCCAAAUUCAAAUAGUUAUGAUUUAAUUCAAAAACCCUAGGAUGGCCUAGGAAAAUGUGCACCACUUUUGCAGAGGUUCUGAACCCAGACAAAAAUUAUGGGCAUUUUAGAAGGGCAUUUCAGGUUCAUUGAAAAUUAUUUUAGUAAACCCUAGUUGGUUUCAGAGGGGACUGGGGGUUCUGUCAUCCCCAUUUCAAGUUUCUGCUGAAAGAGUAAACAUGAUGCAACACUCUAAUGCAUGACUAGCUAGGGUGUGACACUAUUGGUGUGUAAGAGGAAAACGAUUUGCAACUUACUACGCCAUAUUCCUUUCGGAAAACAUGUGACAGUAGAGGAAGGAUUGAAUGGGAAUGUGAUUUGUGUCAUGAUGACACGGAAGUCAAAUACUCUGGCAUAAGACUGGCAUGUCACAACACUGCCAUCUUACCCAUCCUCAUGCCAACACAUGGCUAUGCAAAUAUGUAUCCAACAACAUAAUGCUUACCGAAACCUACCUUCCGAUUAUGUAUAUGAAAUAUAACAUUCAAAGAGUUGUUCAUAAACAUGCCAUGAUCAUACUAAAUGCAAACAUGCAACAACACUCAUCAUAUCAAGAGUUCAAACAUGCCUGGUUUGGAGUAGUCGGAGUCUAACUGUGCGAGGUUUGCAGCUCCGUCAGCUCCUCCGGUAUCUAUGGUAUAAGAAAAGAUACGCACGCAACGUAAAUACCGUGAGUGUACAGAAAAGUGUUCCAAAUAUUUUUCAAAUAAUUACGUUAAAAAACUAGACAAAAAUUUGAAGAGGACAGAAAAAGAAUCACUCAAAAAUUCCUUUCUGUUAAAAAGUUAUAAGGGUUUUAACCCAAGGACCCAUUUGUAAUGAAACAGAAAACUUCCAGGGGGUUUUGCAGAAAAAUUCAAAGAAACGGUUCAGAGUGGAAGUGUAUUUGCCAGAGUACGCUUUUAGUAAUGAUUCGAAAAAAACACAAGAGAGGCUGACGGGCGGGUCCCACCCGUCAGGUUUGAAUUUUCAAACGAGGGAGCCGGGGCUCGUCGGCGCCCGAGAGCCGUGGUGGUCGCCGGUGGCGAUCCACGGCGAGGCAGGGAGAUCGGAGAGUACCUCUGUGAUCAGGGCGCCAUUCCGCGUCUGUGGGAGGUGUUCGUGGUCGCCGGAGAGUACCACGUCGGCGGCGACGCUUGCUCCGGCGGACGGCGGUUCGGGUGGUCGUGGAUCUCGUCGGAGAGAGCUGCGAGGUCAAAAUUGAGGUGGGGGUUAUCUUACUAGAGGUGGUACGAUGCUACGGUCGAAAGUAGGGCGGCGGAGGAGUUCUCACCGGAGAGAACGAUGCUGGAGCUCGAGGCGGACGGAGGUGGCCGGAGUCGAGGAGGAAAGGCCCCUCGAGGCUCGUUCAGUGGCCGGGCGGGGUCUGGUGAGAUGGUGGAGUCAUGCGGGGGCGAGAGCAAGCUCGGGGUGCUAUAUAUAGCCACCCCGAGGUGGUUGCCGAGAACGGGGUUCUCCGGCGAGGUGAUUACGGCGGCGCAGUGGUUGCACGGGAGGGUUCAGGGGUUGAACGUCGUCGUGGGUGUUCCCUGGUUUCAUUUAGAUGCUAACCGCGCUGGGAUUGGUUGUUUAGGGGGAGCUCAAUGGAACAGGGCGGCGCGGGCCCGUCGGCGGCAGGGAGUGCGCUCUACGCGUGCCGCGCCACGGCGACGGUGCUGCAUGCGUGCGCUGGCGGGGAAACGGCCACGCGGAGCCACCAGGGGGUUUGGGCGGCGCCGAACGGCGUUAUGCCGCCGUUCUGCUCCCUGGCGGCCGCUACGGUGAUACGGCCGCCGCAAGACACGCCGGCGUAGGCGGGCCAGGGUGCCACCGAUGCCAGGAAGGGGCCAAGCGUGCGUGUGAGGCUCCGGACAAGCAAGCCAGGCCGUGAGCUACGUGCCAAGUGCACUGUGAGCUUGUGACUGAACUCUGACGAAGAUUGACACUGAAAUUCUGAAUUUAACUGAAGAUGGACAGAAACAGUGCAUGCAAGGUGUUCGUAAGAAUGAUCUAGGCAUGUAGGGAUUUUUCCUUGAGCUGGUUUUUGGUGGAGGGGCCUCUCAUUGCAUCUAGAGGCUGCCUGAAUAUUUGUAGAAUUUUUGGAGAGGUGUAGAUAUGAAUUUCACCAAAUUUGGCAAAUCUGGUCCAAACUUGCAGUGAGUGAAUUUUGAAAUAUUUGAACAGGAGAAGAGUGGAUCAAGAUGGUUCUGGGUUGUGGGUACCAAGGACUAUCCAAGGGUGUUGAGUUGAGGUCAAAAAUCAAAAGCAUUAGGGUACUUGCUUUGCAAUCCACCUAGGCUCAAAAGAAAAGACAGAUUUAUAUUGGGAGGAGAAAUGGUUGGAAUAAAAUCCAAAAAUGGAUUUUAUUUGUUUGGACAGAAUGUUUGGAUUUCACCAGAGUGGGAGGAGAGGUUUUGGGAAAAUUUCACCAUAGGAGGCAUGGUAAAAUUUAGAAGGGAUCAAAACCAAAUAAAAACCCAAAACUAAAAGGGUUUUUCUUUUAAAAGAAACUAGAUCCAAGAAAAGGAUUUUUGAGAGGGCAAACUUAGAAGAUGGUUUUUAGGAAGGGUUUAAAUGACCUCCUUUCAAACCAAGCAAGGCUCUUUUGAAAAAAAAAUAACAAACCACCAAAAAAUUUUGGAGUGUCACAGCACCUACCCCCUUAGGAAAAAUCUCGUCCCCGAGAUUUCAGCUGAUCCUUAAACAGGUGUGGGUGCUCUGUCCGAUGAAAAUCCUCGCUCUCCCAAGUUGCUUCAUUCUCGGUGUGAUUACUCCGUUGAACUCUGAAAAACUUAAUGGUUUUCCGUCGGGUCCUCCUCUCAGACUCUUCUAAUAUUUUUAUUGGGUGCUCCCGGUAAGUGAGGUCCGGUUGCACGUCAAUAUACUCAUGUGGAACUUGCUUCUCUGGGUUGCUCAUGUAUUUUCUCAACUGCGAGAUAUGAAACACGUUGUGGAUACCGGAUAAGUCUCCGGGUAGGUCCAGCUGGUAGGCUACCUUGCCUCGUCGGGCCACUAUGUGAAAUGGUCCAAUGAAUCUUGGUGCUAGUUUCCCCUUAAUCUUGAAUCGUUGCAGACCCUUCAUAGGAGAAACUCUCAGGUAUACCAAUUCUCCGGGUUCAAAACUGAUUUCCCGAUGCUUUCGGUCGUAAUAACUCUUUUGCCGACUUUGAGCUGUUUUGAGUCGUUCUCUAAUUGUCUUAACUUUCUCCUCGGCCUCCUUGAGCAUAUCUGGGCCAAAGAUAUGGCUGUCUCCGGUCUCUGACCAAUUUAGCGGGGUAUGAGAUCUUCUCCCAUAUAGAGCUUCAAAGGGUGCCAUUUGCAAGCUGGCUUGAUAGCUGUUGUUGUAUGCGAACUCUGCAUAUGGCAAACUUUCUUCCCAACUGUUCCCGUAGGUGAGGACACAGGCUCUUAGCAUGUCUUCUAGGAUUUGGUUUACGCGUUCCGUCUACCCAUUAGUCUGGGGAUGGUAUGCGGUACUGAAGGCUAGUUGGGUUCCCAGUGCCUGUUGUAGGUGAUCCCAGAAUGUAGAGACAAACUGUGUGCCUCUAUCGGAGAUGAUAGUCUUAGGGACUCCAUGUAGGCAGACGAUACGGGCAAGAUAAAGUCUGGCUAGUCUCUGAGUGGUGUAAGUUGUUUUUACCAGAAUAAAAUGUGCCACCUUGGUUAAUCUGUCGGUUAUGACCCAAAUGGCAUUGUUUCCGUGUUGUGAACGUGGCAGUCCAACGAUAAAGUCCAUUCCAAUCUCGUCUCAUUUCCACUCGGGUAUCUUAUUUGGCUGUAACAGUCCGGCUGGUUUCUGGUGCUCGGCCUUGAUACGUUGACAAGAGUCACAGCACGCAAUGAACAUGGCUAUAUCUCUUUUCAUACCGUGCCACCAGAAAUUUUCCUGAAGAUCCUUGUACAUUUUUGUCCCUCCAGGAUGAAUUGAAUACGGAGCUAUGUGACUUUCAGUCAAUAUCUGCUGUUUGAGGUCCUUGACAUUUGGUACACAUAACCUUUCUCCAUACCACAAUAUUCCUUGCUCAUCUACAUUGAAUUCUGAGGCUCUUCCCAAACUCACUUUUCUUUUUAUGCCCUCAAUGCUGGGUUGUCCGUGCUGGGCUUCCUUGAUACUUUCCAUCAGGGUAGGCUGUAUUUCUAUAUUCAACACACUGCCUUCGGUAACCAUUAUCAGAUUGAGUCGGGCAAAUUCUUGUUGAAAUUCUGGCCUCAAUUUUGGUAUACUAUCGUCGUCCGUGCUGGGAUUGCGACUAAGUGCAUCUGCCACAACAUUUGCUUUUCCGGGAUGAUAGUGGAUUCCAGCAUCAUAAUCCUUCACCAACUCUAACCAGCGUCGUUGCCGUAAAUUUAAUUCUGGCUGUGUGAAAAUAUACUUAAGACUCUUAUGGUCUGUGUAUAUCUCACAACGAUUCCCAAGCAGAAAGUGUCUCAUUUCCUUGAGUGCAUGGAUGACUGCUGCUAAUUCCAGGUCAUGGGUGGGAUAAUUUUCCUCAUGCUUGCGUAGUUGUCUAGAGACAUAUGCAACUACCUUGCCUUCUUGCUUCAAUACGCAUCCGAGGCCUUUCCGGGAUGCGUCACAAUAUACCUCAAAAUUCUUGUGUAUAUCUGGCACGAUUAAUAUUGGUGCCGUUGUUAAUUUGCUUUUUAGCUCUUGGAAGCUUUUCUCACAUGCUUCUGUCCAUUCAAACUUCUUGCCUUUCUUGAGCAAUUGUGUCAUGGGCUUUGCUAUAGUGGAGAAUCCUACAAUAAAUCUCCGAUAAUAUCGAGCCAUUCCCAAGAAACUCCGUACGUCCAUUACGUUAGCUGGCGGUUUCCAGCCAUGUACGGCCUUGACCUUUUCUGGGUCUACUGCAAUACCUUCUUGGGUUAGCACGUGGCCCAGAGAACCCACCUGUUUUAGCCAAAAUUCACAUUUUCUCAAUUUGGCGUACAGUUGAUGUUUCCCGAGUUCUCCGAGUACAAUCCUGAGAUGUUCGGCGUGCUCUUCUGGUGUUUUGGAAUAUAUCAGAAUAUCAUCGAUGAAUACCACAACAAACUUGUCCAUAUACUUCAUAAAUACUUUGUUCAUGAGGUGAACAAAAUAUGCGGGGGCGUUGGUUAGUCCGAAUGGCAUCACUGUGAACUCAUACAACCCAUAUCUGGAGGUGAAUGCGGUCUUGGGAAUAUCUUAUGUUCGUACUUUUAGUUGGUGGUAUCCUGAUCUCAAGUCAAUUUUUGAGAAGACUUUGGCCUGUGCGAGCUGAUUGAAUAAAUCAUUUAUUCGGGGCAUUGGGUAUUUGUUCUUGAUUGUGACCAUGUUGAGAGCUCGAUAAUCAAUACACAACCUCAUUGUUCCAUCCUUCUUCUUGGCAAAUAAAAUUGGAGAACCCCAAGGUGAGGAGCUGGCUCGUAUGUAUCCUUUCUCCAAUAAUUCUCUUAUUUGCUUCUUCAACUCUACCAAUUCGGAUGGUGCCAUUCUGUAAGGUUUCUUAUAAAUAGGAGUGGUUCCGGGUGCUAGCUCAAUGCUGAAUUCUAUCUCUCGGUCUGGUGACAUGCCUGGUAGUUCUUCUGGAAAUACGUCUGGGAAUUCACAUACUACUGGAACCUUGUUUAGCUCAGAAACGUCCACCUUGUUUAAUCUAGGUUGCCGAGGUAUUUGUCUCUCUUUGGCUGAAACUUUUAUUUUCUUCCCAUGAUGGUGUGUGAGAAUCACGGUACGGUUGAAGCAGUCAAUAAAACCUUUGUUGGUGGUUAACCAAUCCAUUCCCAGGAUGACAUCCAGUCCUUUGCUUUCCAGUACAAUAAGGUUGGCGUAAAACUUCAAUCCUUCAAAUUCAAUAACCACACCUUGACAGUAACUCUGGGUCACUUGCUUAAUUCCAGGGGACUUGAUGAUCAUUGAUUUUUCCAAGGGAAGCAUCGAAAAAUUAUUUUGCAAAGCAAAACUUUUCGAAACGAAUGAGUGAGAAGCUCCAGAAUCAAACAAAACCAUGGCAGAUAUUGUGUUGACGGGGUACGUACCGAGUACGAUAUCUGGGGCGUUCUGUGCUUCCUCUCGGGUCACGUGGUUCAAGUGACCUUUCCGGUGGUUGUUGUUGGGGUUGAAAUUGCUUCGCUUUGGUGCUGAAUUAUUGUCACCAUUAUUGAGCUUCGGGGUUGAGUUCCUUGGCUUGGGACACUGCUUGGCAUAGUGCCCUUCUUCUCCACAAGCAUACCAGGUAACGCCUGGGCGAUAGGUGAACUCUUUGUCUCUUGCAUGGAAAUUCUUGUUUGGACGUGAAUUAUUCAUCGGGGUUUUGUGUGAAUCCCCCUUCUGAAAUUCCUUCUUGCUUCUGUGAUUGCGAGAAAAAGUAGUCUGGUCCCUUUUUCGUUUGCGGAAAUCUUCCAGGCUACAUCGCUCAUUUUCCAGGGUAAUGGCCUUAUCCACCAGUGUUUUAAAAUCUGGAAAGGUAUGCACAACUAGCUGGCACUUAAGGGCGGGUGGCAGGCCUUCCAAUUUUUUUCCAUCUUCUUGCUCUCGGUCAUGCGUUCUUCAUUGGCGUAGCGAGACAGCAGUGUGAAUUGGCUGUUGUAUUCUGACACUGUCAUGGCUCUUUGCUUGAGUUCAUCAAAUUCCUUCUUGAUUUUCAUGACGCUCUUAGGAAUAUGUGCCCCACAAAAACCUUCUUUGAAAUUUUCCCAGGUGAUUUCAUUUUCGUUGGGGUGCAUGUGCAGGAAGUUUUCCCACCACGAUGCAGCUGCACCUGUGAGAUAAUGUGGUGCAUACAGUACUUUUUCACGGUCUGAACACUGUGCGAUAAUUAAUUUUCUCUCCAUGUAUUGAAGCUAGUCCUCGGCCUCAAGAGGCUUGUCAGUAUGAGAAAAGGUUGGAGGACGCGUCUUUUGUAACUCAGAUAAUUUGGAUUGCGGUUGAUACUGACCACAGUUACUUCCCAUAUUAAUGAAUUGGUUCAUCAUUUCCUGGUGUUGCUGUUGACUCUGUUCGUACAAACGACAAACUUGUGUGAAAGCUGUUUCACUGCCCUCUUUACUUGUUUGUCCCUGAGUGAAAUUUUGGUUCUGCGGUGUGCCAUAAUUUUCUUCUGGCUGAGUUGGCAUGGAGCGCGUCCAAGGACGAGACAUCUUUCACUCUGGGGAUAUAUUUUUGUGAACUCGUAAGACAAGAAAGAGAGUCACAAAAGUCAAUAAAAUCACACACAAAGAACAUUCUUAAACUCCAGGAUAUUUUUGGAAACACACGAUUGCGCGCGGAGAAGGACUAGUGCAUAUCUUACACGCGGGCAUAAUUAUACAUUACAUCACUCAGGAUAUGUGCACUCCUCCAGAUCCUACAUGGUGCGCAAACAGGCUACUUCUCACAGCCUAUGUACAUUAAACAUAUUACACAAGUCGAUACAUCGCAUGGCGUCUAUGCGUACUUAGUCAGAGAUGGUGAGGAUCUCCCUUGGCCUGCCGAGGGUGAGACGCAGAGACGCUGGGGAAUCAACCUCCUCCUCGCUAAUAGGUUCCAGACGAGAAACGUUGUGCUGAGCUGAUGGAGCAGGUGCCGUAGGUGGAAUAACACGAAUACGAGUGGGUGGAAUAUGUGGGGUAGCACGUAUGGGAGUGGGUGCAACAAGUGGUGCAGAGCGGACAGGAGUGGGUGCAAUAGCAUGGUUAAAUUCCUCUGUGGUAGGCAGACGACGAGCAGUGGCGAGUAUGGAAGGUGAGUGAGAGGCUGCGGAUGACACAAAAGUCAAUGGCGGAGCGGUGUGUAGGAGUUCCCUCCUGUUAGCAGCACAGCCAUGAACUGAGUCCAUGUGUGCAGCUACGAGGUCAUCCACCAUGCAGUCGAAUGCUGCCUCCAAGGCUCGGAGGUACUCGACAAGCAUCUCAAAGGCUUCGUCUCGCUCUCCCUGGGGCAAGAGAAAGAGUAGUGACAGGUAUAAGGCACAUGGCAUGGAAGGUAGCGGUAGCGAUGGGUCUUCAUUGCAGGAAGAACAUCCCGAAGACGGGCUAUCGUCUCGCGGGCAGCCAUCUGCAUAGCAUGCCUUUCUGUAGGCAUGGCUCUCCCCACGAAUCAGAGACGGCGUAUUUCAGCAUGGCCUCCCCUGAAUUGCACCGCGGCCUAGUGCAUAGUCAGGCUGUCGUUGAUCUUGUGUGGAUAAAGCAUGAAGACUGGGCGCACGGAUGGCCCCAUCGCGACCUGAACGAUGAAGGAGAGGAGUUUGAUGAACCCCUCAGGCACGUUGGCGAACAUUUGAGACUCGCAGUCGUUGCCGGACAUCUACAAAAGUAGGCAAAAAUUCUGAGUGAUCAGAUCAUAAAAUUUUAUGCUGACUGUCAGAAAAAUGUCUACACUUGUAAAAACAUGAAUAACUCUAUCAUGCUAAUAACCAAUUAGCGAUCACACCUAGUGGCUUCCUACAGUCAUCCUGGCUCUGAUACCAAGUCUGUCACGACCGGCUUUUCAAUAAUAUGAUUAUUGAUAAAACCGAUCUUUUAAACCCAGUAUAGGAAAAGUCAUCCUUUCUGGUAGACAAAAGCUUGAUAAACAGAGAACCACUAGCAUCAAAUAUAUUACAGGAUUGAGUUGAGGCUGCUCAACAGUUUAUUACAAACUCGCCAAUAUCUUACGUAAGGGCGGUUAUGACACAGGGGUGGGGUGGCAUGCUACUAGCUCGAGGAAAAGUGGUGGUGGAUAACUUGACUUCUACUGGCAGUACAUCGAGCGUCGAGGUGAGGCUCGAUGAAUUUAUUCGGGGUUGUGGAAGUAGAUAAUACAAUGACCAAGACAGGAUCGCAUGGGACUGACUGAGACUCCUCUAGGCGUCGGACUCGCUAUCAAACUCUUCAUCCAUGAGGUCGCCUUCAUCAACAUCUGGCCAAAUCAACAAGCCAGGUGAGUACUUGAAAGUACUCGCAAGACAGUUCGGACAAAACAUAUAAUCAAUGAAUGCAUGAAUGCGUCAUGAACAAAGGAUGAUGCUCAUAUCACAAUGAUAAUAUUGCAGGACUUGAUAAAUAAAAUAAAUAACUAAAAACCGAUCGGGUGUCUCGAGCGACGCCUCGAAAGGUGAAUAAAUGAAAUGCAUGCCGCAGUCGGACGUCUAAGCGACAUCACAUAAAGGGCUUUAAAAGAAAUGCCAUAGUCGGACGUCUGGCGACAUCACAGACAGGGCUUUAAAAGAAAUACCACAGUCGAACGUCUGAGCGACAUCACAGACCGGGCCUUAAAAGAAAUACCACAGUCGGACGUCUGAGCGACAUCACAGACAGGGCUUAAAAGAAAUACCACAGUCGUCUGAGCGACAUCACAGACAAGGCUUUUAAAAGAAAUACCACAGUCGGACGUCUGAGCGACAUCACAGACAGGGCUUUAAAAGAAAUACCACAGUCGGACGUCUGAGCGACAUCACAGAUAGGGCUUAAAAGAAAUACCACAGUCGGACGUCUGAGCGACAUCACAGACAUGGUUUAUAACAAAAGUAAAUAACAGGUAUGCCACCAUCGGACGUCUGAGCGAUAUCGCAGACAGGGCUUGUACAAAAUGUAAUUAACAAGAUUAGUCCAUCCACAAGAAUAAUCUUUUAACUAGAUCCAUUACAUAUAAAUCCCACCGGAGUUUUGUCACCGAGGUUGGUACCUGAGAAGACAAGAUGAAUAUAGUACUUGAACAAAGUACAAGACAAUUGAAGAUUUGAGACUCUGCAGAGUUUGAAUGAACUGACCACAGUCAACGGAUUUCUGUAGUCACGUAGGACUAGUUCCGUUUACGGUAUUUUAGUAGAAACACAUUUAACUAGUACACACCCAUUUCACCUCACGAUGCCAGGAAUCACCCUGGACAACGUCCAAUACAAACUUUGAGACGGGGAGGCCACAACCUCGAAUAGCAUGGGAUCAAAUUUCUAUACGCGCGCUCUAAGGGGUGCCCCCCUCUCGGUCCCAACCGGAAACACCCAUGCCCCCUGACCGGAUGACGGGCUUUUAUCCAGGGCCAUGGAACCCUCACCCCGGCCUCUCUAUUGGUGUGUACCAGGAAAACGAUUUGCAACUUACUACGCCAUAUUCCUUUCGGAAAAUAUGUGACAGUAUAGGAAGGAUUGAAUGGGAAUGUGAUUUGUGUCAUCAUGACAUGGAAGUCAAAUACUCUGGCAUAAGACUGGCAUGUCACAACACUGCCAUCUUACCCAUCCUCAUGCCAACACAUGGCUAUGCAAAUAUGUAUCCAACACCAUAAUGCUUACCGAAACCUACCUUCCGAUUAUGUAUAUGAAAUAUAACAUUCAAAGAGUUGUUCGUAAACAUGCCAUGAUCAUACUAAAUGCGAACAUGCAACAACACUCAUCAUAUCAAGAGUUUAAACAUGCUUUCCUGGUUCGGAGUAGUCGGAGUCUAACUGUGCGAGGUUUGCAGCUCCGUCAUCUCCUCCGAUAUCUACGGUAUAAGAAAAGAUACGCACGCAACGUAAAUACCGUGAGUGUACAGAAAAGUGUUCCAAAUAUUUUUCAAAUAAUAUUGAUAAAAAAAUAGACAAAAAUUUGAAGAGGACAGAAAAAGAAUCACUCAAAAAUUCCUUUCUGUUAAAAAGUUAUAAGGGUUUUAACCCAAGGACCCAUCUGUAAUGAAAUAGAAAACUUCCAGGGGGCUUUGCAGAAAAAUUCAGAGAAACGGUUCAGAGUGGAAGCGUAUUUGCCAGAGUACGCUUUCAGUAACGAUUCGAGAAAAACACAAGAGAGGCUGACGGGUGGGUCCCACCCGUCAGGUUUGAAUUUUCAAAUGAGGGAGCCGGGGCUCGUCGGCGCCCGAGAGCCGCGGUGGUCGCCAGCGGUGAUCCACGGCGAGGCAGGGAGAUCGGAGAGUACCUCUGUGAUCAGGGCGCCAUUCCACGUCUGUGGGAGGUGGUGGUGGUCGCUGGAGAGUACCACGUCGGCGGCGACGCUUGCUCUGGCGGAUGGCGGUUCGGGUGGUCGUGGAUCUUGCCGGAGAGACCUGCGAGAUCAAAAUUGAGGUGGGGGUUAUCUUACUAGAGGUGGUACGAUGCUACGGUCGAAAGUAGGGCGGCGGAGGAGUUCUCACCGGAGAGAAUGAUGCCGGAGUUCGAGGCGGACGGAGGUGGCCGGAGUCGAGGAGGAAAGGCCCCUCGAGGCUCGUUCAGUGGCCGGGCGGGGUCUGGUGAGAUGGUGGAGUCGUGCGGGGGCGAGAGCAAGCUCGGGGUGCUAUAUAUAGCCGCCCCGAGGCGGUUGCCGAGAACGGGGUUCUCCGGCGAGGUGAUUACGGAGGCGCAGUGGUUGCACAGGAGGGUUCAGGGGUUGAGCGUCGUCGUGGGUGUUCCCUGGUUUCGUUUAGAUGCUAACCGCAUUGGGUUUGGUUGUUUAGGGGGAGCUCGACGGAACGGGGCGGCGCGGGCCUGUCGGCGGCAGGGAGCGCGCUCUGCGCGUGUCGCGCCACGGCGACGGUGCUGCAUGCGUGCGCUGGCAGGGAAAUGGCCACGCGGAGCCACCAGGGGGUUUGGGCGGCGCCAAACGGCAUUAUGCCGCCGUUCUGCUCCCUGUCGGCCGGUACGGUGAUACGGCCGCCGCAAGACACGCCGGCGCAGGCGGGCCAGGGUGCCACCAACGCCAGGAAGGCGCCAAGCGCGUGUGUGAGGAUCUGGACAAGCAAGCCAGGCCGUGAGCUACAAGCCAAGUGCACUGUGAGCUUGUGACUGAACUCUGACGAAGAUUGGCACUGAAAUUCUGAAUUUAACUGAAGAUGGACAGAAAUAGUGCAUGCAAGGUGUUCGACAGAAUGAUCUAGGCAUGUAGGGAUUUUUUCCUUGAGCUGGUUUUUGGUGGAGGGGCCUCUCAUUGCAUCUAGAGGCUGCCUGAAUAUUUGUAGAAUUUUUGGAGAGGUGUAGAUAUGAACUUCACCAAAUUUGGCAAAUCUGGUCCAAACUUGCAGUGAGUGAAUUUUGAAAUAUUUGAACAGGAGAAGAGUGGAUCAAGAUGGUUCUGGGUUGUGGGUACCAAGGACUAUCCAAGGGUGUUGAGUUGAGGUCAAAAAUCAAAAGCAUUAGGGUACUUGCUUUGCAAUCCUCCUAGGCUCAAAAGAAAAGACAGAUUUAUAUUGGGAGGAGAAAUGGUUGGAAUAAAAUCCAAAAAUGGAUUUUAUUUGUUUGGACAGAAUGUUUGGAUUUUACCAGAGUGGGAGGAGAGGUUUUGGGAAAAUUUCACCAUAGGAGGCAUGGUAAAAUUUAGAAGGGAUCAAAACCAAAUAAAAACCCAGAACUAAAAGGGUUUUUCUUUUAAAAGAAACUAGAUCCAAGAAAAGGAUUUUUGAGAGGGCAAACUUAGAAGAUGGUUUUUAGGAAGGGUUUAAAUGACCUCCUUUCAAACCAAGCAAGGCUCUUUUGAAAAAAUAAACAAACCACCAAAAAAUUUUGGAGGGUCACAAACCUCUUCCGAAAUAGUGGAAUCAUCACUUCCUAAAGUUGACACUCUUCCAAACCCACUUUCAGCAAUAUAAUCAUCAUAAAUAGGAGGCAUGCUUUCAUCAUAGUAAAUUUGCUCAUCAAAACUUGGGGGACAAAAAUAUCAUCUUCAUCAAACAUAUCAUCCCCAAGCUUGUGUCUUUGCAUAUCAUUAGCAUCAUGGAUAUUCAAGGAAUUCAUACUAACAACAUUGUAAUCAUGCUCAUCAUUCACAUAUUUCAUGCCAAGCAUUCUAUGUAAUUCUUCUUCUAGCACUCUAGCACAAUUUUCCUUACCAUCAUUCUCACGGAAGAUAUUAAAAAGAUGAAGCGUAUGAGAUAAACUCAAAUCCAUUUUUUGGUAGUUUUCUUUUAUAAACUAAACUAGUGAUAAAACAAGAAACAAAAAGAUUUGUUUGCAAGAUCUAAAGAUAUACCUUCAAGCACUCACCUCUCCGGCAACGGCGCCAGAAAAGAGCUUGAUGUCUACUACACCACCUUCUUCUUGUAGACGUUGUUGGGCCUGCAAGUGCACUUGUUUGUAGGACAAUAGCAAAUUUCCCUCAAGUGGAUGACCUAAGGUUUAUCAAUCCAUGGGAGGUGUAGGAUGAAGAUGGUCUCUCUCAAGCAACCCUGCAACCAAAUAACAAAGAGUCUCUUGUGUCCCCAACACACCCAAUACAAUGGUAAAUUGUAUAGGUGCACUAGUUCGGCGAAGAGAUGGUGAUACAAGUGCGGUAUGGAUGGUAGAUAAAGGUUUUUGUAAUCUGAAAUUAUAAAAACAGCAAGGUAACUAAUGAUAAAAGUGAGCACAAACGGUAUUGCAAUGAUAGGAAACAAGGCCUAGGGUUCAUACUUUCACUAGUGCAAGUUCUCUCAACAAUAAUAACAUAGAUAGAUCAUAUAACAAUCCCUCAACAUGCAACAAAGAGUCACUCCAAAGCCACUAAUAGCGGAGAACAAACGAAGAGAUUAUGGUAGGGUAUGAAACCACCUCAAAGUUAUUCUUUUGGAUCAAUCUAUUUAAGAGUUCGUACUAGAAUAACACCUCAAGACACAAAUAAACCAAAACCCUAAUGUCACCUAGAUACUGCAUUGUAACCUCAAGUAUCCGUGGGCAUGAUUAUACGAUAAGCAUAACACAAUCUCAGAUUCAUCUAUUCAACCAACACAAAGUACUUCAAAGAGUGCCCCAAAGUUUCUACCGAAGAGUCAAGACGAAAAUGUGUGCCAACCCCUAUGCAUAGGUUCAUGGGCGGAACCCACAAGUUGGUCACCAAAACAUACAUCGAGUGGCACAUGAUAUCCCAUUGUCACCACAGAUAAGCAUGACAAGACAUACAUCAAGUGUUCUCAAAUCAUUAAAGACUCAAUCCGAUAAGAUAACAUCAAAGGGAAAACUCAAUCCAUUACAAGAGAGUAGAGGGGGAGAAACAUCAUAAGAUCCAACUAUAAUAGUAAAGCUCGCGAUACAUCAAGAUCGUGCCAUAGAGGGAACAUGAGAGAGAACACGAAAGAGAGAGAUCAAACACAUAGCUACUGAUACAUACCCUCAGCCCCGAGGGUGAACUACUCCCUCCUUGUCAUGGAUAUCACCGGGAUGAUGAAGAUGGACACAGGUGAUGGGUUCCCCGUCCAGUAGGGUGCUGGAACGGGCUCCCGAGAGGUUUUUGGUGGCUACUGAGGCUUGCGGCGGCGGAACUCGCGAUCUAUCUUCUCCGUGGAUGUUUUUAGGGUACGUGGGACUAUAUAGGUGAAAGAAGUCGGUCGGGGGGUGCUCGAGGGGCCCACAAGAUAGGGGGGUGCACCCAGGGGGGUGGGCGCGCCCCCCCACCCUCGUGUCCUCCUCGAGGAUCUUCUGACGUGAACUCCAAGUUUCCUGGAUCAUAUUCUUCCCAAAAAUCACGCUCCCGAAGGUUUCAUUCCGUUUGGACUCUGUUUGAUAUUCCUUUCCUUCGAAAUACUGAAACAGGCAAUAAAACAACAAUAUGGGCUGGGCCUCCGUUUAAUAGGUUAGUCCCAAAAGUAAUAUAAAAGUGUAUAAUAAAGCCCAUAAUCAUUCAAAACAGAUAAUAAAAUAGCAUGAAUGCUUCAUAAAUUAUAGAUACGUUGGAGACGUAUCAGACAAUAGGGUCUAUCUCAUAGACAUGAUGUGGCCCCUCACCUGGCACCAUGUAUUGCCAGUUCACGCGGUGACCAUGGGUUACAACCAGCCAAAAUCGUGCUCUGGAGUCUUCCCGUCGCUGUUCCCGUCAAUUUCCUCCGCCUCUCAUGUUCAUUUCAUGUCUAGUAGCUCGCCCGUGCUCGACUGCUUCUCCCUGCAUCGCUGCCCCGCCCUGAAUCGUUGCCAUGUGUUCGCUAUCGUCACGCCCGUGACAUGUCCAGCCCCUGUCCUCCAUUGUCUACAAACACCGCAAACCGAACAAAACUAAUGUAUACAAAACAACCUAGACUUGCUUUUGACCAUUGCACCACGUCAAUCAUAAUUUGAUUGAUGAUUCCUUGAAGUGGUGUGUGUGAAUUUUAAAAAAUUCAUAAAUUUCUUUCCCUCGAUAUACUCCAUAUAAUUGUUGGGGAACGCAAUAAUUUCAAAAAAAAUCCUACGAUCAUGGAAGAUCUAUCUAUGUGAUGCAUAGCAACGAGAGGGGUGAGUGUGUCCAUGUACCCUGGUAGACAAAAAGCGGAAGCAUUAUGACAACGCGUUGAUGUAGUCAUACGUCUUCAAGAUCCGACUAAUCUUAGCACCGAACGUACGGCACCUCCGUGAUCAGCACACGUUCAGCUCGGGGACGUCCCUCAUACUCUUGAUCCAGUUGAGGCCGAGGGAGAGUUUCGUUAGAACGACGGCAUGGUGAUGGUGAUAAUGAAGUUACUAGCGCAGGGCUUCGCCUAAGCACUAUGACGAUAUGACUGAGGUGUGUAACUGUGGAGGGGGCACUGCACACGGCUAAACAACGUCAAAUUGUGUGUCCUAGGGUGCCCCCUGCCCCCGUAUAUAAAGGAGCAACAGGGGGAGGCGGACCGACCCUUGGGCGCGCCAAGGGGGGGAGGAGUCUUCCUCCUAGUAGGAGUAGGACUCCCCCUUUCCUAGUCCAACUAGGAGGGGGAAGGGGGAAGGAAGGAGAGGGAGAGGGAGAGUAAAAGAGGGGCUGCGCUACCCUCCCCUAGCCCAAUUCGGACUCCCCUUGGGGGGGAGGGGCACCUCCUGGGCUGCUGCCCUCUCUCUCCCCUAAGGCCCACUAAGGCCCAAUACUUCCCCGGGGGGUUCCGGUAAUCCCUCUGGAACUGUGGUUUUCUCCGAAAUCACCCGGAAUACUUCCGGUGUCCGAAUAUAGCCGUCCAAUAUAUCAAUCGUUAUGUCUUGACUAUUUUGAGACUCCUCUUCAUGUCCGUGAUCACAUCCAGGACUCCGAAUUACCUUCAGUACAUCAAAACACAUAAACUCAUAAUACCAAUCGUCAUUGAGUGUUAAGCGUGCGGACCCUACGGGUUCGAGAACUAUGCAGACAUGACCGAGACACAUCUCCGAUCAAUAACCAAUAGCAGAAUCUGGAUGCUCAUAUUGGUUCCUACAUAUUGUACGAAGAUCUUUAUUGGUCAAACCGCAUAACAGUCAUUGGUAUGUUACUUGCCCGAGAUUCGAUUGUCGGUAUCUCAAUACCUAGUUCAAUCUCGUUACCGACAAGUCUCUUUACUCAUUCCGUAAUACUUCAUCCUGCAACUAACUCAUUAGUUACAAUGCUUGCAAGGCUUAUAGGGAUGAGUAUUACCGAGAGGGCCCAGAGAUACCUCUCCAAAACACGGAGUGACAAAUCCUAAUCUCGAUCUAUGCCAACCCAACAAACACCUUCGGAGACACCUAUAGAGCACCUUUAUAAUCACCCUUUUACGUUGUGAUGUUUGGUAGCACACAAAGUGUUCCUCCGGUAUUCGGGAGUUGCAUAAUCUCAUAGACUGAGGAACUUGUAUAAGUCAUGAAGAAAGCAGUAGCAAUGAAACUAACACGAUCAUAAUGCUAAGCUAAUGGAUGGGUCAUGUCCAUCACAUCAUUCUCCUAAUGAUGUGUGAUACGUCUAUAAUGUAUCUAUAAUUUUUGAUUGUUCCAUGCUAUUAUAUUACUCGUUUUGGAUGUUUAAUGGGCUUUAAUAAGCAAUUUUAUAUUAUGUUUGGGACUAACAUAUUAACCGGAGGCCCAGCCCAAAUUGCAGUUUUUUUGCCUAUUUCAGUGUUUCGCAGAAAAGGAAUAUCAAACGGAGUCCAAACGGAAUGAAACCUUCGGGAGAGUUAUUUUUGGAACAAACGCAAUCCAAGAGACUUGGAGUGGACGUCAAGAAAGAAACGAGGCAGCCACGAGGCAAGAAGGCGCGCCCCAAGGGGUAGGCACGCCCCCACCCUCGUGGGCCCCUCGUGGCUCCCCUGACCGACUUCCUUCGCCUAUAUAUACUCAUAUACCCUGAAAACAUCCAGGAGCACCACGAAACCCUAUUUCCACCAUCGCAACCUUCUGUACCCGUGAGAUCCCAUCUUGGGGCCUUUUCUGGCGCUCCGUCGGAGGGGGAAUCGAUCACGGAGGGCUUCUACAUCAUAGCCUCUCCGAUGAAGUGUGAGAAGUUUACCACAUACCUUUGGGUCCAUAGUUAUUAGCUAGAUGGCUUCUUCUCUCUCUUUGAUUCCUAAUACAAAGUUCUCCUCGAUCUUCUUCGAGAUCUAUUCGAUGUAACUCUUUUUGUGGUGUGUUUGUCGAGAUGCGAUGAAUUGUGGGUUUAUGAUCAAGUUUAUCUAUGAGAAAUAUUUGAAUCUCCACUGAAUUCUUUUAUGUAUGAUUUGUUAUCUUUGCAAGUCUCUUCGAAUUAUCAGUUUGGUUUGGCCUACUAGAUUGAUCUUUCUUGCAAUGGGAGAAGUGCUUAGCUUUGGGUUCUUUCUUGCGGUGUCCUUUCCCCGUGACAGCAGGGGUAGCAAGGCACGUAUUGUAUUGUUGCCAUCGAGGAUAAGAAGAUGGGGUUUAUAUCAUAUUGCUUGAGUUUAUCCCUCUACAUCAUGUCAUCUGGACUAAUGCGUUACUCUAUUCUUAUGAACUUAAUACUCUAGAUGCAUGCUGGAUAGCGGUCGAUGUGUGGAGUAAUAGUAGUAGAUGCAGAAUCGUUUCGAUCUACUUGUCGCGGACGUGAUGCCUAUAUACAUGAUCAUGCCAAGAUAUUCUCAUAACUAUGGACUUUUUUAUCAAUUGCUCGACAGUAAUUUGUUCACCCACUGUAAUACUUAUGCUAUCUUGAGAGAAGCCACUAGUGAAACCUAUGGCCCCUGAGUCUAUUUUCCAUCAUAUAAGUUUCCGAUCUAUUCUAUUUUGCAAUCUUUACUUUCCAAUCUAUAGCAUAAAAAUACCAAAAAUAUUUAUCUUAUUAUUAUCUCUAUCAGAUCUCAUUUUUGCAAGUGGCCGUGAAGGGAUGGACAACCCCUUUAUCACGUUGGUUGCAAGGUUCUUAUUUGUUUGUGGAGGUAUGAGGGACUUGCGUGUAGCCUCCUACUGGAUUGAUACCUUGGUUCUCAAAACUGAGGGAAAUACCUACGCUACUUUAUUGCAUCACCCUUUCCUCUUCAAGGGAAAACCAACGCAGUGCUUAAGAGGUAGCAUGAAGGAUUCCUGGCGCCGUUGUUGGGGAGUCUACGCUCAAGUCAAGACAUACCAAGUACCCAUCACAAACGCUUAUCCCUCGCAUUACAUUAUUUGGCAUUUGCCUCUCGUUUUCCUCUUCCCCACUUCACCCUUGCCGUUUUAUUCGCCCUCUCUUUCCCAUUCGCCUCUUUUUUGCUUCCCUCUUGUGUGCUUUUGUGUUGGAUUGUUUGUCACGAUGUCUCAAGAUAAUACUAAAUUGUGUGAUUUCUCCAAUACCAACAACAAUCAUUUUCUUAGCACUGCGAUUCGGCUGCAGGAGGCACUUUUGUGGAAAUCACUUUAGGCGAAGCUACUAAACUCCUAGAUAAUAUUAUGGUUAAUUAUUCUCAAUGGCACACCGAAAGAUCUACUAGUAAAAAAGUUCAUGCGAUAGAAGUGAUUAAUGUUUUGAGUGGAAAGAUGAAUGAACUUAUGAAAUUAUUUGCUACUAAGAGUGAUCCUAUUGAUCCUAAUGAUUUGCCUUUGUCUACUUUGAUUGAGAAUAAUAAUGAAUCUAUGGAUGCAAAUUUUGUUGGUAGAAUAAUUUUGGUAACAACGCGUAUAGGGGAAACUUUAAUCCUAGCCGGUUCCCUAGUAAUUCCUCUAAUAAUUAUGGUAAUUCCUACAACAACUCUUAUUGAAAUUUUAAUAAGAUGGCCUCUGAUUUUGAGAUUACUGUUAAAGAAUUUAUGAUUUCUCAAAAGAAUUUCAAUGCUUUGCUUGAAGAAAAAUUGCCUAAGAUUGAUGAAUUGGCUAGGUACAUGGAUAGAAUUUCUCUUGAUGUUGAUUCUUUGAAACAUAGAUCUCUUCCACCGAAGCAUGAUAUAAAUGAGUCUCUCAAAGCCACGAGAAUUUCCAUUGAUGUGUGCAAGGAAAGAACCGCUAGGAUGCGUGCUAAGAAAGAUUGCUUUGUGAAAGCGUGUUCUUCUAGUUUUCAUGAUCAUAAUGAUGAAGAUCUAAAAGUGAUUGAUGUGUAUCCUAUUAAAUAUUUGUUUUGCAAUAUGAAUCUUGAUAAUGAUGGGACUGGAGAUGAGUCAACUUUAGUUAAAAGGCGUCCCAAUGAUUCAGAGUUUUUAGAUCUUGAUGUAAAAAUUGGUAAAAGUGGGAUUGGAGAGGUCAAAACUUUACAUAGCAAUGAACCCACUAUUUUGAAUUUCAAGGAAUUUAAUUAUAAUAAUUUUUCUUUAAUAGAUUGUAUUUCCUUGUUGCAAUCCGUGUUAAAUUCUCCUCAUGCUUAUAGUCAAAAUAAAGCUUUUACUAAACAUAUCUUUGAUGCUUUAAUGCAAUCUUAUGAAGAAAAACUUGAAUUAGAAGUUUCUAUCCCUAGAAAACUUAAAGAUGAGUGGGAACCUACUAUUAAACUUAUAAUAAAAAAGCACGAAUGCUAUUCUUUGUGUGAUUUGCGUGCUAGUGUUUCCACGAUUCCAAAAACUUUAUGUGAUGUGCUAGGUUUCCGUGAAUUUGAUGAUUGCUCUUUAAACUUGCACCUUGCGGAUUCCACUAUUAAGAAACCUAUGGGAAGGAUUAAUGAUGUUCUUAUUGUUGCAAAUAGGAAUUAUGUGCCUGUAGAUUUUAUUGUUCUUGAUAUAGAUUGCAAUCUUUCAUGUCCUAUAAUUCUUGGUAGACCUUUCCUUAGAACGAUUGGUGCAAUUAUUGAUAUGAAAGAAGGAAAUAUUAGAUUCCAAUUUCCAUUAAGGAAAGUCAUGGAACACUUUCCUAGGAAUAAAAUCAAAUUACCUUCACAAUCUAUUAUGAGAUCUACCUAUGAAUUGAAUGCCAAAGAUAGCAAUACUUAGAUCUAUCCUCGCUUUUAUGCCUAGCUAGGGGCGUUAAACGAUAGCGCUUGUUGGGAGGCAACCCAAUUUUAUUUUUUGUUCCUUGCUUUUUGUUCCUGUUUAGUAAUAAAUAAUUCAUCUAGCUUCUAUUUAGAUGUGCUUUUAUGUUUUAAUUAGUGUUUGUGCCAAGUAGAACCUAUAGGAUCAUCUUGGGUGAUAGUUAAUUUGAUCUUGCUGAAAAACAAAAACUUUUGCAUGCACGAGAAUAAUUUUAAUAAAUCAUAGAAAUUUGAUUUUAAGUUGAUUCUUUUAGACAAAUUGCCUAGGAAUUCCUAUUUUGGUAGAAUUUUUAAAGUUCCAAAAGUAUUCGGAAGUUACAGAUUUCUACAGAGUGUUCUGUUUUUGACAGAUUUAGUUUUUCGUGUGUUGUUUGCUUAUUUUGAUGAAUCUAUGGCUAGUAUCGGGGGGUAUGAAACAUAGAGAAGUUGGAAUACAGUAGGUUUAACACCAAUAUAAAUAAAGAAUGACUUCAAUACAGUACCUUAAAGUGGUGAUUUGCUUUCUUGCACUGACGGAGCUUACGAGUUUUCUGUUGAGUUUUGUGUUGUGAAGUUUUAAAGUUUUGGGUAAAGAUUUGAUGGACUAUGGAAUAAGGAGUGGCAAGAGCCUAAGAUUGGGGAUUCCCAAAGGAACCCUAAGGUAAAAUUCAAGGACAACCAAAAGCAUAAGCUUGGGGAUGUCCCGGAAGGCAUCCCCUCUUUCGUCUUCGUCUAUCGGUAACUUUACUUGGAUCUAUAUUUUCAUUCACCACAUGAUAUGUGUUUUGCUUGGAGCGUCUUGUAUGAUAUGAGUAUUUUCUUUUUAGUUUACCACAAUCAUCAUUUCUGUACACACCCUUUUGGAGAAACACACAUGAAUCGGAAUUUAUUAGAAUACUCUAUGUGAUUCACUUAUAUCCUUUGAGCUAGACAAUUUUGCUCUAGUGCUUCACUUAUAUCUUUUUAGAGAACGGCGGUGGUUUUAUUUUGUACAAAUUAUUGAUCUCUCAUGCUUCACUUCUAUUAUUUUCAGAGUCUUUUAGAACAUCAUGGUAUUUGCUUUGGUUAUAAAAUUUGUCCUAAUAUGAUGGGCAUCCAAGUUGGGUAUAAUAAAAACUAUCAUAUGGAGUGCAUUAAACACUAUGAUCAAUUUGAUACUUGAUAAUUGUUUUGAGAUAUAAAGGUGGUAAUGUUAGAGUCAUGCUAGUUUGGUAAUUAUGAAAUUGAGAAAUACUUGUGUUAAAGUUGGAAAGUCCCGUAGCAUGCACGUAUGGCAAAAGUUGUGUGACAAAUUUGUAGCAUGGGGUGUUCUUUGAUUGCCUUCCUUAUGUGUGGAGGUUGGGAUCACGAUGGUUAACUCCUGCCAACCCUUCCCCUAGGAGCAUGCGUAGUAGUACUUUGCUUCGAGGGCUAAUAAACUUUUGCAAUAAGUAUAUGAGUUCUUUAUGACUACUGUGAGUCCAUGGAUUAUACACACUCUCACCCUUCCACAAUUUGCUAGCCUCUACGGUACCGUGCAUUGCCCUUUCUCACCUUGAGAGUUGGUGCAAACUUCACCGGUGCAUCCAAACCCCGUGAUACGAUAUGCUCUAUCACACGUAAACCUCCUUAUAUAUUCCACAAAACAGCCACCAUACCUACCUAUUAUGGCAUUUCCAUAGCCAUUCCGAGUUAUAUUGCCAUGCAACUUUCCACCGUUCCGUUUAUCAUGACACGCUCCAUCAUUUUCAUUUUCCUUUGGCAUGAUCAUGUAGUUGACAUCGUAUUUGUGGCAAAGCCACCUUUAUAAUUCUUUCAUACAUGUCGCUCUUGAUUCAUUGCAUAUCCCGGUACACCGCCGGAGGCAUUCACAUAGAGUCAUAUUUUGUUCUAAGUCUUGAGUUGUAAUUCUUGAGUUGUAAAUAAAUAAAAGUGUGAUGAUCUUCAUUAUUAGAGCAUUGUCCCAAGUGAGGAAAGGAUGAUGGAGACUAUGAUUCCCCCACAAGUCAGGAUGAGACUCCGGACUUUAUGAAAAAUAAAAGAGGCCAAAGAAGCCCAAAUAAAAUAAAGAGGCCAAAGAAGCCCACCAAAAUAAAAAAAAUAAAAAAAUGAGAGAAAAAUAGAGAAGGGUCAAUGUAACUAUCCUUUUUCCACACUUGUUCUUCAAAGUAGCACCAUGAUCUUCAUGAUAGAGAGUCGCCUAUGUUGUCACUUUCAUAUACUAGUGGUAAUUUUUCAUUAUAGAACUUGGCUUGUAUAUUCCAAUGAUGGGCUUCCACAAAAUGUCCUAGGUCUUCAUGAGCAAGCAAGUUGGAUGCACACCCACUUAGCUUCUUUUGUUGAUCUUUCAUACAUUUAUAGCUCUAGUGCAUCCGUUGCAUGACAAUCCCUACUCCUCGCAUUGACAUCAAUUGAUGGGCAUCUCCAUAGCCCGUUGAUUAGCCUCGUCAAUGUGAGACUUUCUCCUCUUUGUCUUCUCCACACAACCUCCAUCAUCCUAUUCUAUUCCACCCAUAGUGCUAUAUCCAUGGCUUGCGCUUAUGUAUUGUGUAAGAGUUGAAAAAGCUGAAGCGCGUUAAAAAGUAUGAACCAAUUGCUUGGCUGAAACCGGGGUUGUGCAUGAUGGGAGUAUUUUGUGUGACGAAAAUGAAGCAUGGCCUAACUAUAUGAUUUUGUAGGGAUAAGCUUUCUUUGGCUAUGCUAUUUUGAUAAGACAUGAUUACUUUGUUAGUAUGCGACACGUCUCCAUCGUAUCUAUAAUUUUUGAUUUUUCCAUGCCAAUAUUAUAAACUUUUACAUAAUUUGGGCAACUUUUUAUACUAUUUUUGGGUCUAACAUAUUGAUCCAGUGCCCAGUGCCAGUUCUUGUUUGUUGCUGUUUUUUGUUUCGCAGAAAAUCCAUAUCAAACGGAGUCCAAACAGGAUAAAACUGACGGAGAUUUUUUUGGAAUAUUUAUGAAUUUUGGGAAGAAGAAUCAACGCGAGACGAUGCCCGAGGGGGCCACGAGGCAGGGGGCGCGCCCUAGGGGGUUAGGAGCGCCCUGGGCCCUCGUGGCCACUCCGUAAGGCGAUUGGUGCCCUUCUUUCGCCGCAAGAAAUCUAAUAUCCGGAUAGAAAUCGUGUUAAAAUUUCAUCCCAAUCGGAGUUACGGAUCUCUGGGAAUAUAAGAAACGGUGAAAGGCCAGAAUCUGGAAUGCAGAUACACAGAGAGACAGAGAGACAUAUCCAAUCUCGGAGGCACUCUCGCCCCUCCCACGCCAUGGAGACCAUGGACCAGAGGGGAAACCCUUCUCCCAUCUAGGGAGAAGGUCAAGGAAGAAGAAGAACAAGAAGGGGGGCUCUCUCCCCCUCUCUCCCGGUGGCGCCGGAACACCGCCGGGGCCAUCAUCAUCGCCGCGAUAUACACCAACACCUCCGUAAUCUUCACCAACAUCUCCAUCACCUUCCCCCAUCUAUCUACAGCGGUCCACUCUCCCACAACCCGCUGUACCCUCUACUUGAACAUGGUGCUUUAUGCUUCAUAUUAUUAUCCAAUGAUGUGUUGCCAUCCUAUGAUAUCUGAGUAGAUUUUCGUUGUCCCAUCGGUAAUUGGUGAAUUGCUAUGACUGGUAUAAUUUUCUUGUGGUUAUGUUGCUGUCCUUUGGUGCCCAUCAUAUGAGCGCGCGCAUGGAUCACACCAUAGGGUUAGUUGUAUGUUGAUAGGACUAUGUAUUGGAGAGAAAGAGUGACAGAAACUUCAACCUAGCAUAGAAAUUGAUGCAUACGAGAUUGAAGGGAGACCAAUAUAUCUUAAUGCUAUGGUUGGGUUUUACCUUAAUGAACAUUAGUAGUUGCGGACGCUUGCUAAUAGUUCCAAUCAUAAGUGCAUAGAAUUCCAAGUCAGGGAUGACAUGCUAGCAGUGGCCUCUCCCACAUAAAACUUGCUAUCGGUCUAGUAAGUAGUCAAUUGCUUAGGGACAAUUCCGCAACUCCUACCACCACUUUUUGACACUCGCUAUACUAACUUUAUUGCUUCUUUAUCUAAACAGCCCCUAGUUUAUAUUUAUGCGCUCUUUAUAUUCUUGCAAACCUAGCCAACAACACCUACAAAGUACUUCUAGUCUCACACUUGUUUUAGAUAAAGCGAACAUUAAGCGUGCGUAGAGUUGUAUCAGUGGUCGAUAGAACUUGAGGGAAUAUUUGUUCUACCUUUAGCUCCUCGUUGGGUUCAACACUCUUACUUAUCGAAAGAGGCUACAAUUGAUCCCCUAUACUUGUGGGUUAUCAAGACCUUUUUCUGGCGCCGUUGCCAGGGAGUCAUAGCGUGGGGUGAAUAUUCUCGUGUGUGUUUGUUUGCUUUAUCACUAAGUAGAUUUUAUUUGCUGUUCUAAGUUGUUCUCUAUCUUUAGUUAUGGAUAUGGAACACGAAAUACCAAAAAAAUUAGGUGUACUUGCUACUCAUGGAGAUGAGGAACCUCCUAAAACCCUCGAUGCUGGUUAUGUGAAAAAUAUUAUGUACUACUUUAAUAAUCCUGAGAAAACCCCGUUCAAUUAUGUAAUGGGAGACACAUUGGAUCAACGUGAAUACUUUAGGGAUUAUCGCUUGACUCAAAAAGGGAAAUUAUUAUGGGAUCAAAUUAAUAUGUUGCAUUGGUAUGCUCGGGAACUAUGCUUGAGAUAUGAUUAUACUUGUUGCUCUAGGAUGAAGGCUCCACACCUUCCCUUUUCAUGCAAAUUUAAUGAUGAUAAAACCUUGGCUUCUUAUGCUAAUGGUAUAUAUGAUUACUAUGAUGUGGAACAAAUAGAAGAAUUCGUUGCUUUUAUGGGUGCUUAUGAAAUUGAAUCUUUGUUUAAAGAGUGAAAAUCUUGAUGAUGUUGUUUACAGACCUGAAAAUUUUGCUAUACUUAAAUAUUAAUAUGAGAAUUAUGAAUUCAAUUCCGAUAUUGAUGAUUUUAUUGAGAGAGUCCCCGCUGUCCAAGAAGAGACUAAUAUUUUGCAGGAGUCCAUGGAAGAAGAAAUUGAUGAAACUGUGAGCUCAUUGGAUGAAAAAGAUGAGGAGGAGAGCGAAGAAUAAAAGGUGGAAGAGCAGAUUGAUCACCCAUGCCCACCUUAUAAUUAAUGAGAGUAACUCUUCAACUCAUACAUUGUUUAAUUUCCCUUCGUGCUUACCGAAGGAUGAUUGCUAUGAUGAUUGCUAUGAUUUCGUUGAUUCUCUUGAAAUCCCCUUUUUGAUGAUGCUUGCUAUGCUUGUGGCCAUGAUGCCAAUAUGAAUGAUGAUUAUGGAGAUGAAAUUGCUAUAGUUCCUUAUAUUAAAAAUGAAAUUGUUGCUAUUGCACCCACACACAAUAGUCAUACUAUCUCUUUGAAUUCUCCAAACUACACUAUAUCGGAGAAGUUUGCUCUUAUUAAGGAUUAUGUUGAUGUGUUGCAUUUUACCGUUGCACAUGAUGAUUUUGAUAGAUAUAAUAUGCAUGUGCUUGCUGCUCCAACUUGUAAUUAUUAUGAGAUAGGAACUACAUCUCUGCCUCUUUAUGUUUCCAACACGAUAGAAUUUCAAGAAACUGCUUAUACUAUGCACUUGCCUUUACUUGGUGUGCAUGAAUUGUUCUUUUAUGACAUGCCAAUGCAUAGGAAGAGAGUUAUACUUUGUUGUUGCGUGACAUAUGUUCCUUUGUGCUCACUACUAAAUCACAAAUCAUUGUUAAUUAAAAUUGGCUUUGAUAUACCAUGGGAUCCGGGUGGAUCCAUUACUUGAGCACUAUAUGCCUAGCUUAAUGGCUUUAAAGAAAGCGCUGCCAGGGAGACAACCCGGAAGUAUUAGAGAGUCAUUUAUUUCUAUUGAGUGCUUUUAUAAAGUUUAAAAACAAAAAAAUAUAUAGGGGAACCCAAAAAUAUCAAAAAGAAAAGCGAAAGUGAGAAAGACGAGCAUUGUUAAAGUGGGAGCUAGCCUUGAACUUUGUUCAUGCGCACGGAAACUUUGUGAAUCUUGAUUACAGAAACUUUUCAACAAAAAUAGUUAUACCCUUGUACAAUUCCAUUUUAUUAUAAAAAUAAUGUGCCAAGGUUUUCCUUUAGGAUGUUUACAAUGCUAGUUGGUUUGUGCGGUGCAGGACAGAAACUUUGGCUGUAGUGCGCGAUUUUACAUUUUUUACUGGAACGUCAAACAGUUCUGAAACUUUUUGCACUGUCUUUCUAUACAAAUUUUUUAUUUUUAAUAAUGUUUUCAGAAUUUUUGAGUACCAGAAAUAUGGUGAAUGUUCAGAUUAUUACAGAUUGUCCUGGUUAAGACAGAUUCUGUUUUUGAUGCAUAGUUUGCUUGUUUUGAUGAAACUAUCGAUUUAUAUCCAUGGAUUAAGCCAUGGAAAACUUAUAUUACAGUAGCUACAAUGCAAAAAGAAAAUAUGAAUUGGUUUGCAACAGUACUUAGACUAGUGAUUUACUUUAUUUAUACUAACGGAUCUUACCGAGUUUUCUGUUGAGUUUUGUGUGGAUGAAGUGUUCGAAGAUCGAGGAGGUCUCGAUAUGAUGAAAAGAAGGAGAGGAAAGAGCUCAAGCUUGGGGAUGCCCAAGGCACCCCAAGUGAAUAUUCAAGGAGACUCAAGCGUCUAAGCUUGGGGAUGCCCCAGAAGGCAUCCCAUCUUACUUCAACAAAUAUCGGUAUAUUUUCGGAUUCGUUUCGUUCAUGCGAUAUGUGCAAAUCUUGGAGCGUCUUUUGCAUUCAGUUUUCACUUUUCUUUUAUGCACCAUGCUGGUAUGAGAUAGUCCAUGGUUGAUUUAUAGAAUGCUUGUGCUUCACUUAUAUCAUUUGAAGUUUGGAUUGCCUAUUUCUCUUCACAUAGAAAACCACCAUUUGUAGAAUGCUCUUUUGCUUCACUUAUAUUUGUUAGAGCGUGGGCAUAUCUUUUGUAGAAAGAAUUAAACUCUCUUGCUUCACUUAUACCUAUUUAGAGAGAUGACAGGAAUUGGUCAUUCACAUGGUUAGCCAUAAAAUCCUACAUAAAACUUGUAGAUCACUGAAUAUGAUAUGUUUGAUUCCUUGCAAUAGUUUGGUGAUACAGAGAUGAUAAUAUGUGGGAGGUACUAGUAAAUGGUUGUGUUUAGUAAGAAUAUUGGUGCUAAGGUUUGUGAUUCCCGAAGCAUGCACGUAUAGCCUCUCGUUAUGCUAAGAAGUUGGAGCAUGAUUUAUUAUUGAUUGUCCUCCUUUGUGUUACGAUCGGGGGCGCAUGAUGGUUAACUCCUACCAACCUCCCCCCUAGGAGCAUGCGUAGUAGUACUUUGCUUCGAGGGAUAAUAAAAUUUUGCAAUAAGUAUAUGGGUUCUUUAUGACUAAUGUGAGUCCAUGGAUGAUACGUCUCCAACGUAUCUAUAAUUUUUGAUUGUUCCAUGCUAUUACAUUACCCGUUUUGGAUGUUUAUGGGCUUUACUUUACACAUUUAUAUCAUUUUUGGGACUAACCUACUAAACGGAGGCCCAGCCCGUAUUGCUGUUUUUUUUGCCUAUUUUAGUGUUCUGAAGAAAAGGAAUAUCAAACGAAGUCCAAACGGAAUGAAACCUUCGGGAGCGAUCUUUUUGGAACAAACGUAAUCCAGAGGACUUGGAGUGCAAGUCAAGAAGCAAUCGAGGAAGCCAUGAUGGUGGAGCCCCCCCCCCUACUGGGCGCGCCCCAUAUCUCGUGGGCCCCUCAGGCGUCCACCGACCUACUUCUUCCUCCUAUAUAUACCCACGUACCCCAAGAACAUCAAAGGUGACCACGAAAAACUAUUUCCACCACCGUAACCUUCUGUAUCCGCGAGAUCCCAUCUUGGAGCCUUCACCGGUGCUCCGCCGGAGGAGGAAUCAACCACGGAGGGCUUCUACAUCAACACCAUAGCCUCUUCGAUGAGUUGUGAGUAGUUUACCAUAGACCUUCGGGUCCAUAGUUAUUAGCUAGAUGUCUUCGUCUCUCUCUUUGAAUCUCAAUACCAUGUUCUCCUUGAUCUUCUUGGAGAUCUAUUCGAUGUAACUCUUUUUGCGGUGUGUUUGUCGAGAUCCGAUGAAUAGUGGGUUUAUGAUCAAACUUAUCUAUGAAAUCUUUUAUGUGUGAUUAAGUUAUCUUUGCAAGUCUCUUUGAAUUGUCAGUUUGGUUUGGCCUACUAGAUUGAUCUUUCUUGCAAUGGGAGAAGUGCUUAGCUUUGGGUUCAAUCUUGCGGUGUCCUUUCCCAGUGACGGCUGGGGCAGCAAGGCACGUAUUGUAUUGUUGCCAUCGAGGAUAAAAAUAUGGGGUUUAUAUCAUAUUGCAUGAGUUUAUCCCUCUACAUCAUGUCAUCUUUUUUAAUGCGUUACUCUGUUCUUUAUGAACUUAAUACUCUAGAUGCAUGCUUGAUAGCGGUCGAUGUGUGGAGUAAUAGUAGUAGAUGUAGGCAGGAGUCGGUCAACUUGUCACGGACGUGAUGCCUAUAUACAUGAUCAUGCCUAGAUAAUCUCAUAAUUAUUCGCUUUUCUAUCAAUUGCUCGUCAGUAAUUUGUUCACCCACUGUAAUACUUAUGCUAUCUUGAGAGAAGCCUCUAGUGAAAUCUAUGGCCCCCGGGUCUAUCUUUUAUCAUAUAAGCUUUCAAUCUACUUUUAUUUGCAUCUUUACUUUUCCAAUCUAUAUCAUAAAAUACCAAAAAUAUAUUUAUCUUAUCAUACUAUCUCUAUCAGAUCUCACUUUCGCAAGUGGCCGUGAAGGGAUUGACAACCCCUUUAUUGUGUUGGUUGCGAGUUCUUGUUUGUUUGUGUAGGUGUGUCGGACUUUUGAGGAGCCUCCUACUGGAUUGAUACCUUGGUUAUCAAAAACUGAGGGAAAUACUUACGCUACUAUUGCUGCAUCACCCUUUCCUCUUCAAGGAAAACCAACACAAGCUCAAGACGUAGCAAGAAGGAUUUCUCGCGUCGUUGCUGGGGAAGUCUUCGCUCAAGUCAAGACAUACCAAGUACCCAUCAGAAACUCAUCUCCCUCACAUUUACAUAAUUUGCCAUUUGCCUAUCGUUUUCCUCUCCCCCACUUCACCCUUGCCAUUUUAUUCGCCCUCUCUUUCCCAAUCUCCUCUCUCUUUCGUUUGCCUUUUUUUUGUUUGCUUGUGUGUUGGAUUACUAGUCGUGAUGGCGCAAGGUAAUACCAAAUUGUGUGAUUUCUCCAAUACCAAUAAUAAUGAUUUCCUUAGUACUCAAAUUGCUCCUCUUAAUGAUGUUGAGUCUUGUGAAAUAAAUACUUCUUUGCUGAAUCUUGAUAUGAAAGAUCAAUUCUCCGACCUUCCUAGUGAAGAUGUCGCUACCCAUCUAAACAACUUUGUUGAUUUGUGUGAGAUGCAAAAGAAGAAAGAUACGGAGAAUGAUAUUGUUAAAUUGAAGUUAUUUCCGUUUUCACUUAGAGAUCGUGCUAAAGUUUGGUUUUCGUCUUUGCCUAAGAAUAGUAUUGAUUCAUGGAAUAAGUGCAAAGAUGCUUUUGUCUCUAAGUAUUUUCCUCCCGCUAAGAUCAUCACUCUUAGGAAUGAUAUUAUGAAUUUUAAACAACUUGAUCAUGAGCAUGUUGCCCAAUCUUUGGAAAGAAUGAAAUUGAUGAUUGGCAAUUACCCUACUCAUGGUUUGAAUUUAUGGAUGAUCAUACAAUUUUUUUAUGUCAGAUUGAUUUUUCCUUCUAGAAAUCUUUUAGAUUCGGCCGCGGGAGGCACAUUUAUGGAAAUCACCUUAGGAUAAGCUACAAAACUCCUUGAUAAUAUUAUGGCUAAUUAUUCUCAAUGGAACACCGAAAGAUCUACUAGUAAAAAAGUGCAUGCUAUAGAAGAAAUUAAUGUUUUGAGUGGAAAGAUGGAUGAACUUAUGAAAUUGUUUGCUACUAAGAGUGCUCCUAUUGAUCCCAAUGACAUGCCUUUGUCUACUUUGAUUGAGAAUAAUAAUGAAUCCAUGGAUGUGAAUUUUGUUGGUAGGAAUAGUUUUGGAAACAAUGCUUAAAGAGGAAACUUUAAUCCUAGACCGUUCCCUAGUAAUUCCUCUAAAAAUUAUGGAAAUUCCUACAAUAAUUCUUAUGGUAAUUUUAAUAAGAUGCCCUCUGAUUUUGAGAAUAGUGAUUAAGAAUUUUUGAUCUCUCAAAAGAAUUUUAAUGCCUUGCUUGAAGAAAAAUUGCUCAAAGUUGAUGAUUUAGCUAGGACCGUUGAUAGACUCUCGCUUGAUGUUGAUUCUUUGAAACUAAGAUAUACUCCUCCUAAGCAUGAUAUAAAUGAGUCUCUUAAAGCUAUUAGAAUUUCCAUUGAUGAGUUCAAAGAAAGAACCGCUAGAUUGCGUGCUAAGAAAGAUUGCUUUGUAAAGGCGUGUUCUUCUAGUUUUCAUGAAAAUAGUGAUGAAGAUCUUAAAGUUAUUGAUGUACCCCCUAUUAGAUCUUUGUUUUGCAAUAUGAAUCUUAAUCAUGAUGGAACUGGAGAUGAGUCAACUUUAGUUAAAAGACGCCCCAAUGAUUCGGAGUUUUUAGAUCUUGAUGCUAAAUUUGGUAAAAGUGGGAUUGGAGAGGUCAAGACUUUAAAUAGCAUUGAACCCACUAUCUUGGAUUUCAAGGAAUUUAAUUAUGAUAAUUGUUCUAUAGAAGAUUGUAUUUCCUUGUUGCAAUCCGUUGUGAAUUCUCCUCAUGCUUAUAGUCAAAAUAAAACUUUUACCAAACAUAUUGUUGAUGCCUUGAUGCAAUCUUUUGAUGAAAAACUUAAUUUGGAAGUUUCUAUACCUAGAAAACUUUUGAUGAGUUGGAACCUACUAUAAAGAUUACAAUUAAAGAUCAUGAGUGUUAUGCUUUAUGUGAUUUGGGUGCUAGUGUUUCCACGAUUUCGAAAACUUUAUGUGAUAUUCUAGGUUUCCAUGAUCUUGAUGAUUGCUCUUUAAUUUGCACCUUGUGUAUUCCACCAUUAAAAAGCCAAUCGGAAGCAUCAAUGAUGUUCUCAUUGUUGGAAAUAGAAAUUUGGUUCCCGUAUAUUUUAUCAUUCUUGAUAUAGAUUGCAAUCUUUCUUGCCCUAUUAUUCUUGGUAGACCUUUCCUUAGAACGAUUGGUGCGAUUAUUGAUAUGAAGGAAGGGAAUAUUAGAUUCCAAUUUCCAUUAAGGAAAGGCAUGGAGCACUUUCCAAGAAAUAAAGUUAAAUUACCUUAUGAAUCUAUCAUGCGAGCUACUUAUGAAUUGAGUGCCAAAGAUGGCACUACUUAGAUCUAUCCUCGCUUUUGUGCCUAGCUAAGGGCGUUAAACGUAGCGCUAGUUGGGAGCCAACCCAAUUUUAUUUGUGUUUUUUGUUUUUGUUUCUGUUUAGUAAUAAAUCUUGCAUCUACCUUCUGUUUAGAUGUGUUUUUUUAUGUUUUAAUUAGUGUUUGUGCCAAGUAGAACCUAUAGGAUAACCUAUGGUGAUAGUUAAUUUGAUUCUGCUGAAAAACAGAAACUUCGCGCGCACGAAACUAAUUUUAGUAAUUCACAGAAACGUGAUUUUGCGUUGAUUCUUUUUUCUGUAGAUCAACAGAGAAAUUUCCCAGGAUUUCCUAUUUUGGUAGGAGUUUUGGAGUUCCAGAAGUAUUCGUGAGUUACAGAUUGCCACAGGCUGUUCUGUUUUUGACAGAUUCUGUUUUUCGUGUGUUGUUUGCUUAUUUUGAUGCAUCUAUGGCUAGUAUGUAAGGAUAUGAACCAUACAAAAGUUGAAAUACAGUAGGUUUAACACCAAUAUAAAUAAAUAAUGAGUUUAUUACAGUACCUUAUGUGGUGGUUUUUCUUUCUUUCACUAACGGAGCUUAUGAGAUUUCCUGUUGAGUUUUGUGUUGUGAAGUUUUCAAGUUUUGGGUAAAGAUUUGAUGGACUAUGGAAUACUUAUGAGAUUUCCUGUUGAGUUUUGUGUUGUGAAGUUUUCAAGUUUUUGGUAAAGAUUUGAUGGACUACGGAAUAAGGAGUGGCAAAAGUCUAAGCUUGGGGAUGCCCAUGGCACCCCAAGAUAUUCAAGAAUAGCCAAAAGCCUAAGCUUGGGGUUGCCCCCAGAAGGCAUCCCCUCUUUCAUCUUCGUUUAUCGGUAACUUUACUUGGAGCUACAUGAUAUGUGUUUUGGUUGGAGCGUCUUUAUGAUAUUAGUAUUUGCUUUUUUUAGUUUUCCACAAUCAUCCUUGCUGUACACACCUUUUGGGAGAAUCCCACUUGAUUAGAAUUUAUUAGAAUACUCUAUGUGAUUCACUUAUAUCUUUUGAGCUAGAUAGUUUUUGCUCUAGUGCUUCACUUAUAUCUUUUAGAGCACGGCGGUGGCUUAAUUUUGUAGAAAUUGUUAGUCUCUCAUGCUUCACUUAUAUUAUUUUGGGAGUCUCUUAGAACAGCAUGGUAUUUGCUAUGGUUAUAAAAUUGGUCCUAGAUUGGUGGGCAUCCAAGUUGGGUAUAAUAAAAACUAUCAUAGGAAGUGAAUUGGAUGCUAUGAUCAAUUUGAUACUUGAUAAUUGUUUUGAGAUAUGUAGGUAGUAAUAUUAGAGUCAUGCUAGUUGGGUGAUUAUAAAAUUGAACAAUGCUUGUGUUGAAGUUAGCAAGUCCCGUAGCAUGCAGGUAUGGUUAUAGUUGUGUAACAAAUUUGAAACAUGAGGUGUUCUUAGAUUGUGCAUCCUUAUGAGUGGCGGUCGGGGACGAGCGAUGGUCUUUUCCUACCAAUCUACCCCCCUAGGAGCAUGCGCGUAGUGCUUGGUUUUUGAUGACUUUUAGAUUUUUGCAAUAAGUAUAUGAGUUCAUUUGACUAAUGUUGAGUCCAUGGAUUAUACGCACUCUCACCCUUCCAUCAUUGCUAGCCUCUUCGGUACCGUGCAUUGCCCUUUCUCACCUUGAGAGUUGGUGCAAACUUCGCCGGUGCAUCCAAACCCCGUGAUACGAUACACUCUAUCACUCAUAAACCUCCUUAUAUCUUCCUCAAAACAGCCACCAUACCUACCUAUUAUGGCAUUUCCAUAGCCAUUCUGAGAUAUAUUGCCAUGCGACUUUCCACCGUUCCGUUUAUCAUCAUGACACACAUUACCAUUGUCAUAUUGCCUUGCAUGAUCAUGUAGUUGACAUCAUAUUUGUGGCAAAGCCACCAUGCAUAAAUUUUCAUACAUGUCACUCUUGAUUCAUUGCCCAUCCCGGUACACCACCGGAGGAAUUCAUAUAGAGUCAUACCUUGUUCUAGUUUUGAGUUGUAAUUCAUGAGUUGUAAAUAAAUAGAAGUGUGAUGAUCAUAAUUAUUAGAGCAUUGUCCCCAAAUAAAAAAAAGGAAAGGCUAAAUAAAAAAAGAGAAAGGCCAAAUAAAAAAAGGCACAAAAAAAGAUAAUAAAAAAGGGGGCAAUGUUACUAUCUUUUUUCCACACUUGUGCUUCAAAGUAGCACCAUGUUCUUUAUAUAGCGAGUCUCAUAUGUUGUCACUUUCAUAUACUAGUGGGAAUUUCUCAUUAUAGAACUUGGCUUGUAUAUUCCUACGAUGGGCUUCCUCAAAAUACCCUAGGUCUUCGUGAGCAAGCAAGUUGGAUGCACACCCACUAGUUUAUUUUGUUGAGCUUUCAUACAUUUAUAGCUCUAGUGCAUCCAUUGCAUGGCAAUCCCUACUCCUCAUGUUGAUAUCAAUUGAUGGGCAUCUCCAUAGCCCAUUGAUUAUCCUCGUCAAUGUGAGACUUUUGCCUUUUUUGUCUUUUCCACACAACCUCCAUCAUCAUAUUUUAUUCCACCCAUAGUGCUAUAUCCAGGGCUCACGCUCAUGUAUUGCGUGAAAGUUGAAAAGUUUGAGAUUAUUUAAGUACGAAACAAUUGCUUGGCUUAUCAUCGGGGGUGUAUAAGAUGGGAGCAUUUUUGUGUGACGAAAAUGAAGCAUAACCUAACUAUAUGAUUUUGUAGGGAUGAACUUUCUUUAGCCACGCUAUUUUGAGAAGACAUGAUUGCUUUGAUUAGUAUGCUUGAAGUAUUAUUAUUUCUUAUGUCAAUAUGAACUUUUAUUUUGAAUCAUUUGGAUCUGAACAUUCAUGCCACAAUAAAGAAAAUUACAUUGAGAAUUAUGCUAGGUAGCAUUCCACAUCAAAAAUUCUGUUUUUAUCAUUUACCUACUCGAGGACGAGUAGGAAUUAAGCUUGGCGAUGCUUGAUAUGUCUCCAACGUAUCUAUAAUUUUUGAUUGUUCCAUGCUAUUAUAUUACCCGUUUUGGAUGUUUAUGGGCUUUACCUUACACAUUUAUAUCAUUUUCGGGACUAACCUACUAACCGGAGGCCCAGCCCGUAUUGGUGUUCUUUUUGCCUAUUUUAGUGUUUCGAAGAAAAGGAAUAUCAAACGGAGUACAAAUGGAAUGAAACCUUUGGGAGCGAUCUUUUUGGAACAAACGUGAUCCAGAGGACUUGGUGUGCAAGUCAAGAAGCAAUUGAGGAAGCCACGAGGGUGGGGGGCGCCCCCCACUCGGCGCGCCUCCUAUCUCGUGGGCCCCUCAGGCGUCCACCGACCUGCUUCUUCCUCCUAUAUAUACCCACGUACCCCGAGAACAUCAAAGGCGAUCACGAAAAACUAUUUCCACCACCAUAACCUUCUGUAUCCGCGAGAUCCCAUCUUGGAGCCUUCGUCGGCGCUCCGCCGGAGGGGGAAUCAACCACGGAGGGUGUCACAUCCCCAGUUCAGGCCUUGCUUGUUUUUUUGUUUAGCAUCCAUGCAUCAUGUUUAAAUUUUAUGAAACUUGAAAUGGGGAUUGCCUAAACCCUAGCAGCUAAGGAAUCCACUAGGUUCAACUAAAAUAUUCUCAGUGAAUCCAAAUGACUUUCAAAAAUGUUCAUCAUUUCUGGAAAAAACUGUAAACAGUAGCCGGAAGUGAUGCACAUUUUUUCAUGAAAUAUUUGGGCCCUGAAUUAAAUCAUACUCUAUUUGAAUUUGGACAUUUAAAUUCUAUAAAAUAUUUUAAAUGUCCAAAUAAUCCUAAACUGAAAUGUUCCAUGUUGGUUAUAUUCCAAACAGUGGGCAUGAGCAGUUUGGUGAUUUUUGGAAAUGCCCUGGCAUUUUUAAUAAAGCCCUAAAGACUACAGAAUAAUAGAAAUAGAAAACAGAAAUAAAAGGUAGAGAGAGAGAGACUUACCUGGACCUACCUACUGUGCAGCCCACCUGGCCGGCCCAGCUGGCAGCCCAGCCAACUGGCCCAGCCCACCACCGCCUCCUUCCCUGUCGUCUUCCUCCUGCCAGUAGGAGCAGCUGCGUGCUCGCAUACGUGCGGCCGAGGAGGCCAGCUCCUCCCUGCCUAGCUGCCUCCUCCUCCCCCUGGACGCCCCCACGACGCCACGCACCCCCCCUCGACCCUCUGCACCUCUCCCCUCUCUCACUGGACCUCCUCCCCUCCUCUGUCUCUCUCCCUCGCACCACCCGAACGCGCCGUCGCCGCUGUUCGCCAUAGCCGCAGCCACCAGCCCUCCCUCGCCCCGCCGCCAGGUCCAUAAGCUCCGCCGCUAACCUCUACACCGUCCCCACCAAGCCACACGAGCGGACGCGCCCUGCAGCGGCUUCCCCGACCUCUUCUUCAAGCUUCGGCCACCGAGAUCACCGGCGACCGUGUGCCCUCCCUGACGCCUCCCCGAGUUCGUCGUCCGCCCCGUUCAAACCUUUGUGAGCUCCUGCCACUAACCCCUCUCUUCCCCGCGUUAUUUGCACCAUGUAGCCACCGAUUCCACCGGAGCCGUGAGCUCGGUUCCACCGGCCAAGUCACCGCCGUGGCCACAGCCACCGCACUUUGUGUCCGAGCACACCACCAUGCUCAACACGUUCUCAUGAGCCCGUAGCCACCCACAGAGCCUCCUCCCGAGCUCUGUAGCACCACCCCGAGAAUGCCCGAGCUGCUGCCGCCGCUAAACCUCGUCGCCGACCACUUUCCGGCCACCCCAGCUCACCCCGUUUGCACCGUUGGAUGCGCGGGAUCACCAGCAGCUCGUAGAUGCUCUCCUUCGUUGAUUUGGGCGUCGGAGGAGCGAACCCGAGCCCAUUCGCCGCACCUGUCGUCGCCGGCGUCGAGCCGCCGGCGCGUUAGCCCCAGUUGACCAGGGGUUUGACCUCUCCUGACUCAAUGACAGGUGGGGUCGCCCCGCUAACUAACCGAGAUUAGGGUUAACUAAACCUAGUUUAGCUACUGACACGCGGGACCCACUGGUCAGUUUGACCUGGUCUGUCUCAGUUGACCGCUGACGUCACACUAAUGCCACGCUGACGCAGUAAAUCCUUUUCUGGAUUUAUUCUCAUAUAGGAAUUCCAGAAAAUGUUGCAAACUUCAAAAAUUCAUAGUAAUUCAAAAGUAACUCCAAAUCAAACAAAUUAUAUAUGAAAUAUUACCAGAAAAAUCCAAUCUAUCCAUCUGUACUAGUUUCAUGCAUGUUUAAACAAGCUAACCAGCUGUUUAGUGCAGAAUAAGAUAAAGCACUAGUAAUGACCAUGCAUGAGCUUGCAACUUGAAUCUUUGAUUCAAAAUGGUUCAAACCCAUCUGGUUGUAGUUGCAUCAGGCCAACACACUCAUAUUGCCAUGUCAUAGCAUGCAUCAUAUUGUGCAUUGCAUUGAUCGUGUUUCUUCUCUGUUUGCCGGUGUUGUUCCCCCUCGGUAGACGUUAUACCGAUGUUGUGAUCGUUGACACUGAUGAAGACUCAAUGCUAUCUUCAGAAGUGCCAGGCAAGCAAAAACCCCUUGUUCAUUCCGAUACAAUCCUACUCUCUCGCUCCUACUCUCUUUUACUGCAUUAGGUCAACAACGAUUCAUCUGUUACUUGCUGCGGUAGCUGAACCCCUUUAUCCUCUGCAUGACCUGUCAUUGCCGCAGUAAAUAGACGAAACCCACUAGUAUGAGUAGGAGUUGUUUGAGCCCUGUUGUGCCUACUCAUUCAUGUUUGUUUGUCAUGCCUGCUAUUUCUUAGAGUUGAGUCAGGUCUGAUUCAUCGGGGAUGAAUCAGAGGUGUGUGAACAUGUCCUACUGUGUGUGGUGAACACAAUUUGGUAAAGGUAGCGGUAAGAGGCCAUGUAGGAGUACAUGGUGGGUUGUCUCAUUGCAGCCGUCCUCAGGAACUGAGUUCUGUGUUUGUGAUCCAUGAUUCAGCUACUACCAUGCAUUGGGCCCUGAAAUAUGACCCCGCUCGACUUCUUAUUCACCCUUGUCCUCUGUCCAGGAGUUGCAAGUAGUUUCUGGUGUUUGUAGUAUGCUGGAGGCCGUGCGCAGCGCUGACCGGAGGGGUGGGCUGUGAUGCGGUAGGCACGUGGCCGAGUAUACCGGGCGCCCGUUUGGUGUCACGGAACCCUGUUCACAUUGUUUGGGGCUGUGAGCGAAACCCCGGCCGGAUCUCCUCAUGGAUGGAACCUGAAUAGGCGAUAAACCUGGACUAGAGACUUGAGUGUUUAGGUAGGUCGUGGUCUACACCCACGUCGGCUUUCGCUUGAAGUCUGCCGAGCACAUGUCGUGUGCAGACGCUAAGUGGUGGAAACAUGUAUGAAGAAGUACACCCCUGCAGGGUUAACAUCAUCUAUUCGAAUAGCCGUGUCCGCGGUAAAGGACUUCUGGGUUACUUAUAUCAGUUCAUAGACAAGUGAAACUGGAUACCCUAAAAUACGCAAGAUAAGCGUGAGUGCUAUGGAUGGCGUUCUCGUAGGGAGACGGGAGCGGAUCCAUAGUGGUGUAUUGAUAUGGUGAAUAUGUGGACUCGUGUGCGCCACCUCAAAAGAGUUACUUGCAGUCGUAGUUCAGGAUAGCCACCGAGUCAAAGCUGGCUUGCUGCAGUUAAACCCCACCAUCCCCUUUGUUGAUAAUGAUGCAUAUGUAGUUAGUUCUGAUGUAAGUCUUGCUAGGUACAUUUGUACUCACAUUUUCCUAUUUUAUGUUUUGCAGAGAGACUUCGGUCUCGUUAGUAUUCCGCGUGGACUUCGAUGUUUAGCUUGAUACCUCAGCUACGAUCUUGUGCCCUUGGCAGGAUCUGGUAGAUAGUCCGGCUUCUAAGCCUUUUUCAUUUGUAGAUGUCUAUACUCAGACAUGUUAAGCUUCCGCAUGUGCUUUGAUUUGUAUGCUCUGAAUGUUGGGUCGUGAGACCCAUGUUUGUAAUAUCUCGCUCCUCAGAGCCUAUUGAAUAAAUAAUUGAGUUGUAGGGUCAUGUUGUGAUGCCAUGUUUUAUUUGCACAUAUCGAGCAUAUUGUGUGUAUGUUAUUGAAAUGCUUGGUAUGUGUGGGAUCUGACUAUCUAGUUGUUUAUUCUUAGUAGCCUCACUUACCGGGAAAUGUCUCCUAGUGUUUCCACUGAGCCUUGGUAGCUUGCUACUGCUCUGGAACACUCAGGCUGGCCGGCAUGUGUCCUUCUUCGUUCCUGUGUCUGUCCCUUCGGGGAAAUGUCACGCGAUGAAUACCGGAGUCCUGUUAGGCCGCUACAGCCCGGUUCACCGGAGUCCUGCUAGCCCAGUGCUACAGUCCGGAUUCACUCGCUGAUGACCGACACGUUCGAUGCUGGGUCAUGGAUGCCUGUCCCUGUAAGUCUGUGCCACUUUGGGUUUACGACUAGCCAUGUCAGCCCGGGCUCCUUAUCAUAUGGAUGCUAGCGACACUAUCAUAUACGUGUGCCAAAAGGCGCAAACGGUCCCGGGCAAAGGUAAGGCGACACCCGUGGGAAUACCGUGCGUGAGGCCGCAAAGUGAUAUGAGGUGUUACAUGCUAGAUCGAUGUGGCAUUGAGUCGGGGUCCUGACAGAGGGCUUCUACAUCAACACCAUAGCCUCUCCGAUGAGUUGUGAGUAGUUUACCACGGACCUUCGGGUCCAUAUUUAUAAGCUAGAUGGCUUCUUAUCUCUCUUUGAAUCUCAAUACCAUGUUCUCCUUGAUCUUCUUGGAGAUCUAUUCGUUGUAACUCUUUUUGCGGUGUGUUUGUCGAGAUCCGAUGAAUUGUAGGUUUAUGAUCAAAUUAAUCUAUGAGAAAUAUUUGAAUCUCCUCUGAAUUCUUUUAUGUGUGAUUAAGUUAUCUUUGCAAGUCUCUUCGAAUAAUCAGUUUGGUUUGGCCUACUAGAUUGAUCUUUCUUGCAAUGGGAGAAGUGCUUAGCUUUGGGUUCAAUCUUGCGGCGUCCUUUCCCAGUGACAACAGGGGCAGCAAGGCACAUAUUGUAUUGUUGCCAUUGAGGAUAAAAAUAUGGAGUUUAUAUCAUAUUGCAUGAGUUUAUCCCUCUACAUCAUGUCAUCUUUUUUAAUGCGUUACUCUGUUCUUUAUGAACUUAAUACUCUAGAUGCAUGCUGGAUAGCGAUCGGUGUGUGGAGUAAUAGUAGUAGAUGUAGGCAGGAGUUGGUCUACUUGUCACGGACGUGAUGCCUAUAUACAUGAUCAUGCCUAGAUCUAUACCUAUACUAAUUACAGACUCCCAAGAAAUUAUCACGUUAAUUAGAAAUUAGGAGCCGUUAAUCUGGUGGGGCCGAAUUAUUACGGUGUAGAUCAAUCCUAGAAAUUACAUUAACUAGAAAAAAUAGAAAAUUCGGUGUAGAUCAAUACUAGAAAUUACAUUAACUAGAAAAAAUAGAAAAAACAUAAGGCAGAUGCUGUCUAAAAAAACAGGAGAUGCCACGUCCCUAGAAAACAAAAACUUCCACGAUGCAAUUCUUAAUCCCGCAUGUAUCUCUCAAAACAAGAAAAAGAAAACUCAUCCAACUCUUAAUCCCUCAUGCAUCGCUCCAAAAAAAAAGGAAAAAAAAUGUCACGUAUAUCUCCCUCACGACCUAUAUCUCUCAAUUUCUUGGGUGAAAAGAAAAAUUCUCAAGAACGCAUCUAUAUCCCGUGACUGCUGUGAUGGGAAAAGAAGCCAAUCUGAACUAACCUACAUGCAUCAAAGACCUUUUCAAGGCUUCACGUUAAUCCUAGGACUGAGUUUGUUUUGUUGGAAAAAAACAGGAAACCCAUGUCGAUCCCCUGCCCUCUGCCUCCAAUUUUAUCUUCCUAGAUGCCGGUUCUGACCUCCUCUUCCUUUCCGUCUCCCCUCCCGCAUAAUUCACCUUCCUCUCCCUGCAGAAAGAGAAAGAAGUCUUCCUCCUUUGCCUAGGGGUAGGCCCUAUUUUCAAUCAAUAUAUGUCCAAAAGGAAAAGAUCCCUACCUUCAAAUGAUCUGUUGGAGAUGAGUAUGAUCCGGCAACAAAUAUUCCUCCGACUGAUCCAUCACUCCAGCAAUAUGGUGGAGAAGGAACCUGUGAACAUCGCUUACUCUCCAUCCAGAUUGGAACAGGCAGAAGUAAUAUCUCCGCCACAGUGUUAGUUCGCGCACAACAUCAUCGGUGCGUCGUCAAGGCCUCGAUUCAAUGAUCGGUACAAUAUCCAGGUUGGAAUCCCCAAUUCGAUCAUCUAGCACCCUCUAAUGGGAUCAGUUUGUUAGAGGUAAACACAUCGUCUUCCUGUGCAUUGCGUUUCCAGCCGCAAAGAUUGAUUAUGUGUAUCUUUGAUAAUGAUGUUGUGUAGGUGCAUGUUCAGGUCGAUCAAGGAUGCCUUCCAUGUGUGCAUCUUGCCGGACGAUUUCCGUGUAGGAUCACGUCGAGAUUGAAUAAAGCCAUCCUGCAUUGUCAAAGUUCAUAAGUCGACGCCGCAGACAUAGCUCUAUUGUGCAUUUGUUAACAGUUGGAUGAAGUAGCAAUAUGUCUUACCUGCACUUCGGAAGUCAGAUGGGUUAUUACAUGUACGUCUGGCAUUCUUUGCAUAUCGAAUUAUCCUAGCCGCGGUGCUUCUGGUCUUUCUCUCUCCACUACUCCCGUCCUGCUCCUUCCCUCUUUACUACUGUUACUAGAUCCAAUGUUCUGGGUAGGUUCCGUAUCUACUAUCAUAUAGUAUAUUAAUAGGAGUUAUGGCUUAUAGUAAUUAUGGUAAUUAUGGUAAUAGUUAGGAGUAUCAUACUUUCAAACUUAGCUUAAUUGUAAACAAAAUACAUGCAAGUUAGGCACACUAAUUCAGCUUGAUCAUUUUCUGGAGGCAUUUCAAUGAGUCGAGAGGGGUAGCUUCUUACGAUGUCAAACAUAUGUUAUGUUUUUCACUCUCCUCCAAAUUGGACAAUCACUCUUAGGUAUCAAUUUCAUCACUCCAAAAUUAUUAUAAAAUAUUUUCUUUGCAACCUAGUGUCGGUGUACUAGAAUAGGGGUACCCUAGUACCCCGAACUUGUGCACGGGCAGUUGCAGCGCCCCGCAGCAAGGGCUUGCCAGGUGACCGCCAAGAUACUCCGUGGCUCCUUUGGGGCCAUUCAAGAACAAAGUAUUCAAGUCAAGAGGACAAGGCCCCGGCAAGAGGAGCUUGCCGGGAAGGCCAACCGAGGCAUCUCAAGGAACUUGCCGCGUCGCACCACGCGUCCUGGCAAGGCUCGGCGAGCGACAAGCUUCCGGGUGCGACAAGACCACGACCGUGGCAAGGCGCUUGCCGCGGCAAGCGGCCACUCUGUGCCCACGCUCCAGCGCAUCCACCAACGUGUCGCCCUGGGGGCCUCUCCAGGCGCGCAUGGCGGAGGGCUAUGCAGCCAGCGGUGCGCGGAGGCAUGCGACGCUGACAAGAUCGCCAUCGUGGUGAACGGUGGCACACCUAACGGUCCUUUUCUACACUAUUUGGGCGACACAGACGGGCAUUUAAGGCCCUUGUCCCCUGCCGUCAGGGUUAGGUAGGGUGCACUGUGCAGGCAACUGUACCAACCACCUCUCUUUUUACGUUUUUACCCUUCUCUGCGUUGCCACCUGUCGGUGACCCCUUGCGCAUAUAAAAGGAGGCCCAUGCGCAACGUAGAGGGGGUUCGGCUCGACUGGUUCGCAAAUUCGGCUAGUUCGUACCAUUCGAAGCUAGGAGAACACUUAGCUCUUUUGAGCAAGAACACAAUAUAAUCAGACAAGCAGCAGUAGGAGUGUUAUCUCUCUGGGGAGCUCCGAAGCUGGGUAAACUGCUCGUGUGCUUCGCCUCGACCUCCGCCCCCCGCCGAACCGAAAGGGGCUCGGUCCGCCGGCCCCAUAGGUGUUCGUGGAUCAGUUUUCCCGACAUAUUUGGCGCGCCAGGUAGGGGGUGUUGAGAUUGUGCGAACCUGAUCCGGCGUUCACACGAGCCAGAUCUUCAUUUUCUUCAUCAACAUGCCGCCGAAGAAGAAGGCUUUGGAGGCAGUUGCUCCGUCCACGUCGAUCUCACCGCCACCAGAACAAACGGGUGGUGGGGUUGACGCUGGUGGAAGAACCAACAUCGACGAGGAAGCUCACGGUGCAGCCAGGUCAAAGGACAAGGCUGCACAAACCCUGGCGUCUUCACAUCCACCGUGCCCCUCUCAGGAGACGCAGGACCGACAGCGUCAUGGUGUUCGUAGUACCAUACGCUUGUUGGACCAAGAUCAAGCUGGUGGGUCUCGGGGCGCUCAAGACCAGCAUGCACGCCAACAUGCUGGCACGAGUGACGCACGGUUGCCCGGACGGGGUACUGCUCCUUCUAACAUAGUUUGAAGUCCGAGCACAUCCCGCUCCUCGCACCGAUCGCCACUACCGCCCACCACUCCAGCAGAAGCUCUAGCGUGAGCUCAACUGCUCCUGGACUAUCCUCCUGCGGAAGACAAGAUCGACCAACGGAGGGCCACCAUUCAGAGCCUCAUCGGUUUCGCCAACGGCGACACUCCACGGCAGCCGAGCACGUCGCUGCCACGGCAGGACUGCCAGGCGCAAGCCGGUGGCGACGAAACUGGUGGAGGUGCAACCACCAUGCACUCUCCACCACGAAGGCCAAGAUCGCCGACUCGCCGGAUCCACCUCGACAGCGAAUCCACCGCGUCGUCGGAUCCGCGAGCUCGUCGCGAUCAGCGCCAAGUUCUUCGCGAUAGACAGCAAGAAGACGCUCGAACUCGCAUCGAGCGCCGAAGAGAAGCGCGACGUCAAUCCGAUAAGCGCGCUGGGACCUCUGUUGACAUGCACGUGCCCGGUGAACUAGGCGACUUGCCAUACGCGGUAGGUUGCCCUGCGCUCACUCGUGAGCUGCGGCAGGUCCAGUGGCCCAGCAUGAAGAAUUUCAAGCCAGAUGUACCGGAGAAGUACGAUGGCAAGACGCACCCGUCGGAGUUCCUCAGCAUCUACACCAUUGCGGUGCAAGCUGCUGGGGGGCGAGACGACAAGAUCCUUGCCAACUACUUCCCAUUGGUGCUCAAGCCCAAUGUCAAAUCCUGGCUCAUGCACUUGCCGAACAACUCCAUAUCUUCCUGGGCGGACCUGUGCCAUCAGUUUGUCGGCGCCUUCACAGGCGGCCACAAGCCUCAUGGCCAAGAGAGUGACCUUCACCUGCUCGCCCAGAAGGAAGGAGAGCCCUUGCGCAAGUACAUACAGAGAUUCAGCCGCGUACAGCAUAACAUCCCAGAUGUCCACCCUGCCGCGGUGACCAGCGCGCUCCAUCAGAACGUGCAGAACUGUAGGAUGCGGGAGGAGAUGGCGAUGUGCAAGAUCAGAGACGUAAGUGAGCUAUAUGCCCUGGCCGACAAGUGUGCACGUGCUGAGGAAGGGAGGAGGCUCCCCGGAGAGAACACAGGAGCAGGAGGAUCUGACAGUGAGGAUACUGCCCCGGCAAGAAAAAACCGGCGGUGGAAUAACAGAAAAAAGAAAGGCAAAGAGGUACUAGUUGUCGAGCAGUCCGGCAACGGAGGUGGCGCCCAGAAAGCCAAAGCUGGUGGCUCCGGCAAGGAGAUUGCCGCAGAGGCUGUGGCGGCCGCCGACAAAUAGGACAACACCAACAAACAGUAUUGCAAGAUCCACCGCACCAAGGGCCAUGACCUCCAGAGUUGCAAGAAAGUCGAGCAGCUUGUCGAACAGCAAAAGGGUGAAUACGAGCGGCGCGACAAGGAGAAGGCCCAGGAAGGUGCUGGGGGAUCCGGCAAGAAACGUCCCGGCCGGGGAGGACGCCGCGGCAAGGCCAAGCAGCGGCAAGGAGACAGACCUCCCCGCGGCCGCGACAAGGAUGAAGAUGACGACGACGACGAAGACAUGGAUGAUGACGAGACCGAUGAGCAGGAGUUCCAGAAAGCUACAGAGGUCCUAUGCGUUGACGGCGGUGCUUCUCUGCAUACUUCACACCGCCAGCUCAAACAAUGGGUACGGGAGGUCAAUGCGGCAGAACCACCCGUCGAGUCACGCAGGUCUCUGAAAUGGUCCAGCACGCCUAUCAUCUUUGAUAUUGAGGACCACCCAGAUCGCGUAACUGCGGUCGGAUGCUUGCCGAUGUUGGUUUCACCAACUAUCCGCAACCUCAAGGUCACUAAGAUGCUAGUUGACGGCGGGGCCGGCUUGAACCUGAUCUCCUCCGCGGUGCUCCAGAAACUCCAGAUCCCUGACGGCGAGCUCGAAGAGACCGGCACUUUUCAAGGAAUCAAUCCGGGAAGGAGCAAGCCGAAGGGAAAGAUCACGUUGCCUGUGACAUUUGGCAGCGAGCUGAACUUCAGGACUGAGAGGGUCACGUUUGACGUUGCCGAUUUCCCAUUGCCUUACAAUGGGAUACUCGGCCGUCCCGCACUCGCCAAAUUCAUGGCAGCCUCUCACUAUGCAUACAACGUACUGAAGAUGACAGGCCCGAUAAGCGUCAUCUCUGUCCCUGGCGACAAGAAGGAUGCUCUUAUCUGCGCCGAAAAGAUCUACCGGGAGGCAGCAGCCGCAGCGGAUCGCACGACACUUGCCGCUGAAGCUCCCGGGGGGAAGAAGAAGACCAAGUCCGGCAAGAGUUUUGAUGCCCACUCCGGCAAGCGCACCUCUUCGGAGUGCUGCGCUACCGUCGAGGACGCACCAUCGAGCUCCACCAGCAAGUGUAAGAAGGCAAUGGCAGCUCCACCAGAGACCAAGAAGGUGUCCGCCAAGGAGGACGGCACUGGUGGUACCUUCACCAUCAGUGCCACGCUCGAUCCUAAAUAGGAAAGCGCGCUCAUUGCUUUCCUACGGGCAAAUGUCGACGUGUUUGCAUGGCAACCGUCUGACAUCCCCGGUGUUCCCAGGAAAGUAAUUGAGCACCACCUUGCCGUAUGUCCUCAUGCGCGACCCGUCAAGCAAAGAGUUAGGAAACAAGCAGUGGAGCGCCAAGAAUUCAUCGCGGAAGAAAUCAAGAAGUUGGAAGCAGCAGGCCUUGUCAGAGGAGUGCUCCAUCCUACGUGGUUGGCCAAUCCUGUUGUCGUGCGCAAAGCUAACGGGAAAUGGAGGCUUUGUAUCGAUUUUACCGAUGUCAAUAAAGCUUGUCCCAAAGACCCAUUUCCCUUGCCGCGCAUCGACUAGAUUGUUGACCCCACAGCCGGAUGUGACUUGCUUUCAUUUCUUGAUGCAUACUCAGGAUACCAUCAGAUCUUCAUGGCAGAAGAGGAUGAGGAGAAAACCGCGUUCAUUACCCCGUGUGGCACAUACUGUUUUGUACCGAUGCCCUUUGGUUUGAAGAAUGCUGGUUCAACAUUUGCAAGGGUAGUCCAUCACGCUUUUGAGCCGCAAAUGCACAGAAAUGUGGAAGCCUACAUGGAUGACAUAGUGGUCAAGAGCAAGGACAAAGCAACCCUGAUCCAGGAUUUAGAUGAAACAUUUGCAAAUCUGCGCAAGAUCAACCUCAAGCUGAACCCCGAGAAGUGUGUGUUUGGAGUCCCUUCCGGCAAGCUUCUCGGGUUCUUUGUGUCUCAACGGGGGAUUGAAGCCAAUCUCGACAAGAUCAAGGCCAUUGAGCAGAUUGAAGCACCAAAGCGCGUCAAGGAUGUACGAAGACUUGCCGGUUGCGUGGAUGCUCUCAGCAGGUUUAUCUCUAGAUCUGCCGAACGCGCCCUGCCAUUUUUCAAAAUAUUGAAAAAGGCAGGUCCAAUGAAAUGGACUCCAGAAGCGGAGGCUGCGUUGCAGGACUUGAAGAGAUACCUGUCCUCCGCUCCAACACUUGUCGCACCUAGGACACAAGAGAAGUUGCUGCUGUCUAUAGCGGCAACCAAUCAAGUGGUUAGUGCUGCGUUAGUGGCGGAGAGGGAGGCAGAUGAUGAGCCAGCAACCACGGCAGAUGCAUCCAACGAUGAGCAGGGGGCUUCACCGGCAAGCUCUGGUCCGGCAAGCUCUGGUCCGGCAAGCUCUAGUCCCGACAAAGAUGGAUCUGCGCAGACGCAUAAGGAGGUGCAGAAGAGAAUGGUGCAGCGCCCAGUUUACUUUCAGUUCCCUUUUGCAGGGGGCUAGGUCAAGGUACUAUGGUGUGCAGAAGUUGCUUUUCGUCCUUCUCAUGGCCUCGAGAAAGCUGCGCCAUUACUUCCAAGCACAUGAGAUCACAGUUGUCACUCGCUUUCCGUUGAAGAGGAUACUGCAAAAUCCAGAAGCAACAGGCAGGAUUGUCGAGUGGGCGCUGGGACUGUCAAGCUUUGGCCUCAAGUUCGAAAGCACUUCAGCUAUCCAAAGCAGAGCAUUCGCAGAGUUCAUAGCAAAGUGGACGCCAACACCAGAUGAAGAAAUUCCCGAGACGAGCAUCCCCAUCAAGGAGGCAAGCAAAGAGUGGCUGAUGUACUUUGAUGGUGCCUUCUCGCUGCAAGGCACCGGUGCGGGCGUGCUGCUUGUCGCGCCCACCGGAGAGCACCUCAAGUACGUAGUCCAGAUGCACUUUCCCAAGGAGCAAGCAACAAACAAUACUGCAGAGUAUGAAGGCUUGCUUGCCAGUCUCAGGAUCGCGGCAGACCUUGGGAUUAAGAAACUCAUUGUCAGGGGAGACUCACAACUUUUCGUCCGCCAAGUGAACAAGAGUUAUCAGAGUCCAUUGAUGGAAGCUUAUGUUGAUGAAGUGAGAAAGCUAGAAGAGCACUUUGACGGCCUACAGAUGGAACAUGUUCCAAGAGCUCAGAAUGAUAUUGCUGAUGGCCUGUCAAAGUGCGCCGCACUUAAGUUGCCUGUGGAACCAGGGAUCUUUGUGCUCAAGCUGACUCAACCAUCCGUGACACCAUCAACUGGACAGAGCAAGAAGAGAAAGUUGAUUUCCGACGACUACUUUUCGGCAGAGCUUCCCGAAGCAGCCGCCAAGAAGGUCUCCAAGAUCAACACCAAGAAUGCUGAGGAGCAGUAUGCUCCGGCAAGUCUUAGUGCUUGUUCCGUUGAAGCAGACGCUCCUGACAAGUUUUGCUCCGGCAAGCUUGUCGGGGAACAUCAAGCUCCGGCCGAGCCGCAGGUUCUCGCCGUAGAAGCGGAUGUUCCCGCAGCAGUAGAUGUGCCUUUAGUCCUUGUUGUCGAGCCCAAGCUCCAGCAUGGGCACAGCAGAUUGUCCAUUUCCUUCAGACAGGAGAACUUCCCGAAGAGCAAGAAGAAGCGGAAAAAGUAGCCCGGCAGUCAAGUAUGUACCAGUUUGUCGACAACAUACUAUACAGAAGGAGACUCAACGGUGUGAAAUUGAAGUGUAUUUGCCGGGAAGACGGACAGAAGCUAUUGGCAGAGAUACAUGGAGGCAUAUGUGGCCACCACAUUGGCGCAAGAGCACUUGCCGGCAAAGCUUUCCGGCAAGGUUUCUUUUGGCUGACAGCCCUUCAGGAUGCAACUUCACAAGUAACCAAGUGUGAAGCGUGCCAGUUCCAUUCCAAGCAGAUACAUCAGCCAGCUCAAGCUCUCCAGACGAUCCCUUUAUCCUGGCCAUUUUCGGUCUGGGGGCUCGAUAUCCUCGGCCCCUUCCCCCGAGCUGUCGGGGGCUUUGAGUACUUGUACAUUGCAAUCGACAAAUUCACAAAGUGGCCGGAAGUGGAACCAGUGAGGAAGGUGACAGCACAGUCAGCAGUCAAGUUCUUCAGGUCGAUUGUUUGCCGUUUCAGGAUCCCUAACCGGAUCAUCACUGACAACGGCACACAAUUCACGAGUCGCACCUUCAUGCAGUACGUCCAAGAUCUUGGCGCCAAGGUCUGCUUCGCUUCUGUUGCUCACCCAAGAAGCAAUGGUCAACCGGAGAGGGCAAAUGCUGAAGUGCUGCGCGGGCUCAAGACCAGAACUUUCGACAGGCUGCACAAGUGCGGAAGAAACUGGAUCGAGGAGCUGCCGGUGGUUCUUUGGUCGAUCAGGACGACGCCAAAUCGAGCCACUGGCCAGACGCCUUUCGCUCUAGUCUAUGGAGCAGAGGCAAUUCUCCCCACGAAACUCGUAUACGGGUUGCCUCGAGUGCUCGCUUAUGAUGAGCUUGAGCAAGAGCAGCUGCGACAAGAUGACGCGCUGCUCCUUGACGAGGACCGUCUUCAGGCUGCUGUACGAGCUGCUCGAUAACAGCAAGCUUUGCGCCGCUACCAUAGCUGCAAAGUUAAUGCCAGAAGCUUCGAGGAAGGCGACCUUGUUCUUCGGCGAGUUCAGUCCGCCAAGAAUUCCAACAAGUUGACGCCGAAGUGGGAAGGCCCUUACCGGGUGAAACGAGUCACUUGGCCUGGCGCUGUCCGCCUUGAGACCGAAGAUGGCAUUCCGGUGAGCCUCCUGGAACGUUGAGCAUCUUCGUAAGUUUUACCUGUAGGGCGCGUUUGCCGGAACCUGUUCCGGCAACCACCUUUUGUACAAGUCUUGCCGUUGUUGCAUGUAAUCCUUUGUACAAAGCCGGGCGCAGAUCCCGUGCAUAAGUAAAGCUCAUGUGCUCCGCUCAUCUUGUCAGUUUCAUGCUUUUUACUUUACAUUUGCAUGCUUUGUCUGACACUUUGUGCAGCACCUACCCCCGGUAAGCAAUAACGAGCCGAAAUGCCCCAUAUCUAUAUUUCUCUUCUUUCUUUUUCUCAAACAAAGGAAAAGGAGGUUCCCUCGCACACAAGUUUGCCGGGGGGAAGGAGAAGAUAAUGGUGUGGGCCAGGCGUCGUUUAAGGAAGAUUUGCCUUGCCGGGAAGCAAACGACAGAAAAGCUAAGUUGCAAAAGUCUGAGCAAUUAGUUUUAAUUUUUAAAAGUUAUCUUCCUCGAACGACUGUGCUUUGUAUGGAAAACCUGUGCGCAGAGGAACCAACUCGUAGCUAGAUGCGCCCUUACUUUGUUUCGAGUCCGCUCAACAACUUAAGUGUGCUGCAACUAGUCGCGACAAGGUUUCUUGUCGGAGCGGCACCGCCAGCAGGCUGCUGACGUCCCGCACUCAGCACUCGUGGCUCGGGUGCCUGCGCCGACAAGUUCCCUAAAAGCGUAGGUUGAAAACAUACAAAGCAAAGGAUCUAGUAAAGGAAACAACAUAGCAAUUGAUAUCCAAAAUAAAGUUAUAUUACAAGAUAACUUGUCGCAGCUCUAACACAUUGUUUCCAUGACAUGAUCAACAGCGACAAGGAAAAAGAUAAAACAAGCAGCCUAGUCUGCGCGACCACCCUCAACCCUCCUGACCUCGCUCACCUUGUCCACAAUGGGUGCGACAAGGGCCUUGAGCGCUUCCAGAUCGGCGUCGGGCGGCAAGGAUCUGAGGACGUUGGUGAGGUUGAGGCCCGGGUUGCGGAAAGCCACCUUCACCAGCACCUUCUGAAGAACUCCCGCGCAAAUCUUGCGCGACUCGUCGGCCAGCUGCUUUGGGAUCUUCUCCCGAAGCCGCUGGAGAGCUGUCGCCACGCCCUUGAAGAAUAGACUGAGCUUGGCACUGGGCUGGAGAUGCUCGUCGGAAGAGUACCCGAAGUCCUCCAUCCCCAGCUGCGCCAGCUCUCUGUCGAUGACAGCGGCGAUGUUCACCAGGCCCUCGGUCCAGUGCUCCACCGUCUCCCUGAACGAGUUCUGGGUGACGGCAAUGCUCGCCAGCAGCGCCUCGUCGGCCUUGAUCUUCUCCGACAAAGUCACUUCUCGCUCCUUGGCGGCGUCCAGCGUCUGCGUCAGCGUGGCCAGCUUCAGCUCGAGAUCCGUGUUGGAGUCCUUGGCGGCGCUGAGCUCCUUGUUCCUCUCCGCGAGGAGACCUUGCAGCUCACCGUGGGCAGCAGCGUCCUUCUCGCGCUCGCGCUUGAGCACGGCGAGCUCCUCGCCGCUCGUCCGGAGAUUGGCCUCCAGCUGCUCCACCUUCGCCUCCAGCUCCUUCUUGGCGGCCUCCGCAGCUGCGGCAGCAUCCUUUGACUCCUUGAGAGCCCCGUCAAUGGCUUGCUCCCGCGCGGCGAGCUCCUCCUCGUGGCUGUCAAGGUUCACCUUGCGCUGCGCCAACUCUCCCUCCCGCGCAGAUAAUCCCUCGGCAGCAAGCCGCUGCUGCUCUUCAACCUCAGCUUUCACGAGGAGGAAGGCCUUCCUCUCCUUGGCGACUUGCUCCCGCUCCUCCGCCAAGCUCCGGAGAGUUUCCUGCCUGAGAUCCUGGAGCUCCUCCGCGCGCUUCUCGAUAUCAACUCCCGCCCUCGCGACAAGCGCUUCUCGGGAAGCCAGCUUGGCUUGUCGGGCACGGUAGAGCAGUGUCAGCUUCUGCAGCAGCCGCUCCUCUUCAGGCUCGUCGCUGCUGCUUGGCGCGUCAAUCAACGACAACCCGGCGGAGGCGAGCACCUCUCCGUCGAAAGUUUCUCCUACGACCGGCGCCCUGGAGCUUGACGCCCAGGGAAGCUUGAUGAAGACACCAUCGCCGGCCUUCAAGUAGGCGCCGGGCUAGGGCUCCUCGGAGUCUGGCUCUGCGGCAGCGGCAGGAGGAUUGGCGGUCGGUGCAGCACCUGGCGCUCCUGUGGCCUCAGGGCCGUCAGUACGACCACCGGUUCCCUCGCCAGCUUCUGCGGCUGCGGCCUUGGCGGCCUCUUUGCCGGCGGGUUCAUCAGCGCCGGCCUCUCCUUCAGCGGCUUCGGUCUACAUCGGCUCUGGGGCGGUUGGAUCUGAAGAACGAAGAAUGGAGAGGAGUCAAGAAAAUAUGCAAAAACAAAGUCAGAAGAACAAAAACCCAAGGGCAAGUUUUUAGGCAAGUGGAUUACCUGUGAUGGGAUCUGCGGUCGCGGUUUCAGCCGCCGGAGGAUCGCUGGCGUGUUCCCUUGCCAGAGAACCAGCCCUUGCCGGAGAGUUCUCCUUUGCCGGGGAGUGCUCCGUUGCCGGGGACUCCACCCUUGGCGGCGUAGUCGAAGUAGAUGGCGCUUCGGGGGUGGCUUCUGGGCCCUCCUGGUGAGGCUUCUCUGCUCCUACACAAAUUCAACAAUCAAGAUGUCAGUAAGAGGAAAGAGCCACCAUGAGCGCCUGUCAGCAAGAAGUAAAAAUUAUGUACUUACGCGGGGGGCUACGCUGAGGGCUGCUCUGGGGAGUAGUUGCCGGGUCCGUCAAGGUGGGCUCAGGCACGCCCCCUGCUGACACGGUGGGAUCGUCUUCGAUGACGAUCACCGAGGCCUUGGCCCUCUUCGCCGCUCUCUGGGCCAGCGUCCUGAAAAGGAAUGGAUUCAGAUCGAAGCAAGUUAGAUACAGAAUGAAAGCGACAAAAUUGAAGAACUACGAGGACAGCAAGAAAAGCUUACUCUUCUUCUUCAUCAUCGGAGCUGAGCGUGGAGAGAUCGAAGUCCGGCUCGUCUCCGGUGCGACGAGGCGGAGAAGUAGGCUCUCUUGCCCGCUUGGCAGGAGCAGCAGCGGUAGGCCGGGAAGGUCCCGCUCUAGUUGCCGUAGCGGCGGGAGGCGCUCCCGCGGCAACGGUGCUUGCCGCGGUAGAGCGCGUCGCGCGGCUCGGCGGCUGUUGACCCGUCUGCCGCCCCGCUACGUCCCCGGCCCUGCGGAGACGCCUUCUUGGUGCGGCCUAGGGCUCCACUUGCGGCAGGUUGUCCGAAGGCUCUGGCUCUUCCUCGCCGGGCUUGCUCGCUCGGCUUCGGGGCCGACAAGAUCUUCCUCGCCGACGAACUCCUCGCGCUCGGCAAGGCUUGCCGCCUCUGCUGCCUCUGCCUCCGCCUCGGUGAACCCGAACUCGCCCGCGGCGGCUGCUGCCGCGGCCUCAUCUGCCCUAGUGGCGAUGCGCUGCAGCUCCGCGUCGGCACUUCCUCCAGGCUAUCGAAGAACCCCCGCACGACGUCAUCCGCCGGCUCUUGCCAAGUUGGGGCGAUUCCGUGAGAAUCGCACAACGGCAUCAUCGCGCGGAUCCGGUCAAGUGAAGAAUUGUUGCACAACGGAACGACGCUCCUCGGCAACGGGAACGGGUGUUGAGGGUCCCGUUUGAACAGCUCCAGGAGCAUUGCAUCCAGCUCUAGGACCGUGAAAUUGAAGUUGAGGCCCGGGCGCAGCCUCAUGAUGUCCGUCGAGUUCUUGAACUCCCAGGCAGGCCUCCCUCUCUCCUGCAGGGGGGCGAUGCGGCGGCGAAGGAAAUCUCCGCCGACAGCGCCUACAGUGAGCCCGGCAAGCCUAAGGCGGAGAAUUCUGGUGACGGUGAUCUUCAUCCUGUCAUCUUCUGGGGCCACGUUCCUCCAAUCAUUGCCGCGUACUAUUGGGGCUUGGCGCACGGCGGUGCACGGCUGCGGGUUCUCCUCAGUAAUCCAACACCACUCCGCUCUCCACUCCUCCCAUUUGCUGCGAAGCUCACCCUCCAGAUACGCCUCCUUCUUGCCGACUCUCGAGAUCCAGGCGAUCCCUCCGGCAAGCGGCUCUCCUCUCUCGACCCGAGGCAUGAAGAAGUGACGGAAAAGGGCUACAUUGGGGUGGACUCUGACAAAGUUUUCGCACAGAUGUGCGAAAACCGCCAUGGUCAGGACGGCGUUGGGGGUGAAAUCUAGGAGGCGAAGCCCGUACGUGUUCAUGAUAUCACAAAAGAACUCCGAGAAGGGCGGGCAGAGCCCGCAGUAAAAGAACAAUGCGAAGAACGGGUACCCGGUUGGAGCCAAUUCCAAUGCGGCGGCCGGAAGUACCCUCGUGCGCGGGUGCGCCCGCGUCUCCGUCGACCAGAAAAGGUGGUAGUGCUCCCUUAGCUCCUUGGCGUCGAGCUAAGGGGGGAAGACGGCCCGCUCCUUCCGCAGCGCCGCGAGCCGCUGCGCCUCGACCGACUUCACGCCCUUCCCCUUGUCGGCUUUCGGAGCCAUGGCGGAAGUGGCAGGGGAGGUCGACGGUGUUGGUGGUGCUGGUGGCGACGGGGGGCGGAGCGCUGCUCUCUCUUGGCUUUGAGAAGAAAGGGGGAGCGGCGGAGAUUUUCGAGGACGAGUCAACAAACGGCGGAGUGGGGAAACUGCCCCUGUUUCCCCUGCUUAUAAAGAGGGAGGGGGCGGACGUUUCGCCCCUCCGAAUAAAGAAACCCCCCACGAUCUCUCCCACGAUGCCGCGUUCAGCGCGUGCCGUUGGGGGAGGGCGCGGUGGAUCCGGAGCAAGAUUUGGCGUUACCCGGGCCGCGCGUGCCCGUGCCCUGUUUUGGGCCUGGCCCAACAACGCUCGGCACCGUGUCUGGCCCAGGCCUGGGGGCUCCUGUCGGCGUACUAGAAUAGGGGUACCCUAGUACCCCGAACUUGUGCAUGGGCAGUUGCAGCGCCCCGCGGCAAGGGCUUGCCGGGUGACCGCCAAGAUACUCUGUGGCUCCUUUGGGGCCAUUCAAGAACAAAGUAUUCAAGUCAAGAGGACAAGGCCCCGGCAAGAGGAGCUUGCCGGGAAGGCCAACCGAGGCAUCUCAAGGAACAUGCCGCGACGCACCACUCGUCCCGGCAAGGCUCGGCGAGCGACAAGCUUCCGGGCGCGACAAGACCACGACCGCGGCAAGGCGCUUGCCGCGGCAAGCGGCCUAUCUGUGCCCACGCUCCAGCGCAUCCACCAACGUGUCGCCCUGGGGGCCUCUCCAAGCGCGCGUGGCGGAGGGCUGUGCAGCCAGCGGUGCGCGGAGGCAUGCGACGCUGACAAGAUCGCCAUUGUGGCGAACGGUGGCACACCUAACGGUCCUUUUCUGCACUGUUUGGGCGACACAGACGGGCAUUUAAGGCCCUUGUCCCCUGCCGUCAGGGUUAGGUAGGGUGCACUGUGCAGGCAACUAUACCAACCACCUCUCUUUUUACGUUUUUACCCUUCUCUGCGUUGCCACCUGUCGGUGACCCCUUGCGCAUAUAAAAGGAGGCCCAUGCGCAACAGAGGGGGUUCGGCUCGACUGGUUCGCAAAUUCGGCUAGUUCGUACCAUUCGAAGCUAGGAGAACACUUAGCUCUCUUGAGCAAGAACACAAUAUAAUCAGACAAGCAGCAGUAGGAGUGUUAUCUCUCCGGAGAGCUCCGAAGCUGGGUAAACUGCUCGUGUGCUUCGCCUCGAUCUGCUCUUCGCGCGACCUCCGCCCCCCGCCGAACCGAAAGGGGCUCGGUCCGCCGGCCCCAUAGGUGUUCGUGGAUCAGUUUUCCCGACACCUAGAUUCCAAGUUAUAACCAUGCUGCAAUCAAGCAUCUAUUUGGUAUCUCAUAUCGAUACAUCCCACGACAGAUAUUGCUUUAUGGGAGUCAUACCGAUGGUAGUUUAAAGAAAUUCAUUGGGCCACUACCACGGGCAAUACAGCCGCAUUCCACGAUGUCCUCGACGAAUUGUAGCCCACUAUACUCAGCACAUGCUAUGGCUAUAUUGCCCGGGGUGCACAAUAAUACUGAAGAGUUCACGAAAGAUUCAGGGUACAUGUGGUUGUGUCUUGCCUAAGAUCCUAUAGAUUUUUUUUUACUAAUUGUGCAUAGUGAUCAAUUUUUACAAGAUGCAACGUACUUGCUUUUAGAUAGUGGCCGUGUGUUAGCCACUGUUGAAUUUAGGUCUGUUAUGUUUUUCAAAUGAAGCAAUGGUAUUUCAAUUGUGGUUGAACAGAUGAGAGGACAUCUUUUUUUUUGCUAUGCAACUAUCAUAGUAAACGUUCAUAAUAGCUAGGCAAAAUGUUCAAAAAUCGUCACAUAAUUAAGAGUAAAUUAUCUUCUCAGUUAUUUAAUAGUGUAGGUUCACAAUGAACAACGCCACUACUGCUGGGCCUCUUGACCAGCUGCCUCCGGCCGUUCAGCAACCUAGGUCACACUUUGCAAAUUCGUAGCCUUGGUUUUAUCAUGAUUUUUUUCCUUUAGACAUAAUAUUACUGAACUUUUCCUUUUGUUAUUAACAUUCCACAAACUUCGCCAAAUAGUUACAUGCCAUCGAGUAGCCAAAUAGUUAAGCAAUCUGAAGGUAUAUCAUCAUUUAGUAACAUUAGUGCAUCAAGGGGAGACAGUCUGUAGUAUAUAUAUCUUGAGCGGCAACAAACAAUGUGAGUUAUCUAUGGCUUUCAUGUGAACCAUUAUUCCGAGCUCCAUUAGUAAGUUCCGUUAGUUUGUUUCUAAGGCUGCGUUCGGCAACCCUCCAGUCCUCAAUCACGGAGCGGAGCGGACGGAGCAUCGUUUCAGCCGCUCCAUAAAUUACAACUGGCUGCUGCUCCGCUUCGGAACAGAGUUGCAGAGCCGGAGGGAAUCCGAACAUGCCUUAAAUAACUAGAAUGUACAUAGCCUUUCCUCCGUCCAUGUUGCUUUUUUUGAUCCAGUUUCGAUUAUUCUCCUCGAUUCAGCUGCUGAAAGAAAUACCAGAAUUGAUCUUUUAAUUCUGGUCAUUGGGCACCCUCUAAUUCAGUGGCCGCCCAUCUCUCCUCAAGUGCACGCUGCCAUCUUUUCUUCCUUGCUAUAUGAUACCAAGCCAGCACCGCAGGUAACCACAUGUUAGAAAAAAUAUUUAUUUUUCUGAACCAUUUAUAUUUCAAAAGUCUGCUUCAGUACUAUUUCAGAUGGUGAAUAAAUUAACGAAGAACGUUUCUUAUGCAUGUAGGGUCACCUGGUAAUUUUCUUAGGAACGCGAUUUUCCUAUUCCACAGUGAAAUCUGAGGUUGUCUUUAAACCACAACAAAUGAACUGGUGAUGCUUCCAUUGUGCGACUGUCUUUUUCGGCCAUUUACUAGAUGGCACACGCAUUAGCAUCAUAUUUUUUUAGUUUAAUAUGUCAGCUGAGACGACUUUGACUACCUUCUCACAUACUAUUCAGGGCAAUCACUAAUGAAUAAUUGGAUCUGGAAGCUCAUAUAUGAAGCUCCAAUCUUGGUAGCGGCAUAAAUGGAAUAUGAGAUCUAUGGAUAACAAAUCCAAGAACUACCUGUAGUUUCUAUGAUUUUCAAAGUUUGUAAUCUCUUCAAGAUUGUUAGUCGUUCAAGCUCACAAAUAGAAUAUAUGUGGGCAAAAACUCUGUCAGCUGUUUACACACAGGCCGUAGUUUUGAAGCAAAAAAGUAAGGCAAUAACUGAGGUGAAUGAGUCAAAAAUGACCUGUCAUCGAAAGUUUUUAAGUUAUUGCUACAUCACUUUUCAUGAUUUGGUGUACCUCUGAAUUUGGAUCUAUUUGUUAGCAUUUAUAAAAGAAAAAAUAAACAAUUUUCUUUGCCUAUAUAAGCAAUCAUAAAUUAGCAUGUUUCCAAUAAAAUAAGUGGUCAAUGUUGUAUUUUUUAUACUUUAUAUCUCUGAAUUUGGUUUAUCUAAUAAAUGCAUUAGUAUGUAUAUAUUUAGCUGUUUUAGGAAAGACUAGCCCGUGCGGGUGCACGGGUUGACGACUAGUAAUCUCAUAAUUAUUCACUUUUCUAUGAAUUGCUUGACAGUAAUUUGUGUUGGGGAACGUAGUAAUUUCAAAAAAAUUCCUACGCACACGCAAGAUCAUGGUGAUGACAUAGCAACGAGAGGGGAGAGUGUUGUCCACGUACCCUCGUAGACCGUAAGCGGAAGCGUUAGCACAACGCGGUUGAUGUAGUCGUACGUCUUCACGAUCUGACCGAUCCAAGCACCGAACGUACGGCACCUCCGAGUUCAGCACACGUUCAGCUCGAUGACGAUCACCGGGCUCCGAUCCAGCAAAGCUUCGGGGAUGAGUUUCGUCAGCACGACGGCGUGGUGACGAUGAUGAUGUUCUACCGGCGCAGGGCUUCGCCUAAACUCCGCGACGAUAUGACCGAGGUGGAAUAUGGUGGAGGGGGGCACCGCACNNNNNNNNNNNNNNNNNNNNNNNNNNNNNNNNNNNNNNNNNNNNNNNNNNNNNNNNNNNNNNNNNNNNNNNNNNNNNNNNNNNNNNNNNNNNNNNNNNNNNNNNNNNNNNNNNNNNNNNNNNNNNNNNNNNNNNNNNNNNNNNNNNNNNNNNNNNNNNNNNNNNNNNNNNNNNNNNNNNNNNNNNNNNNNNNNNNNNNNNNNNNNNNNNNNNNNNNNNNNNNNNNNNNNNNNNNNNNNNNNNNNNNNNNNNNNNNNNNNNNNNNNNNNNNNNNNNNNNNNNNNNNNNNNNNNNNNNNNNNNNNNNNNNNNNNNNNNNNNNNGGGAGUAGGACUCCCUUCUUUCCUAGUUGGAAUAGGAGAAGGGGGGAAAGAGGAGGAAGAGGGGAAGGAAAGGGGGGGCGCCGCCCCCCCUUCCCUUGUCCUAUUCGGACUAGGAAGGGGAGGGGCGCGCGGCCCCCUCCUGCCUCCUUCCCUCUUCUCCCUCGAGGCCCAUGUAGGCCCAAUAACCCCCGGGGGGGUUCCGGUAACCUCCCAGUGCUCCGGUAAAAUGCCGAUUUCACCCGGAACGAUUCCAAUGUCCAAAUAUAGGCUUCCAAUAUAUCGAUCUUUAUGUCUCGACCAUUUCGAGACUCCUCGUUACGUCCGUGAUCACAUCUGGGACUCCGAACAAACUUCGGUACAUCAAAACUUAUAAACUCAUAAUAAAAUUGUCAUCGUAACGUUAAGCGUGCGGACCCUACGGGUUCGAGAACUAUGUAGACAUGACCUAGAAGUAUUCUCGGUCAAUAACCAAUAGCGGAACCUGGAUGCCCAUAUUGGUUCCUACGUAUUCUAUGAAGAUCUUUAUCGGUCAAACCGCAUAACAACGUACAUUGUUCCCUUUGUCAUCGGUAUGUUACUUGCCCGAGAUUUGAUCGUCGGUAUCCAAUUCCUAGUUCAAUCUCGUUACCGGCAAGUCUCUUUACUCGUUCCGUAAUGCAUCAUUCCGUAACCAACUCAUUUGGACACAUUGCUUGCAAGGCUUAUAAAGAUGUGCAUUACCGAGAGGGCCCAGAGAUACCUCUCCGACAAUCGGAGUGACAAAACCUAAUCUCGAAAUACGCCAACUCAACAUGUACCUUCGGAGACACCUGUAGUACUCCUUUAUAAUCACCCAGUUACGUUGUGACGUUUGGUAGUACCCAAAGUGUUCCUCCAGUAAACGGGAGUUGCAUAUUUCUCAUAGUUAUAGGAACAUGUAUAAGUCAUGAAGAAAGCAAUAGCAAUAUACUAAACGAUCAAGUGCUAGGCUAACGGAAUGGGUCAUGUCAAUCACAUCAUUCUUCUAAUGAUGUGAUCCCAUUAAUCAAAUAACAACACAUGUCUAUGGUUAGGAAACAUAACCAUCUUUGAUUAAUGAGCUAGUCAAGUAGAGGCAUACUAGUUACUAUAUGUUUGUCUAUGUAUUCACACAUGUAUCAUGUUUCCGGUUAAUACAAUUCUAGCAUGAAUAAUAAACAUUUAUCAUGAUAUGAGGAAAUAAAUAAUAACUUUAUUAUUACCUCUAGGGCAUAUUUCCUUCAGUCUCCCACUUGCACUAGAGUCAAUAAUCUAGAUUACAUAGUAAUGAUUCUAACACCCAUGGAGUCUUGGUGCUGAUCAUGUUUUGCUUGUGAGAGUGGCUUAGUCAACGGGUCUGCAACAUUCAGAUCCGUAUGUAUCUUGCAAAUCUCUAUGUCUCCCACUUGGACUUGGUCCCGAAUGGAAUUGAAGCGUCUCUUGAUGUGCUUGGUCCUCUUGUGAAAUCUGGAUUCCUUUGCCAAGGCAAUUGCACCAGUAUUAUCACAGAAGAUUUUCAUUGGUCCCGACUCCUUCAUUUGUUGUUUCUGAAGCAGCUAUGUACUCCGCUUCACAUGUAGAUCCCGCCACGACGCUUUGUUUAGAACUGCACCAACUUACAGCUCCACCGUUUAAUAAAAACACGUAUCCGGUUUGCGAUUUAGAAUCGUCCGGAUCAGUGUCAAAGCUUGCAUCGACGUAACCAUUUACGACUAGCUCUUUGUCACCUCCAUAUACGAGAAACAUAUCCUUAGUCCUUUUUCAGGUAUUUCAGGAUGUUCUUGACCGCUGUCCAGUGAUCCACUCCUGGAUUACUUUGGUACCUUCCUGCCAAGCUUAUUGCUAAGCAUGCAUCAGGUCUGGUACACAGCAUUGCAUACAUGAUAGAGCCUAUGGCUGAAGCAUAGGGAACAUCUUUCAUUUUCUCUCUAUCUUCUGCAGUGGUCGGGCAUUGAAUCUGACUCCACUUCACACCUUGUAAUACAGGCAAGAACCCUUUCUUUGCUUGAUCCAUUUUGAACUUUUUCAAAACUUUUUCAAGGUAUGUGCUUUGUGAAAGUCCAAUUAAGCGUCUUGAUCUAUCUCUAUAGAUCUUGAUACCCAAUAUAUAAGCAUCUUCACCGAGGUCUUUCAUUGAAAAACUUUUAAUCAAGUAUCCUUUUAUGCUAUCUAGAAAUUCUCUAUCAUUUCCAAUCAACAAUAUGUCAUCUCCAUAUAAUAUCAGAAAUGCUACAGAGCUCCCACUCACUUUCUUGUAAAUACAGACUUCUCCAAAAGUCUGUAUAGAACCAUAUGCUUUGAUCACACUAUCAAAGCGUUUAUUUCAACUCCGAGAUGCUUGCACCAGUCCAUAAAUGGAACGCUGGAGCUUGCACACUUUGUUAGCACCUUUUGGAUCUACAAAACCUUCUGGAUGCAUCAUAUACAACUCUUCUUCCAGAAAUCCAUUUAAGAAUGCAGUUUUGACAUCCAUUUGCCAAAUUUCAUAAUUAUGAAAUGCAGCAAUAGCUAACAUGAUUCGGACAGACUUAAGCAUCGCUACGGGUGAGAAAGUCUCAUCGUAGUCAACUCCUUGAACUUGUCGAAAACCUUUCGCAACAAGUCGAGCUUUAUAGACAGUUACAUUACGAUCAGCAUCAUUCUUCUUCUUAAAAAUCCAUUUAUUCUCAAUGGCUUGCCGAUUAUCGGGCAAGUCAACCAAAGUCCAUACUUUGUUUUCAUACAUGGAUCCCAUCUCAGAUUUCAUGGCCUCUAGCCAUUUUGCAGAAUCUGGGCUCAUCAUCGCUUCCUCAUAGUUCGUAGGUUCAUCAUGGUCAAGCAACAUGACUUCCAGAAUUGGAUUACCGUACCACUCUGGUGCGGUUCUUACUCUGGUAGACCUACGAGGUUCAGUAGAAACUUGAUCUGAAGUUUCAUGAUCAAUAUCAUUAGCUUCCUCACUAAUUGGUGUAGUUGUCAUAGGAACCGGUUCUUGUGAUGAACUACUUUCCAAUAAGGGAGUAGAUACAGUUAUCUCAUCAAGUUCUACUUUCCUCCCACUCACUUCUUUCGAGAGAAACUCCUUCUCUAGAAAGGAUCCGAUUUUAGCAACGAAAAUCAUGCCCUCAGAUCUGUGAUAGAAGGUGUACCCAAUAGUCUCUUUUGGGUAUCCUAUGAAGACACAUUUCUCCGAUUUGGGUUCGAGCUUAUCUGGUUGAAGUUUCUUCACAUAAGCAUCGCAGCCCCAAACUUUAAGAAACGACAACUUUGGUUUCUUGCCAAACCACAGUUCAUAAGGCGUCGUCUCAACGGAUUUUGAUGGUGCCCUAUUUAACGUGAAUGCGGCCGUCUCUAAAGCAUAACCCCAAAACGAUAGCGGUAAAUCAGUAAGAGACAUCAUAGAUCGCACCAUAUCUAGUAAAGUACGAUUACGACAUUCGGACACACCAUUUCGUUGUGGUGUUCCGGGUGGCGUGAGUUGCGAAACUAUUCCGUGUUGUUUCAAGUGUAGACCAAACUCGUAACUCAAAUAUUCUCCUCCACGAUCAGAUCGUAGAAAUUUUAUUUUCCUGUUACGAUGAUUUUCUACUUCACUCUAAAAUUCUUUGAACUUUUCAAAUGUUUCAGACUUGUGUUUCAUCAAGUAGAUAUACCCAUAUCUACUCAAAUCAUCUGUGAAGGUGAGAAAAUAACGAUAUCCGCCGCGAGCCUCAACAUUCAUUGGACCACAAACAUCAGUAUGUAUGAUUUCCAACAAAUCAGUUGCUCGCUCCAUAGUUCCGAAGAACGGCGUUUUAGUCAUCUUGCCCAUGAGGCACGGUUCGCAAGUACCAAGUGAUUCAUAAUCAAGUGAUUCCAAAAUCCCAUCAGUAUGGAGUUUCUUCAUGCGCUUUACACCGAUAUGACCUAAACGGCAGUGCCACAAAUAAGUUGCACUAUCAUUAUUAACUCUGCAUCUUUUGGUUUCAACACUAUGAAUAUGUGUAUCACUACUAUCGAGAUUCAAUAAAAAUAGACCACUCUUCAAGGGUGCAUGACCAUAAAAGAUAUUACUCAUAAAAAUGGAACAACCAUUAUUCUCUGAUUUAAAUGAAUAACCGUCUCGCAUCAAACAAGAUCCAGAUAUGAUGUUCAUGCUUAACGCUGGCACCAAAUAACAAUUAUUUAGGUCUAAAACUAAUCCCGAUGGUAGAUGUAGAGGUAGCGUGCCUACCGCGAUCACAUCGACUUUGGAACCAUUUCCCACGCGCAUCGUCACCUCGUCCUUAGCCAAUCUUCGCUUAAUCCAUAGUCCCUGUUUUGAGUUGCAAAUAUUAGCAACAUAAUCAGUAUCCAAUACCCAGGUGCUACUGCGAGCAUAAGUAAGGUACACAUCAAUAACAUGUAUAUCACAUAUACCUUUGUUCACUUUGCCAUCCUUCUUAUCCGCCAAAUACUUGGGGCAGUUCCGCUUCCAGUGUCCAGUCUGCUUGCAGUAGAAGCACUCAGUUUCAUGCUUAGGUUCAGACUUGGGUUUCUUCUCUUGAUCAGCAACUUGCUUGGUGUUCUUUUUGAAGUUCCCCUUCUUCUUCCCUUUGCCCUUUUUUUCUUGAAACUGGUCGUCUUGUUAACCAUCAACACUUGAUGCUCCUUCUUGAUUUCUACCUCCGCGGCUUUUAGCAUUGCGAAGAGCUCGGGAAUAGUCUUGUUCAUCCCUUGCAUAUUAUAGUUCAUCACGAAGCUCUUGUAGCUUGGUGGCAGUGAUUGAAGAAUUCUGUCAAUGACACUAUCAUCAGGAAGAUUAACUCCCAGUUGAAUCAAGUGAUUAUUAUACCCAGACAUUUUGAGUAUGUGUUCACUGACAAAACUAUUCUCCUCCAUCUUGCAGCUAUAGAACUUAUUGGAGACUUCAUAUCUCUCAAUCCGGGCAUUUGCUUGAAAUAUUAACUUCAACUCCUGGAACAUCUCAUAUGCUCCAUGACGUUCAAAACGUCGUUGAAGACCCUGUUCUAAGCCGUAAAGCAUGGCACACUGAAGUAUCGAGUAGUCAUCAGCUUUGCUCUGCCAGACGUUCUUAACGUCGUCAGUUGCAUCAGAAGUAGGCCUGGCACCCAGCGGUGCUUCCAGGACGUAACUUUUCUGUGCAGCAAUGAGGAUAAUCCUCAGGUUACGGACCCAGUCCGUGUAAUUGCUGCCAUCAUCUUUCAACUUUGCUUUCUCAAGGAACGCAUUAAAAUUCAACGGAACAACACCACGAGCCAUCUAUCUACAAACAAACAUAGACAAGCAAAAUACUAUCAGGUACUAAGUUCUUGAUAAAUUUAAGUUCAAUUAAUCAUAUUACUAAAGAACUCCCACUUAGACAGACAUCUCUCUAGUCAUCUAAGUGAUCACGUGAUCCAAAUCAACUAAACCAUGUCCGAUCAUCACGUGAGAUGGAGUAGUUUCAAUGGUGAACAUCAAUAUGUUGAUCAUAUCUACUAUAUGAUUCACACUCGACCUUUCGGUCUCCGUGUUCCGAGGCCAUAUCUGUAUAUGCUAGGCUCGUCAAGUAUGACCUGAGUAUUCCGCAUGUGCAACUGUUUUGCACCCGUUGUAUUUGAACGUAGAGCCUAUCACACCCGAUCAUCACGUGGUGUCUCAGCACGAAGAACUUUCACAACGGUGCAUACUCAGGGAGAACACUUCUUGAUUAUUAGUGAGAGAUCAUCUUAAAAUGCUACCGUCAAUCAAAGCAAGAUAAGAUGCAUAAAGGAUAAACAUCACAUGCAAUCAAUAUAAGUGAUAUGAUAUGGCCAUCAUCAUCUUGUGCUUGUGAUCUCCAUCUUCGAAGCACCGUCGUGAUCACCAUCGUCAGCGGUGCGACACCUUGAUCUCCAUCGUAGCAUCGUUGUCGUUACGCCUUCUAUUGCUUCUACGACUAUCGCUACCGCUUAGAGAUAAAGUAAAGCAAUUACAGGGCGUUUGCAUUUCAUACAAUAAAGCGACAACCAUAUGGCUCCUGCCAGUUGCCGAUAACUUCGGUUACAAAACAUGAUCAUCUCAUACAAUAUAAUAUAGCAUCACGUCUUGACCAUAUCACAUCACAACAUGCCCUGCAAAAACAAGUUAGACGUCCUCUACUUUGUUGUUGCAAAUUUUACGUGGCUGCUACGGGCUUUAGCAAGAACCGUUCUUACCUACGCAUAAAAACCACAACGAUAGUUCGUCAUGUUGGUGCUCUUUUAACCUCCGCAAGGACCGGGCGUAGCCACACUUGAUUCAGCUAAAGUGAGAGAGACAGACACCCGCCAGCCACCUUUAAGCACGAGUGCUCGUAACGGUGAAACCAGUCUUGCGUAAGCGUACGCGUAAUGUCGGUCCGGGCCGCUUCAUCUCACAAUACCGCCGAACCAAAGUAUGACAUGCUGGUAAGCAGUAUGACUUGUAUUGCCCACAACUCACUUGUGUUCUACUCGUGCAUAUAACAUCAACGCAUAAAACCUAGGCUCUGAUACCACUGUUGGGGAACGUAGUAAUUUCAAAAAAUUUCCUACGCACACGCAAGAUCAUGGUGAUGACAUAGCAACGAGAGGGGAGAGUGUUGUCCACGUACCCUCGUAGACCGUAAGCGGAAGCGUUAGCACAACGCGGUUGAUGUAGUCGUACGUCUUCACGAUCCGACCGAUCCAAGCACCGAACGUAUGACACCUCCGAGUUCAGCACACGUUCAGCUCGAUGAUGAUCCCCGGGCUCCGAUCCAGCUAAGCUUCGGGGAUGAGUUCCGUCAGCACGACGGCGUGGUGACGAUGAUGAUGUUCUACCGGCGCAGGGCUUCGCCUAAACUCCGCGAUGAUAUGACCGAGGUGGAAUGUGGUGGAGGGGGGCACCGCACACGGCUAAGGAACGAUCCGUAGAUCAACUUGUGUGUCUAUGGGGUGCCCCCAGCCCCCGUAUAUAAAGGAGCCAGGGGGGUGGAGGCGGCCAGCCAAGGAGGGCGCGCCAAGGGGGGAGUCCUACUCCCACCGAGAGUAGGACUCCCUUCUUUCCUAGUUGGAAUAGGAGAAGGGGGGAAAGAGGAGGAAGAGGGGAAGGAAAGGGGGGGCGCCGCCCCCCUUCCCUUGUCCUAUUCGGACUAGGAAGGGGAGGGGCGCGCGGCCCCCUCCUGCCUCCUUCCCUCUUCUCCCUCGAGGCCCAUGUAGGCCCAAUAACCCCCGGGGGUGUUCCGGUAACCUCCUGGUGCUCCGGUAAAAUGCCGAUUUCACCCGCAACGAUUCCGAUGUCCAAAUAUAGGCUUCCAAUAUAUCGAUCUUUAUGUCUCGACCAUUUCGAGACUCCUCGUUACGUCCGUGAUCACAUCCGGGACUCCGAACAAACUUCGGUACAUCAAAACUUAUAAACUCAUAAUAAAACCGUCAUCGUAACAUUAAGCGUGCGGACCCUACGGGUUCGAGAACUAUGUAGACACGACCUAGAACUAUUCUCGGUCAAUAACCAAUAGCGGAACCUGGAUGCCCAUAUUGGUUCCUACAUAUUCUACGAAGAUCUUUAUCGGUCAAACCGCAUAACAACAUACGUUGUUCCCUUUGUCAUCGGUAUGUUACUUGCCCGAGAUUUGAUCAUCGGUAUCCAAUACCUAGUUCAAUCUCGUUACCGGCAAGUCUCUUUACUUGUUCCGUAAUGCAUCAUUCCGUAACCAACUCAUUUUUUCACAUUGCUUGCAAGGCUUAUAAAGAUGUGCAUUACCGAGAGGGCCCAGAGAUACCUCUCCGACAAUCGGAGUGACAAAACCUAAUCUCGAAAUACGCCAACUCAACAUGUACCUUCGGAGACACCUGUAGUACUCCUUUAUAAUCACCCAGUUACGUUGUGACGUUUGGUAGUACCCAAAGUGUUCCUCCAGUAAACGGGAGUUGCAUAUUUCUCAUAGUUAUAGGAACAUGUAUAAGUCACGAAGAAAGCAAUAGCUAUAUACUAAACGAUCAAGUGAUAGGCUAACGAAAUGGGUCAUGUGAAUCACAUCAUUCUUCUAAUGAUGUGAUCCCAUUAAUCAAAUGACAACACAUGUCUAUGGUAAGGAAACAUAACCAUCUUUGAUUAAUGAGCUAGUCAAGUAGAGGCAUACUAGUUACUAUAUGUUUGUCUAUGUAUUCACACAUGUAUCAUGUUUCCGGUUAAUACAAUUCUAGCAUGAAUAAUAAACAUUUAUCAUGAUAUGAGGAAAUAAAUAAUAACUUUAUUAUUGCCUCUAGGGCAUAUUUCCUUCAGUCUCCCACUUGCACUAGAGUCAAUAAUCUAGAUUACAUAGUAAUGAUUCUAACACCCAUGGAGUCUUGGUGCUGAUCAUGUUUUGCUCGUGAGAGUGGCUUAGUCAACAGGUCUGCAACAUUCAGAUCCGUAUGUAUCUUGCAAAUCUCUAUGUCUCCCACCUGGACUUGGUCCCGAAUGGAAUUGAAGCAUCUCUUGAUGUGCUUGGUCCUCUUGUGAAAUCUGGUUUCCUUUGCCAAGGCAAUUGCACCAGUAUUAUCACAGAAGAUUUUCAUUGGUCCCGAUGCACUAGGUAUGACAACUAGGUCGGAAAUGAACUCCUUCAUCCAGACUCCUUCAUUUGUUGUUUCUGAAGCAACUAUGUACUCCGUUUCACAUGUAGAUCCCCCCACGACGCUUUGUUUAGAACUGCACCAACUUACAGCUCCACCGUUUAAUAAAAACACGUAUCCGGUUUGCAAUUUAGAAUCGUCCGGAUCAGUGUCAAAGCUUGCAUCGACGUAACCAUUUACGACUAGCUCUUUGUCACCUCCAUAUACGAGAAAAAUAUCCUUAGUCCUUUUUCAGGUAUUUCAGGAUGUUCUUGACCGCUGUCCAGUGAUCCACUCCUGGAUUACUUUGGUACCUUCCUGCCAAGCUUAUUUCUAAGCAUACAUCAGGUCUGGUACACAGCAUUGCAUACAUGAUAGAGCCUAUGGCUGAAGCAUAGGGAACAUCUUUCAUUUUCUCUCUAUCUUCUGCAGUGGUCGGGCAUUGAGUCUGACUCCACUUCACACCUUGUAAUACAGGCAAGAACCCUUUCUUUGCUUGAUCCAUUUUGAACUUUUUCAAAACUUUUUCAAGGUAUGUGCUUUGUGAAAGUCCAAUUAAGCGUCUUGAUCUAUCUCUAUAGAUCUUGAUACCCAAUAUAUAAGCAUCUUCACCGAGGUCUUUCAUUGAAAAACUUUUAAUCAAGUAUCCUUUUAUGCUAUCCAGAAAUUCUCUAUCAUUUCCAAUCAACAAUAUGUCGUCUCCAUAUAAUAUCAGAAAUGCUACAGAGCUCCCACUCACUUUCUUGUAAAUACAGGCUUCUCCAAAAGUCUGUAUAAAACCAUAUGCUUUGAUCACACUAUCAAAGCGUUUAUUCCAACUCCGAGAUGCUUGCACCAGUCCAUAAAUGGAACGUUGGAGCUUGCACACUUUGUUAGCACCUUUUGGAUCUACAAAACCUUCUAGAUGCAUCAUAUACAACUCUUCUUCCAGAAAUCCAUUCAAGAAUGCAUUUUUGACAUCCAUUUGCCAAAUUUCAUAAUUAUGAAAUGCAGCAAUAGCUAACAUGAUUCGGACAGACUUAAGCAUCGCUACGGGUGAGAAAGUCUCAUCGUAGUCAACUCAUUGAACUUGUCGAAAACCUUUCGCAACAAGUCGAGCUUUAUAGACAGUUACAUUACCAUCAGCGUCAGUCUUCUUCUUAAAAAUCCAUUUAUACUCAAUGGCUUGCCGAUCAUUGGGCAAGUCAACCAAAGUCCAUAGUUUGUUUUCAUACAUGGAUCCCAUCUCAGAUUUCAUGGCCUCUAGCCAUUUUGCGGAAUCUGGGCUCAUCAUCGCUUCCUCAUAGUUCGUAGGUUCAUCAUGGUCAAGCAACAUGACUUCCAGAAUUGGAUUACCGUACCACUCUGGUGCGGUUCUUACUCUGGUAGACCUACGAGGUUCAGUAGAAACUUGAUCUGAAGUUUCAUGAUCAAUAUCAUUAGCUUCCUCACUAAUUGGUGUAGUUGUCACAGGAACCGGUUCUUGUGAUGAACUACUUUCCAAUAAGGGAGUAGAUACAGUUAUCUCAUCAAGUUCUACUUUCCUCCCACUCACUUCUUUAGAGAGAAACUCCUUCUCUAGAAAGGAUCCGAUUUUAGCAACGAAAAUCUUGCCCUCAGAUCUGUGAUAGAAGGUGUACCGAAUAGUCUCUUUCGGGUAUCCUAUGAAGACACAUUUCUCCGAUUUGGGUUCGAGCUUAUCUGGUUGAAGUUUCUUCACAUAAGCAUCGCAGCCCCAAACUUUAAGAAACGACAACUUUGGUUUCUUGCCAAACCACAGUUCAUAAGGCGUCGUCUCAACGGAUUUUGAUGGUGCCCUAUUUAACGUGAAUGCGGCCGUCUCUAGAGCAUAACCCCAAAACGAUAGCGGUCAAUCAGUAAAAGACAUCAUAGAUCGCACCAUAUCUAGUAAAGUACGAUUACGACAUUCGGACACACCAUUUCGUUGUGGUGUUCCGGGUGGCGUGAGUUGCGAAACUAUUCCAUGUUGUUUCAAGUGUAGACCAAACUCGUAACUCAAAUAUUCUCCUCCAUGAUCAGAUCGUAGAAAUUUUAUUUUCCUGUUAUGAUAAUUUUCUACUUCACUCUAAAAUUCUUUGAACUUUUCAAAUGUUUCAGACUUGUGUUUCAUCAAGUAGAUAUACCCAUAUCUGCUCAAAUCAUCUGUGAAGGCGAGAAAAUAACGAUAUCCGCCGUGAGUCUCAACAUUCAUUGGACCACAAACAUCAGUAUGUAUGAUUUCCAACAAAUCAGUUGCUCGCUCCAUAGUUCCUGAGAACGACGUUUUAGUCAUCUUGCCCAUGAGGCACGGUUCGCAAGUACCAAGUGAUUCAUAAUCAAGUGAUUCCAAAAUCCCAUCAGUAUGGAGUUUCUUCAUGCGCUUUACACCGAUAUGACCUAAACGGCAGUGCCACAAAUAAGUUGCACUAUCAUUAUUAACUCUGCAUCUUUUGGUUUCAACACUAUGAAUAUGUGUAUCACUACUAUCGAGAUUCAAUAAAAAUAGACCACUCUUCAAGGGUGCAUGACCAUAAAAGAUAUUACUCAUAUAAAUAGAACAACCAUUAUUCCCUGAUUUAAAUGAAUAACCGUCUCGCAUCAAACAAGAUCCAGAUAUGAUGUUCAUGCUUAACGCUGGCACCAAAUAACAAUUAUUUAGGUCUAAAACUAAUCCCAAUGGUAGAUGUAGAGGUAGCAUGCCGACCGCGAUCACAUCGACUUUGGAACCAUUUCCCACGCGCAUCGUCACCUCGUCCUUAGCCAAUCUUCGCUUAAUCCGUAGUCCCUGUUUCGAGUUGCAAAUAUUAGCAACAUAAUCAGUAUCAAAUACCCAGGUGCUACUACGAGCAUUAGUAAGGUACACAUCAAUAACAUGUAUAUCACAUAUACCUUUGUUCACUUUGCCAUCCUUCUUAUCCGCCAAAUACUUGGGGCAGUUCCGCUUCCAGUGCCCAGUCUGCUUGCAGUAGAAGCACUCAGUUUCAUGCUUAGGUCCAGACUUGGGUUUCUUCUCUCGAGCAGCAACUUGCUUGGUGUUCUUUUUGAAGUUCCCCUUCUUCUUCCCUUUGCCCUUUUUCUUGAAACUGGUGGUCUUGUUAACCAUCAACACUUGAUGCUCCUUCUUGAUUUCUACCUCCGCGGCUUUUAGCAUUGCGAAGAGCUCGGGAAUAUUCUUGUUCAUCCCUUGCAUAUUAUAGUUCAUCACGAAGCUCUUGUAGCUUGGUGGCAGUGAUUGAAGAAUUCUGUCAAUGACACUAUCAUCAGGAAGAUUAACUCCCAGUUGAAUCAAGUGAUUAUUAUACCCAGACAUUUUGAGUAUGUGUUCACUGACAAAACUAUUCUCCUCCAUCUUGCAGCUAUAGAACUUAUUGGAGACUUCAUAUCUCUCAAUCCGGGCAUUUGCUUGAAAUAUUAACUUCAACUCCUGGAACAUCUCAUAUGCUCCAUGACGUUCAAAACGUCGUUGAAGACCUGGUUCUAAGCCGUAAAGCAUGGCACACUGAACUAUCGAGUAGUCAUCAGCUUUGCUCUGCCAGAUGUUCUUAACGUCGUCAGUUGCAUCCGCAGCAGGCCUGGCACCCAGCGGUGCUUCCAGGACGUAACUUUUCUAUGCAGCAAUGAGGAUAAUCCUCAGGUUACAGACCCAGUCCGUGUAAUUGCUACCAUCAUCUUUCAGCUUUGCUUUCUCAAGGAACGCAUUAAAAUUCAACGGAACAACAGCAUGAGCCAUCUAUCUACAAACAAACAUAGACAAGAAAAAUACUAUCAGGUACUAAGUUCAUGAUAAAUUUAAGUUCAAUUAAUCAUAUUACUAAAGAACUCCCACUUAGACAGACAUCUCUCUAGUCAUCUAAGUGAUCACAUGAUCCAAAUCAACUAAACCAUGUCCGAUCAUCACGUGAGAUGGAGUAGUUUCAAUGGUGAACAUCAAUAUGUUGAUCAUAUCUACUAUAUGAUUCACGCUCGACCUUUCGGUCUCCGUGUUCGGAGGCCAUAUCUGUAUAUGCUAGGAUCGUCAAGUAUGACCUGAGUAUUCCGCGUGUGCAACUGUUUUGCACCCGUUGUAUUUGAACGUAGAGCCUAUCACAUCCGAUCAUCACGUGCUGUCUCAGCACGAAGAACUUUCGCAACGGUGCAUACUCAGGGAGAACACUUCUUGAUUAUUAGUGAGAGAUCAUCUUAAAAUGCUACCGUCAAUCAAAGCAAGAUAAGAUGCAUAAAGGAUAAACAUCACAUGCAAUCAAUAUAAGUGAUAUGAUAUGGCCAUCAUCAUCUUGUGCUUGUGAUCUCCAUCUUCGAAGCACCAUCGUGAUCACCAUCGUCACCGGUGCGACACCUUGAUCUCCAUCGUAGCAUCAUUGUCGUUACACCAUCUAUUGCUUCUACGACUAUCGCUACCGCUUAGAGAUAAAGUAAAGCAAUUACAGGGCGUUUGCAUUUCAUACAAUAAAGCGACAACCAUAUGGCUCCUGCCAGUUGCCGAUAACUUCGGUUACAAAACAUGAUCAUCUCAUACAAUAUAAUAUAGCAUCACAUCUUGACCAUAUCACAUCACAACAUGCCCUGCAAAAACAAGUUAGACGUCCUCUACUUUGUUGUUGCAAAUUUUACGUGGCUGCUACGGGCUUUAGCAAGAACCGUUCUUACCUACGCAUAAAAACCACAACGAUAGUUCGUCAAGUUGGUGCUGUUUUAACCUCCGCGAGGACCGGGCGUAGCCACACUCGAUUCAGCUAAAGUGAGAGAGACAGACACCCGCCAGCCACCUUUAAGCACGAGUUCUCAUAACGGUGAAACCAGUCUCGCGUAAGCGUACGCGUAAUGUCGGUCCGGGCCGCUUCAUCUCACAAUACCGCCGAACCAAAGUAUGACAUGCUGGUAAGCAGUAUGACUUGUAUCGCCCACAACUCACUUGUGUUCUACUCGUGCAUAUAACAUCAACGCAUAAAACCUAGGCUCUGAUACCACUGUUGGGGAACGUAGUAAUUUCAAAAAAGUUGCUACGCACACGCAAGAUCAUGGUGAUGACAUAGCAACGAGAGGGGAGAGUGUUGUCCACGUACCCUUGUAGACCGUAAGCGGAAGCGUUAGCACAACGCGGUUGAUGUAGUCGUACGUCUUCACGAUCCGACCGAUCCAAGCACCGAACGUAUGACACCUCCGAGUUCAGCACACGUUCAGCUCGACGACGAUCCCCGGUCUCCGAUCCAGCUAAGCUUCGGGGAUGAGUUCCGUCAGCACGACGGCGUGGUGACGAUGAUGAUGUUCUACUGGCGCAGGGCUUCGCCUAAACUCCGCGACGAUAUGACCGAGGUGGAAUAUGGUGGAGGGGGGCACCGCACAUGGCUAAGGAACGAUCCGUAGAUCAACUUGUGUGUCUAUGGGGUGCCCCCAGCCCCCGUAUAUAAAGAAGCCAUGGGGGAGGAGGCGGCCAGCCAAGGAGGGCGCGCCAAGGGGGGAGUCCUACUCCCAUCGGGAGUAGGACUCCCUUCUUUCCUAGUUGGAAUAGGAGAAGGGGGGAAAGAGGAGGAAGAGGGGAAGGAAAGGGGGGGCGCCGCCCCCUUCCCUUGUCCUAUUCGGACUAGGAAGGGGAGGGGCGCGCGGUCCCCUCCUGCCUCCUUCCCUCUUCUCCCUCGAGGCCCAUGUAGGCCCAAUAACCCCCGGGGGGGUUCCGGUAACCUCCCGGUGCUCCGGUAAAAUGCCGAUUUCACCCGCAACGAUUCCGAUGUCCAAAUAUAGGCUUCCAAUAUAUCGAUCUUUAUGUCUCGACCAUUUCGAGACUCCGCGUUACGUCCGUCAUCACAUCCGGGACUCCGAACAAACUUCGGUACAUCAAAACUUAUAAACUCAUAAUAAAACUGUCAUCGUAACGUUAAGCGUGCGGACCCUGCGGGUUCGAGAACUAUGUAGACAUGACCUAGAACUAUUCUCGGUCAAUAACCAAUAGCGGAACCUGGAUGCCCAUAUUGGUUCCUACAUAUUCUAUGAAGAUCUUUAUCGGUCAAACCGCAUAACAACAUACGUUGUUCCCUUUGUCAUCGGUAUGUUACUUGCCCGAGAUUUGAUCGUCGGUAUCCAAUACCUAGUUCAAUCUCGUUACCGGCAAGUCUCUUUACUCAUUCCGUAAUGCAUCAUUCCGUAACCAACUCAUUUGGUCACAUUGCUUGCAAGGCUUAUAAAGAUGUGCAUUACCGAGAGGGCCCAGAGAUACCUCUCCGACAAUCGGAGUGACAAAACCUAAUCUCGAAAUACGCCAACUCAACAUGUACCUUCGGAGACACCUGUAGUACUCCUUUAUAAUCACCCAGUUACGUUGUGACGUUUGGUAGUACCCAAAGUGUUCCUCCAGUAAACGGGAGUUGCAUAUUUCUCAUAGUUAUAGGAACAUGUAUAAGUCACGAAGAAAGCAAUAGCUAUAUACUAAACGAUCAAGUGAUAGGCUAACGAAAUGGGUCAUGUGAAUCACAUCAUUCUUCUAAUGAUGUGAUCCCAUUAAUCAAAUGACAACACAUGUCUAUGGUAAGGAAACAUAACCAUCUUUGAUUAAUGAGCUAGUCAAGUAGAGGCAUACUAGUUACUAUAUGUUUGUCUAUGUAUUCACACAUGUAUCAUGUUUCCGGUUAAUACAAUUCUAGCAUGAAUAAUAAACAUUUAUCAUGAUAUGAGGAAAUAAAUAAUAACUUUAUUAUUGCCUCUAGGGCAUAUUUCCUUCAGUCUCCCACUUGCACUAGAGUCAAUAAUCUAGAUUACAUAGUAAUGAUUCUAACACCCAUGGAGUCUUGGUGCUGAUCAUGUUUUGCUCGUGAGAGUGGCUUAGUCAACGGGUCUGCAACAUUCAGAUCCGUAUGUAUCUUGCAAAUCUCUAUGUCUCCCACUUGGACUUGGUCCCGAAUGGAAUUGAAGCGUCUCUUGAUGUGCUUGGUCCUCUUGUGAAAUCUGGAUUCCUUUGCCAAGGCAAUUGCACCAGUAUUAUCACAGAAGAUUUUCAUUGGUCCCGAUGCACUAGGUAUGACACCUAGGUCGGAAAUGAACUCCUUCAUCAAGACUCCUUCAUUUGUUGUUUCUGAAGCAGCUAUGUACUCCGCUUCACAUGUAGAUCCCGCCACGACGCUUUGUUUAGAACUGCACCAACUUACAGCUCCACCGUUUAAUAAAAACACGUAUUCGGUUUGCGAUUUAGAAUCGUCCGGAUCAGUGUCAAAGCUUGCAUCGACGUAACCAUUUACGACUAGCUCUUUGUCACCUCCAUAUACGAGAAACAUAUCCUUAGUCCUUUUCAGGUAUUUCAGGAUGUUCUUGACCGUUGUCCAGUGAUCCACUCCUGGAUUACUUUGGUACCUUCCUGCCAAGCUUAUUGCUAAGCAUACAUCAGGUCUGGUACACAGCAUUGCAUACAUGAUAGAGCCUAUGGCUGAAGCAUAGGGAACAUCUUUCAUUUUCUCUCUAUCUUCUGCAGUGGUCGGGCAUUGAGUCUGACUCCACUUCACACCUUGUAAUACAGGCAAGAACCAUUUCUUUGCUUGAUCCAUUUUGAACUUUUUCAAAACUUUUUCAAGGUAUGUGCUUUGUGAAAGUCCAAUUAAGCGUCUUGAUCUAUCUCUAUAGAUCUUGAUACCCAAUAUAUAAGCAUCUUCACCGAGGUCUUUCAUUGAAAAACUUUUAAUCAAGUAUCCUUUUAUGCUAUCCAGAAAUUCUCUAUCAUUUCCAAUCAACAAUAUGUCGUCUCCAUAUAAUAUCAGAAAUGCUACAGAGCUCCCACUCACUUUCUUGUGAAUACAGGCUUCUCCAAAAGUCUGUAUAAAACCAUAUGCUUUGAUCACACUAUCAAAGCGUUUAUUCCAACUCCGAGAUGCUUGCACCAGUCCAUAAAUGGAACACUGGAGCUUGCACACUUUGUUAGCACCUUUUGGAUCUACAAAACCUUCUGGAUGCAUCAUAUACAACUCUUCUUCCAGAAAUCCAUUCAAGAAUGCAGUUUUGACAUCCAUUUGCCAAAUUUCAUAAUUAUGAAAUGCUGCAAUAGCUAACAUGAUUCGGACAGACUUAAGCAUCGCUACGGGUGAGAAAGUCUCAUCGUAGUCAACUCCUUGAACUUGUCAAAAACCUUUCGCAACAAGUCGAGCUUUAUAGACAGUUACAUUACCAUCAGCGUUAGUAUUCUUCUUAAAAAUCCAUUUAUUCUCAAUGGCUUGCCGGUCAUCGGGCAAGUCAACCAAAGUCCAUACUUUGUUUUCAUACAUGGAUCCCAUCUCAGAUUUCAUGGCCUCUAGCCAUUUUGCGGAAUCUGGGCUCAUCAUCGCUUCCUCAUAGUUCGUAGGUUCAUCAUGGUCAAGCAACAUGACUUCCAGAAUUGGAUUACCGUACCACUCUGGUGCGGUUCUUACUCCGGUAGACCUACGAGGUUCAGUAGAAACUUGAUCUGAAGUUUCAUGAUCAAUAUCAUUAGCUUCCUCACUAAUUGGUGUAGUGGUCACAGGAACCGGUUCUUGUGAUGAACUACUUUCCAAUAAGGGAGUAGAUAUAGUUAUCUCAUCAAGUUCUACUUUCCUCCCACUCACUUCUUUCGAGAGAAACUCCUUCUCUAGAAAGGAUCCGAUUUUAGCAACGAAAAUCUUGCCCUCAGAUCUAUGAUAGAAGGUGUACCAAAUAGUCUCUUUUGGGUAUCCUAUGAAGACACAUUUCUCCGAUUUGGGUUCGAGCUUAUCUGGUUGAAGUUUCUUCACAUAAGCAUCGCAGCCCUAAACUUUAAGAAACGACAACUUUGGUUUCUUGCCAAACCACAGUUCAUAAGGCGUCGUCUCAAUGGAUUUUGAUGGUGCCCUAUUUAACGUGAAUGCGGCCGUCUCUAAAGCAUAACCCCAAAACGAUAGCGGUAAAUCAGUAAGAGACAUCAUAGAUCACACCAUAUCUAGUAAAGUACGAUUACGACAUUCGGACACACCAUUUCGUUGUGGUGUUCCGAGUGGUGUGAGUUGCGAAACUAUUCCGUGUUGUUUCAAGUGUAGACAAAACUAGUAACUCAAAUAUUCUCCUCCACGAUCAGAUCGUAGAAAUUUUAUUUUCCUGUUAUGAUGAUUUUCUACUUCACUCUAAAAUUCUUUGAAUUUUUCAAAUGUUUUAGACUUGUGUUUCAUCAAGUAGAUAUACCCAUAUCUGCUCAAAUCAUCUGUGAAGGUGAGAAAAUAACGAUAUCCGCCGCGAGCCUCAACAUUCAUUGGACCACAAACAUCAGUAUGUAUGGUUUCCAACAAAUCAGUUGCUCGCUCCAUAGUUCUGGAGAACGGCGUUUUAGUCAUCUUCCCCAUGAGGCACGAUUCGCAAGUACCAAGUGAUUCAUAAUCAAGUGAUUCCAAAAUCCCAUCAGUAUGGAGUUUCUUCAUGCACUUUACACCGAUAUGACCUAAACGGCAGUGCCACAAAUAAGUUGCACUAUCAUUCUUAACUCUGCAUCUUUUGGUUUCAACACUAUGAAUAUGUGUAUCACUACUAUCGAGAUUCAAUAAAAAUAGACCACUCUUCAAGGGUGCAUGACCAUAAAAGAUAUUACUCAUAUAAAUAGAACAACCAUUAUUCUCUGAUUUAAAUGAAUAACCGUCUCGCAUCAAACAAGAUCCAGAUAUGAUGUUCACGCUUAACGCUGGCACCAAAUAACAAUUAUUUAGGUCUAAAACUAAUCCCGAUGGUAGAUGUAGAGGUAGCGUGCCUACCGCGAUCACAUCGACUUUGGAACCAUUUCCCACGCGCAUCGUCACCUCGUCCUUAGCCAAUCUUCGCUUAAUCCGUAGUCCCUGUUUCGAGUUGCAAAUAUUAGCAACAUAAUCAGUAUCAAAUACCUAGGUGCUACUGCGAGCAUUAGUAAGGUACACAUCAAUAACAUGUAUAUCACAUAUACCUUUGUUCACUUUGCCAUCCUUCUUAUCCGCCAAAUACUUGGGACAGUUCCGCUUCCAGUGUCCAGUCUACUUGCAGUAGAAGCACUCAGUUUCAUGCUUAGGUCCAGACUUGGGUUUCUUCUCUUGAGCAGCAACUUGCUUGUUGUUCUUUUUGAAGUUCCCCUUCUUCUUCCCUUUGCCCUUUUUCUUCAAACUAGUGGUCUUGUUAACCAUCAACACUUGAUGCUCCUUCUUGAUUUCUACCUCCGCGGCUUUUAGCAUUGCGAAGAGCUCGGGAAUAGUCUUGUUCAUCCCUUGCAUAUUAUAGUUCAUCACGAAGCUCUUGUAGCUUGGUGGCAGUGAUUGAAGAAUUCUGUCAAUGACACUAUCAUCAGGAAGAUUAACUCCCAGUUGAAUCAAGUGAUUAUUAUACCCAGACAUUUUGAGUAUGUGUUCAUUGACAAAACUAUUCUCCUCCAUCUUGCAGCUAUAGAACUUAUUGGAGACUUCAUAUCUCUCAAUCCGGGCAUUUGCUUGAAAUAUUAACUUCAACUCCUGGAACAUCUAAUAUGCUCCAUGAUGUUCAAAACGUCGUUGAAGACCCGUUCCUAAGCCGUAAAGCAUGGCACACUGAACUAUCGAGUAGUCAUCAGCUUUGCUCUGCCAGACGUUCUUAACAUCGUCAGUUGCAUCAGCAGCAGACCUGGCACCCAGCGGUGCUUCCAGGACGUAACUUUUCUGUGCAGCAAUGAGGAUAAUCCUCAGGUUACGGACCCAGUCCGUGUAAUUGCUACCAUCAUCUUUCAACUUUGCUUUCUCAAGGAACGCAUUAAAAUUCAACGGAACAACAGCACGAGCCAUCUAUCUACAAACAAACAUAGACAAGCAAAAUACUAUCAGGUACUAAGUUCAUGAUAAAUUUAAGUUCAAUUAAUCAUAUUACUAAAGAACUCCCACUUAGACAGACAUCUCUCUAGUCAUCUAAGUGAUCACGUGAUCCAAAUCAACUAAACCAUGUCCGAUCAUCACGUGAGAUGGAGUAGUUACAAUGGUGAACAUCAAUAUGUUGAUCAUAUCUACUAUAUGAUUCACGCUCGACCUUUCGGUCUCCGUGUUUCGAGGCCAUAUCUGUAUAUGCUAGGCUCGUCAAGUAUGACCUGAGUAUUCCACGUGUGCAACUGUUUUGCACUCGUUGUAUUUGAACGUAGAGCCUAUCACACCCGAUCAUCACGUGGUGUCUCAGUACGAAGAACUUUCGCAAUGGUGCAUACUCAGGGAGAACACUUCUUGAUUAUUAGUGAGAGAUCAUCUUAAAAUUCUACCAUCAAUCAAAGCAAGAUAAGAUGCAUAAAGGAUAAACAUCACAUGCAAUCAAUAUAAGUGAUAUGAUAUGGCCAUCAUCAUCUUGUGCUUGUGAUCUCCAUCUUCGAAGCACCGUCGUGAUCACUAUCGUCACCGGCGCGACACCUUGAUCUCCAUUGUAGCAUCGUUGUCGUUACGCCAUCUAUUGCUUCUACGACUAUCGCUACCGCUUAGAGAUAAAGUAAAGCAAUUACAGGGCGUUUGCAUUUCAUACAAUAAAGCGACAACCAUAUGGCUCCUGCCAGUUGCCGAUAACUUCGGUUACAAAACAUGAUCAUCUCAUACAACAUAAUAUAGCAUCACGUCUUGACCAUAUCACAUCACAACAUGCCUACAAAAACAAGUUAGACGUCCUCUACUUUGUUGUUGCAAAUUUUACGUGGCUGCUACGGGCUUUAGCAAGAACCGUUCUUACCUACGCAUAAAAACCACAACGAUAGUUCGUCAAGUUGGUGCUGUUUUAACCUCCACAAGGACCGGGCGUAGCCACACUAGAUUCAGCUAAAGUGAGAGAGACAGACACCCGCCAGCCACCUUUAAGCACGAGUGCUCGUAACGGUGAAACUAGUCUCGCGUAAGCGUACGCGUAAUGUCGGUCCGGGCCGCUUCAUCUCACAAUACCGCCGAACCAAAGUAUGACAUGCUAGUAAGCAGUAUGACUUGUAUCGCCCACAACUCACUUGUGUUCUACUCGUGCAUAUAACAUCAACGCAUAAAACCUAGGCUCUGAUACCACUGUUGGGGAACGUAGUAAUUUCAAAAAAAUUCCUACGCACACGCAAGAUCAUGGUGAUGACAUAGCAACGAGAGGGGAGAGUGUUGUCCACGUACCCUUGUAGACCGUAAGUGGAAGCGUUAGCACAACGCGGUUGAUGUAGUCGUACGUCUUCACGAUCCGACCGAUCCAAGCACCGAACGUACGACACCUCCGAGUUCAGCACACGUUCAGCUCGAUGACGAUCCCCGGUCUCCGAUUCAGCUAAGCUUUGGGGAUGAGUUCCGUCAGCACGACAGCGUGGUGACGAUGAUGAUGUUCUACCGGCGCAGGGCUUCGCCUAAACUCCGCGACGAUAUGACCGAGGUGGAAUAUGGUGGAGGGGGGCACCGCACACGGCUAAGGAACGAUACGUAGAUCAACUUGUGUGUCUAUGGGGUGCCCCCAGCCCCCGUAUAUAAAGGAGCCAGGGGGGAGGAGGCGGCCAGCCAAGGAGGGCGUGCCAAGGGGGGAGUCCUACUCCCACCGGGAGUAGGACUCCCUUCUUUCCUAGUUGGAAUAGGAGAAGGGGGGAAAGAGGAGGAAGAGGGGAAGGAAAGGGGGGGCGCCGCCACCCUUCCCUUGUCCUAUUCGGACUAGGAAGGGGAGGGGCGCGCGGCCCCCUCCUGCCUCCUUCCCUCUUCUCCCUCGAGGCCCAUGUAGGCCCAAUAACCCCCUGGGGGGUUCCGGUAACCUCCCGGUGCUCCGGUAAAAUGCCGAUUUCACCCGGAACGAUUCCGAUGUCCAAAUAUAGUCUUCCAAUAUAUCGAUCUUUAUGUCUCGACCAUUUCGAGACUCCUCGUUAAGUCCGUGAUCACAUCCGGGACUCCGAACAAACUUCGGUACAUCAAAACUUAUAAACUCAUAAUAAAACUGUCAUCGUAACGUUAAGCGUGCGGACCCUAUGGGUUCAAGAACUAUGUAGACAUGACCUAGAACUAUUCUCGGUCAAUAACCAAUAGCGGAACCUGGAUGCCCAUAUUGGUUCCUACAUAUGUUACUUGCCCGAUAACAACAUACGUUGUUCCCUUUGUCAUAGAUAUGUUACUUGCCCGAUAUUUGAUCGUCGGUAUCCAAUACCUAGUUCAAUCUCAUUACCGGCAAGUCUCUUUACUCGUUCCGUAAUGCAUCAUUCCGUAACCAACUCAUUUGGUCACAUUAUUUGCAAGGCUUAUAAAGAUGUGCAUUACCGAGAGGGCCCAGAGAUACCUCUCCGACAAUCGGAGUGACAAAACCUAAUCUCGAAAUACACCAACUCAACAUGUACCUUCGGAGACACCUGUAGUACUCCUUUAUAAUCACCCAGUUACGUUGUGACGUUUGGUAGUACCCAAAGUGUUCCUCCAGUAAACGGGAGUUGCAUAUUUCUCAUAGUUAUAGGAACAUGCAUAAGUCAUGAAGAAAGCAAUAGCAAUAUACUAAACGAUCAAGUGCUAGGCUAACGGAAUGGGUCAUGUCAAUCACAUCAUUCUUCUAAUGAUGUGAUCCCAUUAAUCAAAUGACAACACAUGUCUAUGGUUAGGAAACAUAACCAUCUUUGAUUAAUGAGCUUGUCAAGUAGAGGCAUACUAGUGACUAUAUGUUUGUCUAUGUAUUCACAUAUGUAUCAUGUUUCCGGUUAAUACAAUUCUAGCAUGAAUAAUAAACAUUUAUCAUGAUAUGAGGAAAUAAAUAAUAACUUUAUUAUUGCCUCUAGGGCAUAUUUCCUUCAAUUUGUUCACCCAUUGUAAUACUACUGUAUCAGAUCUCACUUUCGCAAGUGGCCGUGAAGGGAUUGACAACCCCUUUAUUGCGUUGGUUGCGUGUUCUUGUUUGUUUGUGUAGGUGCGUGGGACUUUUGAGGAGCUUGCUACUGGAUUGAUACCUUGGUUCUCAAAAAAUGAGGGAAAUACUUACGCUACUAUUGCUGCAUCACCCUUUCCUCUUCAAGGAAAACCAACGCAAGCUCAAGACGUAGCAAUGGAUUAUACGCACUCUUACCUUUUCACAGUUUGCUAGCCUCUACGGUACCGUGCACUGCCCUUUCUCACCUCGAGAGUUGGUGCAAACUUCGCCGGUGCAUCCAAACCUCGUGAUACGAUACUCUAUCACACAUAAGCCUCCUUAUAUCUUCCUCAAAACAGCCACCAUACCUACCUAUCAUGGCAUCUCCAUAGCCAUUCCGAGAUAUAUUGCGAUGCAACUUCCAUCAUCAUCAUAUACAUGACUUGAGCAUUCAUUUUCAUAUUGCUUUUCAUGAUCGUAAGAUAGCUAGCAUGAUGUUUUCAUGGCUUGUUCGUUCUGAUUUCAUUGCUAUGCUAGAUCAUUGCACAUCCCGGUACACCACCGGAGGCAUACAUAUAGAGUCAUAUUUUGUUUCUAGUAUCGAGUUGUAAUAUUGAGUUAUAAGUAAAUAAAAGUGUGAUGAUCAUCAUUAUUAGAGCAUUGCCCCAGUGAGGAAAGGAUGAUGGAGACUAUGAUUCCCCCAAAAAUCGGGAUGAGACUCCAGACUUUAAAAAAAAAGAGGCCAAAGAAGCCCAAAUAAAAAAGAGAGGCCAAAGAAGCCCACCAAAAAAACAAAAAAAUGAGAGAAAAGAGAGAAGGGGCAAUGUUACUAUCCUUUUAACACACUUGUGCUUCAAAAUAGCACCAUGUUCUUCAUAUAGAGAGUCUCUUGAGUUAUCACUUUCAUAUACUAGUGAGAAUUUUCAUUCUAGAACUUGGCUUGUAUAUUCCGAUGAUGGGCUUCCUCAAAUGCCCGAGGUCUUCAUGAGCAAGCAAGUUGGAUGCACACCCACUUAGUUUCAGUUUGAGCUUUCAUACACUUAUAGCUCCAGUGCAUCUGUUGCAUGGCAAUCCCUACUCCUAAUAUUGACAUCAAUUGAUGAGCAUCUCCAUAGCCCGUUGAUUAGCUGCAUCGAUGUGAGACUUUCUCCCUUGUUUUCUUCUCCACACAACCUCCACCAUCAUACUCUAUUCCACCUGUAGUGCUAUAUCCAUGGCUUGCACUCAAAUAUUGCAUGAGGGUUGAAAAAGCUGAAGCGCGUUAAAAAGUAUGAACCAAUUUCUCGGCUUGUCAUCGGGGUUGUGCAUGAUAAAUACUUUGUGUUAAGAAGACAGAGCAUGACAAUAUUAUAUGAUUUUGUAGGGAUAGCGUUCUUUAGCAUUGAUAUUUUGAAAGACACGAUUGUUUGUUGGGAUUCCUGAAUAUUGAUGUCUUUAUGUCAAAUUAUAGACUAUUGCUUGGAAACACUUAUGUCUUAAUAUUCAUGCCAUGAUUAGAUAUAUGAUCAAGAUUAUGCUAGGUAGCAUUCCACAUCAAAAUUAUCUUUUUAUCAUUUACCUACUCGAGGACGAGUAGGAAUUAAGCUUGGGGAUGCUGAUACUUCUCUGUCGUAUCUAUAAUUUUUGAUUGUUCCAUGCCAAUAUUCUACAACUUUUACAUAAUUUUGGCAACUUUUUAUACUAUUUUUGGGACUAACAUAUUGAUCCAGUGCCCAGUGCCAGUUCUUGUUUGUUGCAUGUUUUUUGUUUCGCAGAAAAUCCAUAUCAAAUGGAGUCCAAACAGGAUAAAAACUGAUGGAGAUUUUUUUUGGAAUAUUUAUGAAUUUUGGGAAGAAGAAUCAACACGAGACGAUGUCGAGGGAUCCACGAGGCAGGGGACGCGCCCCAGGGCGUCGGGCGCACCCUGGGCCCUCAUGGCCACUCCGUAAGGAGGUUGGUGCCUUUCUUUUGCUGCAAGAAAGCUAAUAUCCAGAUAGAAAUCGUGUUAAAAUUUCAGCCCAAUCGAAGUUACGGAUCUCCGGGAAUAUAAGAAACGAUGAAAGGCCAGAAUCUGGAACGCAAAAACAGAGAGAGACAGAGAGACAUAUCCAAUCUCGUAGGGGAUCUCGCCCCUCCCACGCCAUGGAGACCAUGGACCAGAGGGGAAACCCUUCUCCCAUAUAGGAAGAAGAAGAAAGGGCUCUCUCUCCCCCUCUCUCCCGGUGGCGCCGGAACGCCGCCGGGGCCAUCAUCAUCACCGCGAUCUACACCAACACCUCCGUCAUCUUCACCAACAUCUCAUCACCUUCCCCCAUCUAUAUACAGCGGUCCACUCUCCCGCAACCCGUUGUACCCUCUACUUGAACAUGGUGCUUUAUGCUUCAUAUUAUUAUCCAAUGUUGUGUUGCCAUCGUAUGAUGUCUGAGUAGAUUUUCGUUGUCCUAUCGGUAAUUGGUGAAUUGCUAUGAUUGGUUUAAUUUGCUUGUGGUUAUGUUGCUGUCCUUUGGUGCCCAUCAUAUGAGCGCGCACGUGGAUCACACCAUAGGGUUAGUUGUAUGUUGAUAAGACUAUGUAUUGGAGGGCAAGAGUGACAGAAGCUUCAACCUAGCAUAGAAAUUGAUGCAUACGGGUUUGAAGGGGGACCAAUAUAUCUUAAUGCUAUGGUUGGGUUUUACCUUAAUGAACAUUAGUAGUUGCGGAUGCUUGCUAAUAGUUCCAAUCAUAAGUGCAUAGAAUUCCAAGUCAGGGAUGACAUGCUAGCAGUGGCCUCUCCCACAUAAAACUUGCUACCGGUCUAGUAAAGUAGUCAAUUGCUUAGGGACAAUUCCGCAACUCCUACCACCUCUUUUCCACACUCGCUAUACUAACUUUAUUGCUUCUUUAUCUAAACAGCCCCUAGUUUAUAUUUACGUGCUCUUUAUAUUCUUGCAAACCUAUCCAACAACACCUACAAAGUACUUCUAGUUUCACACUUGUUUUAGAUAAAGCAAACGUUAAGUGUGCGUAGAGUUGUAUCGGUGGUCGAUAGAACUUGAGCGAAUAUUUGUUCUACCUUUAGCUCCUCGUUGGGUUCGACACUCUUACUUAUUGAAAGAGGCUACAAUUGAUCCCCUAUACUUGUGGGUUAUCAGUGUGCUUGAAGUAUUACUAUUUUUAUGUCAAUAUUAAACUUUUAUGUUGAAUCAUUUGGAUCUGAACAUUCAUGCCACAAUAAAGAAAAUUACAUUGAUAAAUAUGCUAGGUAGCAUUCCACAUCAAAAAUUCUGUUUCUUAUCAUUUACCUACUUGAGGACGAGCAGGAAUUAAGCUUGGGGAUGCUCGAUAUGUCUCCAAUAUAUCUAUAAUUUUUGAUUGUUCCAUGCUAUUAUAUUACCUGUUUUGGAUGUUUAAUGGGCUUUACUAAGCACUUUUAUAUUAUUUUUGGGACUAACCUAUUAACCGGAGGCCUGGCCCAAAUUGCUGUUUUUUGCCUAUUUCAGUGUUUCGCGGAAAAGGAAUAUCAAACGGAGUCCAAACGGAAUGAAACCUUCGGGAGAGUUAUUUUUGGAACAAACGCAAACCAGGAGACUUGGAGUGGACGUCAAGAAAGAAACAAGGCAGCCAUGAGGCAGGGAGGCGUGCCCCCACCCUCGUGGGACCCUCGUGGCUCCCCUGACUGACUUCCUUUGCCUAUAUAUACUCAUAUACCCUGAAAACAUCUUGGAGCACCACGCAAACCUAUUUCCACCGCCGCAACCUUCUUUACCCGUGAGAUCCCUUCUUGGGGCCUUUUUCGGUGCUCCGCCGGAGGGGGAAUCGAUCACAGAGGGCUUCUACAUCAACGCAAUAGCCUCUCUGAUGAAGUGUGAGUAGUUUACCAUAGACGUUCGGGUCCAUAGUUAUUAGCUAGAUGGCUUCUUCUCUCUCUCUCUCUCUUUGAUUGUCAAUACAAAGUUCUCCUCGAUCUUCUUGGAGAACUAUUCGAUGUUACUCUUUUUGCGGUGUGUUUGUCGAGAUCCGAUGAAUUGUGGGUUUAUGAUCAAGUUUAUCUAUGAGAAAUAUUUGAAUCUCCUCUGAAUUCUUUUAUGUAUGAUUGGUUAUCUUUGCAAGUCUCUUCGAAUUAUCAGUUUGGUUUGGCCUACUAGAUUGAUCUUUCUUGCAAUGGGAGAAGUGCUUACCUUUGGGUUCAAUCCUGCGGUGUCCUUUCCCAGUGACAGCAGGGGCAGCAAGGCACGUAUUGUAUUGUUGCAUCAAGGAUAAAAAGAUGGGGUUUAUAUCAUAUUGCUUAAGUUUAUCCCUCUACAUCAUGUCAUCUAGCCUAAUGCGUUACUCUGUUCUUAUGAACUUAAUACUCUAGAUGCAUGCUGGAUAGCGGUCGAUGUGUGGAGUAAUAGUAGUAGAUACAGAAUCGUUUCGAUCUACUUGUCGCAGACGUGAUGCCUAUAUACAUGAUCAUGCCUAGAUAUUCUCAUAACUAUGCACUUUUCUAUCAAUUGCUCGACAGUAAUUUGUUCACCCACCAUAAUACUUAUGAUAUCUUGAGAGAAGCCACUAGUGAAACCUAUGGCCCCGGGUCUAUUUUCCAUCAUAUAAGUUUCUGAUCUAUUUUAUUUUGUAAUCUUUACUUUCCAAUCUAUAUCAUAAAAAUACCAAAAAUAUUUAUCUUAUUAUCAUCUCUAUCAGAUCUCACUUUUGCAAGUGGCCGUGAUGGGAUUGACAACCCCUUUAUCAUAUUGGUUGCAAGGUUCUUAUUUAUUUGUGUAGGUACGAGGGACUUGCGUGUAGCCUCCUACUGGAUUGAUACCUUGGUUCUCAAAACUGAGGGAAAUACUUACGCUACUUUGCUACAUCACCCUUUCCUCUUCAAGGGAAAACCAACACAGUGAUCAAGAGGUAGCAAUGUGAUCCCGUUCAUCAAAUGACAACACAUGCCUAUGGUUAGGAAACUUAACCAUCUUUGAUUAACGAGCUAGUCUUGUAGAGGCAUACUAGGGACUAUAUGUUUUGGCUAUGUAUUGACACAUGUCCCAAGUUUCCGGUUAAUACAAUUAUAGCAUGAAUAAUCAACAUUUAUCAUGAUUUAAGGAAAUAAAUAAUAACUUUAUUAUUGCCUCUAGGGCAUAUUUCCUUCAGUCUCCCACUUGCACUAGAGUCAAUAAUCUAGAUUACAUUGUAAUGAUUCUAACACUCAUGGAGCUUUGGUGCUGAUCAUGUUUUUCUCGUGAGAGAGGCUUAGUCAAUGGUUCUGCAACAUACAGAUCCAUGUGUAUCUUGCAAAUCUCCAUGUGCCCUUUCGACACUUGAUGACGGAUGGAAUUGAAGCGUCUCUUGAUGUGCUUGGUUCUCUUGUGAAAUUUGUACUCCUUUGCCAAGGCAAUUGCACUAGUAUUGUCACAAAAGAUUUUCAUUGGACCCGAUGCACUAGGUAUGACACCUAGAUCAAUAUGAACUCCUUCAUCCAAACUCCUUCAUUCGCUACUUCCGAAGCAGCUAUGUACUUCGCUUAACACGUAGAUCCCGCCAUGACGCUCUGCUUGGAACUGCACCAACUGACAGCACCUCCAUUCAAUAAAAAUACGUAUCUGGUUUGCGACUUAGAGUCAUCCGGAUCAGUGUCAAAGCUUGCAUCGACGUAACCAUUUACGACAAGCUCUUUUUCACCUCCAUAAACGAGAAACAUAUCCUUAGUCCUUUUCAGGUAUUUCAGGAUGUUCAUGACUGCUGUCUAGUGCUCCACUCCGGGAUUACUUUGGUACCUCCCUGCUAUGCUUAUAGCAAGACAUACAUCAUGUCUGGUACACAACAUUGCAUACAUGAUAGAACCUAUGGCUGAAGCAUAGGGAAUGACUUCCAUUUUCUAUCUAUCUUUUGCAGUGGUCGGGCUUUGAGUCUGACUCCACAUCCUGUAACAUGGGCAAGAAGCCUUUCUUUGACUGAUCCAUUCCGAACUUCUUCAAAAAUUUAUCAAGGUAUGUGCUUUGUGAAAGUCCAAUUAAGCAUCUUGAUCUAUCUCUAUAGAUCUUGAUGCCCAAUAUGUACGCAACUUCUCCAAGGUCUUUCAUAGAAAAACUCUUAUUCAGGUAUCCCUUUAUGCUAUCCAGAAAUUCUAUAUCAUUUCCAAUCAACAAUAUGUCAUCUACAUAUAAGAUCAGAAAUGCUACAGAGCUCCUACUCACUUUCUUGUAAAUAUAGGCUUCUCCAAAAGUAUGUAUAAAACCAUAUGCUUUGAUCACACUAUCAAAGCGUUUAUUUCAACUCCGAGAGGCUUGCACCAGUCCAUAAGUGGAUCGCUGGAGCUUGCACACUUUGCUAGCACCCUUUGGAAUGACAAAACCUUCCGGUUGCAUCAUAUACAACUCUUCUUCCAGAAAUCCAUUCAGGAAUGCAGUUUUGACAUCCAUUUGCCAAAUUUCAUAAUCAUAAAAUGCAACAAUUGCUAACAUGAUUCAGACAAACUUAAGCAUCACUACGGGUGAGAAAGUCUCAUCGUAGUCAACUCCUUGAACUUGUCGAAAACCUUCCGUAACAAGUCGAGCUUUGUAAACAGUAACAUUACCGUCUGCUUCGGUCUUCUUCUUAAAGAUCCAUUUAUAUUCUAUGCCUUGCCGAUCAUCGGGCAAGUCCACCAAAGUCCAUACUUUGUUCUCAUACAUGGAUCCCAUCUCAGAUUUCAUGGCCUCAAGCCAUUUCACAGAAUCUGGGAUCAUCAUCGCUUCCUCAUAGCUCAUAGGUUCAUCAUGGUCUAGUAACACUAGUCGCCAACCCGUGCGUUCGCACGGGCUAGCAUAUUCAGAAUGUCAGCUAUAAUAUCUCUUUCUUUAAGGUGUAGCUCUAUUCCAUGCUGCUCUAAUGAUGUCUGAUUGAUUAUCAUUAGAUUCUAGUAUCGCGAGUUUGGAGCUUGGUUGCCGAGGAAGCAACCUUUUGCUAUUUUGUCUUUGUUUUUUACACAUUUGGAUUGUUUGAUCACCUGGCAUAUUGCUACAUUAUAAUUUUUUAUGAUUAAACAAUCAGAUCAUUUAAUGGGUAUAUGUUGUGGUAACAAUUACCUUAUGUUUUUCUUAUUUUUUCCACUAUGAGCUCGAUGGAUGUUGACUACAACUAGUGAGCAGUAGGGGUGAGAAAGAUUUUAUUAUUUUAGAAAUUUAAGAUAUAAACCUAUGAUCUUCUCUAGAUUAGGAGGCACUUUAGUAAUUUGCUGACCCAAAAGGAAAGGCAUUCAUGAUAAAGCAUAUAUAACAUACAAAUAUGAUGUUCUCGUACAUUCUAUUACAACAAACACUAGUAAAAAACAUGGCAUUUUUCCCGGUUCGUAAGGGCAUUUAGUCCCGGUUCUUGAACCGGGACUAAAGGGUCAUUACUAAUGCAUCCCCCCUUUAGUCCCGGUUCUAACACGAACCGGGACAGAUGCGCCUCCACGUGGCCGGUGCGCCGAGCCCAGGCAGGAGGGCCUUUGGUCCCGGUUGGUGGCACCAACUGGGACCAAAAGUCGUCCACACGUCAGCAAUUCAGUGGCUGGUUUUUUUUUGAAAGGGGUGGGGGUUGGGGGUUUUGGGGGGUUAAUUUAGGUGUUUCAUAUAUUGUGUUAGCUAGCUAAUUAAUAAAGAGAAGUGUCCUCUCUUAUGUCCGUGCUUGGUCGACGCUACGUACUGUACAUAGAGAGGCCCUCGACACGCUAGCUAGUAAGAAAAUGAAGGGAACCAUUAAGUACAGAAAUUCGUCAUGCAUACCGAGAGAAGCGAUCGAUCGACCUCUCCUUCUCCGAGAGAUUGGUCAAACAACAAGUUUUCGUAUUACCUAUCCGACGCUACUGGCUACAUACAUAUACAAUAUGUAAGAUCUCUUACAAUCCCCUAGCAAUUGAAAUGAACUUCCACAUGGUAUUCCGCGGCUUUAUUGAUGACGUGGUCAAGAAAGAAUCCCGCCAAUUCCUCUUGAAUUGCUUUCAUGCGAUCUUGUUCUAGGACUUCAUCCCGCAUCUGCCACGUCUAAUUUGAAGAAGGGGGUUAAUACAUAUAUGAAUGAAACUCAACAAAAAUGAUGGUGUAAUAAAAUGAAAUUGUGAAUAUUAUUGCUUACACACUUCGUAUUGUCUUUUAGAGUAGCCCCGCUUAUUUUUCAAAGUCGCGUUGUAGAUGAACUCGCACACGUACUAUCCACGGAAAUGAUUCCCUUGUUCCUGCCACAAGCACUUUACGAGAAAUAGAAGUCAAUCAAACUGAUAAUGAAGCAUUAUAAAUGGCAUUGAUGAAAGUACAGCUAUAGAAUCAAAGGGAGAUGCGCGCAACUAGCUAGCUAGUAGUACUUACUUUCGGGUAUGUAUAUCGCAGCUCCUUCGGCAGUCCCGCAACUUCUGCGGUGAACUGUUUCCAAACCCUGCAAGACAAAGAAAAUAGUCAUUAUUACUUGAGAUAUCAGAAAAUGAACAAAAAGUUGCCAAUAUGGUGCGAUAAUGAUCGAUUCAACUUACUUGUCGAGCAAAUUAGUCAUGUCCGCAUAGGUUUCGAGAUCUUUUUGUCUCGAGUCUAAGACAUUUACUACUCCCCGCUCAAGCUUAAUCUCUAUAAGAACAUAGUGGAAAAUCUGCGCACGCAUGCAUAACUCAUCAAUUACAUUACUAUAACCUCACUCGAUUAAUAAGGGAAACCGAAUAUGCACACGACAGUAACACUCACUGGAAGUUGUAAGGACAGAGUAUUAAAUCUUUCUUUUGAUAUUUGAUCAAUGAUUGUAGCAAGUUAGCCUCGACCUCUUCGGCGUGCUUUGUAACCUCAAUUUCAUCUAUGAUAUUUGUGUUAAUGAACCCAAUAUCAUACAUUUCUUGUUUUUUGCACUCGAUGAUCUUCAAUCUGCAUAAUAUAGUGAGGAUAAUUAAUUAUAAAUACAUGCAAUGAAAGAGCCGAGCUAUAUAUAGAGACUUAAUGACAGAAAUAGCACUUACAGACAGUAGCAAAAGACCGUUUAUUUAUCGAGGGCCUUUUGAUUGAAGAACUCGAAGAACUCCUCAAAUGGAACAGUCAACAGAUCAGUUCCAACGAGGUCAUGCUCCUCUUUAAUAUUCAGAUACAAAGCAUUCGUCCCCCCUGACUCUCUGCAGGUUUUCAUGUACCAAUUAUGGAAUCUUCGCAUCAUAGUUGUUAGAGAUUUUUCAUCUUUGACGAGAGGCUUCCUGUACUUGUAUCUGUGUUCGUCCACCUCCAUGAAAUCAGGAAGUUGACCAUCAGGCAUGUAAUCUGCAAGAUUGCCAUAACCGGCCACCGUCCCUGGAGCAUUAGCGAUGAUGUCGCCGCUAGACACAUUAAGCGGGGGGGCACGAUUGAUUUGUUUGUUCGCCGAGCUGGGAAAUAUUUUUCGCAGCUGCUCGUUCUCUUGACCUUUGAUGUCUGACAGUACUUCCCGACCGCUCCGCUUGGAGAUAUGUCUAUUCAGUGAUGCGCUCAUAGUUGGUUCUCGGCAGAGACUUUGCUGGUUUCCUCAGGGAAUCGAGAGUGCGCUUUGCUUUCACCGGAUCUACCUUCUCCCCCGGAGGUGGAUGUCUCUUUGCUUUCAACCCUUCAAAGAAGUUGUCCACUUCGGCCCGCACGAUCUUCGCGUUUGCCUCCAUGGUACUCUCGUACAGUAACUUCUCUAGACGCUUGAGAGGAGGACCGUAUCUGUAUUGCCUCCCGCCUCUGGCUGUACUGCUAGACGAUGGAGCAGAUGGAGCGGCUGCGGCAUCUGUCUUCUUUCAUGGUUGCUUGCGAGGCGGAGGAGAAGGACUACGACGCGCCGGAGCAGCCGGGGCGGCGGUGGGUCUCUUCUGCCCUUGCUGGCGAGGCGGAGAAGGAGGAGGCUGCUGGCUGCUUGGGCGCACCGGCGCAGGCGGAGAAGGAGGCGGAGUGCCGCCACGCGCCGGAGAAGGAGGCCCAGUGCCCUGAUCGUCACUCGCCGGAGGAGGAGGCGGUGGAGGAGGCGGAGUGCCCUUGUAAGUGCAUCUAGUGCCACCCCUAGUUGGUUUUGGAAUAUUGACGACAAAGUUGGUUGAGGGACUAAUGCGUUUGUAAGAAUUGCAGGAUAACGCAGGUAGUGUACCUCAUUGAUUCGGUUUACCUACCGGAGAUGACCCCUAAAAAUGUAUGAAGAUAUUGACGACAAUGGUGGUAUGUGAAGAUAUUCAUAUUGAAGACUAUGACAUGAGAAGACAAUGAGUGAAGACUAUGGAGCGCGAAGACUGUGUUGUUUCGUUGUUUCCUUUUCUUCUUUGUUGAGUCAUAGGAACCACCGUACUGUUAAGUGGGGUCCAAGUGAACAAAGUCAGAAUGACUGAAGUGAUGCUGAACCCAAAUCCUAUGUCUUCAAGCGAAGACAAUGAGAGCAAAUCUUAUCCAGAGCUUGAUGAGUCAGCUUUUCUUGUAGCCCAAGUAAAGUUACAGUGUGUGUUUGAAAUCUGACCAUUGGAACACGUGUCAGUUCCUUAGUGAGCCAGGGUCAUUUUGGACAUAUCAGGUCAGAUUGCCUUGUGGCUAUAAAUAGCCCACCCCCUACACCAUAAAUUGGUGGCUGCUCAGAGUUAGUUUACGGCAUUUGUCGUUUGAGAGCAACCCGCCUCGAAGCUUUGAGAGAGAGAAAUCCUUGCGAGGACAAAGCCCAAACACCCAAAGCCAAAGAGUGUUAGGCAUCACUGAAGUCUUUCUGUCUGAGUGACCUGAAGACUUAUUACACUUGAGGACUGUGUAUCCUCCAGCCGGUUAUGCGUCGCAUUCUAAGCAUCCAAGAGUCAUUGUGGAUCGCCGGUGAACAAAGUCUAUGAAGGUUCGAAAGUCUACCUUGAAGACUUACAGAAGUGAUUGGGCGAGGACUGUUUGUCCUUAGCUCCCUAACCAGACGUACAGUUGUCACAGCAACUGGAACUGGUCCAACAAACCCCGUGUCUUCAACAAGUGACUGGUUCUAUCCUCUAACUCCCUUUACCUUAAGUUUGUCUUCAUGAAGUCAUUGCCUAUUUUUCAUACCUGUUUGACUUCGUUGCUUGACUACUAUCGUUGAUUGGCUUCAUACUAUCUUCCAUCCCGAUCCUUACUACCAAGCUGCUAUUAGUCUUUGUACUUUCACAUUAUUGCAUACUUGACUAUGGUUUGCUUGUUGUAGUUUAUCUUCCGCUGCAUAUCAAUUAGGUCAUUUCUAUUGUUUGUCUUCGAAACUUCCACGUUUUGAAGACUUUGAUAAAAAUUGCAUAUUCACCCCCCUCUAGUCGAUAACUAGCACUUUCAGCCCUAACUCGCUGGAGGAGGAGGAGGUGGCGGAGGCGUCUAGUUCGGAAGGUUGAUGAGCUCCUUCCGCCAUAGGCAUGGAGUCUUCAUAGCAGAACCCAGCCUAGUCUCCCCUUCACCGGUAGGGUAGUCAAGCUGGAGGUCCUCAAAUCCCUCCAUUAUUUCAUCCACCGUCACCCGAGCAUAUCCUUCUGGAAUCGGCCGGCAGUGAAAAUUUGCGUCGUGUUCAGUAGGAUAAACAGAGCCAACAGCCGCCUUGACCUUCAAAUUGAUCCAUCAUGUCAUAAUGUGGCAAUUUUGAGACUCCGUGAUAGCAUCCACGGGAUAGCUGGCAGGAGCCGUCAAGACAUGCUCCGGCUGAAGCAGCUCGGUGGAAUCCACGCUGCUUCUCCGCUGAGAUGGCGGGCUAGCUUCGGGGGAAGCUUCGACAGGUCGUUUGCUGCGAUCUGCUUCUCGAUCCUCUAGCCCCAUUACCCUUUCGUGCAGCGCCUGCAGUUGGCUCUACUCUAUUUUCUUCCUCCUCUCCUGGGUUUUGUAACCCCUGCGUCCAGAAAACCAACCUUCCAUCGAAUGGUGCCUGGCGUGCCUCGUGUCCGUCCAGGGUGCUCAGGAUUCCCGAGGGCCAUUGUGAGCUCGUCCUUCUCCCUGUCUGGAACGAACAUCCCUUGCUGUGCUGCAUUGAUAUACUGCCGAAGCCUUGUGACUGGUGUUUUCAGUUGCUCAUCCGUCCAACGGCACUUCCCUGAUACAGGGUCCAAGGUUCCGCCAGCCCCGAAGAACCAAGUCCGGCAACGGUCUGGCCAUCUCAUUAUCUCUGGUUCGAUCCCUUUAUCAAGCAGAUCAUUCUCAGCCUUGGACCACUUAGGCCAGGCUUUGAGGUAGCCACCUAACCCCGUGCGAUGGUGAAACUUCUUCUUCACAUCAUUUUGCUUGUUUGUCGCCGACAUCUUCUUACUCUUAUCCGAUGUUGUGUGGGCUACAAAUGCGGGCCAGUGAUCUUUGAUCUUCUCAUAUUUGCCGAUGAAUUCUGGUGUCUCUUCUUUGUCGACAAACUGUUUCAGCUCUUUCCUCCACCUCCUGAAUAGGCCUGCCAUCUUCUUAAGAGCACAAGACUUGAUUAAUUGCUCUUUAACUGGCUUCUCCAGAUCCUCCUCUGGCGGUAGGGUGAAAUUUGCCUUCAGCUCAGUCCAAAGAUCAUUUUUCUGCAUAUCAUUGACAUAAGACACCUGAGGGUCCUCCUCCUUAGGCUUAUACCAUUGGUGGAUGCUCAUCGGGGUCUUGUCCCUAACUAGAACCCCGCACUGAGCACCAAAUUCGUUCUUUGUCCGGAUGGGUUCAAUCGGUUUGCCGUCGCGCGCGAUUGCUGUGAUCUCAAACUUUUCAUCCGAGCUCAACUUUUUCUUCGGGCCUCGUCUCCUUACCGAAGUUGUGCUCGAUCCGGACGGCUAGAAAAAGGAAGAAAGACAAGAGUUAAUUAAUAUGUGUACAUAUACCAAAACAAUGAAUGCAUCAAUUAACUAGUCAGCACGGGCUUAACUAAUAUAUAUAUACCUGGCCGGACUCGGUUCGAUCAUCGGAGCAGUCAGCACGGUCUCCUUCUUGUACCUCCAUUGGGUCACCGGAGCCAUCAUGAACAUAGCCCUCUUCUUGUACCGGCAUUAAUGGGCCGGAGCCAUCAUGAACAUAGACCUCUUCUUCACCCAGUCCUUCCUGACCAUCGGUGUCGUUGAGAAAUGAUGCAACGACAUCACUUCCUUGUGCCAUUAUCUCCACCAACAUCUCUUCUGUUGCUUCGUCUCGGGAGUGCUCCAUAGUUUCUGCAAAUAUUUACAACAUGUCAAUUAUUAUUCAAACAUGGUACAGAUGGAUAUAUAUUAGUGGCAAACAUAGAACUAGCUAGCUAAUCACAAUAAGGAAUCAUGUUAGUGGCCUCAACGCUGCUUGUCUAGGGUUUGGGGUGGCCUUGACACAAUGCUUCAAGGGUUUGGGGUGGCCUCGACGACAACGCUCUUUUAACAUGGUAAAUUUGGGUGGCCUCAAGAGAGUUUGUCGGGUAGGGGUGCGGCGGGAUGGGGUAGGAGACCAACAUCGUUUUUUCUCUAGGGUUUGGGUGUCCUCGAGAGUUUUGGUCGAGCAAGAGGGCCGAGGGGGGUAUAUAUAUCGACCGCCCCUCAUGUCGAAGUUAUCCGGGAGGGGGUUAUAUCGACAACGAUGCGACAUACAUAUACAUGGGAAAAUAAUGUUAUCGGGGAGGGGGUAUCGGUACCCACCCCCUCGUGUUGAAGUUUCUUCUUUCUCAUCUAUUCCUUUCUUCUUCUUCUCCUCUUCUUUUUCUUCUUCUCCCUCAUGUUGAAGUUAUCGGGUGGGGUAUAUCGACGACGNNNNNNNNNNNNNNNNNNNNNNNNNNNNNNNNNNNNNNNNNNNNNNNNNNNNNNNNNNNNNNNNNNNNNNNNNNNNNNNNNNNNNNNNNNNNNNNNNNNNNNNNNNNNNNNNNNNNNNNNNNNNNNNNNNNNNNNNNNNNNNNNNNNNNNNNNNNNNNNNNNNNNNNNNNNNNNNNNNNNNNNNNNNNNNNNNNNNNNNNNNNNNNNNNNNNNNNNNNNNNNNNNNNNNNNNNNNNNNNNNNNNNNNNNNNNNNNNNNNNNNNNNNNNNNNNNNNNNNNNNNNNNNNNNNNNNNNNNNNNNNNNNNNNNNNNNNNNNNNNNNNNNNNNNNNNNNNNNNNNNNNNNNNNNNNNNNNNNNNNNNNNNNNNNNNNNNNNNNNNNNNNNNNNNNNNNNNNNNNNNNNNNNNNNNNNNNNNNNNNNNNNNNNNNNNNNNNNNNNNNNNNNNNNNNNNNNNNNNNNNNNNNNNNNNNNNNNNNNNNNNNNNNNNNNNNNNNNNNNNNNNNNNNNNNNNNNNNNNNNNNNNNNNNNNNNNNNNNNNNNNNNNNNNNNNNNNNNNNNNNNNNNNNNNNNNNNNNNNNNNNNNNNNNNNNNNNNNNNNNNNNNNNNNNNNNNNNNNNNNNNNNNNNNNNNNNNNNNNNNNNNNNNNNNNNNNNNNNNNNNNNNNNNNNNNNNNNNNNNNNNNNNNNNNNNNNNNNNNNNNNNNNNNNNNNNNNNNNNNNNNNNNNNNNNNNNNNNNNNNNNNNNNNNNNNNNNNNNNNNNNNNNNNNNNNNNNNNNNNNNNNNNNNNNNNNNNNNNNNNNNNNNNNNNNNNNNNNNNNNNNNNNNNNNNNNNNNNNNNNNNNNNNNNNNNNNNNNNNNNNNNNNNNNNNNNNNNNNNNNNNNNNNNNNNNNNNNNNNNNNNNNNNNNNNNNNNNNNNNNNNNNNNNNNNNNNNNNNNNNNNNNNNNNNNNNNNNNNNNNNNNNNNNNNNNNNNNNNNNNNNNNNNNNNNNNNNNNNNNNNNNNNNNNNNNNNNNNNNNNNNNNNNNNNNNNNNNNNNNNNNNNNNNNNNNNNNNNNNNNNNNNNNNNNNNNNNNNNNNNNNNNNNNNNNNNNNNNNNNNNNNNNNNNNNNNNNNNNNNNNNNNNNNNNNNNNNNNNNNNNNNNNNNNNNNNNNNUAAGUGCUGUAUAUAUAGCAAGAGCAUUGGUCCCGGUUCGUGGCACGAACCGGGACCAAUGCCCCCUUUAGUCCCGGUUGGUGCCACCAACCGGGACCAAAGGCCUCUUUUCAGCAGCCCAAAGGGUGGGAAGCGGCGGACUUUGGUCCCGGUUGGUGGCACCAACCGGGAGUAAAGGUGGGGCAUUGGUCCCGGUUAGUGCCACGAACCGGUUCCAAUGCCCCAAUUUAGUCCCGGUUGGUGCCACCAACCGGAACCAAAGGCCCCUGUGCUGCCCGCGUCGCGGCCAAAGUUUAGUCCCACCUCGCUAGUUGAGAGGGCUCGAGAGUGGUUUAUAAGCGCUGCUGCGCCCACCCUCUCGAGCUCCUCUCAACUGCAGGCUUUCGGGCCUAAUCUCAUACUAUGCUGCUGUGGGCCUAUUGGGCCUUCUGCGGGCCUGAAUCCUGGCCCAGGUUGGGUUUCUAGUCGUAUUCACGCCGUGGUGGCCAAGUAGGUUGCAAUUUUUUUUGUUUUUUUCCAGUUUUUUUGUUUUGUUUUUUUGCAUUAUUUAUUUUCUUUUGUUUUUUGCUUUAUGUUUUAAUUCUUUUUGCUUAGUUUUAGAAAAACUAUAAACUUUCUGUUAGUGCCAUUAGUUUUCAAAUUUGAAUAGUUAAAAUUUGAAUUCUUUGAAAUUUGUGUGAAUCACAAGUUUGUGAUUAACUUUACUAAAAAAAUGAACAUAGAUGCGCCUAUAGAGAAAAAAAGUCCAGACGAACCGGGACCAAUGGCCCACGUGGCUGCCCUCUUGAGAGUGUUCUUGGUGAGAACAUAGUUGACAAGGAGCGAACCGGGAUUAAUGGUAUUACGAGGGCCGAACCAUAAGACAUUAAAGCAUUUCAAAUGAACUUUGAAAAAGUUGAAAGUUGGCAUGGUAUCAUAAUUUCACCCACAUAGCAUGUGCAUGUACAAAACGGACAAUGGUAUCAUACUCGUCUGUUACAAAGUUGGCAUGGUAUCAUCAUAAUAGUUGCGGGAGAAAGUCUUCACUUUUUCUUCGCUUGUGUCAUUUCCUUAUUGCGCCGUAACCAUGGAUAAUCUUCAUCGUUUAUCAGGAUGCUGGGGUCAGCCUUGACUUUGAAGUGAGGAAUUUCAUGAAACUUUUCAUAAUCUUCAGACAUGUCUGUCUUGCCCUCCACUCCCACGAUGUCCCUUUUUCCUGAAAGAACUAUGUGGGACUUUGGCUCAUCGUAUGAUGUAUUCGCUUCCUUAUCUUUGCAUUUUCUCAGUCUAGUAUAGAUGUCCUUCACAUAGAUAACCUCUGCCACAUCAUUGGCUAGGACGAACGGUUCGUCAGUGUACCCAAGAUUUUUCAGAUCCACUGUUGUCAUUCCGUACUGUGGGUCUACCUGUACCCCGCCUCCUGACAGAUUGACACAUUUGCACUUAAACAAAGGGACCUUAAAAUCAUGUCCGUAGUCAAGUUCCCAUAUGUCCACUAUGUAACCAUAAUACGUGUCCUUUCCCCUCUCAGUUUUUGCAUCAAAGCGGACACCGCUGUUUUGGUUGGUGCUCUUUUGAUCUUGGUCAAUCGUGUAAAAUGUAUUCCCAUUUAUCUCGUAUCCUUUCCAAAUCGUAACAAUCGAAGAUGGUCCCCUGGACAACAAGUACAGCUCAUCAUAAAUAGUGUUGUCACCUCUGAGACGUGUUUCCAACCAACUGCUGAAAGUCCUGAUGUGUUCACAUGUAAUCCAGUCGUCGCACUACUUCGGGUGUUUGGAGCGCAGACUAUUCUUGUGUUCAUCGACAUACGGGGUCACCAAGGUAGAGUUCUAUAGAACUGUGUAGUGUGCUUGAGACCAAGAAUAUCCGUCCCUGAAUAUUAUUGAGUCCCUUCCAAGCGUGCCUUUUCCAGUCAGUCUCCCCUCAUACCGCGAUUUAGGGAGACCUAUCUUCUUAAGGCCAGGAAUGAAGUUAACACAAAACCCGAUGACAUCCUCUGUUUGAUGGCCCAUGGAGAUGCUUCCUUCUGGCCUAGCGCGGUUACAGACAUAUUUGUUUAGGACUCCCACGAACCUCUCAAAGGGGUACAUAUUGUGUAGAAAUACGGGGCCCAGAAUGACAAUCUCGUCGACUAGAUGAACUAGAACGUGCGUCAUGAUAUUGAAGAAGGAUGGUGGGAACACCAGCUCGAAACUGACAAGACUUUGCACCACAUCACUCCUUAGCCUUGGUAUGAUUUCUGGAUCGAUCACCUUCUGAGAGAUUACAUUGAGGAAUGCACAUAGCUUCACAAUGGCUAAUCGGACAUUUUCCGGUAGAAGCCCCCUCAAUGCAACCGGAAGCAGUUGCGUCAUAAUCACGUGGCAGUCAUGAGACUUUAGGUUCUGGAACUUCUUGUCUGGCAUAUUUAUUAUUCCCUUUAUAUUCGACGAGAAGCCAGUCGGGACCUUCAUACUAAGCAGGCAUUCAAAGAAGAUUUCCGUCUCUUCUUUGGUAAGAGCAUAGCUGGCAGGACCUUCAUACUGCUUUGGAGGCAUGCCGUCUUUUUUGUGCAAACGUUGCAGGUCCUCCCAUGCCUCAGCUGUAUCUUUUGUCUUUCCAUACAUGCCCAAGAUUCCUAGCAGGUUCACACAAAGGUUCUUCGUCACGUGCAUCACGUCAAUUCAAGAGCGGACCUCUAGGUCUUUCCAGUAGGGUAGGUCCCAAAAUAUAUAUUUCUUCUUCCACAUGGGUGCGUGUCCCUCAGUGUCAUUCGAAACAGCUAGUGCGCCGGGACCCUUUCCAAAGAUUACGUGUAAAUCAUUGACCAUAGCAAGUACGUGAUCACCGGUACGCAUGGCGGGCUUCUUCCGGUGAUCUGCCUCGCCUUUGAAAUGCUUGCCUUUCUUUCGACAUUGAUGGUUGGUCGGAAGAAAUAGACGAUGGCCCAGGUACACAUUCUUCCUGCAACUUCCCAGGUAUAUACUAUCGGUCUCAAGUAAACAGUGCGUGCAUCCGUGAUAUCCCUUGCUUGUCUGUCCUGAAAGUUUACUGAGAGCGGGCCAAUCGUUGAUGGUCACGAACAACAACGCCUUUAGGUCAAAUUCCUCCUGUUUGUGCUCAUCCCACGUACGUACAUCGUUUCCAUUCCACAGCUGUAAAAGUUCUUCAACUAACGGCCUUAUGUACACAUCAAUGUCGUUGCCGGGUUGCUUAGGGCCUUGGAUGAGAACUGGCAUCAUAAUGAACUUCCGCUUCAUGCACAUCCAAGGAGGAAGGUUAUACAUACAUAGAGUCACGGGCCAGGUGCUGUGAUUGCUGCUCUGCUCCCCGAAAGGAUUAAUGCCAUCCGCGCUUAAAGCAAACCAUACACUCCUUGAGCCAUCGCAUCAACUUGGCAUGCUCUCCGUUUCUGAACAAACGUUUCAACCAUGGUAUUAUAGGAGCAUACCACAUCACCUUCGCAGGAACCCUCUUCCUAGGGGGCUCGCUAGCAACAUCACCAGGGUCAUCUCGUCUGAUCUUAUACCAUAAUGCACAGCAUACCGGGCAUGCGUUCAUAUCCUUGUACGCACCGCAGUAGAGGAUGCACUCAUUAGGGCAUGCAUGUAUCUUCUGCAUCUCCAGUCCUAGAGGGCAUACGACCUUCUUGGCUGCGUAUGUACUGUCGAGCAAUUCGUUAUCCUUUGGAAGCUUCUUCUUCAAUAUUUUCAGUAGCUUCUCAAAUCCUUUGUCAGGCACAACAUUCUCUGCCUUCCACUGCAUCAAUUCCAGUACGGUACCGAGAUUUGUGUUUCCAUCUUCGCAAUUAGGGUACAACCCUUUUUUGUGAUCCUCUAACAUGCGAUCGAACUUCAGCUUCUCCUUUUGACUUUCGCAUUGCAUCCUUGCAUCGACAAUGAUCCGGCGGAGAUCAUCAUCAUCGGGCACAUCGUCUGGUUCCAGAUUCAUCUUCAGCAGCUUCGCCCAUUGUAGCAUCAUCGUGCACAUCGUCUGGUUCCUUUUGAUGUUCAGUAGCAUCACCCUAUUCAGGGGGCACAUAGUUGUCAUCGUACUCUUCUUCUUCAUGGUCUUCCAUCAUAACCCCUAUUUCUCCGUGCCUCGUCCAAACAUUAUAGUGUGGCAUGAAACCCUUGUAAAGCAGGUGGGUGUGAAGGAUUUUCGGUCAGAGUAAGACUUCGUAUUCCCACAUAUAGGGCAUGGACAACACAUAAAACCAUUCUUCUUGUUUGCCUCAGCCACUUCAAGAAAAUCAUGCACGCCCUUAAUAUACUCGGAGGUGUGUCUGUUACCGUACAUCCAUUGCCGGUUCAUCUACAUGCAUUAUAUAUAAUUAAGUGUGUCAAAAAUCAUUACAGAACAUCAUGAAUAGAUAAUUAAGUGACCAAAUUAAUAGAAGUUCAUCAUCACAUUAAAACGAAAGUACAUACAUAGUUCUCAUCUUCAAGCGAAAAUCAUUACAUAACAACAUAAAGCUCUGCAGAGCAUCUAAAUUAAUUAAACCAAACAUUGAAACUAUGUAAAACAUUUCAAUGCGAAAACAAAUGCGAUCAUAAUCGCAACCAAGGUAACAACUAAUCCAACGGCAUAAUGAUACCAAGCCUCAGUAUGAAUGGCAUAUUUUCUAAUCUUUCUAAUCUUCAAGCGCAUUGCAUCCAUCUUGAUCUUGUGAUCAUCGACGACAUCCGCAACAUGCAACUCCAAUAUCAUCUUCUCCUCCUUAAUUUUUCUUAUUUUUUCCUUCAAGAAAUUGUUUUCUUCUUCAACUAAAUUUAAUCUCUCGACAAUAGGGUCGGUUGGAAUUUCCGGUUCAACAACUUCCUAGAUAAAUAAAAUCUAUGUCACCUUGGUCGGCAUAAUUUUCAUAAACAAUAAAUGAACCAAUAGUUAUGAAAAGAUAAUAUAUACCACAUCUGAAUCAUAGACAGGACGAGGGCCGACGGGGGCGGAUACCAAAACCAUCGCACUAUAUAAGAUGCAAUAAUAAAAGUAAAAAAAUAAUGCAAGUAUCUAUCUAAACAUACAAGUAAGAAUAUUUUUCCUUCCAGAAAGAAGAUAAGAACAAGAGGCUCACCACGGUGGUGCCGGCGAUGAGAUCGGCGCGGGUGAUCGACGGCGGUGAAGACGGGGACGGACCGCUAAACCUAGACAAAUAUUGAGGAAAAUGGAGCUUGGAGGUCGAGCUUGGAGAGGAGAAAGCUUAAGUAGUGUGGCUCGGGCAUUCCAUCGAACACCUUGUGUGCAUAGGAGGUGAGCUAGAGCACUACCAAGCCCUCUCCCCCUCGGCUGCCAGAAAAACAGAGCAGUGUGCUCUGCUGUUACGCGAGGAGGUAUAUAUAGGCACCUCAUUGGUCCCGGUUGGUGGCAUGAACCGGGACUAAAGGGCUGCCUUUGGUCCCGGUUCAAGCCACCAACGGGGACCAAUGGUGGUGGGCCAGGAGCGAGGCCCAUUGGUCCCGGUUCAUCCUACCAACCGGGACCAAAAGGUCCAGACGAACCAGGACCAAUGGCCCACGUGGCCCGGCCGGCCCCCGGGGCUCACGAACCGGGUCCAAUGCCACCAUUUGUCCCGGUUCUAGACUGAACCGGGACUAAUGGGCUGACCCGGCCUGGACCAAUACCCCCUUUUCUACUAGUGAAAUUGUUACCAAAAUUUCCUGAAUGUGCUACCUGUCUAUUAUGUCCUUGACACAACUUGGUUCUGAAUGUCUCGGUACACUGAUUGUUUAUCACUCCAUUAUGCGUUGUCCCGAAUAUUGAAUAUUUAUGCUGCCGAGUAACUUCCUUUCUAGGUUUUGCAUCAUCAAGACUGUAUUUUUUUAUUUUGAACUUGUGGCACACUUCCUCGUGCAGUUUGAUUCCAUGAAUUUUAAUUCAUUUAUUUCCUGAAAUCACUCAGUGUUUGAGUCUUCAUAAGGAUGAAUAACACGACUUGUGCACCUUGUCCUAAAACUUUUAGUCUGGUUUACAAUGACUUCAUCAUCAAUCGGAACCUGCUUUAUAUUUUUUUAAACAGGGAAUAUAUUUACAUGCUCUUGCAAACACAUAAGAAAAAUGUGUUAGUCAAAAACUAAGAUGCUUAUAGUCAUUAGAUAGGUCUGAAACUUAUAUUAUGAAAGAUUAGGAAAAUACACCAAGAAAGCUUACGUAGUUAUCCUUUUGAAUUCCUCUGCUCAUGCUAGUACUUUUGUUGAUCUUUGAAAUAUCUCAGUUCUUUGAUUUUUGAAUGUUUUCUCAUAUUAUAUCAACACCGUCACAUCUGUAGUUAUUGUAUGCUUUCUCUUAGGUCAUGAUUAGUUCAAUAGGAUUUAUUUUGUCCUAACAACCCCUAUUUUCAAUUCCACAUCAUAAUAGAACACAACAUGCGUUCCCGUUCUAGCAUUUUUGUUGUCGUGCACAAUUAUUUUACUGUCACCAACAUGAAUCUAUCUAUCUACCUAUCUAUCUAUCUAUCUAUCUAUCUAUACCUCUAUACCUAUACUAAUUACAGACUCCCAAGAAAUUAUCACGUUAAUUAGAAAUUAGGAGCCGUUAAUCUGGUGGGGCCGAAUUAUUACGGUGUAGAUCAAUCCUAGAAAUUACAUUAACUAGAAAAAAUAGAAAAUUCGGUGUAGAUCAAUACUAGAAAUUACAUUAACUAGAAAAAAUAGAAAACACAUAAGCCACGUGCUGUCUAAAAAAACAGGAGAUGCCACGUCCCUAGAAAACAAAAACUUCCACGAUGCAAUUCUUAAUCCCGCAUGUAUCUCUCAAAACAAGAAAAAGAAAACUCAUCCAACUCUUAAUCCCUCAUGCAUCGCUCCAAAAAAAAGGAAAUAAAAUGUCACGUAUAUCUCCCUCACGACCUAUAUCUCACAAUUUCUUGGGUGAAAAGAAAAAUUCUCAAGAACGCAUCUAUAUCCCGUGACUGCUGUGUUGGGAAAAGAAGCCAAUCUGAACUAACCUACAUGCAUCAAAGACCUUUUCAAGGCUUCACGUUAAUCCUAGGACUGAGUUUGUUUUGUUGGAAAAAAAACAGGAAACCCAUGUCGAUCCCCUGCCCUCUGCCUCCAAUUUUAUCUUCCUAGAUGCCGGUUCUGACCUCCUCUUCCUUUCCGUCUCCCCUCCCGCAUAAUUCACCUUCCUCUCCCUGCAGAAAGAGAAAGAAGUCUUCCUCCUUUGCCUAGGGGUAGGCCCUAUUUUCAAUCAAUAUAUGUCCAAAAGGAAAAGAUCCCUACCUUCAAAUGAUCUGUUGGAGAUGAGUAUGAUCCGGCAACAAAUAUUCCUCCGACUGAUCCAUCACUCCAGCAAUAUGGCGGAGAAGGAACCUGUGAACAUCGCUUACUCUCCAUCCAGAUUGGAACAGGCAGAAGUAAUAUCUCCGCCACAGUGUUAGUUCGCGCACAACAUCAUCGGUGCGUCGUCAAGGCCUCGAUUCAAUGAUCGGUACAAUAUCCAGGUUGGAAUCCCCAAUUCGAUCAUCUAGCACCCUCUAAUGGGAUCAGUUUGUUAGAGGUAAACACAUCGUCUUCCUGUGCAUUGCGUUUCCAGCCGCAAAGAUUGAUUAUGUGUAUCUUUGAUAAUGAUGUUGUGUAGGUGCAUGUUCAGGUCGAUCAAGGAUGCCUUCCAUGUGUGCAUCUUGCCGGACGAUUUCCGUGUAGGAUCACGUCGAGAUUGAAUAAAGCCAUCCUGCAUUGUCAAAGUUCAUAAGUCGACGCCGCAGACAUAGCUCUAUUGUGCAUUUGUUAACAGUUGGAUGAAGUAGCAAUAUGUCUUACCUGCACUUCGGAAGUCAGAUGGGUUAUUACAUGUACGUCUGGCAUUCUUUGCAUAUCGAAUUAUCCUAGCCGCGGUGCUUCUGGUCUUUCUCUCUCCACUACACCCGUCCUGCUCCUUCCCUCUUUACUACUGUUACUAGAUCCAAUGUUCCUACUGGGUAGGUUCCGUAUCUACUAUCAUAUAGUAUAUUAAUAGCAGUUCUGGCUUAUAGUAAUUAUGGUAAUUAUGGUAAUAGUUAGGAGUAUCAUACUUUCAAACUUAGCUUAAUUGUAAACAAAAUACAUGCAAGUUAGCACACUAAUUCAGCUUGAUCAUUUUCUGGAGGCAUUUCAAUGAGUCGAGAGGGGUAGCUUCUUACGAUGUCAAACAUAUGUUAUGUUUUUCACUCUCCUCCAAAUUGGACAAUCACUCUUAGGUAUCAAUUUCAUCACUCCAAAAUUAUUAUAAUAUAUUUUCUUUGCAACCUAGAUUCCAAGUUAUAACCAUGCUGCAAUCAAGCAUCUAUUUGGUAUCUCAUAUCGAUAUAUCCCACGACAGAUAUUGCUUUAUGGGAGUCAUACCGAUGGUAGUUUAAAGAAAUUCAUUGGGCCACUACCACGGGCAAUACAGCCGCAUUCCACGAUGUCCUCGACGAAUUGUAGCCCACUAUACUGAGCACAUGCUAUGGCUAUAUUGCUCGGGGUGCACAAUAAUACUGAAGAGUUCACGAAAGAUUCAGGGUACAUGUGGUUGUGUGUUGCCUAAGAUCCUAUAGAAUAUUUUUUUACUAAUUGUGCAUAGUGAUCAAUUUUUACAAGAUGCAACGUACUUGCUUUUAGAUAGUGGCCGUGUGUUAGCCACUGUUGAAUUUAGGUCUGUUAUGUUUUUCAAAUGAAGCAAUGGUAUUUCAAUUGUGGUUGAACAGAUGAGAGGACAUCUUUUUUUUUGCUAUGCAACUAUCAUAGUAAACUUUCAUAAUAGCUAGGCAAAAUGUUCAAAAAUCGUCACAUAAUUAAGAGUAAAUUAUCUUCUCAGUUAUUUAAUAGUGUAGGUUCACAAUGAACAACGCCACUACUGCUGGGCCUCUUGACCAGCUGCCUCCGGCCGUUCAGCAACCUAGGUCACACUUUGCAAAUUCGUAGCCUUGGUUUUAUCAUGAUUUUUUUUCCUUUAGACAUAUAAUAUUACUGAACUUUUCCUUUUGUUAUUAACAUUCCACAAACUUCGCCAAAUAGUUACAUGCCAUCGAGUAGCCAAAUAGUUAAGCAAUCUGAAGGUAUAUCAUCAUUUAGUAACAUUAGUGCAUCAAGGGGAGACAGUCUGUAGUAUAUAUAUCUUGAGCGGCAACAAACAAUGUGAGUUAUCUAUGGCUUUCAUGUGAACCAUUAUUCCGAGCUCCAUUAGUAAGUUCCGUUAGUUUGUUUCUAAAUAACUAGAAUGUACAUAGCCUUUCCUCCGUCCAUGUUGCUUUUUUUGAUCCAGUUUCGAUUAUUCUCCUCGAUUCAGCUGCUGAAAGAAAUACCAGAAUUGAUCUUUUAAUUCUGGUCAUUGGGCACCCUCUAAUUCAGUGGCCGCCCAUCUCUCCUCAAGUGCACGCUGCCAUCUUUUCUUCCUUGCUAUAUGAUACCAAGCCAGCACCGCAGGUAACCACAUGUUAGAAAAAAAUAUUUAUUUUUCUGAACCAUUUAUAUUUCAAAAGUCUGCUUCAGUACUAUUUCAGAUGGUGAAUAAAUUAACGAAGAACGUUUCUUAUGCAUGUAGGGUAACCUGGUAAUUUUCUUAGGAACGCGAUUUUCCUAUUCCACAGUGAAAUCUGAGGUUGUCUUUAAACCACAACAAAUGAACUGGUGAUGCUUCCAUUGUGUGACCUGUCUUUUUCGGCCAUUUACUAGAUGGCACACGCAUUAGCAUCAUAUUUUUUUAGUUUAAUAUGUCAGCUGAGACGAGUUUGACUACCUUCUCACAUACCAUUCAGGGCAAUCACUAAUGAAUAAUUGGAUCUGGAAGCUCAUAUAUGAAGCUCCAAUCUUGGUAGCGGCAUAAAUGGAAUAUGAGAUCUAUGGAUAACAAAUCCAAGAAUUACCUGUAGUUUCUAUGAUUUUCAAAGUUUGUAAUCUCUUCAAGAUUUUCAGUCGUUCAAGCUCACAAAUAGAAUAUAUGUGGGCAAAAACUCUGUCAGCUGUUUACACACAGGCCGUAGUUUUGAAGCAAAAAAGUAAGGCAAUAACUGAGGUGAAUGAGUCAAAAAUGACCUGUCAUCGAAAGUUUUUAAGUUAUUGCUACAUCACUUUUCAUGAUUUUGUGUACCUCUGAAUUUGGAUCUAUUUGUUAGCAUUUAUAAAAGAAAAAAUAAACAAUUUUCUUUGCCUAUAUAAGCAAUCAUAAAUUAGCAUGUUUCCAAUAAAAUAAGUGGUCAAUGUUGUAUUUUUUAUACUUUAUAUCUCUGAAUUUGGUUUAUCUAAUAAAUGCAUUAGUAUGUAUAUAUUUAUCUGUUUUAGGAAAGACUAGCCCGUGCGGGUGCACGGGUUGACGACUAGUUUAUCUUAAUUACUGUAAAUUAAGAAUUAUAUAUAGUGUGGCAUGUGUAAUGGUGAACAGUAUAGAGCAACAUAUAAGCCUCCCGUUCAACAUUUUUCUUGCAAUAUUGACGAAUCUCCUUGAGAAUCUAUCAAAAAGAAUAUAUACACAUCAUUCUUGGUAACCAUACACUCAAGGUAUACUUAUCUAAUCUAAAUUUGAAUAUCAAUUGUUGUCCACAUAUUUUCUAGAUUUUUUUCGUCUUUUCAUUGAUGUCACAAUCAUCCAUAUUUAUCCAUAAUUAGUUGGAUUAAUAAAUUUAAUUGUUGCUUCUAGCACAUAAGAAAAUGAAACAAUAGUUAUGUAAGACAAAAGCACCAUUAGAUUCAGGAUAACUAUGAUUAAUUUAAAAUCUAAAAAAAUCUAUUGUUCCAAUGUAUCUUACAUCAUCACACUCAUCAUGCCAACUUGUUUUGGACAUUAAAAUGAACCAACUCAUACUCCUACCCUUGCCUAAUUUUCUUAGGACUAAUUCAUGAAGCAACGAAGUAGAAGGCAAACUCAAUGGUUGUCGUUGAGUCAGUACCAAUUCUUUGACAAUUCAAAAUCUAGUUGGUUUUCAAAGAACACAACGGUAUACUAUCUAUUAUAAUCUUUUUAAAAUGGAGCACCACCACAAAAUGAAGAUGAUACUUAUAGCAUUUCUUUUUUAUUCAUUCUAUUUUUUGCAGGGAUAUUCAAACUAAUUUAUAGACAUAAAGAAACAAUUAAAACUUUUCACUCACGCUAAUCUAAUAUGUUUAAAAUGAUUUUGUGUGUUCCUACCAAGAAAAAUUAAGAUUUUGUAGGAUAUGUGAGAACACAUUAUUUAUUGAGCCUAUAAUGAAAUUAGAUCAAUCGAAGAGUCGUACCAAAAGACCAUAGACAUGCAUCAAGAUGUUUGAGAUAAUGUGGGAAUUUAUCCUGUUCUACUCCUUGUGAUGGAGUCUUUAAGGGAGAGUUGACUACAUGGACAUACAUAUAAUGUAUUCAUCUGUAUGGUUGUAAAAGUCUAUAAAAAUACUAUUUUUGAUAUCACAUCUUAUCAUGAUUCAUACCUAGGCAUGGACAUAUUGGAAUACACUCCACUUCCAUAUUUGGAAGCAUAGAACAAUGAUGCAUACAUCGUAGCAGCUACCAAUAACAUGGUACUGAGAUUGAGGGCAGUUAAUCUAGUAUCAUAAAUCUAUAAUCUUGCCAUCAAAAUAAUGCAGAACCAACUAUAAAGCGAGCUAGCUGUGCAGUCCCGUUCCGAAGUCUUGACUAGCCUUCUUUCAUGAUGGAGGGACAUAAGGUUCUGGAAUGAAUAUAGAAUGUUGAGUUACCUCCAUUGGCCCACCCAUACUGGUGCUGCCAGGAACUGAAUAGGAGAGGCUGAGAUGCAUGCUUAGAUGAUGGAAUGAUAAGAUAGUUUCUCAACAACGACAUCCGUGUGCAUGAUCAUGUGUAGCAUCCACUUUCUCCAAAUCAGUUGUGUAUUAGGAUGUGCUCUGCAGGCUUCUUACCUCCUGAAAAUCUGACAAACAUCCAUACGUAUAGGCUUCUUUCUUCUGUCAAAUAUGAAAAUAUACACACGUCUGCUUAUAGAAUAAGAGUUUAAUAUCCUUAGUCUACUUAUUUACAUGGAAAAUUAGAAAUCUCCAUUACUGAUUGGUGACAGACACAAAAAUUAUAGCCAUACCUCAAAUCGUAGAGUUGAGAGUUCCAAGGGAGCAAGCAGUGCCUUUUUUCCAUUAGCAAACUGUACAAACUGAGAAGGUGCUAUACUAUCAAUUGAAUUGUACAUAACCAAAUGCAAGUAUAGGUUGAUCAAGUGAUGCUAGAUUGAAUCCGUAAAAUAAAAUAGAAGUACAGAGAGAACCCAUGUAGAUAACAUGUCCCUACUACCGGGUGUAGUUACUCCCACUUUUGUUUCAUACGUUCUAUGUAGUAUCUAUCAUAUUGGAGAGUAUGUACGCGUAGUAUAUAGUAUAUAAGAAUGUUUAGGUAGUAUAUAUACUACUUUUUUGAUAGUAUGUAUCAUAUUUUGCGCAUACUUUAUUUCAUGUACAAAUAUGUACGUAUUUCACAAAUACAAUAAAAUUAUGAGCUCCCUUGCCAUCUUUUCAUAUAAAUCACUUGGGAGUAUCUUAGAUAUAGUAUAUGAACAUACUAAAAAUAAUAAAGUAGAGUAUAUACUACCACAUGAUAGUAUAUGAGAAAUGGGUGUAGCUACACCCGGUAGUGGGAUGCAUUUUCCCUAUAUAUGUGUGUGUGUGUGUGUGUGUGUGUGUGUGUGUGUGUGUGUGUGUGUGUGUGUGUGUGUAUUCAAAACUUUCUUGACAUACAUAGUCACCUACAGACAAAAACGGCAAUUAUUUAGCUAGCACCUUGGUGUGAAAUUAUACGUUGUUUUGCCGCUUGGAUUACCGGAUUCAGCAUGCAUCAAAUAUUGUUGCCAUCCUCAGAUGAUGCAGUUGUUGGGGAAUACUUUGGGUACUGCUGCAACACGUGGAUGAGGUGUAUGGAUACACAAAGACCAAGGCGAUUUCUCCCCCAGAUUGCACGGCGGAUCCAAUGCAGGCACAGGCAUGACAAUGAGAUCAAAACUUUCUUGACAUACAUAGUCACCUACAGACAAAAACGGCAAUUAUUUAGCUAGCACCUUGGUCGAUGCCUUACCACGCCAGAUCCAUGCCUGCUUGCAUGAGAGAGGAUGAGUCGGUUGGACGGGAAUAGUUUCCAUGUGGGAGAGAGAGGAAGGGACGGUAGAAUAUUUCAUUCGUGGAAAGAGAGAAAUAAUAAGGAGGAGGGAUCGGUGGAGUAGUACAUGGCAGUUAGGAUUCUCUUUUUUUUUCCCGGAAAGUUAGGAUCCUAUCUCUUUGGUCACAAAUUUGACAAAGAUACGUGAGUUUUUUAAGGGGAAAAAAUCAUGGAAUUAAACAGAAUUACAACAAAGGGUUAUAUGGGAUGAUUUAUACCGUAAGGACUUGGUCCCACCAGAUAAAUGAUUUCUACUUUUAUUAAUAUAUGGAUAUUAUAUCGGCUGAUCUAAGCCGUAAUAAUACGGUCCCACCAGAUUAACGACUCAUAUUUUCUAAUUAACAACGUGGUAAUUAUUUGGGAGUCUGUAAUUAGUAUAGGUAUAUAUAGGUAUAUGUAUAGAUAAGAUGACUUCCAGAACAGGAUUACUGUAACACUCUGGUGCGGAUCUUAAUCUGGAAGACCUACGAGGUUCAGUAGUAACUUGAUCUGAAGCUUCAUGAUCAUCAUCAUUAGUUUCCUCACUAAUUGGUGUAGGAAUCAGAGAAACUGAUUUCUGUGAUAAACUACUUUCCAAUAAAGGAGCGGGUACAAUCACUAGUCGUCAACCCGUGCACCCGCACGGGCUAGUCUUUCCUAAAACAGCUAAAUAUAUACAUACUAAUGCAUUUAUUAGAUAAACCAAAUUCAGAGAUAUAAAGUAUAAAAAAUACAACAUUGACCACUUAUUUUAUUGGAAACAUGCUAAUUUAUGAUUGCUUAUAUAGGCAAAGAAAAUUGUUUAUUUUUUCUUUUAUAAAUGCUAACAAAUAGAUCCAAAUUCAGAGGUACACCAAAUCAUGAAAAGUGAUGUAGCAAUAACUUAAAAACUUUCGAUGACAGGUCAUUUUUGACUCAUUCACCUCAGUUAUUGCCUUAUUUUUUUGCUUCAAAACUACGGCCUGUGUGUAAACAGCUGACAGAGUUUUUGCCAACAUAUAUUCUAUUUGUGAGCUUGAAUGACUGAAAAUCUUGAAGAGAUUACAAACUUUGAAAAUCAUAGAAACUACAGGUAAUUCUUGGAUUUGUUAUCCAUAGAUCUCAUAUUCCAUUUAUGCCGCUACCAAGAUUGGAGCUUCAUAUAUGAGCUUCCAGAUCCAAUUAUUCAUUAGUGAUUGCCCUGAAUAGUAUGUGAGAAGGUAGUCAAACUCGUCUCAGCUGACAUAUUAAACUAAAAAAAAUAUGAUGCUAAUGCGUGUGCCAUCUAGUAAAUGGCCAAAAAAGACAGGUCACACAAUGGAAGCAUCACCAGUUCAUUUGUUGUGGUUUAAAGACAACCUCAGAUUUCACUGUGGAAUAGGAAAAUCGCGUUCCUAAGAAAAUUACAAGGUGACUCUACAUGCAUAACAAACGUUCUUCGUUAAUUUAUUCACCAUCUGAAAUAGUACUGAAGCAGACUUUUGAAAUAUAAAUGGUUCAGAAAAAUAAAUAUUUUUUUUCUAACAUGUGGUUACCUGCGGUGCUGGCUUGGUAUCAUAUAGCAAGGAAGAAAAGAUGGCAGCGUGCACUUGAGGAGAGAUGGGCGGCCACUGAAUUAGAGGGUGCCCAAUGACCAGAAUUAAAAGAUCAAUUCUGGUAUUUCUUUCAGCAGCUGAAUCGAGGAGAAUAAUCGAAACUGGAUCAGAAAAAGCAACAUGGACGGAGGAAAUGCUAUGUACAUUCUAGUUAUUUAGAAACAAACUAACGGAACUUACUAAUGGAGCUCGGAAUAAUGGUUCACAUGAAAGCCAUAGAUAACUCACAUUGUUUGUUGCCCCUCAAGAUAUAUAUAUACUACAGACUGUCUCCCCUUGAUGCACUAAUGUUACUAAAUGAUGAUAUACCUUCAGAUUGCUUAACUAUUUGGCUACUUGAUGGCAUGUAACUAUUUGGCGCAGUUUGUGCAAUGUUAAUAACAAAAGGAAAAGUUCAGUAAUAUUAUAUGUCUAAAGGAAAAAAAAUCAUGAUAAAACCAAGGCUACGAAUUUGCAAAGUGUGACCUAGGUUGCUGAACGGCCGGAGGCAGCUGAUCAAGAGGCCCAGCAGUAGUGGCGUUGUUCAUUGUGAACCUACACUAUUAAAUAACUGAGAAGAUAAUUUACACUUAAUUAUGUGACGAUUUUUGAACAUUUUGCCUAGCUAUUAUGAAAGUUUACUAUGAUAGUUGCAUAGCAAAAAAAAAGAUGUCCUCUCAUCUGUUCAACCACAAUUGAAAUACCAUUGCUUCAUUUGAAAAACAUAACAGACCUAAAUUCAACAGUGGCUAACACACGGCCACUAUCUAAAAGCAAGUACGUUGAAUCUUGUAAAAAUUGAUCAUUAUGCACAAUUAGUAAAAAAAUAUUCUAUAGGAUCUUAGGCAACACACAACCACAUGUACCCUGAAUCUUUCGUGAACUCUUCAGUAUUAUUGUGCACCCCGAGCAAUAUAGCCAUAGCAUGUGCUCAGUAUAGUGGGCUACAAUUCGUCGAGGACAUCGUGGAAUGCGGCUGUAUUGCCCGUGGUAGUGGCCCAAUGAAUUUCUUUAAACUACCAUCGGUAUGACUCCCAUAAAGCAAUAUCUGUCGUGGGAUAUAUCGAUAUGAGAUACCAAAUAGAUGCUUCAUUGCAGCAUGGUUAUAACUUGGAAUCUAGGUUGCAAAGAAAAUAUAUUAUAAUAAUUUUGGAGUGAUGAAAUUGAUACCUAAGAGUGAUUGUCCAAUUUGGAGGAGAGUGAAAAACAUAACAUAUGUUUGACAUUGUAAGAAGCUACCCCUCUCGACUCAUUGAAAUGCCUCCAGAAAAUGAUCAAGCUGAAUUAGUGUGCCUAACUUGCAUGUAUUUUGUUUACAAUUAAGCUAAGUUUGAAAGUAUGAUACUCCUAACUAUUACCAUAAUUACCAUAAUUACUAUAAGCCAGAACUCCUAUUAAUAUACUAUAUGAUAGUAGAUACGGAACCUACCAAGUAGGAACAUUGGAUCUAGUAACAGUAGUAAAGAGGGAAGGAGCAGGACGGGAGUAGUGGAGAGAGAAAGACCAGAAGCACCACGGCUAGGAUAAUUCGAUAUGCAAAGAAUGCCAGACGUACAUGUAAUAACCCAUCUGACUUCCGAAGUGCAGGUAAGACAUAUUGCUACUUCAUCCAACUGUUAACAAAUGCACAAUAGAGCUAUGUCUGCGGCGUCGACUUAUGAACUUUGACAAUGCAGGAUGGCUUUAUUCAAUCUCGACGUGAUCCUACACGGAAAUCGUCCGGCAAGAUGCACACAUGGAAGGCAUCCUUGAUCGACCUGAACAUGCACCUACACAACAUCAUUAUCAAAGAUACACAUAAUCAAUCUUUGCGGCUCGAAACGCAAUGCACAGGAAGACGAUGUGUUUACCUCUAACAAACUGAUCCCAUUAGAGGGUGCUAGAUGAUCGAAUUGGGGAUUCCAACCUGGAUAUUGUACCGAUCAUUGAAUCGAGGCCUUGACGACGCACCGAUGAUGUUGUGCGCGAACUAACACUGUGGCGGAGAUAUUACUUCUGCCUGUUCCAAUCUGGAUGGAGAGUAAGCGAUGUUCACAGGUUCCUUCUCCGCCAUAUUGCUGGAGUGAUGGAUCAGUCGGAGUUAUAUUUGUUGACGGAUCAUACUCAUCUCCAACAGAUCAUUUGAAGGUAGGGAUCUUUUCCUUUUGGACAUAUAUUGAUUGAAAAUAGGGCCUACCCCUAGGCAAAGGAGGAAGACUUCUUUCUCUUUCUGCAGGGAGAGGAAGGUGAAUUAUGCGGGAGGGGAGACGGAAAGGAAGAGGAGGUCAGAACCGGCAUCUAGGAAGAUAAAAUUGGAGGCAGAGGGCAGGGGAUCGACAUGGGUUUCCUGUUUUUUUUCCAACAAAACAAACUCAGUCCUAGGAUUAACGUGAAGCCUUGAAAAGGUCUUUGAUGCAUGUAGGUUAGUUCAGAUUGGCUUCUUUUCCCAUCACAGCAGUCACGGGAUAUAGAUGCGUUCUUGAGAAUUUUUCUCUUCACCCAAGAAAUUGAGAGAUAUAGGUCGUGAGGGAGAUAUACGUGACAUUUUUUUUCUUUUUUUUCGGAGCGAUGCAUGAGGGAUUAAGAGUUGGAUGAGUUUUCUUUUUCUUGUUUUGAGAGAUACAUGCGGGAUUAAGAAUUGCAUCGUGGAAGUUUUUGUUUUCUAGGGACGUGGCAUCUCCUGUUUUUUUUUAGACAACACCUGGCUUAUGUUUUUUCUAUUUUUUCUAGUUAAUGUAAUUUCUAGUAUUGAUCUACACCGAAUUUUCUAUUUUUUCUAGUUAAUGUAAUUUCUAGGAUUGAUCUACACCGUAAUAAUUCGGCCCCACCAGAUUAACGGCUCCUAAUUUCUAAUUAACAUGAUAAUUUCUUGGGAGUCUCUAAUUAGUAUAGGUAUAGAUUUUUGUGACUAACCUACUAACCGGAGGGCCGGCCCGUAUUGCUGUUUUUUUUUGCCUAUUUCAGUAUUUCGAAGAAAAGGAUUAUCAAACGGAGUACAAACGGAAUGAAACCUUCAGGAGCGUGAUUUUUGGAACGGAUGUGAUCCAGAGGACUUGGAGUGGAAGUCAAGAAGCAGCCGAGGCGGGCAUGAGAUAGGAGGGCGCGCCCACCCCUCCUGGGUGCGCGCCCCUGUCUCGUGGGCCCAUCGGGCGUCCACCGACGUACUUCUUCCUCCUAUAUAAGCCUACAUACCCCUAAAACAUCCAGGGAGCCACCGAAGAAAUAUUUCCGCCAUCGUAACCUUCUGUAUCCGCGAGAUCCCAUCUUGGAGCCGUCGCAGGCGUUCUGCCGGAGGGGGAAUCCACCAUGGAGGCUUCUACAUUAACACCAUAGCCCCUCCAAUGAGUUGUGAGUAGUUUACCACAGACCUUCGGGUUCAUAGUUAUUAGCUGGAUGGCUUCUUCUCUCUUUUUGGAUCUCAAUACAAUGUUCUCCCCCUCUCUUGUGGAGAUCUAUUCGAUGUAAACUCUUUUUGCAGUGUGUUUGUCGAGAUCCGAUGAAUUGUGGGUUUAUGAUCAAGUUUAUCUAUGAACAAUAUUUGAAUCUUCUCUGAAUUCUUUUAUGUAUGAUUGAGUUAUCUUUUCAAGUCUCUUCGAAUUAUCGGUUUGGUUUGGCCUACUAGAUUGAUCUUUCUUGCCAUGCGAGAAGUGCUUAGCUUUGGGUUCAAUCUUGCGGUGUCCUUACCCAGUGACAGAAAGGGUUGCAAGGCACGUACUGUAUUGUUGCCAUCGAGGAUAAAAAAGAUGGGGUUUAUAUCAUAUUGCUUGAGUUUAUCUCUCUACAUCAUGUCAUCUUGCUUAAUGCGUUACUCUGUUUUUAUGAACUUAAUACUCUAGAUGCAGAUAGUAGUCGGUCGAUGUGUGGAGUAAUAGUAGUAGAUGCAGGCAGGAGUCGGUCUACUUGUCACGGAUGUGAUGCCUAUAUACAUGAUCAUGCCUAGAUAAUCUCAUAAUUAUUCACUUUUCUAUCAAUUGCUCGACAGUAAUUUGUUCACCCACCGUAAUACUUAUGCUAUCUUGAGAGAAGCCUCUAGUGAAACUUAUGGCCCCCGGGUCUAUCCUUUAUCAUAUAAGCCUUCAAUCUACUUUUAUUUGCAUCUUUAUUUUCUGCAUCUAUAUUAUGAAAUACCAAAAAUGUAUUUAUCUUAUCAUAUUAUCUCUAUCAAAUCUCACUUUCGCAAGUGGCCGUGAAGGGAUUGACAACCCCUUUAUCGCGUUGGUUGCGAGUUCUUUGUUUGUUUGUGUAGGUUCGUGGGACUUGUGAGGAGCCUCCUACUGGAUUGAUACCUUGGUUCUCAAAAACUGAGGGAAAUACUUACGCUACUGUGCUGCAUCACCCUUUACUCUUCAAGGAAAACCAACGCAAGCUCGAGACGUAGCAAGAACCAUAUCUACUUAAUUCAUCUGUGAAGGUAAGAAAAUAAUGAUACCCACCACAAGCAUCAAUACUCAUUGGACCGCAUACAUCGGUAUGUAUUAUUUCCAACAAGUCAGUAGCUCGUUCCACUGUUUCGGAGAACGAUGCUUUAGUCAUCUUGCCCAUAAGGCACGGUUCGCAAGCACCAAGUGAUUCAUAAUCAAGUGAUUCCAAAAGUCCAUCGGCAUGGAGUUUCUUCAUGCGCUUUACACCGAUAUGACCCAAACGGCAGUGCCACAAUUAAGUUGCACUAUCACUAUUAAACUUCAAUGUUUUGGCUUCAACACUAUGAAUAUGUCUAUUACUAAUAUCGAGAUUCAACAAAAAUAGACCACACAUCAGGGGUGCAUGACCAUAAAAGAUAUUACUCAUAUAAAUAGAACAACCAUUAUUCUCUGAUUUAAAUGAAUAACCGUCUCACAUUAAACAAGAUCCAGAUAUAAUCUUCAUGCUCAACUCUGGCACCAAAUAACAAUUAUUCAGGUCUAAAACUAGUCCCGAUGGUAGAUGAAGAGGUAGCGUGCCGACCACGAUCACCUCGACUUUGGAACCAUUUCCCACGUGCAUCGUCACCUCGUCCUUAGCCAAUCUUCGCUUAAUCCGUAGCCCCUGUUUCGAGUUGCAAAUAUGAGCAACAGAACCAGUAUCAAAUACCCAGGCGCUACUGCGAGCAUUAGUUAAGUACACAUCAAUAACAUGUAUAUCAAAUAUACCUUUCACUUUGCCAACCUUCUUAUCCGCCAAAUACUUGGGCAGUUCCGCUUCCAGUGACCAAUCCCUUUGCAGUAGAAGCACUUGAAGGAAAUAUGCCCUAGAGGCAAUAAUAAAGUUAUUAUUUAUUUCCUCAUAUCAUGAUAAAUGUUUAUUAUUCAUGCUAGAAUUGUAUUAACCGGAAACAUAAUACAUGUGUGAAUACAUAGAUAAACAUAGUGUUGAUACGUCCAUUUUGCAUCAUGCUUUUAUAUAAUUGCAUUAUGGGAUGUUAUUACACAUUAUAUCUCAAUAAUUUUGGCUAUUCUCUCUUAUUUUACAAGGUUUGCCAUGAAGAGGGGGGAUGCCGGCAGCUGGAAUUAUGGCUGGAAAAGGAGCAAACAUUGGAAACCUAUUCUGCACUGCUCCAAAAGUCCUGAAACUCCACGAAACAUAUUUUUGGAUUUAUUAAGAAUUAUUGAGGAAAAGAAAUACAUCGGGGGGGCCACACCCUGGCCAGGAGGGUGGGGGGCACGCGCCCCCUCUCUCCUUGGCCCCUUGGUGGCCCUCCGGUGUCCAUCUUCUGCUAUAUGAGGGCUUUUACCCUGGGAAAAAUCCUGGGCAAGCUUACGGGACGAAACUCCACCGCCACGAGGCGGAACCUUGGCGGAACCAAUCUAGCGCUCUGGCGGAGCUAUUCUGCCGGGGACACUUCCCUCUGGGUGGGGGAAAUCAUCACCAACGUCAUCACCAAUGAUCCUCUCAUCGGGAGGGGGUCAAUCUCCAUCAACAUGUUCACCAGCACCAUCUCCUCUCAAAACCCUAGUUCAUCUCUUGUAUCCAAUCUUGUAUCAAAACCACAAUUAGUACUUGUGGGUUGCUAGUAGUGUUGAUUACUCCUUGUAGUUGAUGCUAAUUGGUUUACUUGGUGGAAGAUUAUAUGUUCAGAUCCUUUAUGCACAUUAUUACUCCUCUAAUUAUGAACAUGAAUAUACCGUGUGAGUAGUACGUUUGUUCCUGAGGACAUGGGUGAAGUCUUGCUAUUAGCAGUCAUGUGAAUUUAGUAUUCGUUCGAUAUUUUGAUGAGAUGUAUGUUGUCUUUUCCUCUAGUGGUGUUAUGUGAACGUUGACUACAUGACACUUCACCAUUAUUUAGGCCUAGAGGAAGGCAUAGGGAAGUAAUAAGUAGAUGAUGGGUUGCUAGAGUGACAGAAGCUUAAACCCUAGUUUAUGCGUUGCUUCGUUAGGGGCUGAUUUGGAUCCAUAUGUUUAAUGUUGUGGUUAGGUUUACCUUAAUACUCCUUUUGUAGUUGCGGACGCUUGCAAUAGGGGUUAAUCAUAAGUGCAAUGCUUGUCCAAGUAAGGGCAGUACCCAAGCACCGGUCCACCCACAUAUCAAAUUAUCAAACUACCGAACAUGAAUCAUAUGAACGUGACGAAAACUAGCUUGACGAUAAUUCCCAUGUGUCCUCGGGAGCUCCUUUCUCAUUAUUAGAAAUUGUCCAGGCUUGUCCUUUGCUACAUAAAGGAUUGGGCCAUCUUGCUGCACUUUAUUUACUUGUUACUCGUUACUAUUUAUCUUAUCACAAAACUAUCUAUCACCUACAAUUUCAGUGUUUGCAGAGAAAACCUUACUGAAAACCGCUUAUCAUUUCCUUAUGCUCCUCGUUGGGGUUCGACACUCUUACUUAUCGAAAGGACUACGAUAGAUCCCAUACACUUGUGGAUCAUCAAGACUCUUUUUUGGCACCGUUGCCGGGGAGUGUAGCGCUUUUGGUGAGUGGAACUUGGUAAGGAAACAUUUAUUUAGUGUGCUGAAAUUUACUGUUACUUGUCACUAUGGAAACUAAUCCUUUGAGGGGCUUGUUCGGGGUAUCUUCACCCCAACCAGAAGAGCAAAGAGUUGCUCCUCAACCUACUGAACUUUAUGAAAAUAUUUAUUUUGAGAUUCCUUCGGGUAUGAUAGAGAAACUGCUAGCUAAUCCAUUUACAAGAGAUGGAACAUUGCAUCCCGAUCUACACCUUAUCUUUGUGGAUGAAGUUUGUGGAUUAUUUAAGCUUGCAGGUAUUCCUGAUGAUGUUGUCAAAACGAAGGUCUAACCUUUAUCUUUGAAGGGAUAUGCAUUGACAUGGUAUAGGCUAUGUGAUGAUACGAGAUCUUGGAAUUAUAAGCGAUUGAAGUUGGAAUUUCACCAGAAGUUCUAUCCUAUGCAUCUUGUUCAUCGUGAUCGUAAUUACAUAUAUAAUUUCUGGCCUCACGAAGGGGAAAGAAUCGUUCAAGCUUGAUGGAGGCUUAAGUCAAUGUUAUAUUCAUGCCCCAAUCAUGAGCUCUCCCGGGAAAUGAUUAUUCAAAAAAAUUAUGCUCGGCUUUCUCUUAAUAAUCGCAACCUGCUCGAUACUUCCUGUGCUGGUUCUUAUAUGCUGAAGACUAUUGAUUUCAAAUGGAACUUAUUGGAAAGAAUUAAACGCAACUCUGAAGAUUGGGGUUCCGACGAUGGUAAGGAGUCAGGUAUGACACCUAAGUUCGAUUGUGUUACAUCUUUUAUAGAUACCGAUGCUUUUCGUGGAUUUAGCGCUAAGUAUGGACUUGACUCUGAGAUAGUAGCUUCUUUCUGUGAAUCUUUUGCUACUCACGUUGAUCUCCCUAAAGAGAAGUGGUUUAAAUAUAAUCCUCAUGUUGAAGUGAAAGUAGUUGCACCUAUUACAGUUGAAGAAAAGACUAUCACCUAUAGUGAUCCUAUUGUUCCAACUACUUAUGUUGAGAAACCCCCAUUUCCUGUUAGGAUAAAGGAUCAUGCUAAAACUUCGACCGUUGUUCGCAAAUCAAUGUUGAACCUAGUAUUGCUAUGGUUAAAGAUCUCUUAGAUGAUGAUUUAGAUGGGCAUGCUAUUUAUUUCUGUGAUGAAACUGCUAAUAUUGCUAGAAAAGAUAAUAAGAUACAUAGACCUGUCGUAGGCAUGCCUACUAUUUCUGUUAAAAUAGGAGAUCAUUGUUAUCAUGGUUUAUGUGAUAUGGGUGCUAGUGCUAGUGCAAUACCUUAUGAUUUAUAUAAAGAAAUUAUUCAUGACAUUGCACCCGUUGAAUUAGAAGACAUUGAUGUUACUAUUAAGCUUACUAAUAGGGAUACCAUUAAAUCAGUUGGGAUUGUUAGAGAUUGAAAGUGUUAGUUAUCGACUAGAGGGGGGGGGCGUGAAUAGGCGAUUUUUAUCUAAGUCUUCAAAACGUGGAAGUUUCGAAGACAAACAAUAGAAAUGACCUAAUUGAUAUGCAACGGAAGAUAAACUACAACAAGCAAGCCAUAGUCAAGUAUGCAAUAGUGUUAAUGUACGAAGACUAAUAGCAGCUAGGUAGUAGGAUCAGGAUGGAAGAUAGUAUGAAGCCAAUCAACAAUAGUAGUCAAGCAAUGAAGUCAAUCAGAUAAGAAAGAUAAGCAACGACUUCACGAAGACAAACAUAAUGUAAAGGAGGGAAGAGAUAGAACCAGUCACUUUUUGAAGACACAGGAUUUGUUGGACCAGUUCCAGUUGCUGUGACAACUGUACGUCUGGUUAGGGAGGCUGAGAUUCAACUCAGAAGACCGUGUCUUCACCUUAUUCCCCUUGAGCUAAGGACACUUAGUCCUCGCCCAAUCACUCUGGUAAGUCUUCAAGGUAGACUUCCAAACCUUCACAGACUUCGUUCUCCCGGCAAUCCACAAUGACUCUUGGUUGCUUAGAACGUGACGCCUAACCGGCUGGAGGAUACACAGUCCUCAAGUGUAAUAAGUCUUCAGGUCACACAGACAGAAAGACUUCAGUGAUGCCUAACACUCUUUGGCUCUGGGUGUUUGGGCUUUGUCCUUGCAAGGAUUUCUCUCUCUCAAAUGCUUCGAGGUGGAUUGCUCUCAAAACGACAAAAGCCAUGCACUAACUCUGAGCAGCCACCAAUUUAUGGUGUAGGGGGUGGGAUAUUUAUAGCCACAAGGCAACCCGACCUAAUUUGUCCGAAAUGACCCUGGGUCACUAAGGAACUGACACGUGUUCCAACGGUCAGAUUUCAAACACACGCGGCAACUUUACUUGGGCUACAAGCGAAGCUGACUCAUCCAGCUCUGGAUAAGAUUUGCUCUCAUUGUCUUUGCUCGAAGACAUAGGAUUUGGGUUGAGCAUCACUUCAGUCAUUAUGACUUAGUUCACUUGGACCCCACUUAACAGUACGGUGGUUACUAUGACUCAACAAAGAACAAAAGGAAACAAUGAAACCACACAGUCUUUGCGCUCCAUAGUCUUCACGCAAUGUCUUCUCAUGUCAUAGUCUUCAAUAUGAAUAUCUUCUCAUACCACCAUUGUCUUCAAUGUCUUCAUACAUUUUUAGGGGUCAUCUCCGGUAGGUAAACCGAAUCAAUGAGGGACACUACCUGCGUUAUCUUGCAAUUCUCACAAAUGCAUUAGUCCCUCAACCAACUUUGUCGUCAAUACUCCAAAACCAACUAGGGGUGGCACUAAAUGCACUUACAAUCUCCCCCUUUUUGGUGAUUGAUGACAAACUGGUUGAAGUUUUCAACGGGGAUAAAGUAUGUGAAAUUGUAAAGAUAGGAAAUUGUCUUCAUAAGUAGCAAGGGCUCCCCCUGAAGAUGUGCAUAUAAGUAAUUUUUCUUUUGGAAUGCAAAUGCACAUGGCAGGUUGUACUUGUGGAGAUCCACUUCAACUUAUGAAGAUAAUUCAUCAUGCAUCAAAUGAUAUAGCAAAUAGGAUGACAUGCAUAAUGAAAAAUGGACGUCUGCAGGAUGAUCUAAGUGCGGAAGUUAUCAUCGCAUCACAAUAAAGCAAAUAAGUAGCAGACGACCAUCAAGUUUAGGUGUUACAACUCAAAGAACUAGAUGUUUUAAAAAGAAAGAGCUGUAAGCACAAGGCAAAAUAUAAUGCAACCGCCCAUAUGAACCCGCUUGAAGACUGUCAACUCAUACGCUUCUCCCCCUUUUGUCAGUAAGGACCAAAAAGGUUUGAAGACAUAGAGCAUCUACUCGUCCUCAUGAGUAGGUGAAGCAGCAGGGUUAUCGUCGUUGGUUGGCGGUGCAGACGAACUUGAUGCAGUGUCGAUGCAUGCAGUAGUAGUACGUGGUGAAGUAGCAUCAUCUUCGUCAUCGAUCACUCUGGCAUUGACAGUUGCCGCGGAGGAAGAAUAUUCAGAAUAUUCAAGAGAUGGAGUGCGACGUAGCACAACAGUCCGUGGAGGAGUGGAGUCAAACUGGAAUCUUUGAUUGAAGCCAUCGUCUUGAAGAUCUGCUUCAGCACUAAGCAGGGUCAAGCUCUUCCAUGAUCGCCGGCAAGUUUCAUGAGCAACAAAGGCAUUCUUGGUGGCAAGGUUACGAAUGCGAUUGACAUCCAACAAGAGGCUUUGCAUCUGUCUUUUGAGCCAAAAGUGAUGUUUAUCCUGUUUCUGAUGAAGGGCCACAAGAAGUUCUCGGUCAUUGAGAACACGAGAACGCUUCCGAGGCCUUUAGGAAAUGGUGCUUUCAGUGGCUUCAGUAGGUGCUCGAUGAGGCAGACGUGUAUUUCUAGCCAAUGGAUAGAUUCGUGUUGCUGCUUGAACACCUUUGAUGGGUUGAGUGAAGCUUUGGUGCUCGGCAUUCUGAAGACAAAGAGGCUUCUUGGCAGGGUCAGAGUAUAUGGCUUCAACUGACAUAUCAACCUCUGGUAAAAAGAUCAGAUGAUUGUGAGCAGAUGGUUGAUAGUUGACAGAUGAGUGUCGCUUGAUGAGGCGCAUGACCCAUGGAGCAUAAAACUUCAGACCAAACGGAUCAGAUCCAGAAGCAGCAAGUUGCCUGAUGAAGAAAUCAUGUGCAUUGAAGCUGAUGCCAUUGAGGAUGUAAAAGACCAAUGUCUUCAUGGCUCCUUCAAGUUUUGCAGCUGAUGAAUGUCCUUUGAUAGGCCAUAGAGUCUGCCUGAUGAUGUGAUAUAUGGUGCGUGGCAGAUACUCAAGGUCAUCAACAAAGAACUCCUUUGGAUAUUCAGCAUCACGUGGCAAAGGCUUCCUCAUGCUCAACAUCUGGCUCAUAUUGUGUUCAGGCUUAUGGAAGAUGCUUUCCAGUGCAUUGAGGUGUUUUUGACAACUAGGUUCAUAUAGAUCUCCGGGAGUGGAUAGGCCUGUAAGCUCAAUGAUGUCAAGAGCUUUGGCUUCAUGAUGAACAUUUCCUGUCAUCCACUCGAGAAUCCAGGUCUUGAUAUCUCUGUUGUAGCCGCGAAUGUGUAGAGUAGCAUAGAAUUGAAGCAAUAGCUCUUCAUUCCAAUGUUCUUUGUCUGUGACAAAGCUGAGCAGACCAGCAUCACGAAAGCAAUCAAGUGCUUCUUCUAAGCACGACGGUCCAGCAAUGGCUUCAGUGUCGAGGCGCAUAUGAGGGAAAAUGCGCCCUUGAUCAUACAGAACGCAGGAGUAAUAGCUUCGCUGCUGAUGACUCCAGAACCGAUCUGAUGAUAUUCUUGGCUUCGUAUAGGGGUUCUUUGAGCUGUCAAAGAAUGUGUUGUGGCUUUUGAAGCCAUUUGCAUUGAAGGACCCGACAGAUGUGGCAGUACCAGGAAACCUUGGCAGUCUUGGCUUGGGCUUCUGGACCUGAGGCCUAUGCUCAACGUGAUAGUCAAAUUGAGGACCAGAGACAAUAGGCGGAGGGACAAGAACGGGCCAUCUUACUGUGAUUAGCUCGCCAUGGUUGUAUGCUUGCUCGAUUGUAUAGGGCCUUGGUGGCGGAACAGGAGCAGUGGCAGCAGCUGAGGCUUCAGGCUGCACAACAGGUGCUUCAGGAACAGUUGCCUCAUUGGUUUCAGGCACACUGUUUGGUUCAAGCUCCACAUUAGCUUCAGUCAUGACAACAUCAUGAGCUUCACUUGCGUUUGUAGUGGCAGCUUCAGGAUUUUCAACCUCCACUUGCUGAGCUGGAGGGUUAGGCACAGACAUGUUCACUUCAUGAACAAUUUCUUCAGGAAUGGGGGAGUAUGGACACGUUCCUCUUGACUUUCUUCAUUGGCUGAUGCAGCCGGAUUGUCUUCAGCAGCUGGGGCUUUAGACAGAAGACAUUCACAGCAGUAGUGGCUUCUGAAAACACUUGACGUGCAACAGGUUGAUGAUGCACUUCUCCUUCUGGAACGCUCGGAAGAGGGACUUGAGGCCUUGGUCCUUUGCAAAGCCUUUGUAGUAUAGGCAAUGCCUUUGGAGAUGGAGUGGGCAGGUCCUCAUCCUCUACAACUUGUACGGAUGGUGUGGUUUGUUGUUGUUGGGGAGUACUGGGGCAGUCUUGUUCUUGCGGGCGAUCAGCCCAUGAAGCAUCCUGAGCAAUUGGCGUCAGAGGACGAGCAAUGCUGAUGAUUUCGCUGUUCGUACGAACAGGCGAUGAUACCACAUUAUAUUCAAUUUGAGGAAGAACUUCAUCAUCUUCAACAUUGUCAUCUUGACCAAUGUCUUCAGCAACGGUGGGUUCAGCUGCUGGAAUCUCUUCAGCUUCAGGAGCCUCUGUGGAAGCAGCCUCAUGAACUAUCAUCCUUCUUUCUUGAUGUUCUGACGCAGGGCGAACCACUGAAAUGGGUUCAACAACUAAGGGCUCUGUGGGAGCAGCCCUAGACUUCUUGGUCUUGCGCUUCUUCUUGGAGGGAGCGACAUCAAAGGCUUCAGUAUUCUUCCUCUUUCUGGCUUCAGCCUCGGCAUCCCUCGUCUUCUUCUAUUCUGAAGCGGUUGUGGUGACCUUUGGCUUCAAGCCAGUCAUGCUGCUUGGGAAGAUAAUGCGAGGGGCUUCUUGGCUUAAAGGUGCAGGCUGGUCAGCAGGAAGCUUCUUCUUUUUCUUUGCAGCCAUCCUGGGGUCAAUGCCAGGACGGCCAAGUGACUUGCGCUUCUUAGCCUCAUUGUAGGCAAGCACACUUAUCAGCCAAACUCUUCAUUCGCUCACGAGAGCCUUGAGCUUCUUGGCGCUUCUUUAGAAAAGCUUCUUUAAGCUCAUGCAGCAUGACCUUGAAGUUUCUGACGUCUUGAACACUGAGCUUCGCCACAUGCUUCUUGAAUUGAGCCUUCUCAUAAUCAAUUUUGUUCUUCAGCUCAAUGAUGCGCUGAGCAAGAGCUAGCUCAGAAGCAAUGGCGCCAUUGAAAGAGACGCUGAGGCCAACGGGAAGCUGCAAAUCUUCAAAGCUUAGAUUAGGGGUGUCGAACCACUCAUCAAUGAAGUUAUGGAUGAUUGUCACGUCAAAGAGAGGCAAGUUGUUGAAGAUAUCUGCUUCUUCCUUGCUCUUGAUCAGUUGCUCAAGGGCAUCAUCAGCAAGAUCUUCAUCACUGGACAGAUCAAUGGGUUCUUCACGCAGAAUGGCGGCAGGAGUCAAGGCUUGAUCAGUAUGCCUAACAAGUUGCUUUUUCUUCUCCGUCUUCUUGGAGAUGCGGGAUUGAUCUUUAGACUGCACACUGGCUUCAGGAGGUGCAGUGGCUAGAGGCUUCGCACGUAAAGCUUUUGGAGGUGCUCAUUUAGAAGCCUUUAGCUUCUUUUGCUUCUGUGGCUUCAGAGGAGGAGCUGGGGCUUCGUCAGUGUCAGCAUCAUUAUCAGAAUGAUCUACUCUAGCACCCUGAACCAAGAUGUAGGUGAUGAGGCCGUCAAGGUUGGAGAAGGGGCCGAUGACAUUGGGUUCUGCAUCAGAGAGCCGUCUGCACGAGGAGCAGAGGGACCAGGGUUGAAGUAUAGUCCCAAUGACUUCUUGUUUUCCUUGGCCGAAGCCUUUGCGUGCUGGAAGUUGCGCUUGAAGAGAGCAUCAUCGCGACACCAAAGUAAUGAUGUGGGAUCAGCAUUCUCAGGCUGAGGUCCACGGACCAUGCAAGGAUAGAAAUCUUGUGCAAUAGCUUCAGCUCUGUUCUUGGGUUGAAGACCUCGAUAGAGAAUAUUGCCCCAAGGACUCUUGAUUGCAUUCUUCUCUGCAUAUUCCUUGGUUACGAACUUGUACUUGAACCACUCUUCAGCCCAAUAGCAUCGAAUCCAUUGGAUUCGUGUCUUGCGCUGAUGAUAUGUCUCUUCAGGAUCUGUCUUGUAGAGCUCUGUGUUGUAAAUAUGACCUAGAGGCAAUAAUAAAUUAGUUAUUAUUAUAUUUCCUUGUUCAUGAUAAUCGUUUAUUAUCCAUGCUAUAAUUGUAUUGACAGGAAACUCAGAUACAUGUGUGGGUACAUAGACAACACCAUGUCCCUAGUAAGCCUCUAGUUGACUAGCUCGUUGAUCAAUAGAUGGUUACGGUUUCCUGACCAAGGACAUUGGAUGUCGUUGAUAACGGGAUCACAUCAUUAGGAGAAUGAUGUGAUGGACAAGACCCAAUCCUAAGCCUAGCACAGAGAUUGUGUAGUUCGUAUGCUAAAGAUUUUCUAAUGUCAAGUAUCUUUUCCUUAGACCAUGAGAUUGUGCAACUCCCGGAUACCGUAGGAAUGCUUUGGGUGUACCAAACGUCACAACGUAACUGGGUGGCUAUAAAGGUGCACUACUGGUAUCUCUGAAAGUGUCUGUUGGGUUGGCACGAAUCGAGACUGGGAUUUGUCACUCUGUGUGACGGAGAGGUAUCUCUGGGCCCACUCCAUAGGACAUCAUCAUAAUGUGCACAAUGUGAUCAAAGAGUUGAUCGCGGGAUGAUGUGUUACGGAACGAGUAAAGAGACUUGCCGGUAACGAGAUUGAACAAGGUAUCGGUAUACCGAUGACCGAAUCUCGGGCAAGUACAAUACCGUUAGACAAAGGGAAUUGUAUACGGGAUCGAUUGAGUCCUUGACAUCGUGGUUCAUCCGAUGAGAUCAUCGUGGAACAUGUGGGAGCCAACAUGGGUAUCCAGAUCCCGCUGUUGGUUAUUGACCGUAGAACGUCUCGGUCAUGUCUGCAUGGUUCCCGAACCCGUAGGGUCUACACACUUAAGGUUUGAUGACGCUAGGGUUAUAAAGGAAGUUUGUAUGUGGUUGCAGAAUGUUGUUCGGAGUCCCGGAUGAGAUCCCGGACGUCACGAGGAGUUUUGGAAUGGUCCGGAGGUAAAGAUUUAUAUAUGGGAAGUCCUAUUUUCGCCACCGGAAAAUGUUCAGGAAUUUUCGGUAUUGUACCGGGAAGGUUCUAGAAGGUUCCGGAGUGGGGCCCACCUGCAUGGGGGACCCACAUGAACGUGGGUAGUGGGGGCAAGGCCCCACACCCCUGGUCAAGGCGCACCAAGAUUCCCCCUUAGAAGGAAUAAGAUCAUAUCCCGAAGGGAUAAGAUCAAGAUCCCUAAAAAGGGGGGAUAACAAUUGGUGGGGAAGGAAAUGAUGGGAUUUCUUUCCUCGCACCUUUGCCAACGCCACAAUGGACUUGGAGGGCAAGGAAUCAUCCCCCUCCACCCCUAUAUAUAGUGGGGAGGUGCAUGGGAGCUUUACAAAAGUUUUGGCGCAGCCCUCCCCCUCUCCCAAGUCCUCCUCCUCUCCCGCGGUGCUUGGCGAAGCCCUGCAGGAUUGCCAUGCUCCUCCACCACCACCACGCUGUCGUGCUGCUGCUGGAUGGAGUCUUCCUCAACCUCUCCCUCUCUCCUUGCUGGAUCAAGGCAUGGGAGACGUCACCGGGCUGUACGUGUGUUGAACGCGGAGGUGCCGUCCGUUCGGCACUAGGAUCUCCGGUGAUUUGGAUCACGACGAGUACGACUCCUUCAACCCCGUUCUCUUGAACGCUUCCGCUUAGAGAUCUACAAGGGUAUGUAGAUGCACUCUCCUUCCCCUCAUUGCUAGUCUCUCCAUAGAUAGAUCUUGGUGACACAUAGUAAAAUUUUGAAUUUGUGCUACAUUCCCCAACACUCUGCUAGGUCAUCAGGCAGAUCUUUGGAUGUUCCUUCUCGGCGCUGUCUGCCACCCUUCCUUGCUGACUUUUCUGCAACCAUGAACUUCAAACUGAAUGGCUUCAAUAUGUUCAACGGCUUCAGAGACUUUUGCUUGCUGGUCAAGCAGGAACUGGCUUCUCGAGAAUUGAUAUGAUGUUAUAAGUAUUCUGCACACGAAUGCAGACUAUGAGAACCAAGGGAUUCUCCCACGGACAUGUACCUGUGACAGCUUUAGAGAUGCGAGGGAAGGGGAAGAGGUCAUAUGCAUUCUCAGAAGAUUUUGAAGAUAAAUCAGUUUGAAGACAUUGACCUCAUGAUGCGAAGACAUUCACUUAUAUGAGGUGAGUUGGUUUCACAUUUGUACCAAUCCGUGAAUAAGUACAAGUGAGGAAUCAAACUAGAUAGGAAAUCUAAGUGAAUAGACUAGGCAUUAUGAGAUGCAGACAUACUAGAUCUAACAUUGAGUAGGUAGAAACCACUUUCGGUAAAUCGGAUGAAUCUAUGAAGAUCAAAAAGGUGGUAAAAAUAGAGUUAUAAUUACCGCACGAAGAACUGCUAGAUGGGAUGAAUAGGUGACCGAGCAGUUCAGCCCAUCGUGCCCUAACUUGGCGACAGAGGACACCUACGGCGACGGCGGAGAGGACGAUGUCCGGGGCUGGCUUGAGGACGACGUCGGAGAAGUCGCGGUAGCUAAGCGCUUCGUCGCCGGCGUCGUCGAGAGCUAGCGGUGGUGCUAGGGUUUUGACGAGGUGGAGAGGUGGAAUAAGGAUUUCUUUACCGCAGGGGACACGUAUUUAUAAGUAGGUGUGCGGCACAGCGCAAUUACGCAGGUGCCCCUGUCUGUUCACAUCCGUGGGACACGUGGCAAGCAUGCAACAUACUCAGAGUUAUCCCACGUUCCCACGCCCGCCAGGCAUGUCGGAGAGUUGUUCCGACUUCUCCGGAUUUCAACAAUAAGGAUAAGUCAUUUAAAACAAAUUUAAUGUUUGUCUCUUUGCCUUCUGCUGACUAGGACGCAGAGAAGACAUUCGAAAGUUUCAAUAGAAUGCAUAUGAUUUGGACAGAUAGAGUUUGACAUAGAAAGCAUAGAGAGGUUAGGGUCCGAUCACAUUCACUUAGUUCAAAAGAUUCAACUUGAAGACAGCUAUAAGUGAAUGCUGUAGAGGACAGAACACUAGUAUAUAUAUAUAUAUAUGCAAUCAAAUCAUCAUAGCGCAGAAAAUCAUGAAGAUAAAUUGAAACUGAAUACAAACCAAAUGCGAAGUCUUUGCAAAAGUAACGCCAUGAGUGAAACACUUCAAACAGAGAAAUUUGGUGGUGGUGUUACCCACCGUAUAGGAAAUAUUAGACCCAAACACGGCGUACAAUUAUCGUGGCACUCCGAAGUCAAAUUCCAUGUUAAUGUAUUCACACUUAGAGUGUAAGUCUUCAUUGAUUGAAGAUAUACAUUACUUUGUGUGUUGCACAUCUAAGUCAUCAACAUGCAUAAGUGUUAGGAUGUGUGCCUGAUCACAGGACAUUAGAGGAUUCCAAGAUAUUUAGCUCACACCAUAACUUGCAAAACCUUUUCUCAUCCAAGGGCUUUGUGAAGAUAUCUGCAAGUUUCUCUUCAGUGUUGACGUGAAUGAUAUCGACAUCUUUCUUCAUGACAUGAUCUCUGAGAAAGUGAUGACGAAUUUCAAUGUGCUUUGUCUUCGAGUGUUGGACUGGAUUGUUGGCUAUCUUGAUGUCACUCUCAUUGUCGCAGAAGAGAGGUACUUGUUUCAGGUUGAUGCCAUAGUCCUUGAGAGUUUGCUUCAUCCAUAGAAGCUGAGCACAACAGGAUCCAGCAGCAAUGUAUUCAGAUUCAGCAGUUGAGAGUGAUACACAAUUCUGCUUCUUUGAAGACCAACAGACAAGUGAUCGACCAAGAAAAUGACAUGUGCCUGAUGUAGACUUGCGAUCCACCUUGUCACCAGCAUAAUCAGCAUCCGAGAAUCCAACCAAAUCAAAUUUUGAGCCCUUGGGAUACCAUAAUCCGAGUGUUGGGGUGUAAGCCAAAUAUCGAAGAAUUCGCUUCACAGCUAAGUGAUGCGAUUCCUUUGGUGCCGCUUGGAAUCGAGCACACAUGCAAACACUAAGCGUAAUAUCUGGUCUAGAUGCACAUAGAUAAUGUAAAGAACCAAUCAUGGGCUGGUAUACCUUUUGAUCGAACUCUUUACCAUUGUCGUCGGGACCAAGGUGGUGUUUGGCUGGCAUUGGCUUCGUGGAACCUUUGCAGUCUUCCAUUCCAAACUUCGUCAGACAAUCUUUGAGGUAUUUUUCUUGAGAUAUGAAGAUGCCAUUUCUUUGCUGACAAAUUUGAAUACCAAGGAAGAACUUCGGUUCUCCCAUCAUGGACAUCUGAUAUUGCUCUUGCAUCAUGUAUCCAAACUCAUCACUAUACUUCUGGUUGGUGCAGCCGAAGAUUAUGUCAUCCACAUAUAUUUGGCACACAAACAGUUCGCCAUCAUAUGUCUUCAUGAAGAGUGUGGGAUCGAGGGAUCCUGGUUUGAAGCCUUUGCUCUUCAGGAAGUCUUUGAUCGUAUCAUACCAUGCGCGAUGAGCUUGUUUGAGGCCAUACAGUGCUUUGUUUAGCUUGUACACCAUAUCAGGAUGUUUUGGAUCUUCAAAGCCAGGUGGUUGAGUGAUAUAUACUUCUUCUUCAAUCUUGCCAUUGAGAAAUGCACCCUUCACAUCCAUUUGAUAUAGCAAGAUGUUGUGAUGAUUAGCAUAUGCUAGCAGUAUGCUAAUAGCUUCAAGCCUAGCAACAGGAGAAAAUGUUUCAUCGAAGUCAAUUCCUUCAACUUGAGUAUAUCCUUGAGCCACAAGACGUGCUUUGUUUCUGACGACUUGACCAUGCUCAUCUUGCUUGUUUUCGAUAUAUCCAUUUCGUUCCAAUAAUGUUAUGCUUGCGAGGGGCAGGUCGCUUGACAAGUUCCCAAACAUUAUUUAGCUUGAACUGUUGAAGUUCUUCUUGCAUGGCUUGAAUCCAUUCAGGUUCCAUAAAAGCUUCAGCAACUUUCUUGGGUUCUGAUAUUGACACAAGAAAAGUGCCCACAGAAGUUUGCUAACUAUGUUGCUCUUGAGCGAGUAAGCGGACCAGGCGCAUUGAUGCUGUCAAUUAUCUUCUCGAUUUGUACUUCAUUUGCAACACAAGGAUGAACAAGACGAAGACUUUGCUCUUGCUGAUCAUUGUCAUCAUUGGGAGGAUUGUCUUCGGUCUGAGCAUUGUCUUCAGGUUGAUUUGGUGCAGAGAUGAUAAGUUCCUCUUCAGGCUGUGCUUCAGAAGGCAUGAUUUCACCAGUUCCCAUCAGCUUGAUAGAUUCGCUUGAAGGUGCUUCAUCUAGUGUACUUGGCAGGAGUUCUCUUUGUGAACCAUUGGUUUCAUCAAAUCUCACAUCCACAGUUUCGACGAUCUUGUAGUGAAAGAGGUUGAAAACUCUGUAGGAGUGUGAGUCCUUUCCAUAGCCAAGCAUGAAGCCUUCGUGAGCCUUAGGUGCAAAUUUUGACUUGUGAUGGGGAUCCUUGAUCCAGCAUCUAGCUCCAAAUACUCUGAAGUAACUGACAUUCGGCUUCUUGCCAGCAAGGAGCUCAUAGGAUGUUUUGUUCAAAAGCUUAUGGAUGUAGACACGGUUGAUGAUAUGACAGGUUGUAUCAAUAGCUUCAGGCCAGAACUUUCUUGGUGUCUUGUAUUCAUCUAGCAUUGCUCGAGCCAUCUCAAUGAGGGUUCUUUUUUUGCGCUCAACGAUGCCAUUUUGCUGAGGUGUGUAUGGAGCAGAGAACUCAUGAGUGAUUCCCAUUGUAUCUAGAUACAGAUCAAGUCAUGUGUUCUUGAAUUCAGUGCCAUUGUCACUUCUAAUAUGCUUGAUCUUCACGCCAUAAUUGUUCAUUUCUCGAUUGGCGAAGCGCCUGAAGACAUCUUGCACUUCAGUCUUGUAAAGAAUUAUAUGAACCCAUGUGUAUCUUGAGUAGUCAUCAACAAUGAUGAAGCCAUAGAGACAGGCAGAUGUUGUGAGGGUGGAGUAGUGAGUAGGUCCAAAUAAGUCCAUGUGUAGCAGCUCGAAGGGUUGAGAUGUUGUCAUGAUUGUCUCCGAGAGGUGCUUUGCCCUUGUCAUCUUUCCAGCUUCACAGGCACCACACAGAUGAUCCUUCUUGAACUUGACAUCCUCGAUGCCAAUGACAUGCUUCUUCUUGACGAGUGAGUGUAAGUUCCUCAUGCCAGCAUGUCCUAGCCUUCGGUACCAGAGCCAGCAUUCUGAAGCUUUUGUGAGAAGACAUAUGGCAAGCUGUGGACCUGCUGAGAAAUCUACCAUGUAUAGAUCACCUUUCCUAUAUCCUUCAAAGACUAGAGACUUGUCAGAUUCCAUUAGUACAAGGCGACGAUAUUUUCCAAAUAGGACAAUCAUGUUUAAGACACAAAGCAUUGAGAUAGACAUUAAGUUGAACCCAAGGGAUUCAACAAGCAUCACUUUAUCCAUGUGUUGAUCCCUAGAGAUUGCAACUCUACCUAGACCCAAUACCUUGCCUUUACCAGUGUCAGCAAAUGUGAUUUGACUCUUGUCAGAUGGACGUAAGGUUGAGUCCAUGAGAAGACUUCGAUCACCAGUCAUAUGAUUAGUGCAUCUGUUGUCAAUAAUCCAUUCUGAAGCUUUUGGUGACAUGCCCUACAGUGCAGUUAGGAGGAUAGGCUUCACAAGGUAUGUUGUGAAGCAUAAGCAUUUGACGCACACUAGGAUUAUCACAGCUUAGAUCAAGAUUAGAACACACAGUAUGACAGAUAAGAGAUUCAUAUGUGGAAUACAUAGUAAGUCAUUUUAUCAUGCGUCCCUUUAUGUUUUAGGUCCCCAGCAAUAAUAUCGGACGCCUUCGAUUGCUGGCUGGAGACCACAUUCUGCAAAAGAGAGUUAAUUCUUCUUCACCACCCACAUUUUCAGCGGUGGCUUAGAAGCAAUGAGUCUUAGUGCAGCAUCUGAGAAUUUCGGCUUUGAAGCCCUAGCAAAUAGCCUUGCAGGAGAAGAAUGAUACUCAUGUGAAUAAGCAGAAAAGUUCUUAGUUCUAUGAAGAUAGCGGUUUGAAGACACAUGAUCAUAUUCAUGAGUCUGAGUAUGAUUUCCCUGCAAAACAUUGGCGUUAGGGUGACUGAAGUGAGUCCUGUGUUCGUAUGAAGCCGUUGGACCAUAUGAUGCCUUUGGUCUGGGGUUUGUCUUCUUCCCUGAUCGUGUCAUGAUGACAUUCACUGGAAGAUUCUCAAGGCAGCUUUUGGGAACCCAGAUCUUCUUCAUAGGAGGUCCAUUCCUGUAGUUAGUACCAAUAUACCUGGCAAACACCUCACCAUUCUGAUUUUUGAACAGUUUAUAGUUUGCAUCAAAGGAUUCAUCAAUGAUAAUAGGAUUAGCACAGGUAAAUCUAGAUAAAGUGGAUGGAUCCACUGAAGGUUCCUUUGCAGCAACCCAAGUGGUUUUGGGAUACUGCUCAGGCUUCCAGUAGGAACAAUCAGCAUUCAUUUUCCUCUCGAACCCAACACCCUCUUUCCUAGGGUUUUGGUUCAGAGUCUGCUUUUUGAGGACAUCGCAGAGUGUCUAAUGUCCCUUCAAACUUUUGUACAUCCCUGUUUCAAGCAAUGUCUUCAACCUAGCAUUUUCAUCAGCAAUAGUAGUGGUAUCCUCCACAGAGGGGUUAGUAACCACAUCAGUAGUUGAAGACAAUGAAACAGCAGCAACAACAGUGGAACAUUCAGCAACAGAUGUAGCGUUAUCGCGCUCAAUGAAUUUUAGACAUGGUGGUUCAAAUUCAUCCUGAGCAGCGCUGAUUUGUUGAGCAAGAAAUGAAUCGUGCUUCCUCAGAAGAUUUUCAUAAUCCACCCUUAUCUUUUCAAGAUCUUGCUCUCUUUGAAGACAUUCAGAAGAAAGUUUCUCAUGAUCAGACAAGAGAGCAUUAUGUUGAUCUUGAAGGGCGUCAAACUUAGAAUGAAGUCUCUGAAGACUCUCAGCCAAAGCUUUUGACUAAUCCAUUUCUUCACCCAACAUAUCAUCGCUCUUACUAAGCAUGUUUUGAACCCUUUCCAAAGCUCUUUGUUGUUUAGUGGCAAGGGAAGCAAGUUUGACAUAGCCGGGGCCAAAUUCAACACCUGAUUCAUCAUCACUAGUUUCAGAAAGAUAGGAUUCAGUUACCUUAGCACCCCCUGCCAUGAGGCAUGGUGAGGAUGAAGACGGUUCAGGUGGAAAGGUCAUCUCUUUAAGAGACUCCUUGUAGUCAUCAAGCCAAGGAUCAUGACGAUUAAGAUGACUUUCAUAGACCUCAGAAAGCCGGUCCCAGAUUAGCUUCGCGUGAUUGAGGUGCAUGACGUUCCUGAACUGAUUUCGGGACAGGCAGGAGCAGAUGACAUCCUUCGUUGUGAGGUUCAGUAGAGUGUACUUGCGAAUGCCAUCAGCCUCUGCCAUCUCGCAUAGAUCGGUAAGACCAAUCUCAGUGACGGUCCACAGUUUGCUGUCCAUAGCCAUGAGUCCCUUCUUCAUCAUGGCUUUCCACCGAGGAUACUUAUGACCGUCAAAGGUGGGACAAGAUACAUUCCUCAAUCCUGCAGUCGACAUAGCUAAAACUCCAGGUGGUUAAACCGAAUCACACAGAACAAGGGUGUACCUUGCUUUGAUACAAUUGAAAGUGCUAGUUAUCGACUAGAGGGGGUGAAUAGGAGAUUUUUAUCUAAGUCUUCUAAACGUGGAAGUUUCGAAGACAAACAAUAGAAAUGACCUAAUUGAUAUGCAGCGGAAGAUAAAGUACAACAAGCAAGCCAUAGUCAAGUAUGCAAUAGCGUUAACGUAUGAAGACUAAUAGCAGCUAGGUAGUAGGAUCAGGAUGGAAGAUAGUAUGAAGCCAAUCAACAAUAGUAGUCAAGCAAUGAAGUCAAUCAGAUAAGACAGAUAAGCAAUGACUUCACGAAGACAAACUUAAAGUAAAGGAGGGAAGAGAUAGAACCAGUCACUUGUUGAAGACACAUGAUUUGUUGGACCAGUUCCAGUUGCUGUGACAACUGUACGUCUGGUUAGGGAGGCUGAGAUUCAACUCAGAAGACCGUGUCUUCACCUUAUUACCCUUGAGCUAAGGACACUUAGUCCUUACCCAAUCACUCCGGUAAGUCUACAAGGUAGACUUCCAAACCUUCACAGACUUCGUUCACCCGGCAAUCCACAAUGACUCUUGGAUGCUCAGAACGCGACGCCUAACCGGCUAGAGGAUACACAGUCCUCAAGUGUAAUAAGUCUUUAGGUCACACAGACAGAAAGACUUUAGUGAUGCCUAACACUCUUUGGCUCUAGGUGUUUGGGCUUUGUCCUCGCAAGGAUUUCUCUCUCUCAAAUUCUUCGAGGUGGGUUGCUCUCAAAACGACAAAAGCCGUGCACUAACUCUGAGCAGCCACCAAUUUAUGGUGUAGGGGGUGGGCUAUUUAUAGCCACAAGGCAACCCGACCUGAUUUGUCCGAAAUGACCCUGGGUCACUAAGGAACUGACACAUGUUCCAACGGUCAGAUUUCAAACACACGCGGCAACUUUACUUGGGCUACAAGCAAAGCUGACUCAUCCAGCUUUGGAUAAGAUUUGUGUAACACCCAUGAUGCGGCUAUAUCUCCCACGUGUCGAAGCACGACUUAGAGGCAUAACCGCAUUGUGGUUUUGUCGCAAGAAGGGUCAUCUUCACACAAUCCCAUGUAGUGAAUAAGAAUGGGAUAAAGAGUUGGCUUACAAUCGCCACUUCACACAAUGAACAUAUAAUAAAUCAUACAUCAUUCAGAGUACACACAUAGUCCGACUACGGAUGAAGCCAAAAGAAAAGAAGAUAACCCAACUGCUAGAUCCCCGAUCGUCCCAACUGGGCUCCACUACUGAUCAACAUGCAACGAAACAUAUCAACGACCAAGGUCUUCGAUGAACUCCCAUCUGAGCUCGGUUGCAUCACCUGCACUGGUAUCAUCGGCACCUGCAAUUGUUGUGAUAGUAUCUGGUGAGUCACGAGGACUCGGCAAUCUCAAAACCCACGAGAUCAAGACUAUUUAAGCUUAUGGGAAACGAAGGGGUAAAGUGGUGAGGUUGCAGCAGCGGCUAAGCAUAUAUGAUGGCUGACAUACGCAAAUAAGAGCGAGAAGAGAGCAAACGGAACGGUCGUGAACUAGCAAUGAUCAAGAAGUGAUCCUGAACUCCUACUUACGUCAAACAUAACCCAAAAACCGUGUUCACUUCCCGGACUCCGCCGAAAAGAGACCAUCACGGCUACACACGCGGUUGAUGUGUUUUAAUUCGGAUCUGGUGUCAAGUUAUCUACAACCAGACAUUAACAAAUUCCCAUCUGCCUAUAACCGCAGGCACGGCUUUCGAAAGAUUAUACCCUGUAGGGGUGUCCCAACUUAGCCCAUCACAAGCUCUCACGGUCAACGAAGGAUAUACCUUCUCCCGGGAAGACCCGAUAAGCCUCGGAAUCCCGGUUCGCAAAACAUUUCGACAAUGGUAAAACAAGACCAGCAAAGCCGCCCGAUGUGCUCACAAAUCCCGAUAGGAGCUGCACAUAUCUCGUUCUCAAGGCACACCGGAUGAGACAUCCUACGAGUAAAACCAUCCCUCAAGUUUCCCCGAGGUGGCCCCGCAGUCUACUCAGUUCGGACCAACACUCGAAGGAGCACUGGCCCGGGUGGGGGGGGUUAAAAUAAAGAUGACCCUUGAGUCUGCAGAACCCAAGGGAAAAAGGCUUAGGUGGCAAAUGGUAAAACCAAGGUUGGGCCUUGCUGGAGGAGUUUUAUUCAAAGCGAACUGUCAAGGGGGUCCCAUAAAUCACCCAACCGCGUAAGGAACGCAAAAUCUGGGAACAUAACACCGGUAUGACGGAAACUAGGGCGGCAAGAGCGGAACAAAACACCAGGCAUAAGGCCGAGUCUUCCACCCUUUACCAAGUAUAUAGAUGCAUUAAUUUAAAUAAGAGAUAUUGUGAUAUCCCAACAUAAUCCUGUCCAUCGUGGAGCAAUCUUCAACUUCACCUGCAACUAACAAUGCUAUAAGAGGGGCUGAGCAAAGCGGUAACAUAGCCAAGCAAUGGUUUGCUAGGAAGGGUGAAAAGGUUAGAGGCUGACAUGGCAAUAUGGGAGGCAUGGUUAACAAGUGAUAGGUAGCGCAGCAUAGCGAUAGAACGAAGCAACUAGCAAGCAAAGAUAGAAGUGAUAUCAAGGGUAAUGGUCAUCUUGCCUGAAAUCCCGCAAGGAAGAAGAACGAGUCCAUGAAGAAGACAAAUGGACGUAGUAGAACGAAUCCUCACAACUCCGGAACGAAACCGAAGCUAACGCGAGAAGCAAACCGGAAAGAAGCAAACAACAUGGUAAAUGCACAAGCAUAAUCAUGGCAUGAUGCACAACCGAAUAUGAUGCAUGUCCGGUUUAAUGAGGCAUGGCAUGGCAAGGUAAAGCAAACAACACUACAAUUUAAGUGGAGCUCAAUAUGCAAUGAGUUGCAUAUUGACGGAACACCACAUUCAAAUAUUUAGUUCUCUCUCGUUUAGGCUAACCAACAAUAUUAAAUGUUGUCAAACAUGGCAAGAGGUGAAACAUAAUUGAACUAACUAUUUAGGCAAGUUUGAAUGAGGCCGGAACAACAAACAACAAUUCCGGAAAUGCCCAUAUGUCAUUUAGUAGUUUAAAGCAAACACAAUUUCAAGCAUUUAAAUGUUGUUAUCAUGAUGCGGAUGACAUAUACAAGUUUAUGCAAUUUUAUGAAAACGUUAACAUGAGCAUGAUAUGAAGCAUUUGUCACCGUGGCAGAACAAAACGGUUGCCACGGCAACGAAUCCGAAAAUGAUGCCACGACAACAUAUCGGUUCUGAUGGCUCAUGGAGGUACCGGUGCAAAAGGUAGUGUGACGUGAGCGAGUCAUGCAAGAUGGUGGGGUGAUCCCGAAUACCGGGUUCCCACGUGUCGGUGGCAUGGCAAAAGAAGGGCAUCGCAAGCGACAAUUUGAUCACGGUGCAAAACUCGAGCAUCUCAUACAACCAAGCAUGCAUCUCAUCGCAGUCGUCUCGGGUUAUACCUUCGAAGCGUGCGUUUCAGAGCGGUUCGGGUUCAGUACGAUGUAGAGGAAGUAGUCGUUCACGGGUCGUCGUGGGAAGUAGAUGUACACGUUUCGUAGAUGAACUUGGCGUAACCAUGCGGUAGUCGAACUUGGCGCUCGUGGUACAUGGGUCUUCGGGCGACGGUAGACGUACACGGCAAUCGUAGUGGAACUUGGUGUGUCCAAGGUCUUUGGCAUAGUGGUACACGGCGACGGUAGUGGUACACGUGGUAGAUGAACUUGGCGAUCCGAAGGGGUACUUGGCGAUCUGGUCCCGUAGUCGUACUAGGCCUCCGGUGAACUUGGCAAAAUCCACGAAGGUGUCCUUGGGCGCUCCUGUUUGCCGCUACUUGGAAAAACGAAGGGGAUCUUGGCAUCCAUGCAACCGGCAGCGGAGGUGCACGAAACCAGCGGCAGAGGACAAAGCAAGGGAAGAGCUGCGCUCGAUGGAAGGAAGUGAAGAAGACGCUGCAGCAGCGGGGCGAGGAACACAGGGGCCAUGGCGGCAUGGACGGGCAGAAAGCGCUCUGGAUCGAGCUCCUCUCAAUCCAGAGCAUGGAUGCGGCCGCGGGACGGAGGUGGAGGCCCAGUGAGGUCGGCGGCUUAGGCCUCCAUGGGGCAGCGACGGACGAAGUGGCCGGCAUCAGCCUUGGCGUGAAGCAGGGGAGGCGGAGCUCCUGCUCAGGGUCACACGCGGGGUGGCCCUCCUGUUGUCGCUGACGACGGCGGGACUUGGUCGCGGGGGCACUCGAGGCAGGGCUGGAACCUGCCGGCGAGGUGGGUGAAGCAGGCAUGAUGCAGGGAGGCGCAGGUGGGGGAAGGCGCGCGGGAGGAGCAGGCGAAUGGCGGAGGUACAGGAGGGAGGUCGGGUGCGAGGGGUUGAGGCGAUGGGAGAAGUGGACGGUCACUGGUCGGCGCGAGGGAGGAGAGGGAAACGAGAGGGAGUGAUCGAGAGGACGAGGGUUGGGGGAUCGAGCGCUGGGUGCGCUGCGGCGCAGGGGGAGAACGUAGGGAGAGAUGGGGAUCGAGCGAGGGGCUAGGGUUAGGAGCGGGGCGCGGCUGGGCCUUAGAGGCAAAUGGGCCAUUUCGGUGGAGGGGGGGGGAGGCCAGGAGGCCUAGCAGGCUGGAUUAAAAGAAAAGAAGGGGAAAAUCCUUUUCUAUAAAAAGGGAAGUGUAGAUAUAUUUAUUUGGUAAGGCAAAUAAAUACAAGUUGAGCUCAAAACUGACAUGGAUCUACUUUGACAUAUUUCAAAGCAUGACAACUUGAACUGGAGCAAAUUGGAGAAAGAUCAAGGUUAGAAUAUUCGGAAAAGAUAGUGGUUUUAAAUGCCAGUUUGUUUGGGAUGAUUCCAUACGAAUGAAAUAUUUAUUGUAGCUCCCUAAAAUUAGUAGGAGACUUUGAAUAUGUUUUAAAGAGAAAUCACCAUGUGAAUAUCCCUCGAUUUAAAUGGACUGAAGGAUCCAUACAAUUUAUUUAGAUGAGUUAUAAAAUUAAUGAUAUGAUGGCAUGAUGACAUGAUGCAAUGCAAAUGAAGCUAAGAAGAAUGCAACAAACAAAUACAAAUCACACGACGAAACUCGGAGUAGCUAGAAGUCUUCUGGAGCGUCGGUCUCCGGGCGUCACAACACUCCACCACUACAAGAGGAUCUCGUCCCGAGAUCUAGGAUGGCACCAGAGAGAAACGGAAGAGGAAGAGAAGAGGUAAAACUAAGUUGCUUCUUUGACGAACGAGUGAAACCAUGAACCUUGAGAGGUUGAAAAGUUGAAAGAACACAACGGAGUUGAACACAUUUGAGAGCACUGCGGUAGAAAAUAGAAACAAGGAACACCGUUUGAACCUUGGAGGUUGCAAAGCUAUGAAUGACGAGUAUAAUGGACAAGAAGGAAUUGGAACCACUCUGGUUAAAACAAGAUGAGAGAGGAAGAAUUCGGGCAGCACUCCGGUUGAGCAUGGAAGGAAUAUAACAUGAACUUGAGAAUAUGGGAUGAUACUUGGUGAAAUCAACGACACACUGCCUCCGGAGCUACUGAAAAGAAUGGCACAAUGGGUAAGAAGGAUUUCAGACAGCAAUCCGGUAGAAAAGAGAGGCAAAACUUGAUAAGAUGAAAAGAACUUGAAGAGAUGACACAACACUCCGGUUAAGUGGAUAAGCACGAAAAGGACACGAUCCUCACAAUUCGAGAUGAUGAGUGAAAAGAACAACAUCACAAUGCCUCCGGAACGAAAGAAUAGAAGCUAGAUUAUUGGAAUAACAGAAUGGAGAAGAAAAUGCUAACUUCUGCCACAAAUGAGCUUGGAAAGCACCCUUCCAAGAAGGUUACAACGAGGUUGUUGGAAAAAGCCAACAACAAAAUGAAUAAGCUUGUAGUGGGCUUAUGGAAAACAUCUCAGAACUAUGAGGUGACAACCGGCCACUAAUGGAAAACAUUGAUUUGAUUGAGAGCACCAAAGAGAUGAAAAACUUCUUUCACCGCGAGAAUAGGAGAAAACUUGGAUCAUUGAUAAGCACCAUAAUAGCAACAUUCCUUAGGGAAGGCCUUGAGGUGAAAUAUGACACAAGAUAACUCCAAUGAAGAGAUUGAUGGAUCGAGAAGAACUCAUGCUCGAAGGAGUUGAUGGGUUUAACUAUCUCAUUCUUGACAACUGUUGAAUCAUGAAACAUGAAGGAAAUUGUCAAGAGUGACAUAACACCAUCUCAAAAGAUAAGGUAGAAAGAAUAGCACUUUGAAAUGCAAGAAGAAGAAUACUUGAACUCCCCAAAACAAAACAUGUGUUGAGCACCAUGUUUAUUUUAGAGUGUAGCUUGGCGGAUCUUAACUUCGAGAGAAAUCUUGAAGAACAAUUGAAGGAUGAAAGGAAUCCUUGAUGAACCACCAUGUAGAGCCUCCAUGAAGAACUCUGGUAAAAAAAGGAUGAUAGAAAGGAAGAGAAGUUGAAAGAACAAGGUGAAGUCUUGCAGUGAUAAGAUGAAGCUUUGAAAUGAUAUAACCUAGAAAACUUGGAACUCCGGAAAGAAAGAAGAACAAAUGAAAUCAAGAAUUUUGAUGAACCUCCGGAAUAAGGAAUUGAAUUUACUCGAUGAAACAAGAAUAAGAAUUACAUUAUACUCAUUCUUCACCAAUAAAAUUGAUGGCAAGCAAUGGAUUUGUCAUACUACUUAUUCUCGUAGAAAGGAUUAAGAUAGAUAUGGUGCAAACUUGGGAAAACUUGAACAAACCACCGGUACGAUUCGGAAAGAAUGAAUUAAUUGAUAUGAUAACAACGGAAGAGAAAUAUUGAAAGAACCACCAUAAGAAUUGAAAAUGAAAGUAGCAAAGACACAAUUCACCGGGAAGAAUUGGAAAACGAAUGAAGAUACUAGAGAAAUUUAGAUACAUGAGAACGAAGGGGUCAUGAACUGAUUAGAUGAUAUUUGAACGAUGCACCGGUAAGAUUUGGAGAACGAUAUCUACACGCUGAGAAUGAAGAAUUAUGACAUUAUGGCCUUCGGAGGAAAGAAACGGAAACAACUCAUGAAAUGCUCCGGAUGGGUGAAAAGAAUUUUGACAAUCAAAACAAUUAUGAAAGGAUGGCAUCAAGCUAGAACCAUGAAUCUUGAAGAGAAUGGAGCAAGAUUUAAGAGAAAUCCUUCUUCGGUCUUCAAAUGUUGAGAAUGAUGACAAGAACCACCAAAAUUCUUGAGGCACUUCGGAACAAAGAAGAAUAGAAAUGAUGAACCAACGCUGAAAAUAUUUUGAAAGCGAUCUUGGAGAAAGAAUAUGACUGAUGAAAAUUCAUUCUUACGUCAAACUUGGAAGAGUCAGGUAAGAUCCUAGGAAAAGACCUGUGGGUUAGGGCCCACUCAAGAGAAACACCGUUGAAUGAUUGCUUGAAAUAGAGAUUGCACCGGUUAAAUUAAAUGGCUUGAAUGAGAUAACAACCUCGAAAUAGCUAGAAAGGAUUAAGAAUAGAAACUUGAAUCUUCUGAGAUAAUCUUAAGCACUCCGGAGAAGAAAUAGAGGAAGGUGAACAAUUAUGAGAGGCACCGGCAUGGGAUAGCAUUUGAACGAGGAUAAGGAUAUGAUCAAAACCGAAAGCUUGAGGUAAAUCCACCGGAGAAGAAAAAAGAACGGAGGAUGAUGAACUUGAAACUGUUGAGCAUCUUCACGAGGGAUCACCGGAUCAGAACAUUGAUUGAAAAGGGUGAAGUGACUUCACAUGAAUAAAUGGAUACAUGAUUAAGAUAUAUGAGUCCUUGAAGAAGAAAAGGGUGGGAGGGCGGGAAAACAAAGGCAACUUGGGGCAGAUGGAAUGGACACCGUUGAGAAAACUUAGAAUUGAUCUUGCGGAUGGGGAGAAUGAUGGGAUCAUCUCGAAGAGAAGUGCGCCGGUUGGAAAAGAAUUAACAUGACGAUCUCGAUGAUCAAGAAUGAUUAGUAUUCACAUAGCAUAUGAGAACACCAUUUAGGAAAGGUAUGGAUUCAACAUUUAACUUCCAAGCAACUCGAAUACCACAAAUAAAACAAAACAAAGGAUUUGGCUUGCAGAAUAAGCCGGAACAAACAUAUGAUAGAGAUUUCGUCCGAAGUUUUCGUGGCGGGGCCCACACGGGCUCGAGUGUACAGCACCAUCAUGUACAAGGCAGUGCACAUGACAUACGAAGUGUCCCCGAACCAGCAUAGCCAAGGGAGCAUAGCCAAGUUUGAAUGAGGCCGGAACAACAAACAACAAUUCCGGAAAUCCCCAUAUGUCAUUUAGUAGUUUAAAGCAAACACAAUUUUAAGCAUUUAAAUGUUGUUAUCAUGAUGCGGAUGACAUAUACAAGUUUAUGCAAUUUUAUGAAAACGUUAACAUGAGCAUGAUAUGAAACAUUUGUCACCGUGACAACGAAUCCGAAAAUGAUGCCACGGCAACAUAUCGGUUCUGAUAGCUCAUGGAGGUACCGGUGCAAAAGGUAGUGUGACGUGAGCGAGUCAUGCAAGAUGGUGGGGUGAUCCCGAAUACCGGGUUCCCACGUGUCGGUGGCAUGGCAAAAUAAGGGCAUCGCAAGCGACAAUUUGAUCACGGUGCAAAACUCGAGCAUCUCAUACAACCAAGCAUGCAUCUCAUCGCGGUCGUCUCGGGUUAUACCUUCGAAGCGUGCGUUUCAGCGCGGUUCGGGUUCAGUACGAUGUAGAGGAAGUAGUCGUUCACGGGUCGUCGUGGGAAGUAGUUGUACACGUUUCGUAGAUGAACUUGGCGUAACCGUGCGGCAGUCGAACUUGGCGCUCGUGGUACAUGGGUCUUCGGGCAACGGUAGAUGUACACGGCAAUCAUAGUGGAACUUGGUGUGUCCAAGGUCUUCGGCGUAGUGGUACACGGCGACGGUAGUGGUACACGUGGUAGAUGAACUUGGCGAUCCGAAGGGGUACUUGGCGAUCUGGUCCUGUAGUCGUACUAGGCCUCCGGUGAACUUGGCGAAAUCCACGAAGGUGUCCUUGGGCGAUCCUGUUUGCCGCGACUUGGCAAAACGAAGGGGAUCUUGGCGUCCAUGCAACCGGCAGCGGAGGUGCACGAAACCAGCGACAGAGGACAAGGCAAGGGAAGAGCUGCGCUCGAUGGCAGGAAGUGAAGAAGACGCUGCAGCAACGGGGCAAGGAACAUAGGGGCCACGGCGGCAUGGACGUGCAGAAAGCGCUCGGGAUCGAGCUCCUCUCAAUCCAAAGAAUGGAUGCGGCCGCGGGACGGAGGUGGAGGCCCAACGAGGUUGGCGGCUUAGGCCUCCAUGGGGCGGUGAUGGACGAAGUGGCCGGCAUCAGCCUUGGCGUGAAGCAGGGGAGGCGGAGCUCCUGCUCGGGGUCACCACCUCGGGGUCGCGGGGGCACUCGAGGCAGGGCUGGAACCUGCCGGCGAGGUGGGUGAAGCAGGCAUGACGCAAGGAGGCGCAGGUGGGGGAAGGCGCGCGGGAGGAGGAGGCGAACGGCGGAGGUGCAGGAGAGAGGUCGGGUGCGAGGGGUUGAGGCGAUGGGAGGAGCGGACGAUCGCUGGUCGGUGCGAGGGAGGAGAGGGAGACGAGAGGGAGAGAUCGAGAGGACGAGGGUUGGGGGAUCGAGCACUGGGUGCGCUGCGGCGCAGGGGGAGAACGAAGGGAGAGAUGGGGAUCGAGCGAGGGCUAGGGUUAGGAGUGGGGCGCGGCUGGGCCUUAGAGGCAAAUGGGCCAUUUCAGUGGAGGGGGGGAAAAAGGCCAGGAGGCCUAGCAGGCUGGAUUAAAAGAAAAGAAGGGGAAAAUCCUUUUCUAUAAAAAAGGGAAGUGUAGAUAUAUUUAUUUGGUAAGGCAAAUAAAUACAAGUUGAGCUCAAAACUGACAUGGAUCUACAUUGACAUAUUUCAAAGCAUGACAACUUGAACCGGAGCAAAUUGGAGAAAGAUCAAGGUUAGUAUAUUCGGGAACGAGAGUGGUUUUAAAUGCCAGUUUGUUUGGGAUGAUUCCAUAUGAAUGGAAUAUUUAUUGUAGCUCCCUAAAAUUAGUAGGAGACUUUGAAUAUGUUUUAAAGAGAAAUCACCAUGUGAAUAUCCCUCGAUUUAAAUGGACCGAAGGAUCCAUACUAUUUAUUUAGAUGAGUUAUAAAAUUAAUGAUAUGAUGGCAUGAUGACAUGAUGCAAUGCAAAUGAAGCUAAGAAGAAUGCAACAAACAAAUACAAAUCACACGACAAAACUCGGAGUAGCUAGAAGUCUUCUGGAGCGUCGGUCUCGGGGCGUCACAAUUUGCUCUCAUUGUCUUCGCUCGAAGACAUAGGAUUUGGGUUGAGCAUCACUUCAGUCACUCUGACUUAGUUCACUUGGACCCCACUUAAUAGUACGGUGGUUCCUAUGACUCAACAAAGAAGAAAAGGAAACAACGAAACCACAUAGUCUUCGCGCUCGAUAGUCUUCACGCAAUGUCUUCUCAUGUCAUAGUCUUCAAUAUGAAUAUCUUCUCAUACCACCAUUAUCUUCAAUGUCUUCAUACAUUUUUAGGGGUCAUGUCCGGUAGGUAAACCAAAUCAAUGAGGGACACUACCUGCGUUAUCCUGCAAUUCUCACAAACGCAUUAGUCCCUCAACCAACUUUGUCGUCAAUACUCCAUAACCAACUAGGGGUGGCACUAGAUGCACUUACAGAGAUGUUGAAGUUUUGUGUGGGAAAGUUAAAUAUCCUGCUGAUUUUCUUGUUCUUGCUUCCCCACAAGAUUGCUUCUGUCCAAUUAUUUUUGGUAGACCCUUGUUGCAUACUGUCACCAUUGGCUUAGAUAGUAUGUCUCAUGAGUUUAAUUUUGCUAAGUUUCGUAGACAACCUCGUGGUUGGGAACCACCUAGUAAGGAUGAGAUUAUUGGUAUUGCUUCCAUCGUUGUGCCUCCUACUGAUCCGUUAGAACAAUAUUUGCUAGACCAUGAUAAUGAUAUGUUUAUGAAGGAAAGAAGGGAAAUAGAUGAAGUAUUCCUUAAACAGGAACCUGUGCUGAAACAUAAUCUUCCCGUCGAAAUUCUUGGGGAUCCCCCUCCACCCAAGGGUGAUCCCGUGUUUGAACUCAAACCUUUACAUGAUAAUCUUAAGUAUGCUUAUCUUGAUGAAAAGAAAAUAUAUCCUGUUAUUAUUAGUGCUAACCUUUCAGAGCAAGAAGAAGAAAGAUUAUUGAAAACUCUGAAGAAGCACCGAGCUGCUAUUGGAUAUACUCUGGAUGAUUUUAAGGGCGUUAGUCCCACGUUACGCCAACACAAAAUUAAAUUGGAGGACAAUGCCAAACCAGUUAGAGAUCCUCAACGACGACUAAAUCCCAAGAUGAAUGAAGUGGUAAGAAAGGAGAUACUAAAGCUCCUUGAGGCAGGUAUAAUUUAUCCCGUUGCUCAUAGUGAUUGGGUAAGCCCUGUCCAUUGUGUUCCUAAAAAGUGAGGUAUUACCGUUGUUCCUAAUGAUAAAGAUGAAUUGAUACCGCAAAGAAUUAUCACAGGUUAUAGCAUGGUAAUUGAUUUUCAUAAAUUAAAUAAGGCUACUAAGUAAGAUCAUUACCCUUUACCUUUCAUUAAUCAAAUUCUAGAAAGAUUAUCCAAACACACACAUUUUUUGCUUUCCAGACAGUUAUUCUGGUUUCUCUCAAAUACCUGCGUCAGCGGGAGAUCAAUCAAAAACUACUUUUACUUGCCCUUUCGGUACUUUUGCUUAUAGACGUAUGCCUUUUGGUUUAUGUAAUGCACCUGCUACCUUUCAAAGAUGCAUGAUGGCUAUAUUCUCUGAUUUUUGUGAAAAGAUUUGUGAGGUAUUCAUGGAUGACUUCUCCGUUUAUGGAUCCUCUAUUGAUAAUUUUUUGAGCAACCUUGAUCGAGUUUUGUAGAUAUGCGAAGACACUAGUCUUGUUCUGAAUUGAGAAAAGUGUCACUUUAUGGUUAAUGAAGGCAUUGUCUUGGGGCAUAAGAUUUCCGAGAGAGGUAUUGAAGUUGAAAAAGCCAAAGUUGAUGCUAUUGAAAAGAUGCCAUGUCCCAAGGACAUAAAAGGUAUAAGAAGUUUCCUUGGUCAUGCUAGUUUUUAUAGGAGGUUCAUUAAGGACUUUUCUAAGAUCUCCAGACCUCUGACUAAUUUGUUGCAAAAAGAUAUUCCUUUUGUCUUUGAUGAUGAUUGUGUAGAAGCAUUUGAAAUACUUAAGAAAGCUUUGAUCACUGCACCUGUUGUUCAGCCACCUGAUUGGAAUUUACCUUUUGAAAUUAUGUGUGAUGCUAGUGAUUAUGCUGUAGGUGCUGUUCUAGGGCAAAGAGUUCAUAAGAAAUUGAAUGUUAUCCAGUAUGCUAGUAAGACUCUUGAUACUGCCCAAAGAAAUUAUGCUACUACUGAAAAAGAAUUCUUAGCAGUUGUGUUUGCAUGUGAUAAGUUUAGACCUUAUAUUGUUGAUUCCGAAGUUAUUAUUCACACUGAUCAUGCUGCUAUUAAAUAUCUUAUGGAUAAUAAAGACGCUAAGCCUAGACUCGUUAGAUGGGUUCUCCUGCUCCAAGAAUUUGAUUUGCAUAUUAUUGAUAGGAAGGGAGCUGAGAACCACGUUGCAGACACCUUGUCUAGGUUAGAGAAUGUUCUUAAUGACCCACUGCCUAUUGAUGAUAGCUUUCCUGAUGAACAAUUAACGGUCAUUAAUGCUUCUCGUACUGCUCCUUGGUAUCCAGAUUAUGCUAAUUACAUUGUUGCCAAAUUUAUACCUCCUAGUUUCACAUACCAGUAAAAGAAAAAGUUCUUUUAUGAUUUCAGACAUUACUUUUGGGUGACCAACACCUUUAUAAAGAAGGAGUAGAUGGUGUUAUUAGAUGUUGUGUGCCUGAGCAUGAACAGGAACAGAUCCUACGCAAGUGUCACUCUGAAUCCUAUGGAGGACACCACGCUGGAGAUAGAACUGCACAUAAGGUACUACAAUCUAGCUUUUAUUGGCCUACUCUCUUCAAAGAUGCUCGUAAGUUUGUCUUAUCUUGUGACGAAUGUCAAAGAAUAGGUAACAUUAGUAGACAUCAAGAAAUGCCUAUGAAUUAUUCUCUUGUUAUUGAACUGUUUGAUGUUUGGGGCUUUGAUUAUAUGGGUCCUUUUCCUGCCUCUAAUGGUUCUACACAUAUUUUAGUUGCUGUUGAUUAUGUUACUAAGUGGGUAGAAGCUAUUCCAACUAGUUGUGCUGAUCAUAACACUUCUAUUAAAAUGCUUAAAGAAGUUAUUUUUCCGAGGUUUGGAGUCCCUAGAUAUCUUAUGACUGAUGGUGGUUCACAUUUUAUUCAUGGUGCUUUCCGUAAGAUGCUUGCUAAGUAUGAUGUCAAUCAUAGAAUCGCGUCUCCUUAUCAUCCGCAGUCUAGUGGUCAAGUAGAGUUGAGCAAUAGAGAGCUCAAAUUUAUUUUGCAAAAGACUGUGAAUAGAUCUAGAAAGAAUUGGUCCAAAAAAUUUGAGGAUGCGUUAUGGUCCUAUAGAACUACAUACAAAAAUCCUAUGGGUAUGUCUCCAUAUAAGAUGGUUUAUGGAAAAGAAUGUCAUUUACCUCUUGAACUUGAACAUAAAGCAUAUUGGGCUAUUAAAGAUCUCAAUUAUGACUUCAAACAUGUCGGUGAGAAGAGGUUGUUUGAUAUUAGCUCACUUGAUGAAUGGAGAGCCCAAGCUUAUGAGAAUGCCAAGCUAUUGAAAGAAAAAGUCAAGCGCUAGCAUGAUAAAAGGAUACAAAAGCGUGAGUUUAACGUCGGAGAUUAUGUGUUAUUAUUCAACUCUCGUUUAAGAAUUUUUGUGGGAAAGCUUCUCUCUAAAUGGGAAGGUGCCUACGUUAUCGAGGAAGUCUAUCGUUCUAGUGCCAUAAAGAUCAAGAACUUCGAAGGCACAAGUCCGAGGGUGGUAAACGGUCAAAGAAUUAAACAUUAUAUUUCAGGUAAUCCUAUUAAUGUUGAAACUAAUAUUUUGAAACCGUAACCCUGGAGGAAUACAUAAGGUACACUUUCCAGAACAUUCCAGACUCCCAAAAGGAAUAGGUAUGUGGUACGGUAAGUAAACCGACUCCAAAACAACUCCAAUGGCAAUUUUUACCAGUUUUGGAUUAUUUAAGAAUUUUAGGAAGAAAGAAGUAGUCCGAAAGGGACACGAGGCCCCCCACGAGAGUGGAGGGUGCACCCACCCUUACUAGGCGCGCCCCAUGUUGUAACAUCCCAAAUUUGUUAUACACUAGAUAAUCAAUGCAUAUCAUAUUUUCUUUGCUUUAGGUUUUAUCCUAGAAAUUCUACGCAACUCAAGGACCCUCGGAGAAGUUGGGGAUUUUGUUAUUUUCAUAUUUCAGUUUUCUCGAAUUUUGAAAAUAGGAUCAUUUGAUUUUAUUUAUUUUAUCUUCAAUAAUUUCGAUUAUAAACAUAUGAGAGAGGGAAUAAAAUGCCUUUCCAAAAUUAAGAAAUAUUGAGGAUUUAAUAAAAAAUCAAAUAAGGUUUAUUUUAGAGUUUUUGGCUAUUUUAUCUGAAUUAGGAAAAAUUACAUGUUUUUCAAGACUGCAUUUUAGGGCCAAGAAAAUGUUCAUCUCGUUCUAAAUAUUUUAUUUAGAUGGUGAAAAUUUAUUUUGGCAUUUUUAGAUUUUUAUUUCUUUUUCUAGAAUUUAUUUUCUGUUCGGCGGAAUUAUUUUAAAAAAAAAUCUCUCCGCCCGACUGGGCCGAAGGCCCAACCGAGCCAGGCCCGCCCGUCCCGCGCUGACGCAUCCAUGCCGCGCCGCCGCCGCCGACCCGGACUCCACCCCGCCACCGCCACCUUGCCCCCUCCCCCAAGCCGGACGACACCCCCCCUCCUAUUUAUACNNNNNNNNNNNNNNNNNNNNNNNNNNNNNNNNNNNNNNNNNNNNNNNNNNNNNNNNNNNNNNNNNNNNNNNNNNNNNNNNNNNNNNNNNNNNNNNNNNNNNNNNNNNNNNNNNNNNNNNNNNNNNNNNNNNNNNNNNNNNNNNNNNNNNNNNNNNNNNNNNNNNNNNNNNNNNNNNNNNNNNNNNNNNNNNNNNNNNNNNNNNNNNNNNNNNNNNNNNNNNNNNNNNNNNNNNNNNNNNNNNNNNNNNNNNNNNNNNNNNNNNNNNNNNNNNNNNNNNNNNNNNNNNNNNNNNNNNNNNNNNNNNNNNNNNNNNNNNNNNNNNNNNNNNNNNNNNNNNNNNNNNNNNNNNNNNNNNNNNNNNNNNNNNNNNNNNNNNNNNNNNNNNNNNNNNNNNNNNNNNNNNNNNNNNNNNNNNNNNNNNNNNNNNNNNNNNNNNNNNNNNNNNNNNNNNNNNNNNNNNNNNNNNNNNNNNNNNNNNNNNNNNNNNNNNNNNNNNNNNNNUCUCGCUGCCGCAUCGGAACCCAGCCGGAGCCCCGCCGAAGCCAAGCCGAGGUAGCCGUCCCGCCGCCCCGGUUUUCUAAUAAAACCAAUCCGUUUUGUUUUAGAAAACCUAGAUUCAUUUUUUUAGAUCGGUUUUAUUUUUGUAUGGUUUAUUUUAUUUAGCGAGCGUUCGCCCGUUCAUUCGUUUUAACGAACGAAUUCGCCGUUUAGUUUCAGUUAAAGAACGUCCGUUCGUUAAUCCGUUCGUCAGUUUUUCUUUUCUCGGAUUUUUCCGCGGUAAUUUUCUGAUCGUGAUUUCUGAUCCGAUCUUCGUUUUAGUUUAACUUUUCGCUCGUUUAUCGGAAUUAGGCGAUUCAAGCUCCUAGAGUUUCCUCUCAAAACCCUCUUUCAGUUUAAUCAACUCAAACAACUUUUUGCUUCUGUAAAAUUUUACUUGGAACCAGAUUAGUGAACGAAGCUUGUUUCUUUCGCCGUCUGAUUUUCGUUGCUUCGUUCGAUUUGAUUCUUUUUGCCAACCUUAGUUGUUAAGUUGAACUUUCUGGUUAGAUCUCUUAUUUGAGUUUUACCUGUGCAUUAGAUGAGUACUUAUUGUAUGCUUGUUUUCUUGUUUGUUGCGAUAGAGUAUCCGGAUUGCGCCGCUUGCUACUUUGAAUCCCUAGGUUUCACGGAUCAUCAGCAAGGCAAGUAACACUUUGAUCAUACCUCUUUUACUACCCAGUUUUAUUGCAUUAGACUCAAUCCUCAAACAAUUGCAUGAUUAUGAUCUGAUUAAUAUGUGGGUUUUGGGAAGUAGAUGAGGUAGUACCUAUUACAUGUUUUAUUAUCAAACCCUUGGGAGUUACUUCUACGUUUGCUUAUUGCCAUGCUAUGCUAGUAGACGUGGAUUGGGUGAGUGAAUCCAUGACAGAUGUGAGAUUGUUAAUUAAUGGUUUAUUUAAGGUGGCAACUUUAAUACACAUCUGGGUGGAUUGAGGCACCUGGGUAUUCCAGGAUUGCCUGUUUUUCUUUGGACCGCCACCCAGGCUCAAAGGGAUCAUAAGAUUAUUCAUGCUAGAAACUUCCGUGUGCAGCCACAAGCUACUAUGGGCUCUAGCAUAGUUGAUUAAGUCAUGUGAACUCUUACAGUGGUAGAAUAGCAGAUGUAGGGGAAAGUAGGUGUAAUGGUCUACCCAUCGUAAGGUGUAAACGCUUCUGAAAGACUAUGUCUCGGUCAUCCAUUUCUCAAACACCAUCUAGUGCAAGAACUCCCAUGGAGGAGAUCGUGUCUUGUGGGGAAAGGUGCGCAAACCUCUGCAGAGUGUAUAAACUAAUCAUGGUUAGUCGUGUCCCCGGUUAUGGACGUUUUGAGUAUCUAGUACUUGGAUUAUCAUGUGAAUCUCAUCAUGUUACUUAAUUUAAUGUUGUUGGGUUUUUAAUGAUGAUACUUAAUUGGGAUUGAUAAUGCUGUCAACCAUUCUCAAUGUUUAACAACCACCAUGAUAGUUAAAUAAAAUCUAUUCCUUUGCAGUAGGGAAAAAUUGGCUUUAUGCAAAACUGUAACCAUAGAGCUUUCCACUAGCCAUAUUAUGCAUGUAGUAUAGCAUACUUUUGUUUAUUUCUCUCUAUGUGUUACAUUGCCAGUAUAUUCCAUGUGCUGGCCCAUUUUCGGGCUGCAACGUUCAUGUUGCAGACUUUUCAGACGACGAGUAAGAUGCCUUAGGAUCGUGGUCCUAUACUCAGUGAUGUCGUUGGAGUUGAUGGACUCACUUAUCUUCCAAGCCUUCCGAUGUUAUCGUUAUUAGAUGGCCUUAAGCCAUAUUUAUUGUAAUAAGUUCUCUUUUGAGACAUUCGAGGUAAUAAGUGUGUGAUUGCUACUCUAUUAUAAAUCCUUCAAGUACUGUGUGUGUCAGCAUUACCGAUCCAGGGAUGACACUGAUGCACAGAGAUCAGACUGUUUGACGUCUGGUCGCUACAAGAUGGUAUCAGAGCACACGCUGAUUGUAGGACAUCACCACUAAGCUAAAGCCCUAGAUCACUACUCACUCUUCUCAUUUCUGACUCCUCAUCUUCUUGACUCUCUUUUAGGAUGGCGAAUGCAAGGAACAAGUUCACGCAACCGGAUGAAGAUACACCCUUUGGACGUCACCUGAAGGAAGUCACUAAGUACCUGGACAUCAGAGUACCAAGCUUCACCGGGACCUACAUCGCCACUUUACUGGUAGAGGAGCAUUGGAUGAUUCAAUUUCAAGUUCCAGGAAGGACGUUCAUGCCUGUCACUGAUCCCAUAGAGUUUCCCUUUGAUGCACCAACCUGGAGUCUAGGAAAGAGCAUGGCAGCCCACAUCACAAUGGGACGUAUUGGAGAAGUCUACCACAAGGAUCUCAAGGAUACUAUCUACCAGAUUUGUGGGCGCCGAAAUGAGCAAUGGGAGAUGAUCAGCACCAGGAAUGAUAGAUCAAUUGCAGCUUUCAUCCAGGAGUUAAACCAACACAUUCGACGCCAGGAGAACCAGAUGUGCGCAUGCAUGAUAGACCUGAAGAAGGCCAUGACCAAAAAUCAUGGAACUGGAGGAAGAACUCAAGUCUACACGCGAUGGAUAUGAGGAGGAAAUAGCAAUACUAGUGGAGAGGAGCGAUGAUCUGAAGAAGAAACUAAAAGUAUUCAUGGGAUUUACCGCAACUGGAGGAGAGGACGAAGAAUGCACCUGUCUAGAAAACUACAUCAUCAUUGACGACACCGACUCGGAUCCAGACGAUAGCGAUGAUGACUAUGUUGAUGAAGCAGGAGCGGAUAUCAUGUAGUCUUCAACGAAGCAGUUUUUCUAGUCGACCCCCAUAAUAGUAGUAGUAUUCCCCCAUGUAUCUAGUUUAGAUCAAGCACUUUGUAACGAUAGUUAGACCGUUGUAUGCCCUUGUUUGAAUUGAAUGAAGUGAUUUUGUUUGCAUUUGUCUCAUGUGCAUAUGGGUAGUGUUUUCCCUCUAGACCUCAUUCUAUUCUAUAUUCUCUUCUCUUCUAAACCCUCAGAUGCCUCCGAGACGUGACAAUGGAUUUGCUUUCCCACCGGAGCUCACUCAGUUGAUCCAACAGCAGAAUGCAUUGAUGCGGUUGCUAGUCCAGAAUCAGAAUCAAGGGAACAACAACAACAACCCACCACCACCACCACCUGUUGAUCACUUAACCCAUUUUCUUAUGCUAAAUCCGUCGGUGUUCUCCAGUAGUACCGACCCGAUUGUUGCAGAUGAUUGGCUCCGCAAGACAGGAAGGGAGUUUACCACUGCAGGAUGCAUAGAUGCGGAAAAGGUGCGUUUUCCCGCACAUCAACUUGAAGGACCCGCAACAUCAUGGUGGGAGAAUUUCACAGCCACUUAUCCUGUAGACACUGUCACAUGGGAUCAAUUUUAGCAGGCUUUCCGUACUGCCCAUGUUUCAGCAGGAGCUAUGGCCAUGAAGAAGCGUGAGUUUCACAACUCACGCCAAGGAGGACGUAUAGUUGGCCAGUAUGUGGAUGACUUUAGUAAGUUAGCACGUUAUGCCCCAGAUGACGUUGCUACUAAUGCAGCUAAGCAGGAGAAGUUUCUGGAAGGACUGAAUGAUGAGCUGCGCAUGCAUUUGAUGGUAGCAAGUUUCAACAACUACCAGGAGUUGGUAGACCGAGCUCUUAUGAUUGAAGGGAAGCACCAGCAGAUUGAAAACCGCAAGAGGAAGUAUGGACAAGGGAAGUACAAUUCUGGAGCUCAGCAGAAGCCACGUUUUACCCCAAAAUCAGGAGGAAAUUUCCAGCAUACCCAUGGAGGAGGUAGCUCACACAAUCAUAAUGGCCCCAAGAAUGGGAAUGGAGGAAGCAACGUCCAGAACCAUACCAACCCAUCGACCCCAGCUAAGAAAGACGUGAGCCAAGUCACUUGCUUUAAGUGUCAGAAGACUGGACAUUAUGCCAAUGAAUGUCCUGAAGCCCAGAAUGGAAAUGACAAUGGAAGCUCUGGGAAGAAGCGGAACCCAUUUAACCGGGGACAGGUGAACCACAUUAACAUGGAGGAGGUUGAAGCUCAGCCAGAUGCAGGUAGGUUUUUAGUUAAGUCAAUUACUGCAAUCGUUCUUUUUGACACUGGCGCAUCGCAUUCAUACAUAUCAAGGGGAUUUGUGGAUAAGUAUAAACUGCCCACCAAAGUUCUUAGAACACCUAUGUUAGUAAGCUCACUAGGAGCGGAGUAUAUGGCCAGUCGAGGAUGUUUUCAAGUGCCAUUGAGUAUAGGUAGGCAUGUUUUCCCCUCAGAUUUAAUCAUUUUGGAAUCUCAAGGUUUGGAUGUGAUUCUGGGUAUGGAUUAGCUAUCGAUGUAUGGAGGGAACAUCGAUUGCGCUAGCAAGUCAAUUUUGCUUACCACCCCAGAAGGGAGAAGGAUCAAGUAUGUAUCAAGACAUGAGCCAAAGAGGAUGCAAGUAAAUUCCUUAUCAGGAGUUGUGCAGGAGGAAGUACCAGUGGUGAAGGAUUUCCCUGAUGUAUUUCGGGAAGAGUUGCCAGGCAUGCCACCAGAUAGAGACAUUGAAUUUUUGAUUGAACUUUUGCCAGGCACAGGGCCGAUAUCUAAGAGACCGUACCGGAUGCCCGCUAAAGAUUUGGAGGAAAUUAAGAAGCAGAUUAAAGAGUUACUGGAUAUAGGAUAUAUUCGCCCAAGUUCUUUGCCUUGGGGAUCGCCAGUACUUCUAGUGGAGAAGAAGGAUGGAUCAUUGAGGAUGGUCGUUGAUUAUCAAGGACUGAAUGCAGUAAAAAUUAAUAACAAGUACCCACUGUCGAUGAUCAAUGAUCUGUUUGAACGAUUGCAAGGAGCUAAGGUAUUUUCCAAGAACGAUUUGCAAUCAGGAUACCAUCAGUUGAAGAUUCAAGAGCAGGAUAUAACUAAGACGGAUUUUACCACUAGGUAUGGGUUGUACGAGUACACCGUUAUGUCAUUUGGUCAGACUAACGCACCUGCCUAUUUCAUGAACAUGAUGAACAAGGUGUUUAUGGAAUUUUUGGAUAAGUUUGUCGUGGUGUUCAUUGAUGACAUUUUGGUCUACUCGAAGAACGAAGAGGAGCAUAAGGAGCAUUUCCGUUUGGUACUAGAGAAUCUCAGAGAACAUCAGUUAUAUGCCAAGUUCAGCAAAUGUGAGUUUUGGUUGAAGGAAGUUGGAUUCCUCGGACAUGUUAUAUCCGGAGAAGGAAUAUCAGUAGACCCCACCAAAGUUGUCACUGUAACAAACUGGGAAGCACCAACAACAAUUGGAGAGAUUCGGAGUUUUCUUGGACUCGCACGAUACUACCGGAGAUUUAUUGAGAACAUCUCGAAGAUUGCAAAACCCAUGACGGAGUUGUUAAAGAAGGAUACCAAGUUCAAUUGUACUGACGAAUGUGAGGCCAGUUUCCAGGAGCUGAAGGAACGUUUGGUUACCUCGCCAGUAUUGAUUCUGCCAAAUCAGAGCAAGGAUUACGAGGUGUAUUGUGAUGCUUCACGUCGAGGACUUGGAGCAGUGUUUAUGCAGGAGGGGAGAGUUGUUUCAUAUGCUUCACGACAACUUAAGCCCCAUGAGUUGAACUAUGCCACUCAUGAUUUGGAGUUAGCAGCCGUAGUGCAUGCAUUGAAGACCUGAAGACAUUUUCUCAUAGGAAACCAUUGUGAGGUGUACACGGAUCACAGGAUUUUGAAGUACAUCUUCACACAGAAGGAGUUGAAUCUCAGGCAAAGGAGAUGGUUGGAACUCAUCAAAGAUUAUGAUAUGAGAUUGCAUUACCACCCGGGAAAGGCUAACGUAGUAGCCAAUGCGUUGAGCCGUAAGAGCCAUGUCAACACACUCAUGACCGAAGAGUUACCGAAGGAGUUAGCCGAGGAUCUUCGCGAGCUAUGUUUGGAGAUAGUUCCUAGAGGCUAUGUAGCAGGGUUGGAGAUUCAGUCUACUUUGAUGGAUAAGAUCAGAGAAGCUCAGUAGACUGACAAGGAGAUUGCCUCCAUAAAGGAGAAGAUGAGCAAAGAAAAAGCUAAAGGAUUUCGUGAGGAUGAGCAUGAUACCCUAUGGUUUGAAGAUCGUGUUUAUGUGCCUAACGACCCGGAGAUCAGGAAGUUAAUUCUGCGAGAAGCCCAUGAUUCACCAUAUUCAAUUCACCCAGGAAAUACCAAGAUGUAUUUGGAUUUGAAGGAUACUUUCUGGUGGACCGGAAUGAAGAAGGAUAUUGCGGAGUAUAUAGCAGUUUGUGGUGCAUGUCAGAGAGUAAAGGCAGAGCAUCAGAAGCCAGCAGGAUUGUUAUAUCCAUUACCGAUACCCAAAUGGAAGUGGGAUAAGCUAGGCAUGGAUUUCAUUACUGGAUUGCCCAUGACUCGUUUAGGCUAUGACUCGAUUUGGGUUAUAGUCGUUCGUUUGACGAAGGUAGCUCAUUUCAUCCCAGUGAAGACCACUUACACCAGUGCUAAGUUGGCAAAGAUAUACAUGACCAGGAUUGUAUGUCUGCAUGGAGUUCCGAGGAGCAUAGUAUCAUUUAGAGGAACCCAGUUUACCUCAAAGUUCUGGAAUCAGUUGCACGUAAUAUUGGGUACCAGGCUAGAGUUCAGUACAACUUUUCACCCGCAGACAGAUGGACAGACCGAGAGAGUCAAUUAAAUUUUGGUGGAUAUGCUGAGAGCCUGUGCGCUAGAUUAUGCAUCUAGUUGGGAUGACAAUUUGCCAUAUGCAGAGUUUUCUUACAACAACAGUUAUCAAUCCAGUUUGAAGAUGGCCCCUUUCGAAGACUUGUACAGAAGGAGGUGCAGGACCCCGUUGUCGUGGGAUGAAGUUGGAGACCGCCAGUUGUUUGGACCGGAUUUGAUUAAGGAGUCUGAACACAAGGUGAAAUUGAUUCGUGAUAGGCUCAAAGUAGCCCAUUCCAGGCAGAAGAGCUACGCAGAUUCAAAAUGCAAGGAGACAGUUUAAGAAGUCGGAGACAGAGUUUAUCUUCGAGUAUCUCCACUUCAAGGAGUUAAGCGCUUUGGAGUUAAGGGAAAGUUAGCGCCACGUUUUGUGGGACCAUACAAAGUUUUGGAGCGUAUGGAGAAGUUGCCUACAAGUUGGAGUUGCCCGAAGGAUAGUCAACAGUUCAUGAUGUAUUCCAUGUAUCCCAGUUGAAGAAGUUGCAUGCCGAGAUGGCUGAUAUACCGCUGAUAGAUACAGUGCCGCUGGAAGAGAUUCAGUUGGACAGUGAUAUGACCUAUGAGGAGAAACCAGUCAAGAUUCUUGAAUAUGCCAACCGAAUCACCCGCAGCAAGGUUAUCAAGUUUUGCAAGGUUCAGUGGAGCCACCAUACCGAGGAUGAAGCCACCUGGGAGCGAGAAGAAGAUCUGCUGAAGGACCACCCUCCCCUAUUUUCUAGCCAACCCGAAUCUCGAGGGCGAGAUUCAUCUUAAGGGGGGUAGGUUUGUAACAUCCCAAACUUUCAAUUUGGAAUGUUAUACACUAGAUCAUCAAUGCAUAUCAUAUUUUCUUUGCUUUUGGUUUGAUCCUAGAAAUUAUAUGCAACUCAAGGACCCUCGGAGAGAGUUGGGGAUUUCGUUAUUUUCAUAUUUGAGUUUUCUCGAAUUUUAAAAAUAGGAUCAUUUGAUUUUAUUUAUUUUAUCUUCAAUAAUUUCGAUUAUAAACAUAUGAGAGAGGGAAUAAAAUGACUUUCCAAAAAUUAAGAAAUAUUGAGGAUUUAAUAAAAAAAUCAAAUAAGGUUUCUUUUGCAGUUUUUAGAUAUUUUAUUUGAAUUAGGAAAAUUGCACGUUUUCCAAAACUGCAUUUUAGGGCCAAGAAAAUGUUCAUCUCGUUCUAAAUAUUUUAUUUAGACGGUGAAAAUUUAUUUUGGCAUUUUUAGAUUUUCAUUUCUUUUUCUAGAAUUUAUUUUUUGUUCGGCGGAAUUAUUUGAAAAAAAUCUCCGCGCCCGACUGGGCCGAAGGCCCAGCCGAGCCAGGCCGGCCCGUCCCGCGUGGCCGCCGCCGACCCGGACUUCAAGUCCGAGCCGGACUCCACCCCGCCGCCGCCACCUUGCCCCCUCCCCCAAGCCGGCCGACACAACCCCUUCUGUUUAUACCGCCGCCACCCCGCCGCCAAACCCGUCCCGCCCCGCCGCCGCCGGAAGCCACCGCCGCCGCCGAGUCCCGCUGCCGCCUGGAGCCGCCGCCCCCGCCUUACGUCGCCGCCGCCACAGCCCGCCUCCCACCGGCGUGCCGCCACCGCACCGGAACCCCGCCGGAGCCCCGCCGGAGCCGAGCUGAGGUAGCCGUCCCGCCGCCCCGAUUUUCUAAUAAAACCAAUCCGUUUUUUUAGAAAACCUAGAUUCGUUUUUUUAGAUCGGUUUUAUUUUUUUAGGGUUUAUUUUAUUUAGCGAGCGUUCGCCCGUUCGUUCGUUUUAAUGAACAAAUUCGCUGUUUAGUUUCAGUUUACGAACGUCCGUUCGUUAAUCGGUUCGUUAGUUUUUCUUUUCUCGGAUUUUUCCGCGGUUAUUUUCUGAUCGUGAUUUCUGAUCCGAUCUUCGUUUUAGUUUAACUUUUCGCUCGUUUAUCGGAAUUAGGCGAUUCAAGCGCCUAGAGUUUCGUCUCGAAACCCUCUUUCCAUUUAAUCAACUCAAACAAGUUUUUGCUUCUGUAAAAUUUUACUUGGAAACAGAUUAGUGAACGAAGCUUGUUUCUUUCGCCGUCUGAUUUUCGUUGCUUCGUUCGAUUUGAUUCUUUUUGCCAACCUUAGUUGUUAAGUUGAACUUUCUGGUUAGAUAUCUUAUUUGAGUUUUACCUGUGCAUUAGAUGAGUACUUAUUGUAUGCUUGUUUUCUUGUUUGUUGCGAUAGAGUAUCCGGAUUGCGCCGCUUGGUACUUUGAAUCCCUAGGUUUCACGGAUCAUCAGCAAGGCAAGUAACUCUUUGAUCAUACCUCUUUUACUACCCAGUUUUAUUGCAUUAGACUCAAUCCUCAAACAAUUGCAUGAUUAUGAUCUGAUUAAUAUGUGGGUUUUGGGAAGUAGAUGAGGUAGUACCUAUUACAUGUUUUAUUAUCAAACCCUUGGGAGUUACUUCUACGUUUGCUUAUUGCCAUGCUAUGCUAGUAGACGUGGAUUGGGUGAGUGAAUCCAUGACAGAUGUGAGAUUGUUAAUUAAUGGUUUAUUUAAGGUGGCAACUUUAAUACACAUCUGGGUAGAUUGAGGCACCUGGGUAUUCCAGGAUUGCCUGUUUUUCUUUGGACCGCCACCCAGGCUCAAAGGGAUCAUAAGAUUAUUCAUGCUAGAAACUUCCGUGUGCAGCCACAAGCUACUAUGGGCUCUAGCAUAGUUGAUUAAGUCAUGUGAACUCUUACAGUGGUAGAAUAGCAGAUGUAGGGGAAAGUAGGUGUAACGGUCUACCCAUCGUAAGAUGUAAACGCUUCUGAAAGACUAUGUCUCGGUCAUCCAUUUCUCAAACACCAUCUAGUGCAAGAACUCCCAUGGAGGAGAUCGUGUCUUGUGGGAAAGGUGCGCAAACCUCUGCAGAGUGUAUAAACUAAUCAUGGUUAGCCGUGUCCUCGGUUAUGGACGUUUUGAGUAUCUAGUACUUGGAUUAUCAUGUGAAUCUCAUCAUGUUACUUUAAUUAAUAUUGUUGGAUUUUUAGUGAUGAUACUUAAUUGGGAUUGAGAAUGUUGUCAACCAUUCUCAAUGUUUGACAACCACCAUGAUAGUUAAAUAAAAUCUAUUCCUUUGCAGUACGGAAAAAUUGGCUUUAUGCAAAACUGUAACCAUAGAGCUUUACACCAGCCAUAUUAUGCAUGUAGUAUAGCAUACUUCUUUUUAUUUCUCUCUAUGUGUUACAUUGCCAGCAUAUUCCAUGUGCUGACCCAUUUUCGGGCUGCAACGUUCAUGUUGCAGACUUUUCAGACGACGAGUAAGAUGCCUUAGGAUCGUGGUCCUAUACUCAGUGAUGCCGUUGGAGUUGAUGGACUCACUUAUCUUCCAAGACUUCCGUUGUUAUUGUUAUUAGAUGGCCUUAAGCAAUAUUUAUUGUAAUAAGUUCUCUUUUGAGACAUUCGAGGUAAUAAGUGUGUGAUUGCUACUGUGUUAUAAAUCCUUCAAGUACUGUGCGUGUCAGCAUUACCGAUCCAGGGAUGACACUGAUGCACAGAGAUCAGACUGUUUGAGGUCUGGUCGCUACACCUGUCUCGUGGGCACCUCGUGUGCCUCCCGGACUCCGUUUUCUUGCAUGGUAUGUACUUUGGUCGGUAAAAAUUCAUUAUAUAUACUGCCUAAGGUUUUGACCAGCGUAUCACACAAUAGCACCAUGACGUCGCCCUCCUCCAACAACGAAUACAAGAAUGCAUGGCUAUUGAAGAUAGAGCUGAAGAGAGAAGAACCGGAGGAGACCCACAAGGAUGAAGGGGUCCAGAAGGCCAUGGAGGUUCAAGGUCUGGCAGUGGAAGAAGAAGACAUCCCUCAACUUUUACUUAACCUCUUUACUCCAACAGAGAUUGAAGCUUUCAAGAUGAUUGAGUUAGCUCGCAUACAGAACAAGUAUCUGACACAGAAGAAUAUUCUGUUGAAGGAUCAUAUCACCGGACUCAAGGGCAUUAUCCGCAAGCUAGAGGAGCUUUUACGCUCAAUGUGCAAUUAUCCACUGUCAUCAUCACCACCUUCAUCACCUCCGAGGACAUAAUCACAUGGGUAUGGACACUCCCCUUGGCAACUGCCAAGCUUGGGGGAGGUGCCCCAGUAUUGUAUCACCAUCACUCUCCUAUAUUUACCAUUUUAUUUAGUUCGAUCCUUUUAGUAGUAUCUUGAUCUAGUAGAUUGAAGUUUUGAUAUCAAGUAGUUUUGAGUUUUGCUUUGUGAUCUCUUUUUGUAAUCGAGUCCGUGAGCUAUCUAUAAUAAAGAUUAGUGUUGAAUCAAGGGCUUUGCUAUGGUUCUAUGAUCUUGAGAAAGUAGAAAGAAUUAAAGGGUUCAUAUUGAUCUUAUAGUUAGUGAUGACUUCACAUAUAGAAAGUAUGAGGCAUAAAAAUUGUUGAGAGUUGAUAAACGUAGUUUUGGUCAUCGUUGCAAUUAACAGGAAGUGAUAAGGAAAGAGAGGUUCACAUAUAAAUAUACUAUCUUGGACAUCUUUUAUGAUUCUGAUCACCCAUUAAGUAUGACAUGCUAAAAGAGUUGACGUUGGACAAGGAAGACAACGUAAUGGUUUAUGUUUUCUCACAUCUCAGUUAAAGUAUGUUGUCAUUGACCUUACAAACAUGUGGAACUUGCCUUUCUCCCUCAUGCUAGCCAAAUUCCUAGCACCAAGUAGAGAUACUACUUGUGCUUCCAAAUAUCCUUAAAACCUAGUUUUGCCAUGAGAGUCCACCAUAUCUACCUAUGGAUUGAGUAAGAUCCUUCAAGUAAGUUGUCAUAAGUGCAAGCAACAAAAAUUGCUCUCUAAAUAUGAAUGACUUAUUAGUGCGGAGAAAAUAAGCUUUAUACGAUCUUGUUAUGGGAGCAAUAAAAGCGACGGACUGCAUAAUAAAGGUCCAUACACAAGUGUCAACAUAAAGUGACGUUCUUUUAUACUAAGAUUUUGUGUAUCCAACCCUAAAAGCGCAUGACAACCUCUACUUCCCUCUACGAAGGGCCUAUCUUUUACUUUAUGUUCUUACUUUAUGUUUUUAUUUUAUAUUUGAGUCAAGGUGAUCUUCACCUUUUCCCUUUUUCAUUUUAUCCUUUGGCAAGCCCCUCGUGUUUGAAAGAUCAUGAUAUAUAUAUAUAUAUCCAAUUGGAUGUUCAUUAGCAUGGAAUAUUAUUGUUGACAUCACCUAAAGGUGGAUACAUUGGGAGGCAACACAAUAAGCCCCUAUCUUUCUCAGUGUCCGGCUGAAACUCCAUAACCACAAGUAUUGCAUGAGUGUUAGCAAUUGUAGAAGAUUAUAUGAUAGUCGAGUAUGUGGACUUGCUGAAAAGCUCUGUUGUUGACUCUCUCUGAUGUUAUAAUAAAUUGUGAUUGCUUCAAUGGCUGAUAUUAUAGUUUGUUAGUUCUCAAUGAAGUUUCUGAACCAUACUUGAUAUUGUGAAUUGAUUGUCACUUGAGCAUAAGAGAUCAUAUGGUGGAAUCUAUAUAUGUUACUGUUAUAAGAAUGAUCAUGAUGCCCUCAUCUCCGUAUUUUAUUUUUAUCGACACCUCUAUCUCUAAACAUGUGGACAUAUUUUUCGAUAUCGGCUUCCACUUGAGGACAAGCGAGGUCUAAGCUUGGGGGAGUUGAUACGUCCAUUUUGCAUCAUGCUUUCAUAUCAAUAUUUAUUGCAUUAUGGGUUGUUAUUACACAUUAUAUCUCAAUACUUAUGGCUAUCCUCUCUUAUUUUACAAGGUUUACCAUGAAGAGGGGGGAUGUCGGCCGCUGUAAUUCUGGCUGGAAAAGGAUCAAAUAUUGGAAACCUAUUCUGCACUACUCCAAAAGUCCUGAAACUCCAUGAAACAUAUUUUUGGAUUUCUUAAGAAUUAUUGAGCGAGAGAAAUACAUCAUGGGGCCCACACCCUGGCUAGGAGGGUGGGGGGCACCCCCCCCCCUACUGGGCGCGCCCCCUGUCUCCUCGGCCCCCUGGUGGCUCUCCGGUGUCCAUAUUCUACUAUAUGAGGGCUUUUACCCUGGGAAAAAUCGUGGGCAAGCUUACAGGACGAAACUCCGCCGCCAAGAGGCGGAACCUUGGAAGAACAAUCUAGGGCUCUAGCAGAGCUGUUCUGCCGGGGACACUUCCCUCCGGGAGGGGGAAAUCAUCACCAACAUCAUCACCAACGAUCCUCUCAUUGGAGGGGGUCAAUCUCCAUCAACAUCUUCACCAGCACGAUCUCCUCAUCUCUUGUAUCCAAUCUUGUAUCAAGACCACAAAUUGGUACCUGUGGGUUGCUAGUAGUGUUGAUUACUCCUUGUAGUUGAUGCUAAUUGGUUUACUUGGUGGAAGAUUAUAUGUUCAGAUCCUUUAUGCACAUUAUUACUCCUCUGAUUAUGAACAUGAAUAUGCUUUGUGAGUAGUUAUGUCUGUUCCUGAGGACAUGGGUGAAGUCUUGCUAUUAGCAGUCAUGUGAAUUUGGUAUUCGUUCGAUAUUUUGAUGAGAUGUAUGUUAUCUUUUCCUCUAGUGGUGUUAUGUGAACAUCGACUACAUGACACUUCACCAUUAUUUGGGCCUAGAGGAAGGCAUAGGGAAGUAAUAAGUAGAAGAUGGGUUGCUAGAGUGACAAAAGCUUAAACCCUAGUUUAUGCGUUGCUUCGUUAGGGGCUGAUUUGGAUCCAUAGGUUUAAUGCUGUGGUUAGGUUUACCUUAAUACUCCUUUUGUAGUUGCGGAUGCUUGCAAUAGGGGGUAAUCAUAAGUGGGAUGCUUGUCCAAGUAAGGGCAGUACCCAAGCACCGGUCCACCCACAUAUCAAAUUAUCAAAGUACCGAACGCGAAUCAUAUGAAUGUGAUGAAAACUAGCUUGACGAUAAUUCCCAUGUGUCCUCGGGAGCUCCUUUCUCAUUAUUUGAAAUUGUCCAGGCUUAUCCUUUGCUACAUAAAGGAUUGGGCCAUCUUGCUGCAUUUUAUUUACUUUAUUUACUUGUUACUCGUUCCUAUUUAUCUUAUCACAAAACUAUCUAUCACCUACAAUUUUAGUGUUUGCAGAGAAAACCUUACUGAAAACCUCUUAUAAUUUCCUUCUACUCCUCGUUGGGUUCGACACUCUUACUUAUCGAAAGGACUAUGAUAGAUCCCCUUGACUUGUGGGUCAUCAAGUGUCACUAGUAUGCCUCUACUUGACUAGCUCGUUGAUCAAAGAUGGUUGCGUUUCCUAGCCAUAGAAAUGAGUUGUCAUUUGAUUAACGGGAUCACAUCAUUAGGAGAAUGAUUUGAUUGACUUCACCCAUUCUGUUAGCUUAGCACUUGAUCGUUUAGUAUGUUGCUAUUGCUUUCUUCAUGACUUAUACAUGUUCCUAUGACUAUGAGAUUAUGCAACUCCCGUUUACCGGAGGAACACUUUGUGUGCUACCAAACGUCACAAUGUAACUGGGUGAUUAUAAAGGAGCUCUACAGGUGUCUCCGAAGGUACAUGUUGAGUUGGCGUAUUUCGAGAUUAGGAUUUGUAACUCUGAUUGUCGGAGAGGUAUCUCAGGGCCCUCUCAGUAAUGAACAUCACUAUAAGCCUUGCAGGCAAUGUGACUAAUGAGUUAGUUGCAGGAUGAUGCAUUACAUAACGAGUAAAGAGACUUGCCGGUAACGAGAUUGAACUAGGUAUUGAGAUACCGACGAUCGAAUCUCGGGCAAGUAACAUACCGAUGACAAAGGGAACAAUGUAUGUACUUAUGCUGUUUGACCGAUAAAGAUCUUCAUUGAAUAUGUGGGAACCAAUAUGAGCAUCCAGGUUCCGCUAUUAGUUAUUGACAGGAAACGUGUCUCGGUCAUGUCUACAUAGUUCUCAAACCUGUAGUGUUCGCACGCUUAAAGUUUGGCGACAAUCGAUAUUAUGAGUUUUUGUGUUUUGAUGUACCGAAGGUAGUUCGGAGUCCCGGAUAUGAUCACAGACAUGACGAGGAGUCUUGAAAUGGUCAAGACGUAAAGAUCGAUAUAUUGUAUGACAAUAUUCGGACACCGGAAUGGUUUCCGAAGGUUUCAGGCCUGGCGGUUUAUUGCGCAUCAUGGGCCCAAGUGGAGAAGAGGAGGGGUGGCCAGGGCAGGACGCGUGCCCCCUCCCCCUCUAGUCCGAAUUGGACAAGGAGGGGGGCGGCGCCCCCCUUUCCUUCCUCUCUCUCUCUCUCUUUCCUUCGUCUCCUACUACUACAAGGAAAGGAGGAGUCCUACUCCCGGUGGGAGUAGGACUUCCCCCUUCGCGCGCCCUCCUCCUGGCCAGCCACCUCCCCCCUUGCUCCUUUAUAUACGUGGGCAGGGGGCCACGUCUAGACACAACAAUCGAUCAUUGAUCUCUUAGCCGUGUGCGGUGCCCCCCUCCACCAUAUUCCACCUCGGUAAUAUCGUAGCGGUGCUUAGGCGAAGCCCUACGUCGGUAGGAUCAUCAACACCGUCAUCACGUCGUCGUGCUGAUGGAACUCUCCCACAAAGCUCUACCGGAUCGGAGUUCGUGGGACAUCAUUGAGCUAAACGUGUGCUGAACUCGGAGGUGUCGUACGUUCGGUACUUGAUCGGUCGGAUUGUGAAGACGUACGACUGCAUCAACCGUGUUGUGCUAAUGCUUCCGCUUUUGGUCUACGAGGGUACAUGGAAAACACUCUCCCUCUCGUUACUAUGCAUCGCCAUGAUCUUGCGUGAGCGUAGCAAUUUUUUUGAAAUUACUACGUUCCCCAACAAUGGCAUUCAAGCCUGGUUUUACGCGUAGAUGUUACAUGCACGAGUAGAACACAAGUGAGUUGUGGGCGAUACAAGUCAUACUGCUUACCAGGAUGUCAUACUUUGGUUUGGCGGUAUUGUUGGAUGAAGCAACGCAGACCGACAUUAUGCGUACGCUUACGCGAGACUGGUUCUACCGACGUGCUUUGCACAUAGGUGGCUGGCGGGUCUCAGUUUCUCCAACUUUAGUUGAACCGAGUGUGGCUACGCCCGGUCCUUGAGAAGGUUAAAACAACACUAACUUGACGAAAUAUCGUUGUGGUUUUGAUGCGUAGGUAAGAACGGUUCUUGCUCAGCCCGUACCAGCCACGUAAAACUUUCAACAACAAAGUAGAGGACGUCUAACUUGUUUUUGCAGGGCAUGUUGUGAUGUGAUAUGGUCAAGACAUGAUGCUAAAUUUUAUUGUAUGAGAUGAUCAUGUUUUGUAACAAAGUUAUCGACAAUUGGCAUGAGCCAUAUGGUUGUCGCUUUCUUGUAUGCAAUGCAAUCGCCCUGUAAUUGCUUUACUUUAUCACUAAGCGGUAGCGAUAAUUGUAGAAGCAAUAGUUGGCAAGACGACAAUGAUGCUAUGGAGAUCAAGGUGUCGCACCGGUGACGAUGGUGAUCAUGACGGUGCUUCAGAGAUGGAGAUCACAAGCACAAGAUGAUGAUGGCCAUAUCAUAUCACUUAUAUUGAUUGCAUGUGAUGUUUAUCCUUUAUGCAUCUUGUUUUGCUUGAUUGACGGUAGCAUUAUAAGAUGAUCUCUCACUAAAUUUCAAGGUAUAAGUGUUCUCCCUGAGUAUGCACCGUUGCGAAAGUUCUUCGUGCUGAGACACCAUGUGAUGACCAGGUGUGAUAAGCUCUAUGUUCAAAUACAACGGCUGUAAGACAGUUUUACACAUGCAGAAUACUCAGGUUAAACUUGACGAGCCUAGCAUAUAUAGAUAUGGCCUCGGGACACUGAGACCGAAAGGUCGAGUGUGAAUCAUAUAGUAGAUAUGAUCAACAUAGUGAUGUUCACCAUUGAAAACUACUCCAUCUCACGUGAUGAUCGGACAUGGUUUAGUUGAUUUGGAUGACGUGAUCACUUAGAUGAUUAGAGGGAUGAUCUGAGUGGGAGUUCUUAAGUAAUAUGAUUAAUUGAACUUUAAUUUACCAUGAACUUAGUACCUGGUAGUAUUUUUGCUUGUCUAUGUUAUUGUAGAUAGAUGGCCCGUGCUGUUGUUCCGUUAAAUUUUAAUGCGUUCCUUGAGAAAGCUAACUUGAAAGAUGAUGGUAGCAAUUACACGGACUGGGUCCGUAACUUGAGUAUUAUCCUCAUUACUGCAUAGUAGAAUUACGUCCUGGAAGCACCGCUGGGUGCCAGGCCUACUGCAGAUGCAACUGACGACGUUAAGAAUGUCUGGCAGAGCAAACCUGAUGACUACCCGAUAGUUCAGUGUGCCAUGCUUUACGGCUUAGAACCGGGACAUCAACGACGUUUUGAACGUCAUGGAGGAUAUGAGAUGUUCCAGGAGUUGAAGUUAAUAUUUCAAGAAAAUGCCCGAAUUGAGAGAUAUGAAGUCUCCAAUAAGUUCUAUAGCUGCAAGAUGGAGGAGAAUAGUUCUGUCAGUGAACAUAUACUCAAAAUGUCUGGGUAUAAUAAUCACUUGAUUCAACUGGGAGUUAAUCUUCCUGAUGAUAGUAUCAUUGAAACAAUUCUUCAAUCACUGCCACCAAGCUAUAAGAGCUUCGUGAUGAACUAUAAUAUGCAAGGGAUGAAAAAGACUAUUCCCGAGCUCUUCACGAUGCUAAAAUCUGCGGAGGUAGAAAUCAAGAAGGAGCAUCAAGUGUUGAUGGUCAACAAGACCACCAGUUUCAAGAAAAAGGGUAAAAGAAAAAGAAGGGGAACUUCAAGAAGAACGGCAAGCAAGUUGCCGUUCAGGAGAAGAAACCCAAGUCUGGACCUAAGCCUGAGACUGAGUGCUUCUACUACAAAGGGACUGGUCACUUGAAGCGGAACUACCCCAAGUAUUAGGAGGAUAAAAAGGAUGGCAAGGUGAACAAAGUUAUAUGUGAUAUACAUGGUAUUGAUGUGUACCUUACUAAUGCUCACAGUAGCACAUGGGUAUUUGAUACUAGGUUUGUUGAUGAUAUUUGCAACUCGAAAGAAGGACUACGGAUUAAGCGAAGAUUGGCUAAGGACGAGGUGACGAUGCGCAUGGGAAAUGGUUCCAAAGUCGAUGUGAUCGUGGUCGGCACGCUACCUUUACAUCUACCUUCGGGAUUAGUUUUAGACCUGAAUAAUUGUUAUUUGGUGCCAGCUUUAAGCAUGAACAUUAUAUUGUUGGAAAUAUGCCUUAGAGGCAAUAAUAAAAGUAUUAUUAUUAUUAUAUUUCCUUGUUCAUGAUAAUUGUCUUUUAUUCAUGCUAUAAUUUUAUUAUCCGGAAAUCGUAAUACACGUGUGAAUACAUAGACCACAAUACGUCCCUAGUAAGCCUCUAGUUGACUAGCUCGUUGAUCAACAGAUAGUCAUGGUUUCCUGACUAUGGACAUUUGGAUGUCGUUGAUAACGGGAUCACAUCAUUAGGAGAAUGAUGUGAUGGACAAGACCCAAUCCUAAGCAUAGCACAAGAUCAUGUAGUUCGUUUUGCUAGAGCUUUUCCAAUGUCAAGUAUCUCUUCCUUAGACCAUGAGAUCGUGUAACUCCCGGAUACCGUAGGAGUGCUUUGGGUGCACCAAACGUCACAACGUAACUGGGUGACUAUAAAGGUGCACUACAGGUAUCUCCGAAAGUGUCUGUUGGGUUGACACGGAUCGAGACUGGGAUUUGUCACUCCAUAUGACGGAGAGGUAUCUCUGGGCCCACUCGGUAAUGCAUCAUCAUAAUGAGCUCAAAGUGACCAAGUGUUUGGUCACGGGAUCAUGCAUUAUGGUACGAGUAAAGUGACUUGCCUAUAACGAGACUGAACGAGGUAUUGGGAUACCGACGAUCGAGUCUCGGGCAUGUAACGUACCGAUUGACAAAGGGAAUAGUAUACGGGGUUGAUUGAAUCCUCGACAUCGUGGUUCAUCCGAUGAUUUCAUCGAGGAGCAUGUGGGAGCCAACAUGGGUAUCCAGAUCCCGCUGUUGGUUAUUGACCGGAGAGCCGUCUCGGUCAUGUCUGCACGCCUUAUGAACUGUGGCAAGAAACCAAAGUUGUCAUUUCUUAAUGCUUAUGUGAAAACCUUCAACCUGUUAAGCUCGAACCCAAAUCGGAGAAAUGCGUCUUCAUAAGAUACCCAAAGGAGACUAUUGGGUACACCUGCUAUCACAGAUCCGAAGGCAAGACUUUUGUUGCUAAAGUUGGAUCCUUUCUAGAGAAGGAGUUUCUCUUGAAAGAAGUGAGUGGGAGGAAAGUAGAACUUGAUGAGGUAACUGUACCUGCUCCCUUAUUGAAAAGUAGUUCAUCACAGAAACCGGUUCCUAUGACGCCUACACCAAUUAGUGAGGAAGCUAAUGAUAUUGAUCAUGAAACUUUAGAUCAAGUUAAUACCAAACCUCGUAGGUCAAACAGAGUAACAUCCGCACCAGAGUGGUACCGUAAUCCUAUUCUGGAGGUCAUGUUACUUGACCAUGGCGAACCUACGAACUAUGAGGAAGCGAUGAUGAGCCCAGAAUCCGCAAAAUGGCUUGAGGCCAUGAAAUCUGAGAUGGGAUCCAUGUAUGAGAACAAUGUAUGGACUUUGGUUGACUUGCCCGAUGAUCGGCAAGCCAUCAAAAAUAAAUGGAUCUUCAAGAAGAAGACUAAAGUUGAUGGUAAUGUUACUAUCUACAAAUCUCGACUUGUUGCGAAAGGUUUUCGACAAGUUCAAGGGGUUGACUAUGAUGAGACUUUCUCACCCGUAGUGAUGCUUAAGUCUGUCCGAAUCAUGUUAGCAAUUGCCGCAUUUUAUGAUUAUGAAAUUUCGCAAAUGGAUGUCAAAACUGCAUUCCUGAAUGGAUUUUUGGAAGAAGAGUUGUAUAUGAUGCAACCAGAACGUUUUGUCAAUCCAAAAGGUGCUAACAAAGUGUGCAAGCUCCAGCAAUCCAUUUAUGGACUGGUGCAAGCCUCUCGGAGUUGGAAUAAGCGUCUUGAUAGUGUGAUCAAACCAUAUGGUUUAUACAGACUUCUGGAGAAGCCUGUAUUUACAAGAAAGUGAGUGGGAGCUCUGUAGCAUUUCUGAUAUUAUAUGGAGACGACAUAUUGUUGAUUGGAAAUGAUAGAGAAUUUCUGGAUAGCAUAAAAGGAUACUUGAAUAAAAGUUUUUCAAUGAAAGACCUCGGUGAAGAUGCUUAUAUAUUGGGUAUCAAGAUCUAUAGAGAGAGAUCAAGACACUUAAUUGGACUUUCACAAAGCACAUACCUUGAUAAAGUUUUGAAAAAGUUCAAAAUGGAUCAAGCAAAGAAAGGGUUCUUGCCUGUAUUACAAGGUGUGAAGUGGAGUCAGACUCAAUGUCCGACCACUGCAGAAGAUAGAGAGAAAAUGAAAGAUGUUCCCUAUGCUUCAGCCAUAGGCUCUAUCAUGUAUGCAAUGCUGUGUACAAGACCUGAUGUGUACCUUGCUAUUAGUUUAGCAGGGAGGUACCAUAGUAAUCCAGGAGUGGAUCACUGGACAGCGGUCAAGAAUAUCCUGAAAUACCUGAAAAGGACUAAGGAUAUGUUUCUCGUUUGUGGAGGUGACAAAGAGCUAGUCGUAAAUGGUUACGUCGAUGCAAGCUUUGACACUGAUCCGGACGAUUCUAAAUUGCGAACCGGAUAUGUGUUUAUAUUGAACGGUGGAUCUGUCAGUUGGUGCGGUUCUAAACAAAGCGUCGUGGCGGGAUCUACGUGUGAAGCGGAGUACAUAGCUGCUUCGGAAGCAGCAAAUGAAGGAGUCUGGACGAAGGAGUUCAUAUCCGAUCUAGGUGUCAUACCUAGUGCAUCGGGUCCAAUGAAAAUCUUUUGUGACAAUACUGGUGCAAUUGCCCUGGCAAAGGAAUCCAGAUUUCACAAGACAACCAAGCACAUCAAGAGAUGCUUCAAUUCCAUCCGGGACCAAGUCCAGGUGGGAGACAUAGAGAUUUGCAAGAUACAUACAGAUCUGAAUGUUGCUGACUCGUUGACUAAGCCUCUUCCACGAGCAAAACAUGACCAGCACCAAGGCACCAUGGGUGUGAAAAUCAUUACUGUGUAAUCUAGAUUACUUACUCUAGUGCAAGUGGGAGAAUGAAGGAAAUAUGCCCUAGUGGCAAUAAUAAAGUUAUUAUUUAUUACCUCAUAUCAUGAUAAAUGUUUAUUAUUCAUGCUAGAAUUGUAUUAACCGGAAACAUAAUACAUGUGUGAAUACAUAGACAAACAUAGUGUCACUAGUAUGCCUCUACUUGACUAGCUUGUUGAUCAAAGAUGGUUGUGUUUCCUUGCCAUAGACAUGAGUUGUCAUUUAAUUAGCGGGAUCACAUCAUUAGGAGAAUGAUGUGAUUGACUUGACCCAUUCCGUUAGCUUAGCACUUGAUCAUUUAGUAUGUUGCUACUGCUUUCUUCAUAACUUAUACAUGUCCCUAUGACUAUGAGAUUAUGCAACUCCCGUUUACCGGAGGAACACUUUGUAUGCUACAAAACGUCACAACAUAACUGGGUGAUUAUAAAGGAGCUCUACAGGUGUCUCCGAAGGUACAUGUUGAGUUGGCGUAUUUCGAGAUUAGGAUUUGUCACUAUGAUUGUCGGAGAGGUAUCUCUAGGCCCUCUCAGUAAUGCACAUCACUAUAAGCCUUGCAAGAAAUGUGACUAAUGAGUUAGUUGCGGGAUGAUGCAUUACAUAACGAGUAAAGAGACUUGCCGGUAAUGAGAUUGAACUAGGUAUUGAGAUACCGAUGAUCGAAUCUCGGGCAAGUAACAUACCGAUGACAAAGGGAACAACGUAUGUAGUUAUGCGGUUUGACCGAUAAAGAUCUUCGUAGAAUAUGUGGGAACCAAUAUGAAAUCUAGUUUCCGCUAUUGGUCAUUGACCGGAAGCGUGUCUCGGUCAUGUCUACAUAGUUCUCGAACCCGUAGGGUCCGCACGCUUAAAGUUUGGUGACGAUUAUGAGUUUUUGUGUUUUGAUGUACCGAAGGUAGUUCGGAGUCCCAGAUAUGAUCAUGGCAUGACGUGGAGUCUCGAAAUGGUCGAGACGUAAAGAUCGAUAUAUUGGAUAACUAUGUUCGGACACCGGAAUGGUUUCGGAAGGUUUCGGCAUAUACCGGAGUACCGGGGGGUUACCAGAACCCCCCCUCCCUCGGGGGGGGGGGGGGUUAUUGGGCCACAUGGGUCCUAGUAGAGAAGAGGAGCGGCGGCCAGGGCAGGCCGCGCGCCCCCUCCCCCUCUAGUCUGAAUUAGACAAGGAGGGGGGCGGCGCCCCCUUUCCUUCCUCUCUCUCUCUCUCUUUCCCCCUUCUCCUACUACUACAAGGAAAGGAGUAGGACUCCCCCCUUGCUCCUUUAUAUAUGGGGGCAGGGGGGCACCUCUAGACACAAAAAUCGAUCAUUGAUCUCUUAGCCGUGUGCGGUGCCCCCCUCCACCAUAUUCCACCUCGGUAAUAUCCUAGUGGUGCUUAGACAAAGCCCUGCGUCGGUAGCAUCAUCAACACCGUCAUCACGCCGUCGUGCUGACGGAACUCCCCCGCAAAGCUCUGCUGGAUCGGAGUUCGUGGGACGUCAUCGAGCUGAACGUGUGCUGAACUCUGAGGUGUCAUACGUUCGGUACUUGAUCGGUCGGAUCAUGAAUACGUACGACUACAUCAACCGCGUUGCGCUAAUGCUUCCGCUUUCGGUCUACGAGGGUAUGUGGACAACACUCUCCCCUCUCGUUGCUAUGCAUCACCAUGAUCUUGCCUGUGCGUAGGAAGUUUUUUGAAGUACUACGUUCCCCAACAGCACUCAGUUUCAGGCUUAGGUCCAAACUUGGGUUUCUUCUCUUGAGCAGCAACCUUUUUGCCGUUCUUUUUGAAGUUCCCUUUCUUCCCUUUGCCCAUUUUCCUGAAACUAGUGGUCUUAUUGACCAUCAAUACUUGAUGCUCCUUCUUGAUUUAUACCUCCGCGGCCUUUAGCAUCGCGAAGAGCUCGGGAAUAGUCUUGUUCAUCCCUUGCAUAUUAUAGUUCAUCACGAAGUUGUAGCUUGGUGGCAGUGAUUGAAGAACUCUGUCAAUGACACUAUCAUCAAGAAUAUUAACUCCUAGUUGAGUCAAGUGGUUGUCGUACCCAGACAUUCUGAGUAUGUGUUCACUGACAGAACUAUUCUCCUCCAUUUUACAGCUGUAGAACUUAUUGGAGACUUCAUAUCUCUCAAUUCAUGCAUUUUCUUGAAAUAUUAACCUCAACUCCAUGACAUUCAAAGAGUCGUUGAACUCCUGGUUCUAGGCCGUAAAGAAUGGCACACUGAACUAUCGAGUAGUCAUCAACACGCAUCUGCAAGGCAUUCACAAUGUCUGCAGUCAUGGGCGCGGAUGGUACACCUAACGGUGCUUCCAGGACGUAAUUCUUCUAUGCAGCAAUGGGGAUAAUCCUCAAGUACGGACCCAGUCUGUGUAGUUGCUGCCAUCAUCUUUCAACUUAGCUUUCUCUGGGAAUGCAUUAAAAUUCAAAGGAACGGUAGCACGGGCCAUUGAUCUACAACAACAUAGACAUGCAAAAUACUAUCAGGUACUAAGUUCAUGAUAAAUUAAAGUUCAAUUAAUCAUAUUACUUAAGAACUCCCACUUAGAUAGACAUCCCUCUAAUCAUCUAAGUGAUCAUGUGAUCCAAAUCAACUAAACCAUGUCCGAUCAUCACGUGAGAUGGAGUAGUUUUCAAUGGUGAACAUCACUAUGUUGAUCAUAUCUACUAUAUGAUUCAUGCCCGACCUUUCGAUCUCAGUGUUCCGAGGCCAUAUCUGCAUAUGCUAGGCUCGUCAAGUUUAACCCGAGUAUUCUGCGUGUGCAAAACUGGCUUGCACCCGUUGUAUGUGAACAUAGAUCUUAUCACACCCGAUCAUCAUGUUGUGUCUCGGCACGACGAACUGUAGCAACACUGCAUACUCACGGAGAACACUUGUACCUUGAAAUUAAGUAAGGGAUCAUCUUAUAAUGCUACGAACGUUCUAAGCAAAAUAAGAUGCAUAAAGGAUAAACAUCACAUGCAAUCAUAAUAUGUGACAUGAUAUGGCCAUCAUCACCUUGUGCUCAUGAUCUCUAACGUCACCGGCAUGACACCUUGAUCUCCAUCGUAGCAUCAUUGUCGUCCCGCCACCUAUUGUUACUACGACUAUCGCUACCGCUUAGUGAUAAAGUGAAACAAUUACAUGGCGAUUGCAUUGCAUACAAUAAAGCGACAACAAUAUGGCUCCUGCUAGUUGCCGAUAACUUUGUUACAAAACAUGAUCAUCUCAUACAACAAUUUAUAUCACAUCAUGCUUGACCAUAUCACAUCACAGCAAGCCUGCAAAAACAAGUUAGAUAUCCUCUACUUUGUUGUUGCAAGUUUUACGUGGCUGCUACGGGCUUCUAGCAAGAAUCGUUCUUACCUAGGCAUCAAAACCACAACGAUUUUUCAUCAAGUGUGUUGUUUUAACCUUCAACAAGGACCGGGCGUAGCCACACUCGAUUCAACUAAAGUUGGAGAAACAGAUACUCACCAGCCACCUAUGUGCAAAGCACGUCGGUAGAACCAGUCUCGCGUAAGCGUACGUGUAAUGUUGGUCUGAGCCGCUUCGUCCAACAAUACUCGCUGAAUCAAAGUAUGACAUGCUGGUAAGCAGUAUGACUAUUAUCACCCACAACACUUUGUGUUCUACUCGUGCAUAUAACAUCUACGCAUAGACCUGGCUCAGAUGCCACUAUUGGGGAACACAGUAAUUUUUAAAAAUUCCUACGAUCACGCAAGAUCUAUCUAUGUGAUGCAUAGCAACGAGAGGGGUGAGUGUGUCCACGUACCCUCGUAGACCGAAAGCGGAAGCGUUAUGACAACGCAGUUUAUGUAGUCGUACGUCUUCACGAUCCGAACGAUCUUAGCACCGAACGCACGGCACCUCCGCGAUCAGCACACGUUUUGCUUGGGGACGUCCCUCAUACUCUUGAUCCAGUUGAUGCUGAGGGAGAGUUUCGUCAUCACAACGGCAUGGUGACGGUGAUAAUGAAGUUACCGGCGCAGGGCUUCGCCUAAGCACUAUGACAAUAUGACCGAGGUGUGUAACUAUGGAGGGGGGCACCGCACACGGCUAAACAAUUUCAACUUGUGUGUCCUAGGGUGCCCCCUGCCCCCGUAUAUAAAGGAGCAAGGGGGAGGCUGGCCGGACCUUGGGCGUGCCAAGGUGGGGAGGAGUCCUCCUCCUAGUAGGAGUAGGACUCCCCCUUUCCUAGUCCAACUAGGAGGGGGAAGGGGGAAGGAAGGAGAGGGAGAGGGAGAGGGAAAGAGGGGCUGGGCCCUCCUCCCCUAGUUCAAUUCAAACUCCCCUUGCGGGGGGCGCCACCUCCUGGGCAGCUGCCCUCUCUCUUCCCUAAGGCCCACUAAGGCCUAAUACUUCCCCGGGGGGUUCCGGUAACCCCUCCGACACUCCGGUUUUCUCCAAAAUCACUCGGAACACUUCCGGUGUCCGAAUAUAGCCGUCCAAUAUUUCAAUCUUUAUGUAUCGGCUAUUUCGAGACUCCUCGUCAUGUCUGUGAUCACAUCUGGGACUCCGAACUACCUUCGGUACAUCAAAACACAUAAACUCAUAAUACCAAUCGUCAUCGAACGUUAAGCAUGCGGACCCUACGGGUUCAAGAACUAUGCAGACAUGACCGAGCCACGUCUCCGGUCAAUAACCAAUAGCGGAACCUAGAUGCUCAUAUAGGUUCCUACUUAUUCUAUGAAUAUCUUUAUCAGUCAAACUGCAUAACGACAUACGUUGUUCCCUUUGUCAUCGGUAUGUUACUGGCCCAAGAUUCGAUCGUCGGUAUCUCAAUACCUAGUUCAAUCUCGUUACGGCAAGUGUCUUUACUCAUUCCAUAAUACUUCAUCCCGCAACUAACUCAUUAGUUACAAUACUUGCAAGGCUUAUAGUGAUGAGUAUUACCGAGAGGGCCCAGAGAUACCUCUCCAAAACACGGCGUAUCAGUUAUCUUUAUCGUUUCCUAAUAAUAAAGUGGUUGUCGCUUCUGGUCGUACGUUAUUGGCAUUUUUGUAGAAAAGUCCCUCUAUUUUUGGGAAUUCAACCCAGAGUCCUAUUUGAAGUGGGUAUACGAGAAAAUGUUUCAUUUUUGCAAACCUAGUCGUUAUUUGUAUUUAACCCGCGAUCCUUUAUUCAAAAAAAAGCAUCUUCCUCUCGUCUUAUCCCUAGCGCCCAUUCUGUCAUGCGCUAGCGACCUUUGUGCCUCGCGUGGGAGGAUGGAAGAUGCCUCACCGGGGUUUGCGCUAGGGUGAGGGAUGGUACAGGGAACGACUUCUGCCACACGAUGAGGUAGAGCAGGUCGACAUGGAGGCUCGAGCACUAGGGGGCAUCACGGAUUCUCGAUGCAGAAAGGCGGGAGCGGCUGGAUUGGCGGCGGCGGUUGUAGCUUGCGAGCGGGAGACGAGAAGCUCACCGGAGGACGUGCCACCGCUAGCGUGGGAGGCGGCUGGCUAUAGAGGCAUGCAGGCGGCGCUAGGGCAGUGACGAUAUGAUAGUCGUCCGAGGAGGCAGGAUCAACAUGACGGGCAUGGGCGGCAUGCUGCCCGCCCGAGAUGAGGAGCAGGAGGGGGGCGUAUAUGAGGCGGUUUUUGCCGGUGGCGGCUGAGGGAGUCCUGGAUAAGGGGGUAUCCAGACAGCUGGACUAUAUGCUUUGGCCGGACUAUUGGACUAUGAAGAUACAAGAUUAAAGACUUCAUCCCGUGUCCGGAUGGGACUCACCUUGGCGUGGAAGGCAAGCUUGGUGAUUCGGAUGUAGAUCUCCUCCUCUGUAAACCGACUCUGUGUAACUCUAGCCCACUCCGGUGUCUAUAUAAACCGGAUGGUUUAGUCCGUAGGACACAACAACAAUCAUACCAUAGGCUAGCUUCUAGGGUUUAGCCUCUCUAAUCUCGUGGUAGAUCAACUCUUGUAAUACUCAUAUCAUCAAGAUCAACCAAGUAGGAAGUAGGGUAUUACCUCCAUCGAGAGGGCCCGAACCUGGAUAAACAUCGUGUCCCCAGCCUCCUGUUACCAUUAGCCUUAGACGCACAGUUCGGGACCGCCUACCCGAGAUCCACCGGUUUUGACACCCACAUUGGUGCUUUCAUUGAGAGUUCCUCUAUGUCGUCUCUAUAAAGCCCGAUGGCUUCUCCGACCUUCAAUAACGCCGUCCUGGGUGAGAUCUUCCUUCCCGGACAGAUCUUCAUGUUCAGCGGCUUCACAUUGUGGGCCAACUCGCUUGGCCAUCUGGAGCAGAUCGACAGCUACGCCCCUGGCCAUCAGAUCAGGUUUGGAAACCUAAACUACACUGCCAACAUCCGCGGGGACUUGAUCUUCGACGGAUUCGGGCCCAUGUCAGGAGCGCCGAACGAUCACGACGUGCACGACCUAGAUCUGCCAUCAUACAGUAUUCGGAACAUCGCACCUGCUAUGGCUCCAGACUUCGUUCGAGAGCAGGUCGUGCCUUCCCAGGGCGGGUGGAUGGACCCCGCCCCGGAGGCCGCAUACUCAUCGACAUUGGAGCCGAACACAGACUCCUCUCCUAAGGAGAUUUGUGUCUCCGGACUCCUGGACUUGUCUCCGGGCGUGUGUUCCGGACCGUGCACACCCGUGCCCGUUAAAUCUAAUUGGGAUCCAGUUAUGGAGUUCACCGCCGCGGAUAUCUUUCAACACUCACCCUUCGGAGACGUGCUAGAUUUAUUAAGGUCUCUCUCUUUGUCAGGAGAUUCCUGGUAGAACCAUGUUCGGCUCGAGUGGGAAGCUGGCGACGAAGAAAUUCGUUCCCCACCCACCACCCACUUAAUAGCCACGGUCGAUGACUUGACCGACGUGCUUAACUUCGAUUCCGAAGACAUCGACGGUAUAGACGACGAUGCGGGUGCAGAAUUGGAACCACCGCCCACAGGGCGCUGGACUGCCACCUCUUCAUAUGAUAUAUAUAUAUAUAUAUAUAUAUAUAUAUAUAUAUAUAUAUAUGGUGGAUACUCCCAAAGAAAACAAUGGUGAUGAGGCAACAGGAGAUAACCCCUUAGGGAAGAAAUCAAAGCAUGGACGUCACCGGCACCGCUCCAAGCCCCGCCACAGCAACACCUGCAUGAGAGAAUAAAAUCCGGAUGGUGCCGAAGAGGAAUAUGAUCCUUAUCAACCCACCUUCGAGCAAGACAAACAGGAACACGGGCAGGCCAGCCUAGACAAACAGGCGACGGACGGAUACAUGGAGGACGAUAACUAUAUGCCUCCCUCCGAAGAUGAGGUGAGCCUCGGUGACGACGAAUUCAGCGUACCAGAGGAUCCCAUAGAGCAGGAGCGCUUCAAGCGCCGGAUUAUAGCCACUGCAAGAAGCAUGAAAAAGGAACAGCAGCAGCUUCAAGCUGAUCGGAAUCUGCUCGCAGACAGACGGACUAAGGCCCGGGCAGCCAAGGAAUACGGACUCGAGCGCCGAACAAAAUACUACCCAAAGCGUAGGCUACUACCUCAAUUCGAGGAGGCGGCACUAAAAAUCAAACGCAGGCCUACACCCCGCCGACAACACACCGCGGCAAGAGGCUGUGUGCAAGACCAGCAUUACAUACCAAACAACAACAUAGCAAGCACCCCGGGCGCAUCAGCAGACAAAAACAGAGUCCGCAAACCUUGGUGCAACAAAUAUAAGUGUCCCAAGGCAAAGAAUGACGCCCAGGAAACGGCGAUCAACACAGGAACCCGUAGUCCUCAACCCGUUGAGCGGGAGAAGAGACUUCAACAUCUUAAUUCGGACCCCUCCAGCCUGAACCGCAUACUUGACCGCCCAUGUCAAAUUCAUGGUACCCAGGAGCAGCAGCCAAUCAUACCAAUAGAGAAUGCUGGGUCUUUAAACAGAUCGACAGGUCGACGACGGAAACAGCAUGAAGAGGUCCCAGGGCAAGAAGCCCAGAUUAUCAAGCUCAAGGAUCAAUCACUCGAGGAUCAGACCCACUAAAAAUCUCAUUUUGGAGUGUCAUAACUAGGCGCGAAGGCCACUUAAGGCCCCGCCACUCUGGAGAUGGUUUUCGGAUCACCCAAAAUUGCCAUACCAAAGAGCUAACUUUCGGCAUUACACCUCUAGGCAGUAGCUAUUCAGCACCGCCAAGACACACUGCGACUCGACGCAUUAUCACCCAAUGCCAACGACAAUUUAAAAACAAACCAUACCCACGUGAUGUAGUCACAAUUGCGGGCAAGACCGAGCUUUGCCUCAGCGCCGAAGAGUAUUCGGCUACUUAUUAACAGAAGCAGCGAGUCAUGGCUUUUUCAAUCGGAAUUGGUUUCGACAGCCGAACUCCCGGACACCGAUAAAGGAGUCUGAACUACUUCAUGAUACCCCAGCCUGAUCAUGGCUCAUACAGAUCCUCCAGCAUAAGUUGGACGGGUCCCAUCCCACGGCUCAGCCACUGCUCACACACACCUCUUAGCAUUAUUUGCAGGUUCGCCUUCGCGCAUAACCAGACUGGUGACUUGGAAUCAUCUCGGAUACGGACAGGGGGAAUCUCCACCCCACCGGAAUAUAAUUUGGAUAUUCCUUCGGACCCACGGACAGCUCUCCACCGCCCGGUCCCAACAGGUUCUGCCGUCAUGCCUCUCUUUUAUAACAUGCACCAUACUCAUACGCAUAGACAUAUUACUUAAAUACAACAUGUAGAGUCAUUUGACGCUUAUCUACUAUUAUUUCUCAAUGACAUUUUGUCAUAACGGCAUCCGAACAUCGUGUUAUGCCUUUGAACGCCAAGGGCUUCAUUGCACCCGUACUACAGCGACUGAAGUCCGAACACAUUCUCGGUCGUUCGGCACCCCGAACUUAUAGCAUUAUAUGCAUCAUCUCUGAAUCAUCUCUUGGGUCAUUGGUUGGGUUUUCCCGGCUCCCAUGUUUUGGUACCUUACGUUCCACAAUAUCGUCUAAGGUAGCGCUGGGAGAACUACUGUGAUUGUGUCUCAGCUCUUCCGGACGAACACCUUAGUAGAGAUAGCCGAAAACUGACUGUCAUGAUAAGACGAGAGCUGGUCAACUGUUCGAGAGGUUGUAAACUCUUUAAGGAUUUAUUCCGCAUAAUGACAUAAUAAAAUGCAGCGUGCGAAGGAUCGGUCCACCGAUCAGGCGCUAUUAGAGCCCCUCGUGCGGUCUUCAGAACACCAGGGGUUGCGCCUCCCAUACUCGAAUUCCUAUGGCUAAGUGAGAGUAAUAAAGCCCUAUAGUCUGAUUGCCUGGUUCGCUGUGCUGAACACCUCCUUCAUGGACCCAAGAAUGGGAUAAAGAGUGUUCAGGUGUAUCUUGAACACCCCCGUAGUACCUACAUGGGGGCAGAAGCCGACGACUGGCUAACUCUCAAGACUAACAUAUUAAACGGCCGCGCAGGAAUAAAAUUUACACAUAACAGUCACAUACAUAUAAGUGACUCUGUUUCGCCUUACAAAGGAUAGCACAACUGCUUUCAGGGAAAAAUAAUGUCUUUCGCACAUUGCUCAGCCACAAGGCGGGCCCCCUUAAGGACACCAUCAUAAUAUAAUUCGGGCUUGCGGUGCUCCUUCCCCUCCGGCGGCCCCUCGGUCAUUAGCUUCUCAGCAUCAAGCUUCCCCCAAUGCACUUUCGCAUGGGCGAAUGCCAUUCAUGCCCCUUCUAUGCAAAUCGACCGCUUAAUGACGUCCAACUGAGGGCAGGCACUCACAAUUCGCUUCAUGAGCCCAAAGAAACUGCUCGGUAUGGGCUCGGCGGGCCAUAAUCGGAUAACCAAAUCCUUCAUGGCUAGUUCGACCAACUGAUGCAGUUCGAUCAGCUAUUUCAGCUGGUCGAAAAAUAGCACAAGAUAAUUCGGCGCCAAAUACUGCGACCAGAAGAGCUUCUCCGCAGUUUCCUUCUUCUCAGCUCGACAAAAUUGGGCAGCAUCAGAUAUUCUGCGUGGCAGAUCCGCACAUGCCCCUGGAAAAAUUAGGAUUCAAUGGGUCACCAUGAAUCUUCCCUGCGAAGGCGUAAGGCGCUUUGAAUAAGAAAAAAACCCUUACCAGCCGCAAUCUUCCGCGCCUCCUGAAUAUCCUUCAGAGCAGCCUGGGCUUCCUCCCGAGCAUCAUUCGCGGUCUGGAGAGCUUGGCGAGUUUGGAUUCUUUCAAUGAUAGACUCUGCUCGAAACUCUCGCUUUUCUUUAUGGCCUCCUGAAGCUCUCGCUUUGCUUCCACGACCCUCGCCUCGUGCUUCUCGUGGAAAGCCUGCUCCGCGGCCGCUUUCUUUUUGGCCAAGGCAACAGCCUUCUUGAGCGCCUCAAUUUCGGCAUCUGCCCCUGGAGUGCAUGAUAUAUAUGCUUUAAGAUAGACACAACUACUUACUUGUGCUAAAACUUACUAAAGGUUUCAAAACAUACCUUGUUUAUCCUCCAGCUGCUUCUUCACUCGGCCGAGCUCCGCUUCGGCCCGCUCCAAACUCUGCUUGAGUCCGGACACCUGCGCAGUAUGAGAGGAGGCAGUCGUUGCAGAUGCCUGAUUCAUAAUUCAAUAGAUCUAUGUCAUUAGCUGAGUCUCCUGCAGACAGAGCUUUGAUCCCUUGUCCGGUUCCUGUCCUCUCCAAACAGUGCAUCAGGGGCUGCCAUCUAUACUAUCACAAUCUUCCAACAACUCCUAAAAACAUAACUCCAAGCCUUUUAUAAGGCUGAUGUAGGAUUCAUUCAGUCCACUCUCGGCGGCCUGAAUCUUUUCUAUCACCACGCCCAUAAGGGCGCGGUGUUCAUCAAUGAUGGACGCACUCUCUAGUGUUGUUGAUAGGCCGCCCGACACCUUUGGUUGGACGGAGGUCACAGGUGGAGCAGGAUCGCCCCCUCUAGUCAAGAGGGGCUUCCUGUCUGACCCCGGAGCCUUAAGGGUCUCCGGGACUGUGUCCGGCGGUGGGCCGAAUCCACGAUUGCCCCCACCGUCAACGUUCAUGGGAACCUCCGCUCUCGCAUGUCCGGCCCCCGAGGUACCCCCCCUGGCUCAGGUCCUUUUUGGAUGACACCUCAGUCUCACAACCAAGCUUAGGGGAAGGGGCCUUGGGAGGUGUCUCGCUCUCCAAGGCAUCGGAGCUCAACGAGUCCUCCGAUGAGGCCUAUUGGGCAGGAGACCUCUCCGGACUGUAAAAAGUACGGUGCAAAUCAAAAUACUACAUUCUAGUAAAGAAUUGGGAUGCAUGAAUAUGCUCGGAUUUCAUGCACUUACGAGUUUACCAAGGGCUGGGCCCUAGGAUCCCACUCCAGGAUGCUAUCAGUAGCCGUGGUGAACGCCUCGGGGAUUGAUGUUCUUCCCCUCUUAGGCGAAUCUUCCUCUAAGGAUGAGGAGGCUAUCCUUUUCUUCCUCCCCCUCGUAGGGGACUCGAGCUCCUCUUCCUCCUCAUCCUCUCCCUCCUCCUCACCUCUCCCUUCUCGUCCUCGCCGGAGGGGGGAUGGUCACUAAAAUCUUCGGACUUCGUGUCCGAAGCACCGCGAUGACGGAGACCGCUCCUGGUCUCCUUGGCCUUUUUGUUGGCCUCUUUCUUCGGCGCCUCGUAAGGCACUGGGACCAGCAUCUUCGUUAGAAGAGGUCCCGUCGGUUCUUCCGGCAGUGGGGCCGGACAAUAAAUCCGCUCUGCCUUCUUCGUCCAUCCUUGAGAUGAUCGUGGAAAAGCACGUUAAAAACAUCUCCAUCGGGACAUAUCAAUGAAACAUAUGGAUAGCCAAGACAUAAUGACGACUUACCGGACUGGCGGGGCGGGACAGUUGGUACCCGCGGUCUGCGGCAGAGUCCGGACAUGGUUUGCCGAACUUGAAGAGCACCUUCUAGAUGUCCUUGUGCGAGGAGCCGAAAAGCUCCUGAAGGGUCUAGUGCUCGGUCGGGUCAUACUCCCACAGAUCAUAGCCUCUGUGCUGACAAGGAAGAAUCAGGCGGACUAGCAUUACCUGGACCACGUCAACAAGCCUGAUGGCCUUGUCCUCCAUACCUUUGACGCGUGCCUGGAUCGCUGACAGUUCGUCAGACGACGACCAGUUCACGCCCUUCUUGGGCCAGGACGUGAGCCGCAAAGGGGCUCAAGAUCAAAACUCAGGAGCAGCGGCCCACUUUUUGCCGUGCGGCUCAGUGAUAUAGAACUGCUGUUGCUGCCACUCCUUGACGGAGUCGUUGAAAGUACCCGUCGGCCAUGUAACCUUGGGCAUCCUGCUCACCAUGGCGCCUUCGCACUCGGCAUGUUCGCCAUUCACCACUUUGGGCUUCACAUUGCAGAUCUUGAGCCCUAGCCCGAUGUGCGGCGAGAUGCAGAGAAAUGCCUCGCACACGACGAUAAACAUCGAGUUGUUGAGGAAAGAAUUGGGGGAUAGAUCGUGAAAAUCAAUCCCGUAGUAAUACAUGAUGCCGCGAACAAAAGGGUGAAGGGGAAACCCAAGCCCGCGGACGAAAUGGGGGGAAAAUGACUCUCUCAUGGGGCUCCGGAGUAGGGACGAUCUGUCCCGCCGUUGGAAGACUGUGGCCGAUUUUCUUGGCCAGAUAUCCGGCCGCCCGUAGCUUAUUAAUAUCAUUCUCCUCUCUGACAAAGGAGGCCAUCCACUUGCCUCCCGCUCCGGACAUGCUGCUGUCCUACGGAGAAGGUGAGAACUUGGGCACUGGAGCUCGAGGGUGCGACAACGGAUGAGCAAAGGAGGAAGAAGGCGUGGGUGAAAACGGGAGAUCUUUGUCCCUUUAUAAAGCCGAUGCAGAAUGUGCGCCUCCCCACUUGCCUCUUGAAAUCUCUUAUUUUCCAAGCGCCUCGAUUGAUGGCGCUGGUUGGGUUACCAUACCCGUAUUGAUGGAGACCCCGCGAUAAGGGGACACGAUCUCUUCUUUGACAAGACGAGCCAAGGAAAGUGCCUCGCGAUGUGUGCGGGAGCUGGAUGUGAAAAACGGUUCGAAUAAUUACCGAGUCACGGCGUGCUGUUGUGCUACGAAGGACUUUCAACAGAUUAGAUUCGUGGAUUAUUGUUCUCUCUACGGCGGUAUGUGAAGUGCCGGACACGUCCCUUGUGUUCAGAAUUUAUCUUGGAGUAUUCGGAGAUGGAACCCGCCUCGCAAUGCCAAAGACAAUCUACGCAUCGGACUCAUCGUCAUUGAAGCCUGGUUCAGGGGCUACUAAGGGAGUCCUGAAUAAGGGGGUAUCCGGACAGCCGAACAAUAUGCUGUUGGACUAUGAAGAUACAAGAUUGAAGACUUCGUCCCGUGUCCGGAUGGGACUCUCCUUGGCGUGGAAGGCAAGCUUGGCGAUUCGGAUUUAGAUCUCCUCCUCUGUAAACCGCAUCUGUGUAACCCUAGCCCCCUCCGAUGUCUAUAUAAACCGGAGGGUUUAGUCCGUAGGACACAACAACAAUCAUACCAUAGCUAGCUUCUAGGGAUUAGCCUCUCUGAUCUCGUGGUAGAUCAACUCUUGUAAUACUCAUAUCAUCAAGAUCAAUCAAGCAGGAAGUAGGGUAUUACCUCCAUCGAGAGGGCCCGAACCUGGGUAAACAUCGUGUCCCCAGCCUCCUGUUACAAUUAGCCUUAGACGCAUAGUUCGGGACCCCCUACCCAAGAUCCGCCGGUUUUGCACCGACAGCGGCACCGGAUGUGUCGGACUUGCGCACUCGGCCGCGGUGAAUUUUUUUUCUGAAUCCCUUUCUUCUCCGGUGUCCACUCUCGCUCGUCUCGCCGUCGCAAGAUCUCUUUGUUGUGGAAGUAGCGGAGCCGGAGCUGCGUCCCCGCUGCUCUCCCCGUCGUCGACGACCAGGUUUCUCGGCGCCCCGACAACCACUGUCGCUUGCUGCAUUGCCGGAGGCUCACUUUGCCAGGCUGCAUCAUCUUGUCGUGCUAUCGCCGACAAGAUGCAAAUGAUGGAGAUGGGGUCUCUCUAAGAGCAUUUUCAAUAUAUGAUGUAAAAUACAUCACCAAAAAGUGGGUGAAGUAAAUUUUACCUCAUUAAAAAGUGGCUAUUACAUCACCAGGUGUCGCCGUGCUCGCGUGUGCGCCGGAUGCAGGUCGCUGCUCUUGCAUGGCACGCCCACUGCAGGUCGAGCCUUACUCGCACUGCAAGCCGCCGGGCGUCAGAGGUCUACGGAAGAUGCCGCCGUUGUUGCAGUUCUUGGCGCACUGUCGUACUCCCGCUACAGCUCGCCGGGGGCCACUACAAGAAAUAUGUCAACUUGUGACCACCACUAUUGGUCACUAAAUGAUCAUAGUUUUCCAUUUGUGACCUUUUUGUGACCAAAACCAGAAGGUCAAAAGCUGACGGUCGUAAACUGACAUUUUUGACCUUCUUUGUGACAAGGACGUAGAUGUUUACGACCAAAAUAUGCCUACUUUUUUGUUUUGGUCACUAGCAGCCUCCCCAGGCCACGUAGGCAUCCGACGUGGCAAUCUGAUGUGGCACAAGAAUCAGCCUGGUCCAAUUCAGUGUUUUACAUGGGCCAAGCCCAUUAAUUCAGCCCAUUUAUAUUUUUGCUUCCUCUGAAUUUUAUUUAGCUUCAUGAACCAAGCCCAACAGCCAUUUAUUCUUUUGGGCCCGCCUUUUACAGUAUACAUUUUUUUGGGCCUUGGCGUUUUUCCAGCCCACUUGUCAGUUUUCUUUUAUUUCUUUCUCAUUUUAAAUUAGGUCGCCAGGAUCACUCUUUCUGUACCACACGUUAGUUCUAUAUUUGUGCAAUUAGAUAACUUUAUUCAAAAAGAGCCAAUAAGGCAUAAUAUUUCAUACAACAUACAAGCAAAGUAAAUUACAAUGAUACAGAUAACUGGUCCAGUGAGCUAAAACGCAUUGUUGGUAACAGUACAAAUCUGGUUUUCAGCUAAAAUACAAAUCUGGUAACAGUGAGAUAACAGUACAAAUCUGGUAUUUAGCUAAAAUACAACUAAAUAAACAGAUAACUAGUCCAGUGAGCUAAACGCAUUGCUGGGUGUGGAUUUUCUUCAAGAUUCUUCUUCCUAGAGCUCCAACUUCUGAAGACUGGAGGCCAGCAUCUGCACAUAAUAAAUUAUGAUAAGUUAGAAACAUAAUCAAGUGAAUCCGUGAAUAUAAAAUUUUCAUAACGAUGAAAAAUUGCUGCUAAACUUUAGAUUUAACAGGAAACAAUGCAUAUCACAUUCUCAUAAUAGCAACACGGAGAUAUAUUUUGCAAAUGAUGGACAAUACAAGUACAAGCCACAAGCAAAUGAUUUUCCACUUUAGAACAGGGCACAUGCAUCAAUGUUUAUAGUUCGGAACAAAGAAGACACUGGUGGAAGAGGCCAAAGAGAUGUAAUACCCUGGGUUGGCCGAAGAUGGUGAAAUGAUGGUCUGCUUGUUCUUAGAUAGCUCAAGGAGCACCUGAUAUCAAAAAAUAGGCGUUUAAAGGAAAAAUAACCUGAUUGUAGGCUCCAAUCAGCCUGCAUACAACAAGUAAUAAAACUGUUAGGAGAGAGCAUACAGUUACCAGCAGCAUGCAUAAAACAACUUUGAUGAUGUAAUAUUUCCUAAAAAUGGCAGGCCAGGUUUCAAGUAUAAACGACUAAUGGAGCAUGCAACAAAUGUAUUUGAUACCAACUUAACUAAUUCCACAUGAGUCUUGUACGUUCCAAUAUACACGAUCACUCCAAGAUCAAGCUUAUUCAGCCAAUAAAAUAAAGAGGAUUUAAUGGGCCAAUGGGUACAAAUCGACCCAAAAAAUCCCAGCAGAAGAUAAUGCACAAAAAUAAUCAACAUUCCUCAUAAGCAAGUUGAAUUAAUCAUUUAAUCCCAACAUUUAGCUACCACAGUACAUAACAUCACACAAUUAAAGAAGAAUGUUCGACAGUUCAAGACUUUCAGGAAAAUAAAUAAGAAAGGGAUUGCACAGUCGAACUGGUACUAUGCAUAAAUGGUAAUCUAACUCGGCACACAUUGGAACAGAGCUGCUCAGGCAAUGAACCGAGGGACUCCAUAAAAUGGUAAUGGUACUUCUCCUAGCAAACCUACUCAUUACACAAUUAUUUGGUGAUACAUUCAAUCUGGUUAAGAACCAAACAACCAAAUGCGGAUCGUUCUUGAAUAGAGACAGAGAAUGUAUGCAACAAAGUAUCAUUCUACUCUAUCAUAGGGAGCAGCACUAGCACAAGAUACCAAGUGAGAUAUCCAUGUGUUACAAUAAAGCAUGGACUAUCCCUUUUCAUAAUUUGCUAAUGAAUCAGUUACCCACUAUACAACACAAUGGUAGAAUUUGUAUACAAUUGUUUCUCCAUGAAAUAUCAUCCUACCUUACCCAGUAUCUAGAAUUUAGCAUCAGGCAAGCCAAAGAUUGCAGUCAGACACCCUGACACGACAAGCGACCCUAAUUGUACAACAACUCAAGUCAAGCAGACACAAUAAUACGGCAUCACCAAUCAUGUCAACCCUCACCAAACUGAAUCCUACUGAGAUGAGCCAACAGAACAACACCAUGAAAUUAAAAAAAUAUGCGAUACGCCGAGGACGAUGGCAGAAUCCGAUGGCCUCACAUGUUCCCCCAUCGGCAUGACGAGCCUGGCGUCGCACUCGCGGCUGCGUGUGAUACAGUGCAGCCACCAGCGGGUGCGGGGUGAGGUUGAUUUGUGUGCCGUGGCAUACCUCUGAAAAGUGUUUUUCAGGAGAUGUGAGGCACCAGAUAGAAAUCUUGAGCAUCCUUGCAAACUGGCUGCCGCAGUACUGCUUCAUGUCCUACAACAGCAGCAGCAGCAACAAGAACAAACGCUUCAGUUCACCAGUUGGUCCGUGAGUCGGAUACUUGACAGAUAUACUGUAUAUUGCUACUAUUAGUCAAGACACAAAAGAGGUGAUAAUUAAUAAAAUAUAUGUACGCACUAUGUUAAACCAUUAAAUGGGUGAUUAGUAAGGGAUGGUAAAAUAUUUGCAGAUUUCACAUUAGUGGACUGCUUGCACGCUGACAAGAGCAACUGUAUUCUUAGUGAAAAUUGAACUUGGGGUUUGACAAAUCAAACAACAGACAUCAAUGACAACUGAAGCACUUGAGUUCUUUUAUAUUCUCAAAGACAGCAGAAAACACACAAAUUAGUACAAAUAUAUUAUGCUUAGCCAGUGCUAAGAAUUCAAGUGUUGCACAGUAAUAGACCCACCCCUCCCCUAAUAAGUAAUGCUUUUGAAAUGGCUGAUUAGUCAGAGAUGGUUAAGUAAUUGCGUUCACUGCUAUUGAAUUGCUUACACUGUAAUGAGAGCAAAAGUAUUCUACUAGUAAUGUACAGUAUAUUAGUAUAUUAUGCUUGUCAAGUGUUACAGGCUUCACAUUUUAAGCAUUUUGCAGUAAUUUAUCGCCCUACUGUCCCUCAAAUAACUAGUUAACCAAAGAUGGCUAAUAACCAGCAGAUUUGCCAUUAUUGAAUAGCUUACACUGCUGUAGUUAUGACCAGCAGUAUUUCUAGUGAAAACUGAACUUGGAACAUUUGACAAAUCCCAAGGCCAGAAUCCAGAAAUCAUGAUCGGAGCAAAAAAGGCCUAAAAGUGNNNNNNNNNNNNNNNNNNNNNNNNNNNNNNNNNNNNNNNNNNNNNNNNNNNNNNNNNNNNNNNNNNNNNNNNNNNNNNNNNNNNNNNNNNNNNNNNNNNNNNNNNNNNNNNNNNNNNNNNNNNNNNNNNNNNNNNNNNNNNNNNNNNNNNNNNNNNNNNNNNNNNNNNNNNNNNNNNNNNNNNNNNNNNNNNNNNNNNNNNNNNNNNNNNNNNNNNNNNNNNNNCUCAACUAUGCUAAUAAUCAUUUGCUAGCAGGAUAUCAAAAAAGUAUACUAAUUUACUAUGCUAAGCCACUUGCACAGACAAAAACCAUCUAGUAAUUUCGGAUGAACAUGCAAAGUUGCAAUAAUUAGUCAAAUAUAUGGUAUCUAUGAACUUGCAAAGUUGCAAUAAUCUACAUUACCAUAUUAUGCUUAGCCAGUUCAUACUGACUAAAAAAAAUCAAGCAUUUCAUAGUAAUAUAUUCCACUAAUGUCCCUCAAAUGGUUAACUAGUCAGAGAUGGCAAAGCAAUUGCAGAUUCCCCAUCAUUUAACUGCUUGCAGUGUUGUGAUAGCUAGCAGCAUUUCUAGUGCAGAUUGAACUUGCAAGGUUUGACGAAUCUAAGAGCCAACAUACACAACAAUGGCCACAGGAGCCAGUUGUAACCCAGUUUUGAAGAUGUACCUCCCCCACCUCAGAUCUUUGCACACCUGUUACUUCACAGCAACCCAGUCGAAACAAAAGUAUUAGGACGGCACACUAAGAUCCAAACUUGAAAUGCCGGGAGGGAGGAAGAGAGGGGCGCUGUGAGGAGGAGUGGAGGGACUGACCUCAUUCGCUGAACCCUAGAUGAUCGGGAGGGGGCACUGUGACGACGCCGACGAGCGUGGCCGGCAGGAUGCCAAAGACAAAGUCGUCGAAGCAGAUGCUGCCGUUGGAAAUAUGCCCUAGAGGCAAUAAUAAAAGAUUAUUAUUAUAUUUCCUUGUUCAUGAUAAUUGUCUGUUAUUCAUGCUAUAAUUGUGUUAUCCAGAAAUGGUAAUACAUGUGUGAAUACAUAGACCACAACAUGUCCCUAGUAAGCCUCUGGUUGACUAGCUCGUUGAUCAACUGAUAGUCACGGUUUCCUGACUAUGGACAUUGGAUGUCGUUGAUAACAGGAUCACAUCAUUAGGAGAAUGAUGUGAUGGACAAGACCCAAUCCUAAGCAUAGCACAAGAUCGUGUAGUUCGUUUGCUAGAGCUUUUCCAAUGUCAAGUAUCUUUCCCUUAGACCAUGAGAUCGUGUAACUCCCGGACACCGUAGGAGUGCUUUGGAUGUACCAAACGUCACAACGUAACUGGGUGACUAUAAAGGUAUACUACGGGUAUCUCCGAAAGUGUCUGUUGGGUUGACACGGAUCGAGAUUGGGAUUUGUCACUCCGUAUGAUGGAGAUGUAUCUCUAGGCCCACUCGGUAAUGCAUCAUCAUAAUGAGCUCAAAGUGACCAAGUGUUUGGUCACGGGAUCAUGCAUUAUGGUACGAGUAAAGUGACUUGCCGGUAACGAGAUUAACGAGGUAUUGGGAUACCGAUGAUCGUAUCUCGGGCAAGUAACGUACCGAUUGAGAAAGAGAAUUGUAUACGGGGUUGAUUGAAUCCUCGAAAUCGUAGUUCAUCCGAUGAGACCAUCGAGGAGCAUGUGGGAGCCAACAUGGGUAUCCAUAUCCCGCUGUUGGUUAUUGACCGGAGAGCCGUCUCGGUCAUGUCUGCGUGUCUCCCGAACCUGUAGGGUCUACACACUUAAGGUUCGGUGACGCUAGGGUUGAAGAGAUAUGAGAAUGCAGUAAACCGAAAGUUGUUCGGAGUCCCAGAUGAGAUCCCGAACGUCACGAGGAGUUCCAUAAUGAUCCGGAGGUAAAGAAUUAUAUAUAGGAAGUCAGGUUUCAGCCAUCGGGAAAGUUUCGGGGGUCACCGGUAUUGUACCGGGACCACCGGAAGGGUCCCGGGGGUCCACCGGGUGGGGCCACCUAUCCCAGAGGGCCCCAUGGACUAAAUUGGGAGGGGAACCAGCCCCUGGUGGGCUGGUGCGCCNNNNNNNNNNNNNNNNNNNNNNNNNNNNNNNNNNNNNNNNNNNNNNNNNNNNNNNNNNNNNNNNNNNNNNNNNNNNNNNNNNNNNNNNNNNNNNNNNNNNNNNNNNNNNNNNNNNNNNNNNNNNNNNNNNNNNNNNNNNNNNNNNNNNNNNNNNNNNNNNNNNNNNNNNNNNNNNNNNNNNNNNNNNNNNNNNNNNNNNNNNNNNNNNNNNNNNNNNNNNNNNNNNNGGGCCGGCACCCCCCACUAGGGCCCCUAUAUAAAGAGGGGGGAGGGAGGGCAGCCGCACCCAUGCUCUUGGCGCCUCCCUCUCCCUCUGCUACACCUCUCCCUCUCGUAGACGCUUGGCGAAGCCCUGCCGAGAUCGCUGCUGCAUCCACCACCAUGCUGUCAUGCUGCUGGAUCUUCAUCAACCUCUCCUUCCUGCUUGCUGGAUCAAGAAGGAGGAGACAUCUCCCUGACCGUACAUGUGUUGAACGCAGAGGUGCCGUCCGUUCAGCGCUAGGAUCUCUGGUGAUUUGGAUCACGACGAGUACGACUCCCUCAACCCCGUUCUCUUGAACGCUUCUCCUCUCGAUCUACAAGGGUAUUUAGAUGCACUCCUCUCUCUCUUUGCUAGAUGAACUCAUAGAUUGAUCUUGGUGAAACCGUAGGAAACAUUUUAUUUUCUGCAACGUUCCCCAACAGUGGCAUCAUGAGCUAGGUCUAUGUGUAGUUCUCUUUGCACGAGUAGAACACAAAUUUGUUGUGGGCAUAGAUGUUGUCAACUUUCUUGGCACUACUAGUCUUAUUUUGCUUCAGCGGUAUCGUGGGAUGAAGCGGCCCGGACCGACCUUACAUGUACGCUUACGUGAGACAGGUUCCACCGACUGGCAUGCACUAGUUGCAUAAGGUGGCUAGCGGGUGUCUGUCUCUCCCACUUUACAUUACAAGAAAUAUGUCAACUUGUGACCAGCACUAUUGGUCACUGAAUGGUCACUGUUUUCAAUUUGUGACCUUUUUAUGACCAAAAACAUAAGGUCAAAAGAUGGUGGUCAUAAAUUGACUAUAGCGACCUGUAACGCCCCGGAUCCGAUGCGCCAGGUGUCUGCCAGUGAUUUCGCCGUCGUUGCCAUGUCAUUUGCUUGCGUGUUGCAUGUUAUCAUGUCAUCAUGUGCAUUUCAUUUUGCAUACGUGUUCAUCUCAUGCAUCCUAGCCUUUUCCCCGUUGUCCGUUUUGCAAUCCGGCACUCCUAUGCUCUCUAGCGUCCCCCUCUUCUCUCUUUUCAUGUGCGGGUGUUAAACUUUCUCGGAAUGGACCGAGUCUCGCCAAGCGGCCUUGGUAUACCACCGGUAGACCGCCUGUCAAGUUUCGUGCCAUUUGGAGUUCGUUUGGUACCCCAACGGUUAACCGGGUAACCGUAAAGCCCUCUUUUGUGUGCAGCCCAACACCCCUUCCAAAGUGGCCCAAAAUCCAUCUAAGUCCCCUCCAUGCUCUCGGUCGUUCGAUCACGAUCGUGUGGCCGAAAACCGCUCCUCAUUUGGACUCUCCUAGCUCCCUCUACCUAUUUAUAUGUGCCCCCCCCCCCGGAUUUUUCGCGCAGACGAAACCCUAGCCUAAUCCUUCCCGCCGCCACCGGACAUGUCCGCGUCACGCCGGACAUGUCCGCUUCACCGCGCCGCCCGCUGCAGCCAAUGGCGUGCCGCCACGUCGCCCUGGUCCUCCCGCGCCGCCGCCAGCCCGUCGGGGCCCGAGGCCGGCCCGCCCCGGGUCCGAUGUGGGCCGCGCGGNNNNNNNNNNNNNNNNNNNNNNNNNNNNNNNNNNNNNNNNNNNNNNNNNNNNNNNNNNNNNNNNNNNNNNNNNNNNNNNNNNNNNNNNNNNNNNNNNNNNNNNNNNNNNNNNNNNNNNNNNNNNNNNNNNNNNNNNNNNNNNNNNNNNNNNNNNNNNNNNNNNNNNNNNNNNNNNNNNNNNNNNNNNNNNNNNNNNNNNNNNNNNNNNNNNNNNNNNNNNNNNNNNNNNNNNNNNNNNNNNNNNNNNNNNNNNNNNNNNNNNNNNNNNNNNNNNNNNNNNNNNNNNNNNNNNNNNNNNNNNNNNNNNNNNNNNNNNNNNNNNNNNNNNNNNNNNNNNNNNNNNNNNNNNNNNNNNNNNNNNNNNNNNNNNNNNNNNNNNNNNNNNNNNNNNNNNNNNNNNNNNNNNNNNNNNNNNNNNNNNNNNNNNNNNNNNNNNNNNNNNNNNNNNNNNNNNNNNNNNNNNNNNNNNNNNNNNNNNNNNNNNNNNNNNNNNNNNNNNNNNNNNNNNNNNNNNNNNNNNNNNNNNNNNNNNNNNNNNNNNNNNNNNNNNNNNNNNNNNNNNNNNNNNNNNNNNNNNNNNNNNNNNNNNNNNNNNNNNNNNNNNNNNNNNNNNNNNNNNNNNNNNNNNNNNNNNNNNNNNNNGGCGCCCCCGCGUCUGCCUCGCCUCCCUCCGGCGACCGCGCCUCCCUCCAGCCUCCUCCGCGCCCCGUGCUGCUCGCCGGAUUUCACCUCGCCGGAGCUCCGGCCAGAUCCGAGGGAGUGGACGAGAUCCACCACUCCCUCGAACCAAACGCGCCUCCAACCCCCCUGGAUCCCUCCGUCCCGCACCGCGUCGUCCCGGGUUGACUUUUUCCCCGAGGUUAAAUUCUGCUAAGUCCCUGUUAUUUUGCAAUUAUCAUGCCAUGUUCGACCUGCCGCAUUUCUGCAUCCGUGGCUCCGUUUUGUGCGUGUAAUAUGUCAAAUUGUUUGCCUCAACGAGUACAUCAUUUCAUUCCAUUGCAUCAUACUCAUUUGAGGUCAUAUUGAUGCCUGAAUAAUCGUUGUAAGAGUGCUUCGUGAUGUUUUCUGCUGUCUGUUAUCAGAACGAGCUCUUUUGUCAUUUUUGCCAUGAUUGAUGUGUGCAUCCUAUGAGGUUGAUGUCUUCAGGUGUUUUAAACUAUGCCAUGUCUUCUUUACAGUAGUGUAUGCCAUGCAUUUUUGUGAUCAAUGUGGUGACUAGCACAAGCAUGCAAACUAGGCAUCAUGAUGUUGCUGAUUUUAGUCCCUGUUGUGCUGUUAUUUUGAUGCCAUGUAAACUUAAUGCUACAGAGAGAUCCAUGCAUAUUUAGAGAUACUUCAGUAAGGGUGUUUUGAACAUAUGGUUAUUGCCUGUCCAUUCAUGCCCUUGGUUGCAACUAUGGAGUAGUCUAGCAUGUCAUUUGAGUGCUCUACUUUUGCUUCAAAAUAUUUCCUGGCAGAUUGUUUACAUGUUAUUCAAUUUGGCCAAGCUUGCUAUAGUUGAUCCUUGCAUGCUAUGGACUUGUUCUUGACUUGGUUUGUUUCACAAACAUGUCUUCUUGAUGAUGCUAUGCUUAUAUUGUCAUGCAAUGACUUUUGGUGAGUGAAUCGAGCUUCUUAAGUAGUGUUCAUGAUGUUGCUGUUUUGCUAGGCUGAAUCUGUUAUUUCGUGAUGCUAUAUAAACAUGUUGCUACUAGUCAUUCUAUGCAUAAUCUGGAGAUGUUCUAUAAACAUGUUUUGAUCUACAUGAUGUUCUCUAUUCAUCCAUGCCCCUGGUUGCAUUUAUAUCUUGCUGUAGAUUGUUCAUAUCUUGCUCCAAAGUUGCUUCAUAAUGUUGCUGUCAGCCUGUUAACAUUAAGUUCAGUUGUUUCCAGGUGUUUUCCUAGUGAUCCAUGCACCCUAUGACCUUGCUAUUGCAUGCUUAGCAUAACAAAUAUGUCUUCUUACUGUUGGGUGCCUUGCCAUGCCAUGUAUUUCUCUGUAGUGAGUUACACAAGCUCAUCUACAUGCCUUCAUAAUUCUGUUUCUGCCAUGUUUGAAUCUGUAUAAUAACUUGCUAUGUUUACAUGGGUGCCAUCAUAUUUUCUGAUCCUUUUUGGCUUAUGGUCAGUAAGGGACUUUUGAUCUAUGCAAUUAGUAAAUUCAUGCCAUGCCUUUGUUUGCCAUGAUAAUUUCAUGUAACAUGUUGUUUGAUAGCUCUAAACAUUGCAUCGUGAUGUUAUUUUCUGCAAAGUCUGUAAUUGUUAUAACUUGCAAUCUUACCAUGUGUGUUUGAGCAUGAUCUAGUGAUUUCUGGAGAUGGCUCAGUGUUCAUGUUUUGUUAUGCUUUACCUGUACAUCAUGCCCAUGCCUUUUGUUUUCAUGUUGAGGUCCUGUAGCAUGUUGUUUUGGUGCUUGCAAUAUGCCUAGUUGCUGUUUUGGACAGAUUGUUGUUAUGACUUGUAUAGUGUGUGGGUGUUUGAACCGUUGCUCCGUUUUGAGUGUGCUCUAUAUGAAACUUGCUUGAUUUUGCAUGUAGUUUCAUAUUAUCAUGUUGCAUCCGUGUUUUGGUGUGUUUUCUUGAUGUUUGGGUGCAUUUUGCAUCAAUGCCAUGUUCAACUUGUUUUGCUCAUAUCUUCUAGACCGUAGCUCCGAACUAAAUGAACUUUAUAUGUAACUUGACUAGAAUCUCGUGUAUAUCAUCCUUGUGCAUCUUAACUUGAUGUUUAACUACUUGAACAUAAGGUUUGUUCAGAUCUGGACCAAUUUCGAAAUAUGCAUAUGAGGACUUGCCGGAAUUGUUAUAUGUGGUUCUCGGCCUCAUUUAAACUUGUCUUGAUGUGUUGCUCUUGUUUGCAUCAUCUCUUGCCAUGAGUAGCUUCAUGUAGCUUGGUCAUGCAUCAUGCUUGUUGUGCAUCAUGUCUUGUUCAUGUGUGGUGUGUUUACCUAUGUUGUCUGCUUCUUUUCGAUAGUUCCUGUUUCGUUGCGAUCGUGAGGAUUCGUUCGUCUACGGUUGGUUCGUCUUCGUGGCUUCAUCCAUUCGUCUUCUUCAUGGACUCGUUCUUCUUUCUAGCGGGAUAUCAGGCAAGAUGACCGCUACCCUGGAUCUCACUACUAUCAUUGCUAUGCUAGUUGCUUCGUUCUAUCGCUAUGCUGCGUUACCUAUCACCUGUUUAUCAAGCCAUCCCAAAUUGCCAUGAACCUCUAACCUUUGACACCUUUCCUAUGCAAACCAUUGUUUGGCUAUGUUACCGCUUUUGCUCAGCCCCUCUCAUAGCGUUGCUAGUUGUAGGUGAAGUUGAAGAUUUCUCCAUGAUGGACAGGAUUUUGGUUGGGAUAUCACAAUAUCUCUUAUAUUAUUAAUGCAUCUAUAUACUUGGAAAAGGGUGGAAGGCUCGGCCUUUGCCUGGUGUUUUGUUCCACUCUUGCCGCCCUAGUUUCCGUCAUACCGGUGUUAUGUUCCCGGAUUUUGCGUUCCUUACGCGGUCGGGUGAUUUAUGGGACCCCCUUGACAGUUUGCUUUGAAUAAAACUCCUCCAGCAAGGCCCAACCUUGGUUUUACCAUUUUCCUCACCUAGCCCUUGUUCCCUUGAGAGUCGCGCUCUCGAGGGUCAUCUUUAUUUUAUCCCCCCCCCCCCUGGGCCAGAGCUCGUUGUGAGUGUUGGUCCAAACUGUCGGCCGCCGGUGGCCACCAGGGGCAACUCUGGGCUGGCCUACCGGAAGUCUGGACAAUCCGGUGUGCCCUGAGAACGAGAUAUGUGCAGCUCCUAUCGGGAUUUGUCGGCAUAGCGAGAGGCUUUGCUGGUCUUGUUUUACCAUUGUCGAAAUGUCUUGUUAACCGGGAUUCCGAGUCUGAUCGAGUCUUCCUGGGAGAAGGUCUAUUCAUUUGUUGAUCACGAGAGCUUGUCAUGGGCUAAGUUGGGACACCCCUGCAGGGUAUAAUCUUUCGAAAGCCGUGCCUGCGGUUAUAGACAGAUGGGAAUUUGUUAAUGUCCGGUUGUAGAUAACUUGACACCAGAUCCAAAUUAAAACGCAUCAACCGCGUGUGUAGCCGUGAUGGUCUCUUCUCGGCGGAGUCCGGUAAGUGAACAUGGUUUCUGGGUUAUGUUUGACGUAAGUAGGAGUUCAGGAUCACUUGUUGAUCAUUGCUAGCUUCACAACCGUUCCGCUUGCUCUCUCCUCGCUCUUGUUUGCGUAUGUUAGCCACCAUAUAUGCUUAGUCACUGCUGUAGCCUCACCACUUUACCCCUUCCUUUCCUAUUAAGCUUUGCUAGUCUUGAUAACCAUGGUAAUGGGAUUGCUGAGUCCUCGUGGCUCACAGAUUACUACAACAACAGUUGCAGGUACAGGUUAUGCGAUGGUCUUGACGCGAGAGCGAUGUUUGCUUGUCUUGGAGUUCUUCUUCUGCUUCUUCUUCGAUCAGGGGAUAGGUUCCAGGUCGGUAGCCUGGGCUAGCAGGGUGGAUGUCGUUUGAGUUUCUGUUUGUGUUUCAUCCGUAGUCGGAUGAUGCUCUUAUGUAUUGUGAUGUUGUAUUUGUGUGGCAUUGUAUGCCUUAUGUGUGUAUCCCCAUCUUUUAUGUAAUGUUGAUGUAAUGGUAUCCACCUUGCAAAAGCGUUGCAAUAUGCGGGUCUAUCCUUGGUGGGACCAUCGAGUUCCUUUUGGAUAGGGUCGCAUAUUAGGCGUGACAAGUUGGUAUCAGAGCCUCUACCGACCCUAGGAGCCCCCUUGAUUGAUCGUGUAGUUUGGCCGUUGUUGAGUCUAGAAGAAAACUGUUUUCGGAGUCUAGUUAUAUCGGAGAGUAGGAAUUCUUUUUACUCCUCAGCCCCUUCGUCGCUCUGGUGAGGAAUCUUGACGUAGGUGUUUUUGAAUUACUUCUCUUCCCCUUCAAAUUUUUCUUUAGGAUCACGCAGUUGGUUUUCCGGUAGUUGUUCCUCAGCUCUUUUUAUCCGGUGCAUUUCUCGUCAAGUCGACUCGAGCCUCUUCAUCUUUGAGUUCAAUCCUUAGUUGUUUUCUUUUCCCACCCGCCCUCUCUUUUCUUCUUUGAGCCAGAGUCCGUAAUCGAGUAUCCAUCCUACUCGAGUGAAGCCUUUGCCUUCUUUCAACCAGUGUUUCUCUUCAAGAUAUUCGUCGGUUUCCCUUCCAAGUUGUCUUUGUUUUCCCGCCCUCCCACCCUCUUCUUCCCGGAGCCUGAGUCUGUUCCGACCAUCAAUUUCAUUCGUGUAGAGUCUCUUCAGUCUUUCGUAAAUUAUCUCAACCGGUGAAUUCUCGUUUUGUUCGACAUUCUUCAUCUCUUUUCUUCUCCGGUGGAUUCAAUUCAAGUUUUUCGGGUUGAUCAUAUUCUUUCCCUCGGCUCAAGUGUCUUCACUGCUCGUUCGCCUCUCGCUAGUUUAUCUUUCCGGAGUGUUCAAGACAUCCCAGGAGAUUCGUCUGUGUUUGAAUUGAUUCGAGGUUGUCACCUCAUUCAAAUAUUUAAAUUGUUCCGGUGCAUCAUCUAUCUGUUCAACAUCCCUUUCCAACGGUGUUUCCUCUUCAGUGGGCCCAUAACCCACAGGUCUUUUUCCAGAAUCUUACCUGACUCUUCUAAUUCCCCCGGAGUUAUUCUCAAAUUCUUUUCAAGUCUGACGUAAGAAUGAAUUUCAUCAGUCAGAUGCUUUUCCAAUUUCGAUUUCAAAUCAUUUUCAUUGUUGGCUCAACCUCUCUGCUUUUCAUUCUCCCAGAGUAUCUCAGUAAUUUUGGUGAUGUUUCUCGUUGUCAUUUGAAGACCGAAGAAGAGUUUUCCUCUAAAUCUUGUCUGUUCUUCCGAAGAUUCUUGGUUCUAGUUUCAUGAUAUCAUCUCGAAUUAUUCCAUCUGUCAGAUAUUCUUUCUUACCCAUCCGGAGUAUGUCAGAAGUUGUCUCCCGUUCCUUUUCAUAGGAGGCCAUCAUUCCAGUUAUCGUUCUCUAUUUAUCCCGGUGAUUCAUUCUCUUUCAUCAGUCAAUUCCGAAUUCUAACGAUGGUUCAUUCAAGAUUCUUUUUCUUUGUUUAUCAUAUCAAUUCAUUCAUUCUUUCCAAUCCUACCGGUGGUUCAUGAAGACCUUCUCAAGGUUGUGAUAUGUCACUUCUCAAUCCUUUUCAAGAAGAAUAAGUAAUAUGCGAAAUCCAUUGCUUGUCAUCAAUUUAAUUUGAAGAAGGAUAAGCAUACAAUAAAUCUUAUUCUCAUUUCCUCAAAGUGAGUAAUACUGUCCUUCGGAGUUUGUGCUUGAUGAAUAAAUUCUAGUUCCAAGUGUUUUCAUCUUUUCUUUUCCCGGAGUUCAAAUUUCCUCGGUCAUUUCGUCGGAACCUCCAUCUAAAUCAUCGGAAGGCUCAUCUAUUCUCUAUUCCUUCAUUUUAUCUCGUCAUUCUUUUGUUAUCGGAGUUCUUCACGGUGGUUCUUCAUGAUUUAAUUCAUUCUUUCGAGAGUUCAUCAAGAUUUUGUCGGUGGAGUUCAAGUAUCUUUUCUUCUCGUCUCGAAGUGCAAUUAAUCCUCUAUAUUCUUUUGAAGUGGAGUUUUGCAUUUCUUCGUUCUUCUCAGAUGUCCAACCAUUUCUGUUUGUGGCUGGCUAUCAGCUUAUGAUUUUGAGAUGUUUUUCCAUAAGUCCACAACAAGCUUAUUCUUUUCGUUGUUGAUCUUCUCAACAACUCCAUUCAAUCCUUCCUUCUAUGUUCUUUUCAUUCAAUUCUUCCGAAGGCAUUGCAUUGUUCUUCUCAUCAGGUAUCAUUCCAUCCUCUCUAGUUCGUGUUCUAUUCCUUCCAUGUUAAACCGGAGUGCUGCCUAAAUACUGUCAGUCUUAUUCGUUUCUUAUCUCGUUCUAACCGGAGUGGUUUCAUAGUCUAUUUGAGUCCGUGAGCUUUUGAUUCUCGUCAUUCUCGUUGUUCCUCUCUUCUUCUCGAGUGCUCUCGAUUCUUUGCUUCUUCUCCAGAGUUCUUGUUUCACCUCAUCCCUUUUUCCUUCCGUCUCGGACCUAAGAUCUCGGGGCGAGAUCUCUUGUUAGUGGAGGAGUGUUGUAACGCCCCGGAUCAAAUGCGCUAGGUGUCUGCCAGUGAUUUCGCCGUUGUUGCCAUGUCAUUUGCUUGCGUGUUGCAUGUUAUCAUGUCAUCAUGUGCAUUUCAUUUUGCAUACGCGUUCGUCUCAUGCAUCCGAGCCUUUUCCCCGUUGUCCGUUUUGCAAUCCGGCACUCCUAUGCUCUCCGGCGUCCCCCUCUUCUCUCUUUUCAUGUGCGGGUGUUAAACGUUCUCGGAAUGGACCGAGUCUUGCCAAACGGCCUUGGUAUACCACCGGUAGACCGCCUGUCAAGUUUCAUGCCAUUUGGAGUUCGUUUGGUACCCCAACGGUUAACCAGGUAACCGUUAAGCCCUCUUUUGUGUGCAGCCCAACACCCCUUCCAAAGUGGCCCAAAACCCAUCUAACUCCCCUCCAUGCUCUCGGUCGUUCGAUCACGAUCGCGUGGCUGAAAACCGCUCCUCAUUUGGACUCUCCUAGCUCCCUCUACCUAUUUAUAUGUGCUCCCCCCGGAUUUUUCGCGCAGACGAAACCCUAGCCUAAUCCUCCCCGCCGCCACCGGACAUGUCCGCUUCACCGUGCCGCCCGCCGCAGCCAAUGGCGUGCCGCCACGUCGCCCUGGUCCUCCCGCACUGCCGCCAGCCCGUCGGGGCCCGAGGCCGGCCCGCCCCGGGUCCGAUCUGGGCCGCGCGGCCCGCGCGCCCGCGCCNNNNNNNNNNNNNNNNNNNNNNNNNNNNNNNNNNNNNNNNNNNNNNNNNNNNNNNNNNNNNNNNNNNNNNNNNNNNNNNNNNNNNNNNNNNNNNNNNNNNNNNNNNNNNNNNNNNNNNNNNNNNNNNNNNNNNNNNNNNNNNNNNNNNNNNNNNNNNNNNNNNNNNNNNNNNNNNNNNNNNNNNNNNNNNNNNNNNNNNNNNNNNNNNNNNNNNNNNNNNNNNNNNNNNNNNNNNNNNNNNNNNNNNNNNNNNNNNNNNNNNNNNNNNNNNNNNNNNNNNNNNNNNNNNNNNNNNNNNNNNNNNNNNNNNNNNNNNNNNNNNNNNNNNNNNNNNNNNNNNNNNNNNNNNNNNNNNNNNNNNNNNNNNNNNNNNNNNNNNNNNNNNNNNNNNNNNNNNNNNNNNNNNNNNNNNNNNNNNNNNNNNNNNNNNNNNNNNNNNNNNNNNNNNNNNNNNNNNNNNNNNNNNNNNNNNNNNNNNNNNNNNNNNNNNNNNCCCCGCCGCCGGAGAACCCCGGUGCUCGCCGGAGCGCGCAGCUCCACCCCGCCGCCGUCUGCCUCCGUCCGGCGCCGCCUUGGCCGGCGCUGCCGCGUCUGCCUCGCCUCCCUCCGGCGACCGCGCCUCCCUCCGGCCUCCUCCGCGCCCCGUGCCGCUCGCCGGAGUUCACCUCGCCGGAGCUCCAGCCGGAUCCGAGGGAGUGGACGAGAUCCACCACUCCCUCGAACCAAACGCGCCUCCAACCCCCCUGGAUCCCUCCGUCCCGCAUCGCGUCGUCCCGGGUUGACUUUUUCCCCGAGGUUAAAUUUUGCCAAGUCCCUGUUAUUUUGCAAUUAUCAUGCCAUGUUCGACCUGCCGUAUUUCUGCAUCCGUGGCUCCGUUUCGUGCGUGUAAUAUGUCAAAUUGUUCGCCUCAACGAGUACAUCAUUUCAUUCCAUUGCAUCAUACUCAUUUGAGGUCAUAUUGAUGCCUGAAUAAUCGUUGUAAGAGUGCUUUGUGAUGUUUUCUGUUGUCUGUUAUCAGAACGAGCUCUUUUGUCAUUUUUGCCAUGAUUGAUGUGUGCAUCCUAUGAGGUUGAUGUCUUCAGGUGUUUUGAACUAUGCCAUGUCUUCUUUACAGUAGUGUAUGCCAUGCAUUUUUGUGAUCAAUGUGGUGACUAGCACAAGCAUGCAAACUAGGCAUCAUGAUGUUGCUGAUUUUAGUCCCUGUUGUGUUGUUAUUUUGAUGCCAUGUAAACUUGAUGCUACAGAGAGAUCCAUGCAUAUUUAGAGAUGCUCCAGUAAGGGUGUUUUGAACAUAUGGUUAUUGUCUGUCCAUUCAUGCCCUUGGUUGCAACUAUGGAGUAGUCUAGCAUGUCAUUUGAGUGCUCUACUUUUGCUUCAAAAUAUUUCCUGGCAGAUUGUUUACAUGUUAUUCAAUUUGGCCAAGCUUGCUAUAGUUGAUCCUUGCAUGCUAUGGACUUGUUCUUGACUUGGUUUGUUUCACAAACAUGUCUCCUUGAUGAUGCUCUGCUUAUAUUGUCAUUCAAUGACUUGUGGUGAGUGAAUCGAGCUUGUUAAGUAGUGUUCAUGAUGUUGCUGUUUUGCUAGGCUGAAUCUGUAAUUUCGUGAUGCUAUAUAAACAUGUUGCUACUAGUCAUUCUAUGCAUAAUAUGGAGAUGUUCGAUAAACAUGUUUUGAUCUACAUGAUGUGCUCUAUUCAUCCAUGCCCCUGGUUGCAUUUAUAUCUUGCUGUAGAUUGUUCAUAUCUUGCUCCAAAGUUGCUUCAUAAUGUUGCUGUCAGCCUGUUAAAAUUAAGGUCAGUUGUUUCCAGGUGUUUUCCUAGUGAUCCAUGCACCCUAUUACUUUGCUAUUGCCAUGCUUAGCUUAACAAAUAUGUCUUCUUACUAUUGGGUGCCUUGCCAUGCCAUGUAUUUCUCUGUAGUGUGUUACACAAGCUCAUCUACAUGCCUUCAUAAUUCUGUUUCUGCCAUGUUUGAAUCUGUAUAAUAACUUGCUAUGUUUACAUGGGUGCCAUCAUAUUUUUUGAUCCUUUUUGGAUUAUGGUCAGUAAGGGACUUUUGAUCUAUGCAAUUAGUAGAUUCUUGCCAUGCCUUUGUUUGCCAUGAUAAGUUCCUAUAACAUGUUGUUUGAUAGCUCUAAACAUUGCAUCGUGAUGUUAUUUUCUGCAAAGUCUGUAAUUGUUAUAACUUGCAAUCUUACCAUGUGUCUUUGAGCAUGUUCUAGUGAUUUCUGGAGAUAGCUCAGUGUUCAUGUUUUGUUAUGCUUUACCUGUACAUCAUGCCCAUGCCUUGUUUUCAUGUUUAGGUCCUGUAGCAUGUUGUUUUGGUGCUUGCAAUAUGCCUAGUUGCUGUUUUGGACAGAUUGUUGUUAUGACUUGUAUAGUGUGUGGGUGUUUGAACCGUUGCUCCAUUUUGAGUGUGCUCUAUAUGAAACUUGCUUGAUUUUGCAUGUAGUUUCAUAUUAUCAUGUUGCAUCCUUGUUUUGGUGUGUUUGCUUGAUGUUUGGGUGCAUUUUGCAUCAAUGCCAUGUUUAACUUGUUUUGCUCAUAUCUUCUAGACCGUAGCUCCGAACUAAAUGAACUUUAUAUGUAACUUGACUAGAAUCUCGUGUAGAUCAUCCUUGUGCAUCUUAACUUGAUGUUUAACUACUUGAACAUAAGGUUUGUUCAGAUCUAGACCAAUUUCGAAAUAUGCAUAUGAGGACUUACCGGAAUUGUUAUAUGUGGUUCCCGGCAUCAUUUAAACUUGUCUUGAUGUGUUGCUCUUGUUUGCAUCAUCUCUUGCCAUGAGUAGCUUCAUGUAGCUUGGUCAUGCAUCAUGCUUGUUGUGCAUCAUGUCUUCUUCAUGUGUUGUGUGUUUAACUAUGUUGUGUGCUUCUUUUCGAUAGUUCCUCUUUCGUUGCGAUCGUGAGGAUUCGUUCGUCUACGCUUGGUUCGUCUUCGUGGCUUCAUCCAUUCGUAUUCUUCAUGGACUCGUUCUUCUUCCUAGCAGGAUAUCAGGCAAGAUGACCGCUACCCUGGAUCUCACUACUAUCAUUGCUAUGCUAGUUGCUUCGUUCUAUCGCUAUACUGCGUUACCUAUCACCUGUUUAUCAAGCCAUCCCAAAUUGCCAUGAACCUCUAACCUUUGACACCUUUCCUAUGCAAACCAAUGUUUGGCUAUGUUACCGCUUUUGCUAAGCCCCUCUUAUAGCGUUGCUAGUUGCAGGUGAAGUUGAAGAUUUCUUCAUGUUGGACAGGAUUUUGGUUGGGAUAUCACAAUAUCUCUUAUAUUAUUAAUGCAUCUAUAUACUUGGUAAAGGGUGGAAGGCUCGGCCUUUUGCCUGGUGUUUUGUUCCACUCUAGCCGCCCUAGUUUCCAUCAUACCGGUGUUAUGUUCCCGGAUUUUGCGUUCCUUAUGUGGUCGGGUGAUUUAUGGGACCCCCUUGACAGUUCGCUUUGAAUAAAACUCCUCCAGCAAGGCCCAACCUUGGUUUUACCAGUUGCCUCACCUAGCCCUUUUUCCCUUGAGAGUCGCGCUCUCAAGGGUCAUCUUUAUUUUAUCCCCCCCUGGGCCAGUGCUCGUUGUGAGUGUUGGUCCACACUGUCGGCCGCCGGUGGCCACCAGGGGCAACUCUGGGCUGGCCUACCGGAAGUCUGGACAAUCCGGUGUGCCCUGAGAACGAGAUAUGUGAAGCUCCUAUCGGGAUUUGUCUGCACAGCGGGAGGCUUUGCUGGUCUUGUUUUACCAUUGUCGAAAUGUCUUGUUAACCGGGAUUCCGAGUCUGAUCGGGUCUUCCUGGGAGAAGGUCUAUUCCUUCGUUGAUCGCGAGAGCUUGUCAUGGGCUAAGUUGGGACACCCCUGCAGGAUAUAAUCUUUCGAAAGCCAUGCAUGCGGUUAUAGGCAGAUGGGAAUUUGUUAAUGUCCGGUUGUAGAUAACUUGACACCAGAUCCAAAUUAAAACGCAUCAACCGCGUGUGUAGCCGUGAUGGUCUCUUCUCGGCGGAGUCCGGGAAGUGAACAUGGUUUCUGGGUUAUGUUUGACGUAAGUAGGAGUUCAGGAUCACUUCUUGAUCAUUGCUAGCUUCACGACCGUUUCGCUUCCUCUCUCCUCGCUCUUGUUUGCGUAUGUUAGCCACCAUAUAUGCUUAGUCGCUGCUGCAGCCUCACAUCUUUACCCCUUCCUUUCCUAUUAAGCUUUGCUAGUCUUGAUACCCAUCGUAAUGGGAUUGCUGAGUCCUCGUGGCUCACAGAUUACUACAAAAACAGUUGCAGGUACAGGUUAUGCGAUGGUCUUGACGUGAGAGCGAUGUUUGCUUAUCUUGGAGUUCUUCUUCUGCUUCUUCUUCGAUCAGGGGAUAGGUUCCAGGUCGGCAGCCUGGGCUAGCAGGGUGGAUGUCGUUUGAGUUUCUGUUUGUGUUUCAUCCGUAGUCGGAUGAUGCUCUUAUGUAUUGUGAUGUUGUAUUCGUGUGGCAUUGUAUGCCUUAUGUAUGUAUCCCCAUCUUUUAUGUAAUGUUGAUGUAAUGAUAUCCACCUUGCAAAAGCGUUUCAAUAUGCGGGUCUAUCCUUGGUGGGACCAUCGAGUUCCUUUUGGAUAGGGUCGCAUAUUGGGCGUGACACGACCUUUCUUCUGGAAUGGUUGUAGAUGUUUAUGACCAAAAUACGUCUACUGUGGCGUUUUGGUCACCAGCAACCUCCCCAGGCCACGUAGGCAUCCAGCAUGGCAAUCUGAUGUGGCACAAGAUUCAGCCCGGUCCAAUUCGAUUUUCUACAUGGGCCUAGCCCAACAAUUCGGCCUUUUAAUGUAUUUUUUCUUGUUAAUUUUUGGUAGCUACAUGGGCUUGGGCCAUUAAUUCGGCCUUUUUUCUAAGAUGCAGCCUUUUACAAUCUACUGAUUUUUUAUUUUUGUCCUUUUUUUUCACUGGUCCCACUUGUCAUGCUUAUCACAAAAUUGAUCCCACACAUCAAAAAUUUCAAAAUCUGUCAAACAACCAUUAUAACUUGGACCCCCUUGUCAGGUUUCCAUUUGACGGGUAUUCAAAUCACAUACACAAUUAUUAUUUCAAACAAUGCAAAUAGCAAAUGAAAUUUGUCCAAAACAACACAGCAUUGGUCUAUUACAAAUGUUACAGUAUACUACAACCCAGAUAAGCCUACUACUGCCUACAUUUACAACACAUAAUAUGCUAGUCUUUGUUGAUAUGCUUCACAGCUUCGAACUUGGAUUCGCACUUCACCUGUGCAAAAAAAAGAAUGAACAUAUAAGAAUAAGAAUGUGUACAUAACAUCAAACAGUAGCCACUGAGGGAUCCAAUAACUUAUAAGCAAGAAUUGACAGCAAAUGAGAUGUACAUAAAUAGUAUGACUAACACUAACCAGUAUGGAGUAGAAGCUCAUAUUACUUUACUGUUAUAAGCAGUAAACACUAAACAGCACUCGCUCGGAACAGGGGACGUGCCUAGUAAUAAAAAACAGAGGUAUCCAUAACAAGAAGAUGUGAGUACAUACUAAGUGGUAUUAGCAGAAGAUCAAAGGAAAUUACACUCCAAAAGUGGAAAAAAAGAAGAGUAUCUACAUAUCAAGGAACUGCCGUCUGUGUUGACAACAGACAGUUAUGGUCACACAUUUUCUAUUGUUGCCACAAGAAGCAUGCCGCACAGCAUAUAUGCAUAAGCACAAGAUAGUGAGGUUACUAACAUACUUCCAAAGCUAAUUUGCCACACUUUUACUACAGAAAUAACCAAAGGUGAAUGAUUUCUCUAUGCUGCCUUAAAAUUCGCUUCAGAUUUUGUAUGCACAAGACAAAGCUGUAGGAUUUCAGUUUGCAACACUAGAAAUUUAUCAGAAUCUGUAUAUAAUAAGGAACAACUGACAAGCAAGUCACCAAAGCACAGGGCCUAUUACAACAAAUUUAGGUCCACAAAGAACAAAGGAUAGCAUUAGCAGCCUCUGAAAUUGAAGUCUUAGCUGGACAAGCAGGCAUGAUCCCCGCACACACAUUAAUAGGCAAAAAUACGAUGCCCUCAGGUACCUUGGCAAAAAUAUGAUGCCCUUAGGUACCAGCAUUACAAAUGAAUACUCUCUAAAAUGCAAGUACAAAUAACGGGGUGCAGGGGUAGGAGCCCCUCCCUCUCUGAGUUCCCCGUUUCAUCACCAAACAAAGCAACUGAAAAUCCUAAUCGAGGGUAGACAGAGAGACGGAUAUGGGUCUCACCAAGUGAUGCAAGCCGUCUGGUAGAACCACAGGCCCUGUAGGGUGAUGAGCAGGCCGCUGGCGAGGUCGGCGGGGAAGCUCGCCGGGAGGAGCGCACCGAGUUCGUUGGAGGAGAUGCAGAGCCCGACGAGCACCACCAGGAGGUAGUGGUAGUACCCCUCCAGCCCCUGGUGGGUGGUCGAGUGGAAGUAGAAGAGCAGCAGCUCCGCCGUGAAGGUCGUCGCCGCCAGCAGGCACAACGCGCCCUCCGUCAGGGGCAGGUACCUGCGUGCCAAUCAAAGCCCAAGUGAGCUCACUGUGAUGUGUACUUUUACAAUGAGAUGUACAUCUAUUUCUUUCUAACAAUAAUAACAAUAGAUGGCUGCGUGCAUGGACAAGAUGAAACACAAUGGGGUGAGUGUGUAACAAACCAUGAGUCCAGCUUGUGUAGGAGCAGAGCAUGAGUCCAACAAAGCAUGCUAUAGGAGCAGAAAAGAGGGAUCUAGGGGUAGGAGAUGGAGCCAGCUCACCGAAGAACUUGGGAGUCCAGCUUGGGUCCUUGUUAAUCUGUUGUUGCUCCGGUAGCUCUCGUGUGCGGGUAUAAGAUCAGAUCCAACUGACUAGAAGCGGCCGUUUGUCGAGCGAUCUUUCAUUUCUUGGUCUGCAACAAGAGGUAAAUGCUAGAGAUUAGCAACUGCUGCCAAACCCAAUGUGACAAAAAAUUUAAGUCAAUAUCUUUGUGAGAGUGUAGUAGAUUGUUCACAUCCUAAUGAGAUACAUGGAAAAAAAGCUUGAACUAUACUAGCAACAGAAAGUAGUCAGCAGUAUCUGAGAGUGACUGAUGGUUGUUUCAACAAACAAUCGGUUUCUUGUCAUCUUAACACGGACUCAACUUUGAGAGAGCGGACUGAUUAACAUUUUUUGUUAGAGCUAACCGUAGUGAUACUAGCAAAAUGACAAACAUGACGAAAAUAUAAAUACAAGGCCAACUAAAACCUAGCUCACACAUAUUAUGCAAGCGUGAGAAUACUCAGGUAUACUUAACUUGGGUUUAGGACACAUGUACAGUUUAAAUGCAUAUCAGAUCAGGUAUAAAAUCAUGCACCUGGGUUUAACUUAUCAAGGUUUGUGGUCAACAGACAGGGAAAACAUCUUGAUUUCUAGGUAUCACAUUGUCAGAACAUCAUCUGUAUUUCUUCGCAAAACCAAAAUUAACAGGAUAAACCAAUCCACCAUAAGAUUAGACAAGCCAUUUCAUCAGCAUAACGAUUGAUAGCACUAUGCAAAUGCGACGAGAAAUCAAGAAGCAGAGAACAGCUAGAAGCCAUUCCAUUAGUGUUGACUUAACUAGGUAUAAUAUUUGUUCCCCGUAAACCAACCAAGUAUAGUAUGGUACCUUGUACCAUACUAUAAUGGAAUUAAACCAACUUAAUACUGGCAUUAAACCAACCAGGUACAAAAUUAAAUAAAGCAAUCUAAUUUUCAAGUUAGGAAACAAAUAUUGAAAGAACCCUGUUAAAGCAGAAAUUAUGGCAGCUUAUAGUCAGUAUGAGGAACCAAAUGCAUAUCCCCACUGAAGAAUGAUGUACUUAUAAUGACAAGUCCAUGCGCAAGUUAUACAGUAAUAGUAGUGAUGUACUUAUGAUUACAAGUGCAGAUGUCAGUUAUAUGGUAUUAUAUGUCGCUUCAACAUCUAUGAGGUAGUAUUCAGCAUAAUCUUGACUAACCAGUGUGUACAUGCAGAGUUGUUAUGCAAUUUCUUAGUAACAGCAGACAAAGACUGACCAUCUAUAACAUACUAGUAUUAGUGCUGAGUUAAGCAGGUAAUGUUUUUCCCCUCAACACUAACCAAGUAUAGUAUAGUAUGACACAAAUAAAGAUGGAACAAGAUCAAUUGACAGUUACCUUCCUGCAAAUCAACCAGAACUUUACCAGCCCCUGGUGGCGCCGGAGAUGGACGCUUCUGCUGCUGGCCUUCACUGCCCCUGACGCUGCUGCUCAUGGACGGAAACCGCAUCGCAUCAGGGAAGAGGAUGGAAGGGAAUGCAGUUGAAGAAGAAAUCGAAAAGGAGAGGAGAGGAGAGGGGGCUAACCGUUGGGGUUCUCCAUGGCGUCGGCGUCGGGCCAGCCUUCCCGUCCAUGCCAUGGCGGCCCGGAGCACGAGCAACGACGACAUGCUAGAUGGAUCUGGUAGCGAGAGGAGACGAGGUGAGGAAGAGAGGAUCUGGUAGGUAUAGGAGACGAGGUGAGGAAGAGAGCGGACCAAUCUUAGUCGCCGGAGACACACCGACAACGCGGUGGACCAAACCCUAUCCACGGGAGACGGUCGUGCGUGGCCACUGGAGCAAGCGAGCACCGGAUCUGGGCGGAGCGCGAGGCCGCCGCCGCCCCUCCCCUGCCGCGGGGCCGGUGUGGGCCACCUCCCACGAAAGGAGACAGAGACGGAGCCAGCGUGGACAUGGAUGGGACUCGGACGCGUGGCGGAGGUGGUUGCCGAGGCGGGCACAGAGACGGGGUGGGUCGCCGGGAUUUGUGGCGUGGUGGAGGCCCCGUGAGGAGGGGAGGAGGAGAGGGUGAGGGAAGGAGGGCGCCGCUGCCGGCGACGGGAAGCGAGAGAGAGAGCAAGGCGGCGUCGAUCGGGAUCGGGGAGAGAGAGAGGGGGAGGCGGCGGGCGGGAGGGAGAGGGAGGAGAGGUGAGUGAGGUAGGGUUUGGUGCGGUGGGUUUCUUCAGAUGGAUAGACGGUUGGAUUGCUAGCAAUGGAUGGAUGGAUGUCUACCAUGUCAUCGAUCCAUGUGACAGAUAGUUCCACCAAUCACAAUCUAGCAUAUGUAAUUGUGCUUUUUUUCUUUUGUUUCUUUUAUUAGUUUUUUACCCUCUUAUUUCGGGUAAACACUCAACAAAUUAGCCUCAUGUUGUAUGUUUAAAUGACCUAAUAUUGUGCACAUAUGUGUAUCUUAGGAUUUCAAGCAAUGAUGAUUUUGUGGUCUUCAUUUGCAUUGCACACAAAAAUCAAUUUUCCAUUUUUUCGAGUGCCUGAAAGGAGUUUUUUUGUGAAGAACCUACCAAAUAUUUCUUGCAAAAUUGGACCAAAUCAAUUUUAUAAAAUACUAGUCCAUAUUUAAUAUACAAUUAACCAAAUGAUUGGGUGUCAAAAGCUUUGAUCCACCUCUCAUGAAAAAGACAAAUUUCCGCCGGUUCAACUGAAAGCGGGUCAAAUUUGAACUGCAGGUGCCUCAUAGUUUGCUAUUUAUUUUUUCCAAAAAUCAUUUCUAGGUACAUAGGUAUCUAUUUAAUCAGAGAAACACCAAAAAAAUUCCAAGAUUCAACCACUAGAUAGGAACGGUCAUUCCCUCUGUUUUGACCGCAUUUUGAAACGGGCAUAAAAAAUUCAAAAAAUCAAAAAAUUGGAAAACCUUCACAUUGUGUCAUUAUAUGUGACCAAGUUUCCAGGAAAAAUAAUAAACUUGCAAUACGGUAAUUAUUUUUAAAAAGUGUUCUCAGAAAUGAGCUAUCAAGUGUGAAGAUUCAUGGCUUUCAAGCCAAAUGAUCAAUCUUAUGGUCACAUUCAUGGCAUAAUUUGUUCAAAUGAUCUAAUAUUGUGCACAAGGGUGCAUCUUGGAAUUCCAAACAAUGUUGCCUAAGGGAGUUUUCAUUUUCUUUGCAUGGAAAAUUCAUUUUCCAUUUUCCGAGUGCCCGAAGUGAGUUUUGUGAAGGCCAUAUUUAAUGCACAAUUAAAAAAAUGGUUGGGUGUCAAAAGCUUCGAUCCACCUCUGGUGAAAACGACAAAUUCCUGCCGAUUCAGCUGGAAGCGGGUCAAAUUUGAACUGCAGGUGCCUCAUAGUUUGCUAUUUAUUUUUUCAAAAAAAUAUUUUCUAGGUACAUAAGUAUCUAUUUAAUUAGAGAAAUACCAAAAAAAUCCAAGAUUCAACCACUAGAUAGGAACGGUCAUUCCCUUCGUUUUGUCCGCAUUUUGAAACGGGCAUAAAAAAUUGAAAAAAAAUCAAAAAAUUGGAAAACCUUCGCAUUGUGUCAUUAUAUGUGACCAAGUUUCCAGGAAAAAUAAUAAACUUGUAAUACGGUAAUUAUUUUAGAAAAGUGUUCUCAAAAAUGAGCUAUCAAGCGUGAAGAUUCAUGGCUUUCAAGCCAAAUGAUCAAUCUUAUGGCCACAUUCAUGGCAUAGUUUGUUCAAAUGAUCUCAUAUUGUGCACAAGGGUGCAUAUUGGAAUGGCAAACAAUGUUGCCUAAGGAAGUUUUCAUUUUAUUUGGACAAAAAAAACAUUUUCCAUUUUCCUAGUGCCUGGAAUGUGUUUUUUUGUGAAGGACCUACCAUAUAUUUAUUGCAAAAUUGGACCUAAUCAGUUUUAUAAAAUAAUAGGCCAUAUUUAAAGCACAAUUGACCAAAUGGUUGGGUGUCAAAAGUUUUGAUCCACCUCUGGUAAAAAAGACAAAUUCCCGCCGAUUCAGUUGGAAACGGGUCAAUUUUGAACUGAAGCUGCCUCAUAGUUUGCUAUUUAUUUUUUCCAAAAAUUAUUUCUAGGUAAAUAAGUAUCUAUUUAAUCAGAGAAACACCAAAAAAAUUCCAAGAUUCAACCACUAGAUAGGAACGGUUAUUCCCUCCGUUUUGACCGCAUUUUGAAACGGGCAUAAAAAAUUCAAGGAAAAAUCAAAAAAUUGGAAAACCUUCGCAUUGUGUCAUUAUAUGUGACCAAGUUUCCAGCAAAAAUAAUAAGCUUGUAAUACGGUAAAUAUUUUAAAAAAGUGUUCUCAGAAAUGAGCUAUCAAGCGUGAAGAUUCAUGGCUUUCAAGCCAAAUGAUCAAUCUUAUGGCCGCAUUCAUGGAAUAGUUUGUUCAAAUGAUCUCAUAUUGUGCACAAGGGUGCAUAUUUGAAUGGAAAACAAUGUUGCCUAAGGAAGUUUUCAUUUUAUUUCGACGAAAAAACCAUUUUCCAUUUUCCGAGUGCCUGAAAUGAGUUUUUUUGUGAAGGACCUACCAUAUAUUUAUUGCAAAAUUGGACCUAAUAAAUUUUAUAAAAUAAUAGGCCAUAUUUAAUGCACAAUUGACAAAAUGGUUGGGUGUCAAAAGUUUUUAUCCACCUCUGGUGAAAAACACAAAUUCCCGCUGAUUCAGUUGGAAGCGGGUCAAAUUUGAACUGCAGGUGCCUCAUAGUUUGCUCUUUAUUUUUUCCAAAAAUCAUUUCUAGGUAAAUAAGUAUCUAUAUAAUUAGAAAUACAUGGUUUGAUGGUGAGACAUCGAGGUUUGGUCGGUGGCUGAGGGGCCCAACUCUAGAGUGCAUAAGCUCGCAUGCCCGUCGCGUGGUCACCACGUGACCGUGGCAUUGCCAUGCGUUCUGGGCGGCCUAGGCAUGUCUAGUGGGUUGUUCACUCCCCAGGUAGAUGCUAGGAAGAAAAUUAUAACAUAAGAUUCUCACGAGGAAACCGAUCGAUGCUCAAACAUGAAUAAGCAGCCAAGUGUUUGAUUUGCGGUACGGGAAAUGCACAUGGCUAAUGGGCGUGAGUUUUGGCUGAGGAUGAUCAGUUACUAAGAAGACCGUCUACACAAAUUUUUAGGGAAAUCAAGAAUAUAUAAAUAACACUUCCUUCACAAAAAGCUGCUUUGAACAAAAUAGGAAAAUGAAUAUUGUUGAGUUAUUUUUGAACUAGGCAAAGAAGGUUUUUGACAUAUUUGAUGAAGAUAUGAUCCAAACAAUUUAUGAGAUUUUUUGGGAAUUUUUGGAAUAACAGAAAUAUAGGUUGCUUCACAACCUAGGGCCAAAAUUGACACAUGGACAUGACACAUAGGCAAAACUAAUGAGAUGGCGCCUAGUCAUCACAACCCACCACAAUCUACAAGGCUAUGACCAUCUAUAUUGGUCGUUAACAACUAGAAAUAAGGCAGUGGACCAGCACUGUUUGCUUUGUGACCAUUUCGUGUAAGGAAAUUACAACCUUUUUGACCAAAAUGGUCACAAUGGUUUAGGGUUUGGAGGCCCCCGAACAGCUUUUGACCAAUUGGUCUCAGGUGGUCAUAGAUCUAUGACCAAUUCUUCCAGUGUCACUGACAGAAGGUCACUAGUUGACAUAUUUCUUGCAGUGUUAGUUGGAGCGGAUUCGAUGAAAAGGGUCCUUAUGAAGGGUAAAUAGAAGUUGGCAAAUCACUUUGUGGCUUUUACGUAGGUAAGAAAACGUUCUUGCUAGAACCCUAUUGCAGCCACGUAAAACAUGCAACAACAAUUAGAGGACGUCUAACUUGUUUUUGCAGCAUAUGAUUUGUGAUGUGAUAUGGCCAAAAGUUGUGAUGAAUGAUGAAUAAUAUAUAUGUGAUGUAUGAGAUCAUGUUCUUGUAAUAGGAAUCACGACUUGCAUGUCGAUGAGUAUGACAACCGGCAGGAGCCAUAGGAGUUGUCUUAAUUAUUGUAUGACCUGCGUGUCAAUGAUUUAACGCCAUGUAAUUACUUUACUUUAUUGCUAAACCGUUAGCCCAAACAUGAAUAAGCAGCCAAGUGUUUGAUUUGCGGUACGGGAAAUGCACAUGGCUAAUGGGCGUGAGUUUUGGCUGAGGAUGAUCAGUUACUAAGAAGACCGUCUACACAAAUUUUUAGGGAAAUCAAGAAUAUAUAAAUAACACUUCCUUCACAAAAAGCUGCUUUGAACAAAAUAGGAAAAUGAAUAUUGUUGAGUUAUUUUUGAACUAGGCAAAGAAGGUUUUUGACAUAUUUGAUGAAGAUAUGAUCCAAACAAUUUAUGAGAUUUUUUGGGAAUUUUUGGAAUAACAGAAAUAUAGGUUGCUUCACAACCUAGGGCCAAAAUUGACACAUGGACAUGACACAUAGGCAAAACUAAUGAGAUGGCGCCUAGUCAUCACAACCCACCACAAUCUACAAGGCUAUGACCAUCUAUAUUGGUCGUUAACAACUAGAAAUAAGGCAGUGGACCAGCACUGUUUGCUUUGUGACCAUUUCGUGUAAGGAAAUUACAACCUUUUUGACCAAAAUGGUCACAAUGGUUUAGGGUUUGGAGGCCCCCGAACAGCUUUUGACCAAUUGGUCUCAGGUGGUCAUAGAUCUAUGACCAAUUCUUCCAGUGUCACUGACAGAAGGUCACUAGUUGACAUAUUUCUUGCAGUGUUAGUUGGAGCGGAUUCGAUGAAAAGGGUCCUUAUGAAGGGUAAAUAGAAGUUGGCAAAUCACUUUGUGGCUUUUACGUAGGUAAGAAAACGUUCUUGCUAGAACCCUAUUGCAGCCACGUAAAACAUGCAACAACAAUUAGAGGACGUCUAACUUGUUUUUGCAGCAUAUGAUUUGUGAUGUGAUAUGGCCAAAAGUUGUGAUGAAUGAUGAAUGAUAUAUAUGUGAUGUAUGAGAUCAUGUUCUUGUAAUAGGAAUCACGACUUGCAUGUCGAUGAGUAUGACAACCGGCAGGAGCCAUAGGAGUUGUCUUAAUUAUUGUAUGACCUGCGUGUCAAUGAUUUAACGCCAUGUAAUUACUUUACUUUAUUGCUAAACCGUUAGCCAUAGUAUUAGAAGUAAUAGUUGGCGAGCAACUUCAUGGACACAUGAUGAUGGAGAUCAUGAUGAUGGAGAUCAUGGUGUCAUGCCGGUGACGAAGAUGAUAAUGGAGCCCCGAAGAUGGAGAUCAAAGGAGCUAUAUGAUAUUGGCCAUAUCAUGUCACUAUUUGAUUGCAUGUGAUGUUUAUCAUGUUUUUGCAUCUUAUUUGCUUAGAACGACGGUAGUGAAUAAGAUGAUCCCUCAUAAUAAUUUCAAGAAAGUGUUCCCCCUAACUGUGCGCCGUUGCGAAAGUUCGUUGUUUCGAAGCACCACGUGAUUAUCGGGUGUGAUAGAUUCUAACGUUCGCAUACAACGGGUGUAAAACAAAUUUACACAUGCAAAACAUUUAGGUUAACUUGACGAGCCUGGCAUGUACAGACAUGUCCUCGGAACACAGAGACCGAAAGGUCGAACAUGAGUCGUAUGGAAGAUACGAUCAACAUGGAGAUGCUCACCGAUGAUGACUAGUCCGUCUCACAUGAUGAUCGGACACGGCCUAGUCGACUCGGAUCAUGUAUCACUUAGAUAACUAGAGGGAUGUCUAAUCUGAGUGGGAGUUCAUUAAAUAAUUUGAUUAGAUGAACUUGAUUAUCAUGAACUUAGUCUAAAAAUCUUUGCAAAAAAUGUCUUGUAGAUCAAAUGGCCAACGCUCAUCUCAACAUGAACUUCAACACGUUCCUAGAGAAAACCAAGCUGAAAGAUGAUCGCAGCAACUAUACGGACUGGGUUCGGAACCUGAGGAUCAUCCUCAUAGAUGCCAAGAAAGCAUAUGUCCUAGAAGGACCGCUAGGUGAAGCACCCAUCCCAAAGAACCAAGACAUUACAAACGCUUGGCAGUCACGUGAUGAUGAUUACUCCCUCGUUCAGUGCGGCAUGCUUUACAGCUUAUAACCGGGGCUCCAAAAGCGUUUUGAGCAACAUGGAGCAUAUGAGAUGUUCGAGGAGCUGAAAAUGGUUUUCCAAGCUCAUGCCCAGGUCGAGAGAUAUGAAGCCUCCAACAAGUUCUAUAGUUGUAAGAUGGAGGAAAAUAGUUCUCUCAGUGAGCACAUACUCAAAAUGUCUGGGUUGCACAACCGCCUGUCCCAGCUGGGCAUUAACCUCCCAGACGAGGCGGUCAUUGAUAGAAUCCUUCAGUUGCUCCCACCGAGCUACAAUAGCUUUGUGAUGAACUACAAUAUGCAGGGGAUGGUGAAAACUAUUCCUGAAGUAUUUUCAAUGCUGAAGUCAGUAGAGGUAGAAAUCAAAAAGGAACAUCAAGUGUUGAUGGUCAAUAAAACCACUAAGUUCAAGAAGGGCAAGGGUAAGAAGAACUUCAAGAAGGACGGCAAGGAAGUUGACGCGCCCGGUAAGCCAGCUGCCAGGAAGAAGUCAAAGAAUGGACCCAAGCGUGAGACUGAGUGAUUUUAUUCCAAAGGGAAGGGUCACUGGAAGUGGAACUGCCCCAAAUACUUAGCGGACAAGAAGGCUGGCAACACUAAAGGUAUAUGUGAUAUACAUGUAAUUGAUGUGUACCUUACCAGUGCUCGUAGUAGCUCCUGGGUAUUUGAUACCGGUGCGGUUGCUCAUAUUUGUAACUCAAAGCAAGAGCUGCGGAAUAAGCGGAGACUGGCGAAGGACGAGGUGACGAUGCGCGUCGGGAAUGGUUCCAAGGUCGAUGUGAUCGCCGUUGGCACGCUACCUCUACAUUUACCUACGGGAUUAGUUUUAAACCUCAAUAAUUGUUAUUUAGUGCCAGCUUUGAGCAUGAACAUUGUAUCUGGAUCUCGUUUAAUGCGAGAUGGCUACUCAUUUAAAUCCGAGAAUAAUGGUUGUUCCAUUUAUAUGAGAGAUAUGUUUUAUGGUCAUGCCCCGAUGGUCAAUGGUUUAUUCUUAAUGAAUCUCAAACGUGAUGUUACACAUAUUAAUAGUGUGAAUACCAAAAGAUGUAAAGUUGAUAACGAUAGUCCCACAUACUUGUGGCACUGCCGCCUUGGUCACAUUGGUGUCAAGCGCAUGAGGAAGCUCCAUGCUGAUGGACUUUUAGAGUCUCUCGAUUAUGAAUCAUUUGACACAUGCGAACCAUGCCUCAUGGGCAAACUGACCAAGACUCCGUUCUCCGGAACAAUGGAGCGAGCAACCAACUUAUUGGAAAUCAUACAUACUGAUGUAUGCGGUCCAAUGAGCGUUGAGGCUCGCGGAGGAUAUUGUUAUGUUCUCACUCUCACUGGCGACUUGAGUAGAUAUGGGUAUGUCUACUUGAUGAAACACAAGUCUGAGACCUUUGAAAAGUUCAAGGAAUUUCAGAAUGAGGUAGAGAAUCAACUUGACCAAAAAGAUAAAGUUCUUACAAUCAGAUCGUGGAGGAGAAUAUUUAAGUCACGAAUUUGGUACACACUGAAGGAAAUGUGGAAUCAUUUCACAACUCACGCCGCCUGGAACACCUCAGUGUAACGGUGUGUCCGAAUGUUGUAAUCGCACUUUAUUGGAUAUGGUGCGAUCUAUGAUGUCUCUUACUGAUUUACCGCUAUCUUUUUGGGGAUACGCUCUAGAGACAGCUACAUUCCCUUUAAAUAGGGCACCAUCUAAAUCCGUUGAGAUGACACCAUAUGAAUUAUGGUUUGGGAAGAAACCUAAGAUGUCGUUUCUAAAAGUUUGAGGAUGCGAUGCUUAUGUCAAGAAACUUCAACCUGAAAAGCUCGAACCCAAGUCGGAAAAUGCGUCUUCAUAGGAUACCCUAAGGAAACCAUUGGGUAUACCUUCUACCUUAGAUCUGAAGGCAAGAUCUUUGUUGCCAAGAACGGAUCCUUUCUGGAGAAAGAGUUUCUCUUGAAAGGAGUAAGUGGGAGGAAAGUAGAACUCGAUGAAGUACUACCUCUUGAACCGGAAAGUAGUGCAGCUCAGGAAAAUGUUCCUGUGGUGCCUACACCGACUGGAGAGGAAAUUAAUGAUGAUGAUCAAGGUACUUCAGAUCAAGUUGCUACUGAACUUCGUAGGUCCACAAGGACACGUUCCACACAAGAGUGGUAUGGCAACCCUGUCCUAGAAAUCAUGUUGUUAGACAACGGUGAACCUUCAAACUAUGAAGAAGCGAUGGCGGGCCCAGAUUCCAACAAAUGGCUUGAAGCCAUGCAAUCCGAGAUAGGAUCCAUGUAUGAAAACAAAGUAUGGACUUUGACAGACUUGCCCGAUGAUCGGAUAGAAAACAAAUGGAUCUUUAACAAGAAGACGGACGCGGAUGGUAAUGUUUCCCGUGGCGAAGCUGAAGUCCGUCCGAAUCAUGUUAGCAAUUGCCGCAUACUAUGAUUAUGAGAUAUGGUAGAUGGACAUCAAAACGGCAUUCCUUAACGGCUAUCUUAAGGAAGAACUGUAUAUGAUGCAGCCGGAAGGUUUUAUCGAUCCUGAGAAUGCUAACAAGGUAUGCAAUCCAUUUAUGGGCUGGUGCAAGCAUCUCGGAGUUGGAACAUUCGGUUUUAUGAGAUGAUCAAAGCGUUUGGGUUUAUGCAGACUUAUGGAGAAGCCUGCGUUUACAAGAAAGUGAGUGGGAGCUCUGUAGCAUUUCUCAUAUUAUAUGUAGAUGACAUACUUUUGAUGGGAAAUGAUAUAGAACUUUUGGACAGCAUUAAGGCCUACUUGAAUAAGUGUUUUUCAAUGAAGGACCUUGGAGAAGCUGCUUACAUAUUAGGCAUCAAGAUCUAUAGGGAUAGAUCUAGACACCUCAUAGGUCUUCCACAAAGAACAUACCUUGAUAAGAUAUUGAGGAAGUUCAAUAUGGAUCAGUCCAAGAAAGGGUUCUUGCUGUAUUGCAAGGUGUGAGAUUGAUCUCAGCUCAAUGUCCGACCACGGCAGAAGACAUAGAAGAGAUGAGUGUCAUCCCCUAUGCCUCAGCCAUAGGGUCUAUUAUGUAUGCCAUGCUAUGUACCAGACCUGGUGUAAGCCUUGCCGUAAGUUUGGUAGGAAAGUACCAAAGUAAUCCCGACAAGGAACACUAGACAGUGGUCAAGAAUAUCCUGAAGUACCUGAAAAGGACUAAGGAUAUGUUUCUCGUUUAUGGGGGUUACGAAGAGCUCGUCAUAAAGGGGUACGUCGACGCUAGCUUCGACACACAUCUGGAUGACUCAAAGUCGCAAACCGGAUAUGUGUAUAUGUUGAAUGGUGGAGCAGUAAGCUGGUGCAGCUGCAAGCUGAGCGUCGUGGUGGGAUCUACAUGUGAAGCGGAGUACAUGGCAGCCUCGGAGGUAGUGCAUGAAGCAAUAUGGAUGAAGGAGUUCAUCACUGACCUAGGAGUCAUACCCAAUUCGUCGGGGCCAAUCACUCUCUUCUGUGACAACACUGGAGCUAUUGCCCUUGCCAAGGAGCCCAGGUUUCACAAGAAGACCAUGCACAUCAAUCGUCGUUUCAACUCCAUCCGCGAAAAUGUUCAAGAUGGAGACAUAGAUAUUUGCAAAGUGCAUACGGAUCUGAAUGUCGCAGAUCCGUUGACUAAACCUCUUCCGCGAGCAAAACAUGAUCAACACUAGAACUCUAUGGGUGUUCGAUUCAUCACAAUGUAACUAGAUUAUUGACUCUAGUGCAAGUGGGAGACUGUUGGAAAUAUGCCCUAGAGGCAAUAAUUAAAGAUUAUUAUUAUAUUUCCUUGUUCAUGAUAAUCGUCUGUUAUUCAUGCUAUAAUUGUGUUAUCCGGAAAUCAUAAUACAUGUGUGAAUACAUAGACCACAACAUGUCCCUAGUAAGCCUCUAGUUGACUAGCUCGUUGAUCAACUGAUAGUCAUGGUUUCCUGACUAUGGACAUUGGAUGUCGUUGAUAACGGGAUCACAUCAUUAGGAGAAUGAUGUGAUGGACAAGACCCAAUCCUAAGCAUAGCACAAGAUCGUGUAGUUCGUUUGCUAGAGCUUUUCCAAUGUCAAGUAUCUUUUCCUUAGACCAUAAGAUCGUGUAACUCCCGGAUACCGUAGGAGUGCUUUGGGUGUACCAAACGUCACAACGUAACUGGGUGACUAUAAAGGUAUACUACGGGUAUCUCCGAAAGUGUCUGUUGGGUUGACACGGAUCGAGACUAGGAUUUGUCACUCCGUAUGACGGAGAGGUAUCUCUGGGCCCACUCGGUAAUGCAUCAUCAUAAUGAGCUCAAAGUGACCAAGUGUUUGGUCACUGGAUCAUGCAUUAUGGUACGAGUAAAGUGACUUUCCGGUCACGAGAUUAACGAGGUAUUGGGAUACCGAUGAUCGAAUCUCGGGCAAGUAACGUACCGAUUGACAAAGGGAAUUGUAUACGGGGUUGAUUGAAUCCUCGACAUCGUGGUUCAUCCGAUGAGAUCAUCGAGGACCAUGUGGGAGCCAACAUGGGUAUCCAGAUCCCGCGUUGGUUAUUGACCGAAGAGCCGUCUCGGUCAUGUCUGCGUGUCUCCCGAACCCGUAGGGUCUACACACUUAAGGUUUGGUGACGCUAGGGUUGAAGAGAUAUGAGUAUCCAGUAAACCGAAAGUUGUUCGGAGUCACGGAUCAGAUCCCGGACGUCUCGAGGAGUUCCGGAAUGGUCCGGAGGUAAAGAAUUAUAUAUAGGAAGUCAGGUUUCGGCCAUCGGGAAAGUUUCGGGGGUCACCGGUAUUGUACCGGGACCACCGGAAGGGUCCCGGGGGUCCACCGGGUGGGGCCACCUAUACCGGAGGGCCCCAUUGGCUGAAGUGGGAGGGGAACCAGCCCCUGGUGGGCUGGUGUGCCCCCUCCUUGGACCCCCCCUGCACCUAGGGUUGUACCCACACAUGUAUCUGAGUUUCCUAUCAAUACAAUUAUAGCAUGGAUAAUAAACGAUUAUCAUGAACAAGGGAAUAUAAUAAUAAUAACUAAUUUAUUAUUGCCUCUUGGGCAUAUUUCCAACAGGCACAUGUCAAGUUUGUAUGUGGUAGGGAGACAUGACUAGAGCGCUUGAUGUAUCGGUUUGUGGGGGGGGAGGGGGUGUGGGGAGGGGUUGGUAGAGGCCUAACUAUAGAGGUAGAACGACUCGUAUAUGUGUUCAGAAGGAGAGACCCAGCUAUGUCUUGAGGGAUAUCGGUCGACAUCCAUACAUAACUGAAGGACGGGAAAUAUGAUGGGACAGAGAGAGAUUGGAGAGAGAGAGGGAGGGAGAGGGAGGGAGAGGGGUAGAGUGCUAGAUGGGUGAUGGAGUUGCUUCUCGGAGAUGUUGGGAGAGGCCCACUAGACAAACUGAGGGUGGAACUGCAAUGUUAUCAAUAAGAGUGGGGAUUUGUCUCUGUGUGUGCCUGUGCAUGAUAGAUCUGUCGGGACGCAUCCAUGGAUGAUGAAGGGGAACCAUGUGUUUUGUAAGCAAACCUAACUAGAUCGGUAGAUCAAUUGUUGUGUGUCGGAGGAAGGGAGAGACACAACUAAUGAGGUAGAUCGAUCGAUGUGUGGGUAAAAACGAGUUAUAAGGACCUAGCUGGCUAUAUGUAUAGCGAGAGAUCGGUCGGUGUACGUCCAUUUGUUAGAGGCAAAUAAGGCCCAGCGAGAUGGAUAGACAGAGAGAAUGGAGCUAGGAGGUUGUGCGAGAGGCCCAACUACUAGCUAGAUAGGGGCAGGAGUGUGCGGUUGUGAGAUCGACGAAAAGAGGGGCGAGAGUUUACAUGUGUGUCUGACCAUAUGAGAGACACGAGGCAAGGACACAUAAAGGAGGAGAUUGAAGUUGUGUGUGUAUGUUGUAGGAAGGCAUCGCUAGAGAGGUUUAUCGAUCAGUGUGUGUCGGAAAGGAGUUGUGGAGACUCUGGGAGAAUGACCUAAAGAAAAAAAAUGAAUGUGCCCGGUGGAUAGAAUGCCGAGGGAGGGGGAGGGCGAGGAGGGCGUGUGCAUGCACGAGAGAAAGUUAGUGGUAGCUACAAAGGUUAGAGGAUUGUGUGGGUGUAAGAGACUAACAAAGAUCAUAAUUUGAUAUGAAAGCGGAUUCAUAUAUUUGAAUAGGAGAUCAUAGUGUUUUAAACAUUACAUGCAUGAAUAUAGCGGUGAUACACGUGAUGUGCACAUCUUAUACCAUAAUGCUAUAAUGCAUGGCGUCUGCAACUCACAGCUAAAUGCCGAACAAUCUAUACCAUACUAUACAUCAAACAAUCUCACAUUUUAUUUGAAUUUGUGAUAAUGUGCGGUGUUUGCAGCUUACAACUAAAUAUCGAGCAAUCUAAACAAUAAUAUAUAUCGAACAUUCUCACAUUUUAUUUGAAUUUGUGGUAAUGUGUGGCGUUUGCAACUCACAUCUAAAUACUUGUAGGCAUAGGGGGCGGGGCACCAUACAUAAUGUGAUGAACACAUUAUACAUAUGAGACAUGGUUUAGAUUAUGAAGAUCUAGCUAGAGCUAGAAAUGUAAUGUGAUUUGAAAUCAAAACAUAGUGGAUUCAAAAAAUCUAGUUUGAGUUCAUAUGUUUUGCUUGGAGCGUCAUUUUAUUUUGUUAGUUUUUGCUUGCUGUUAGUUAUAAUAGUGUUUUGCAUCUUUAGUUUUGAUAAAAAAGUCAAGGAUAGCCUCUACCAUGCUUAUUUUGCUAGUUUGCAUGUUGCUGUUUGAAAACAGAAAGUUUACCGCUGUUGCAAAAAUUCCCUAGAAAAGUCAGAGAAUGGUAUAACGUUGAAUCUUUUUGAAUAUUGAGCACUGAUAAAUUUAUUACAGUGGCAAUUUUAGUUCAUAAUUUUUGGAGUCGGGGAAGUAUUGAUACUCUUGCAUUCUUUACAGAUUGUACUGUUUUGGCAGAUUGCUGUUAUAUUUGCGUUGUUUGCAUAUGUUUGCUUGUUUAAUGAUUCUAUUUGAUGAUAGGAGUAUUAAAUAUGCAGAGGCAUUUAGUAUUCCAUGUGGAAUAAUAAUUUUUGUGAUUUGUUACAGUAGAAUAUGAUAAGGUUUUGCACUGGCUUAUACUAACCUAUCUCAUGAGUUCUUGUUGAGUUUGUUGUGAUGAAGCUUUUGAUAAAAAGAGAAACCGAUAUGAGAGGAAUUAAGGAGACACAAAAGUUCAAGCUUGGGGAUGCCCAAGGCACCUCAAGAUAAUAUUUCAAGAAGUCUCAAGCAUCUAAGCUUGGGGAUUCCCUGGUAGGCAUCCCACCUUUCUUCUUCAACAACUAUCGGUUAGUAUCGGUUGAGCCUAAGUUUUUGCUUCUUCACAUGAGUUGUUCUAUCCUUGCAAUGUAGUUUUCUUUAGCUUUGAUUGCUGUUUGAAUAAAGUAUCAAGAUCUGAAAUUAUUAAUUGAGAGAGAGUCUUCAUAUAGUUGCAUAAUUAUUCGACUACUCAUUGAUCUUCACUUAUAUCUUUCGGAGUAGUUUUUGUUAUUGCUCUAGUACUUUACUUAUAUCGUUUAGAGCACAAUGGUGGUUUCAUUUUGAAGAAAUAGAUGAUCUCUCAUGCUUCACUUAGAUUAUUUUGAGAGUCGUUAAUAGCAUGGUAGUUUUCUUAAUGUUAAUAUACUUAGUGUUCAAGAUAUGUGAACCUUUCUUUUGAGUGAAUUGAAUACUAAGAUAAGUUUGAUGCUUGAUAAUUGUUUUGAGAUAUGGUGGUGAUAAUAUCAAAGUCGUGCUAGUUGGGUGAUUGUGAAUUUGAGAAAUACUUGUGUUGAAGUUUGCAAGUCCCGUAGCAUGCACGUAUGGUUAAAGUUGUGUAACAAAUUUGAAACAUGAAGUGUACCUGGCUUGUGCAUCCUUAUGAGUGGCGGUCGGGGACGAGCGAUGGUAUUUUCCUCCCAAUCUAUCCCCCUAGGAGCAUGCGUGUAGUACUUGAUUUUUGAUGACUUCUAAAUUUUUGCAAUAAGUAUAUGAGUUCUUUUGACUAAUGUUGAGUCCAUGGAUUAUACGCACUCUCACCUUUCCGCCUUUGCUAGCCUCUUCGGUACAGUGCAUUGCCCUUUCUCACCUUGAGAGUUGGUUCAAACUUCACCGAUGCAUCCAAACCCCGUGAUACGAUAGGCUCGAUCACACAAAAACCUCCUUAUAUCUUCCUCAAAACAGCUACCAUACCUACCUAUUAUGGCAUUUCCAUAGCCAUUCCGAGAUAUAUUGCCAUGCAACUUCCCACCAUUCCGUUCAUCAUCAUCAUGACAUACAUUACUUUUGUCAUAUUGCCAUUGCAUGAUCAUGUAGUUGACACCGUAUUUGUGGCAAAGCCACCAUGCAUUAUUUUUCAUACAUGUCACUCUUGAUUCAUUGCACCAUCCCGGUACACCGCCGGAGGCAUUCAUAUAGAGUCAUAUCUUGUUCUAGUUUCGAGUUGUAAUCCUUAUGUUGUAAUCAAUAGAAGUGUGAUGAUCAUCAUUAUUGAGCAUUGCCCAAUCAAAAAAAAGAAAAAUAAAAAGAAGAAAGGCCAAAAAAAAGGAAAGGCCCAAAAAAACAAAAAGAAAAAGAAAAAGAAAAGAAAAAGGGCAAUGCUACUAUCUCUUUUUCCACACUUGUGCUUCAAAGUAGCACCUUGUUCUUCAUGUAGUGAGUCUCAUAUAUUGUGCUUCAAAGUAGCACCUUGUUCUUCAUGUAGUAGUCUCAUAAGUUGUCUUUUUAUACUAGUGGGAAUCUUUCAUUAUAGAACUUGGCUUGUAUAUUCCUAUGAUGGGCUUCCUGAAAUGCCCUAGGUCUUCAUGAGCAAGCGAGUUGGAUGCACACCCACUAGUUUUCUUUUGUUGAGCAUUCAUAGCUCUAGUGCAUCCGUUGCAUGGCAAUCCCUACUCCUCAUGUUGACAUCAAUUAAUGGGCAUCUCCAUAGCCCGUUGAUUAUCCUCGUCAAUGUGAGACUUUCUCCUUUUUUGUCUUCUCCACACAAUCCCCAUCAUCAUAUUCUAUUCCACCCAUAGUGCUAUAUCCAUGGCUCACGCUCAUGUAUUGCGUGAAGGUUGAAAAAGUUUGAGAUUAUUUGAGUAUGAAACAAUUGCUUGGCUUGUCAUCGAGGGUAUAGAAGUUGGGAACAUCUUUGUGUGACGAAAAUGAAGCAUAAACUAACUAUAUGAUUUUGUAGGGAUGAACUUUCUUUUGCCAUGUUAUUUUGCGAAGACAUGAUUGCUUUGAUUAGUAUGCUUGAAGUAUUAUUAUUUUUGUGUCAAUAUGAACUUUUGUCUUGAAUCUUUCGGAUCUGAAUAUUCAUAUCACAAGUAAGAAGAUUUACAUUGAAAUUAUGCCAAAGUAUCACUCCGCAUCAAAAAUUCUUUUUUAGCAUUUACCUACUCGAGGACGAGCAGGAAUUAAGCUUGGGGAUGCUUGAUAUGUCUCCAACGUAUCUAUAAUUUUUGAUUGCUCCAUGCUACUUUACCUACUCUUUUAGGCAAUAUUGGGCUUUAUUAUCCACUUUUAUAUUAUUUUUGGGACUAACCUAUUAACCGGAGGCCCAGCCCAGAUUUGCUGUUUUAUGUCUAUUUCAGUGUUUCGAGGAAAAGGAAUAUCAGAUGGAGUCAAAAUGGAACGAAAUCAACUAGAGAAGUUAUUUUUGGAAGGAAAGCAACCUGAUGGACUUGGAGUGCACGUCAGGGGAGUCCUGGGCUGCCCACGAGGGUGGGGGCGCCCCUCCCCCCCCCCCUAGGCGCGCCCCCCUACCCUGUGAGCACCCGGGAGGUCCACCGACGUACCCCCUGCACCCAUAUAUACUCUUGUACCCUAAAACUUCCAGAACAGAAGAUAGAUCGGGAGUUCCGCUGCCGCAAGCCUCUGUAGCCACCAAAAAACAAUCGGGACCCUGUUCNNNNNNNNNNNNNNNNNNNNNNNNNNNNNNNNNNNNNNNNNNNNNNNNNNNNNNNNNNNNNNNNNNNNNNNNNNNNNNNNNNNNNNNNNNNNNNNNNNNNNNNNNNNNNNNNNNNNNNNNNNNNNNNNNNNNNNNNNNNNNNNNNNNNNNNNNNNNNNNNNNNNNNNNNNNNNNNNNNNNNNNNNNNNNNNNNNNNNNNNNNNNNNNNNNNNNNNNNNNNNNNNNNNNNNNNNNNNNNNNNNNNNNNNNNNNNNNNNNNNNNNNNNNNNNNNNNNNNNNNNNNNNNNNNNNNNNNNNNNNNNNNNNNNNNNNNNNNNNNNNNNNNNNNNNNNNNNNNNNNNNNNNNNNNNNNNNNNNNNNNNNNNNNNNNNNNNNNNNNNNNNNNNNNNNNNNNNNNNNNNNNNNNNNNNNNNNNNNNNNNNNNNNNNNNNNNNNNNNNNNNNNNNNNNNNNNNNNNNNNNNNNNNNNNNNNNNNNNNNNNNNNNNNNNNNNNNNNNNNNNNNNNNNNNNNNNNNNNNNNNNNNNNNNNNNNNNNNNNNNNNNNNNNNNNNNNNNNNNNNNNNNNNNNNNNNNNNNNNNNNNNNNNNNNNNNNNNGGCCCAGCCCAGAUUUGCUGUUUUAUGUCUAUUUCAGUGUUUCGAGGAAAAGGAAUAUCAGAUGGAGUCAAAAUGGAACGAAAUCAACUAGAGAAGUUAUUUUUGGAAGGAAAGCAACCUGAUGGACUUGGAGUGCACGUCAGGGGAGUCCUGGGCUGCCCACGAGGGUGGGGGCGCCCCUCCCCCCCCCCUAGGCGCGCCCCCCUACCCUGUGAGCACCCGGGAGGUCCACCGACGUACCCCCUGCACCCAUAUAUACUCUUGUACCCUAAAACUUCCAGAACAGAAGAUAGAUCGGGAGUUCCGCUGCCGCAAGCCUCUGUAGCCACCAAAAAACAAUCGGGACCCUGUUCCGGCACCCUGCCGGAGGGGGAUCCCAUCACUGGUGGCCAUCUUCAUCAUCCCGGCGCUAUCCAUGAUGAGGAGGGAGUAGUUCACCCUCGGGGCUGAGAGUAUGUACCAGUAGCUAUGUGUUUGAUCUCUCUCUCUCUCGUGUUCUCUCUCGUGUUCCCUCUAUGGCACAAUCUUGAUGUAUCCCAAGCUUUGCUAUUGUAGUUCGAUCUUAUGAUGUUUCUCCCCCUCUACUCUCUUGUGAUGAAUUGAGUUUCCCCUUUGAAGUUAUCUUAUCGGAUUGAGUCUUUUAUGAGAACACUCGAUGUAUGUCUUGCCGUGAUUAUCUGUGGUGACAAUGGGAUAUGAUGUGCCACUUGAUGUAUGUUUUGGUGAUCAACUUGCUGGUUUCGUGACAUUGGGAACCUAUGCAUAGGGGUUGGCAGACGUUCUUGACUCUCCGGUAGAGACUUUGGGGCACUCUUUGAAGUACUUUUAUGUUGGUUGGAUGAAUCUGAGAUUGUGUGAUGCAUAUCGUAUAAUCAUGCCCAUGGAUACUUGAGGUGACAAUGGAGUAUCUAGGUGACAUUAGGGUUUUCGUUGAUUUGUGUCUUAAGGUGUUAUUCUACUACGAACUCUUUUAUAGAUCGAUCCGAACGAAUAACUUUGAGGUGGUUUCGUACCCUACCAUAAUCUCUAUGUUUGUUCUCCGCUAUUAGUGGCUUUGGAGUGACUCUUUGUUGCAUGUUGAGGGAUUGUUAUAUGAUCUAUCUACGUUAUUAUUGUUGAGAGAACUUGCACUAGUGAAAGUAUGAACCCUAGGCCUUGUUUCCUACCAUUGCAAUACCGUUUACGCUCGCUUUUAUCGCUCGCUACCUUGCUGUUUUUAUUAUUUCAGAUUACGAAAACCUAUAUCUACUAUCUAUUUUGCACUUGUAUCUUCAUCUCUUCGCCGAACUAGUGCACCUAUACAAUUUACCAUUGUAUUGGGUGUGUUGGGGACACAAGAGACUCUUUGUUAUUUGGUUGCAGGGUUGUUUGAGAGAGACCAUCUUCAUCCUACGCCUUCUACAGAUUGAUAAACCUUAGGUCAUCCACUUGAGGGAAAUUUGCUACUGUCCUACAAACCUGUUCACUUGCAGGCCCAACAACGUCUACAAGAAGAAGGUUGUGUAGUAGACAUCAACCACCCAGCCGGAGCCUCUUCCCCUACGACGUCGUCCACAACAACACCUCGACGUCGCCCAUCCACCGUACCGGAUGAGGAUCCGUCGUCGAUCUCAUCGCCCCGCCGGUUCAUCCACCCCAUCCUCCACCCCCAAGGAGCUGCCCAGACAUUCCCCUCGUCUUUCGCCCCACCUCCAUUCCCACACCGUCGUCUUCACCUGCACCACCGGAAGAGAAUCAUCAUCACCAUUUCCUCGGAUGAAGCUGCAGCCUAAUCGGCGCCACCAAAGAGGUUGUACACUAAUCGCUGCAUUUUCUUCUUGAUUCGAUCUCACGGUGCUGUUGGCGCUCGGUCCCGAGCCGACACGGCGCGGCUCCUUUCAUGGCGGCGUCGCCGGCCACUUCCUCCACGGCGUCGCUCCCUCAGCGGUGACGUCCACAUCAGUAGGAGCUGCUGCUGCUUUAGCUCUCGCUCGCGCUGCUGCUCUGCUCUUGCUCUUGGUCCCCUGCCUGAUCUGCUCUUGCUAUUGCUCUUGCUCGCGCUGCUGCUCUCGCUCUUGCUCUUGCUUGUGAUGCUGCUCUGAUUUGGCUACACUUCAGUCGACUGAAUCGACUUUGGGUUCAGUCAAUUUUCAAGGGGUGGGCUCGCCGGGGUGAAGGAAGAACCAGCCGCAGCGGGGAGGGGGGCUCGCCGGAGAGGUACCCCACUAUCUAUCUUAGGGUUCAGGAUGGGGGCGGUGGUCGCUAGCAUUGGCGUGGCGGUGGCGUGGGGAUCGCUGGAGAAAAAGCUUGGCAUGGGGGGGCUAGAGGGAUGGCCGGGGCGACGGCGGACCGGCGGUCGGGAGUGUUUUCGGGGCGGGUGGGGCGGCGCACCGCCGGCCGCGGGCGCCGGGGGGCUGCUGUUUGGCCGGUGGUGGCUGGCGGCUCAGGGGGGUGGAAGUUGAAGAUGAACCGCAGGCCCUUGAUUUCGUAUCCAACGGCUGCAAAAUCGACUGGCCAGAGAUGAAAAAGUCAGUCGACCGACGUGUAGCCUCACCUUGCUAGUGCGUUCAGUUUCGACAGCAAAAUUCAGUUUCGACAGUUAGGUUCAGUUUCGACAGUUAAGUUCAGUUUCGAUAGUUAAGUUCAAAGAUGAGCGGCUGAUGUAUUUUACAUAUAGCACUUUGUGGUUAUCUAUUUUAUGUCAUGUAUUGGAGAUGCUAUUAGAAUUCCACUCAGGUUAAUGUUGUUCGUUGUCUCUCUUGUCCUGCUUCAGCCUCGAUGUCGUACAACUCACCGAAGCUGCUCCAACGACGAAACCCUCCAUCAUAGCAGAGCAGUACCUCGGGCUCCAUCUCCAGACGCAUAAGAUCUUCUUCCCCUCCUCCGACAGCAAAGUCAGUCGGAGCAUCCUCACCGGCCAACCCAAUCACGCUGAGAUCGACAUGGCUUCACCAAAGAGGUUGUACACUUGUUGCAUCUCUUUUUUACUCUACAUGUUAUAUAUAUUGUCCACUGAGCACACAGAUUUGUUCCUUUAGUGUGUCCUUGAAAGAAAAAACGUAGGAAUUUUAAUUUUCACUUGUCCUCCUUUUCAAAUUCCUAUUCAUGAAGCACAAGACUAAGAGAUAGUAGCAUAAUAGCAUUAUAACCGUACAUUUUCUUGUGGUUUGACUUAAUCUCACCAUGCUUCUUUGCAUCCUGUGAUCUUCCAAUUGUUGUGAAUCAAACACCCAGAUUGGCAGAAAUCUUGUGUUUUUAAAUUCUCUAUUUUGCACGUGUAUUCCUAUCCUAUUCCUGUCUAUUUCCUAUCCCUGCAUUAUUGGAAUCCUCCAAUUCAAACGAGCCCUUACAGAAUUACUUCUCUUACAGAUAGUUGUCAAAGAAAACCUUGCGUGGUUUGUCCCGCUCCUAUUGCGCCGUCGUCCACCCCAGCUCAGCUGCUCCAACGACAGAAGGGUCCAGCACAGCAGGGAUCCAGCCUCCAGACUGUCUUUCGCCGCCUCAGAUCUUCUUCCCCGCCGCUGGCAGCCAUGAAAACUGCAUUACCAUCAUCAACCGAGAAGAUGACCUCGAGGACUACACGGGUCCGCAAGAGAGGUCGCACUCUUUCUUGUCUACUUACGUUAUGCAUCGCUUAAUAUUACAUGCUACUUUAUCAUCCUGUUCACUGAUUAGACUCUGAGUCAGCUCCAAAGUAAUGGUCAAACUUGAGUUUUUAAAUGGUUGUGGGGUACAUAUCGGGGCCGCUAUCAAUAGUAUCUAUCUACUAUCUGCUUAAUCUCCGGUGUCUACUAUGAGUUUCAUGUUGGGUGGGAAACACAUAGUAAAGAAGACAUUAUCUGUAUUUAUUAACUGAAGCCAUUAUCUGCCUGCUAUUAUUGGUUUUGGUUCUAUCCACAGGUUGCAUGCACUCCUUACAUAAUCUCACUAUGUUUUAUUCCUAUGCAUGACAGUUAUUGUUAACAAUGAAACUGAACAUGUAGAGCAAAAGAGACGAGCCUUGCAUGGCAAUAUAAUUUCAUGCAGACGUCGCUCCAUGGUAGGCGCAAAGGCAGCCCCCCCUCCACGCAUUUCGGAUUGUAAUCGAGAGGAAGAUAUCUGUUCUGAGGGGGAUUCAGAAGGAGAAGAUAACUCCUAUUUACCCCCUGAGGUCUUCGCUCUAACUUGGCAUGCUGAUGUUGGUUAUAUCAUGCAUAUGGUGUCUUGCAUUGCUUACUUUAUACAUCAAAUAUGGCAUCUGCUUAGUUUAGACAUCCUUUGUGCGAAUGCCAUCUGUUUAGUUUAUUCAUCGUUUAUGUGAAUUAUGCAACGCCACCUUGUUUAGAUAGGCAUCAUAUAUGUGAAUUUUGCAAUGACAUCCUGCAUAGCUAGUCAUCUUAUAUGUAAAUUAUAUCAGGCCAUCCUUUUUUUCGUUACAUAUUACAUCUGUCAACAAUGUUAGUACAUUCAACUGCUCUUCGUGUGCAUCAGCCAUUUGACACGGUGAUGGCAAAUUCUGGAGUGAAAACAAGGUCUUCUAAGGAGACUAUGAUAUCUAACGAAGCGCAUAUCUCGCUGGUUACGGAUAGCUCCUCAGAGGAGGAUUUAGAGAUAGAUGACCAGUCCUAUUCCCCCCCUAGGUGUAUGCUCUAACUUGGCAGGGUUAUGUUGCUCAUAUCGUGCGUAUGGUGUCUCGCAUUGCUAUGCCAUUUGAUUAGUUUAGACAUGCUUUGUGUGAAUGCCACCUGUUGAGUGUCUAAUUACCAUAUAUGUGAAUUAUGCAUUGCCAUCUUGUUGCAAGACAUUAUAUAUGUGAAUUAUACAAUGCUAUCUUGUUGCAAAGGCAUUAUAUAUGUGAAUUAUGCAAUGCCAUGCUGUUUAGCCAAUCAUCGUGUAUGUGAAUUAUAUCAUGCUAUCAUUUUUUUGCAUUACGUGUUCCAUUUGUCGACAACGUUUGUAUAUUCAACUACUCUUCCUAUGCAUCAGCCAUUUGAAGCGGUGAUGGAAGUAUCUGGAGUGAAAACAAGGUAUUCAGAGCAGACAAUGCUACCUGCUGAAGCAGACAUCUUGCUGGCUACAGAGAGCUCCUCAGAGGAGGAUUCAGAGACUGAUGACCAGUCCUAUUUUCCCCCUGAGGUCUAUGCUCAAACUUGGCAGGGUUAUAUUACCCAUGUCAUGCAUGUUAUCUUGCAUUGCUUAGUUUUUACAUCAUAUAUAGAUUGCAAUCUGCUUACUUGCUUACUAUAUAAAUCAUAUAUUUGAAUUAUAUCAUGCCAUCAUGUUUACAUAGUACAUACACAUCAUCUAUCUGAAUUAUGGCAUGUCAACCCAUUUAAUAAAGACAUCAUAUAGUUAUAUCAUCUCAUCCCGUUUAGUGUUUACAGUCAUCAUAUUUAGAAUUAUGGCAUUCUAUCCAUGAAUGUAUGUGAAUUAUGGCAUGUCAACCUAUUUAAUAAACACAUUAUAUAGUUAUGUCAUGUUAUCCUGUUUAGAUAGUCUCAUAUUUUGAACUAUGUCUUCCCAUCUUUUUUAGUUAGCCAUCAUAAUGUGAAAUUGUGUCAUGCUAUCCUGUUUAGUUAGCCAUCAUAUAUGUGAAAUUGUGUCAUGCUAUCCUGUUUGGUUAGACAACAUAAAUAUGAAUUAUUUCAUGCCCUCUUUUAUUCCCCACUAUCCAUUGCACAUGUCUAUCAUACAAUGUCUAUACUUUCAGUUACUUUUCUUGUUUAUCAGCCAUUUGAAUUGGAGAGCGUGAUGGCAGUAUCUAAGGGAGUAACAACACGGUCUUCAGAAAAGAUAGUGCUACCAGUUGAUGCAGAUAGAACCACGGUUGUACUUGCCCAAGGACCAGAUCCACCACACAUAACCCAGACUCUCACAGAUUGUACCCCUACCCAGUUGAACAGAGAACCAGCUACACCCCUUCUAACCCCAACCACGGCAGAUAGUAACCCAGUUCCAAUUGACACAACACCGUCUCCACCAUAGAGCACCCAAACACGAGCGGUUAGUAAGGGAACUGCAGUGCCCAAAGCACGAGGACCACCACUCCGAAUCCCAACUCAACGAUUAAAGGAGAAGAAGAUUUGUUCUCAGGUCAGGUUCUGUAGCUAUUGUUCCUACUCCUUUGCUCUUGCAUUACUGUAUUUACUCAUACCAACUAUUUUCAAAUUUGAAGGAUGGAAUUGAAACUCCAAUGGCGCAACAGGUAUGUUUUAAACCUGUUUCUUUAAUUGGUUUGCUGUUGUAACCUGCUCUAUGUUGAUUUCAGUUUCAAUUGAAUAAACAGUUAUGUUCUCAUGUCAUGCACAUUACAAGUGUUGUUAUUGCUCUAUAGUUACCCACACUUAUAUUCUGUCUAUUCUGCUUUGUCUUGAACAAAUAUUAUCUGAACUGUGUCUCUAUCUUGAUUUGGCAACAAAAACUAGAAUGAUAUAGACCAUAAAGUGACCAUGGUACAUAGAUAUAUGUUUGUUUCAUGUUGUUAUCCUGUCCACUUUACUACUGAACUCAUUUACCAAAAUGAGUUUCAUAUACAACAUGGUAAACAUGUGAUGUGUCUGCUUGUUUCUCUUUUAGAAUGUGGACAAAAUAUUGGAGAAUAGUACCGCGUUAUCCAAUGGUAAAGGAAGUAAUGCAGAUAAGGUUCAAGAUAGUGAGACAUCCCUGUUGGUCUCCAAGAAAGCUGAUAAAAACUAUCUUGACGACAGUGAGGGAACCCAAAAGUCCUGUCUUGAUGUAGUGUUCAAGUUACUGGCCACUACUGCUGGCACAAGCUCUUCGAACUCGCUGCCUGAAUCAGUUCGUCUUCUUGAGUCUCAACUUCAAGUUGGAAGACAUCGAUCAGAUGUGCAGCGAUAGGAAGCUGAAGGACUGAGGAAGUCCCUGCAGAAUUCAGAUGCAUAUUUUCUGGUGCAACAGCAAGCGCUGGAGGAUUUAUGCGCCAAACAAGAGAAAGUUAAUAAGCUUGCUAAGCAUCUUGCCAGCAUUAUGGGUACCCAGGAUAUUGUUUCUUGAGAUCUUCUGAAGUGGUUUCAGUUCUGGAUUUGUUUUGUUGUGGCGUUUAUUUGCGCUGGUCGCCAACUUUGACAACCAGUGUAUAUGAUAUGCUGCUUUGUUCCCUAUAUUUGCAUUGGUGGCGAACUUAGAUGCCCAGUGGAUGUAAUAUGUGUAACAGCCAUGAUAGCCUAGCAUAAGUUGCUUGCUUAUUUAUUUCCUUGUUGUCUUGUUUAUUUGUUUGCUUGUAGUCAGUGCAGUUCUUUUUAAAACUAGGCCACAAUAACCAUGGGCUAAUAUUUACUAUAGUGACACUGGGCCUCCUACGGGCCGUAGAAAUAGUGGGCCUUCUACGGGCCGUAGAAACAGUAGGCCUUCUACGGGCCGUAGAAACAAUGGGCCUUCUAUGGGCCGUAGAAACAAUGGGCCUUCUACAGGCCGUAGAAACAAUGGGCCUUCUACGGGCCGUAUCAUCAAUGGGCCUUCUACGGGCCGUAUCAUCAAUGGGCCUUAUACGGGCCAUAUGACCAUAACGGGCCAUCGUUAAUAGGCCGUAUUUGAUGACGCUAUGAAAACAGCCCAACAUAUUAACGGACCACAAACGGGCCGAUGUAACCACGGGCUGAAUUUGGCCCACAAGCAGAAAAUGACAGUAACGGGUCGUAAGUAAACGAAUGCUGGAAAUGAGGCCAAGAAUAAAUGGUCUCUGAGAAGGCCGAAAGAUAACAUUUGCUGGAAAACGGCCCAACUGAAUAACGGGCCCUUAAUGGGUACAAAGUGAUAUACUGUUCAUUACGGGCCAGUUUCACCACAGGCCAUUAAUGGGUGUAAAGUGAUACACUGUUCAUUAUGGGCCAGUUUCACCACGGGUCAUUAAUAGGCCAAUAGUUACAUAGGGCCUCAUAUGGGCCGAAAGAUGUCAUGGGCCAUACAUGGGCCAGAAGUGAAAACGGGUUGAAAUCAUAUUGGAUGGCCCAGAUGACGCUACUGGGCCUAAUUCGGAUAGGGCGUAACGGGCCUUGGGUUAGCGGGUUGUAAAUGGGCUAUAUGCGAACAGGCCGUUAACAGGCUUUCCAUGGGCCGGCAUGCCACCUUUUGACCAAGUCAAACGGGCCGGCCUUUCCACAGGAAUGGGCCUCUGUUGGGCCGUGCCACGUGUCGACGUAUCAUAGGCGCCUUCUGUCCAAUGAGUGGAUGACAUCUGUCCCAACAGUGAGCCGACACGUGUUUCCUCCAGCCAAUGAUGAUUUCACACGUGGAAAAUCCCCAUUGGUUGGGGCUGUUAACGGGUUAUCGAAUCCAAAACCCGACCCGGUAGCUUAACGGUGUUCUGUUACGGUGGAUGCCACGUGUCGGUCGCCCUUGACGAAAGCACUUCUGUGACGCGCGAUUUUUCGUCAUGGAAGUGGACACUUCCGUGAUGAUAAUUUUGGUAAUGUCAUGGAACACUUCUACGACAGCACAGGUAUGACUAUCUUGAUUCUGUCAUAAAUUUGUCAUGGAUGUAAAUGCAUGACAAAAAACGCGACCUACUGUGACAAACACGUAUCAUCAUGGAAGUGUAUUUUUUUUUGUAGUGCAUCUUACCGUCAUGCUCAAAGAUCAUGCAUCUUACCAUCUUACCGUCUCAUGCUUGAAUUGUCCUCGGUCGGUAGAAGGCUCCAAUAACUUUGUGGUAGGUGGAUCUACACCUUCCUAAGCAAGCCCAGUGACACCCAUUGCGGCUCAUGGUGCUUCAACCUCCACACCACAAUGAUCACUCGAGGUAGUUGUCUAUGCUUGUGCACUAUUGAUGCUUGUGUCUUGUCGUUGGUUGUGCCUUUCAACUUGUAACUUGUGCAUUGUUGAUGGUAGAGCCCACAAAUGUUGAUCCUUAUAUUAUUCAUACUUCUUAGCUUCAGUUUGAAAUUGAUAUGUUGAAGCUUGUUAAAUCUUGUGCCUUAUUGAUCUGCAAUUUAAAUUUGGAAAUUCUUACUUGGCUUCAAUUUGAAACAUAUAGGUUUGCAUCGUGGAUGCAAUCGAUGGUGGGCAUACAUGCUGUGGUGGAAGCUGAUUGCAUCUUUUAGGUUGAACUCAUGCUAUGUGUGAACUUGGAACUCAUGAUUCCAUUUGUGGACUCUUGUUGCAUCUGUAGGUGAACCCUUGUUGAAUAUGUACGAUUGUGGACUUUGAACUCAUGGCCCUUUUGUUUGUGAACUCUUGUUGCAUAUGUACACAUGUUUUUGUGAACCUUCUUUGAAUAUGUAUGCAUCUCUGGACUACUCAUGGUUGGUUUGUUAUGGUUGUCAACUUGUAUUAUAUUGUUGCUGUGAACUUUGCUGUAUAUAUAUUGUUGGUGCUCUCAGAAGCCAUUUGUAGCAUAUAGUGGCAUAUGUACACAAAUAAAAUGCUACUAGCGCUAUAAGCUGUAUGUCCCAGCGGCAAGCACCCGGCUUAUAGGGCAUAUAUAUGCCCAGCAAUGGGUUGUAAGCCGUGUGUCCCAGGACGCGGCACCCGGCUUAUAAACCAUUAUCCGACGACCCCGCUAAAUAUAAGCCGGGUCUGGGGCCCUCGGUUUACAUUUAUAAACCGUGUGGCAUAACAGGGCCCUUGGUUUACAUGUAAACCGUGUGGCUCGCCUCGGCCCUCGGUUUACAUGUAAACCGUGUGCUCACCGGCACUCGGCUUAUAUAGACGGACACAUGACGUAACCGUUAGUGUCCGGCUGCCGUUAUAUAUAAACCGUGUGUUAGUGGCCCAAGAUGUACUCGGCUUAUAUAUAAACUGAGUGUUUUCUCCGUGGCUCUCGGCUUACCCUUGAUAAGCCCGUCCUUAGUAAGCCGUGACCUAUAAGCCGUGAAAAACACUCGGCUUAUAUAUAAACCGAAUGCAAACUGGCAUAAGCCUAGUGUUUUGGGCACUCGGCUUAUAAGUUUUUUCCUGUAGUGUCACCUCUGUCAUUCCUCAAGACAGCACCUGCACCAGCAGUACCAUUUUCUGAAAACGCGGCAUCGACAUUUAGUUUGUAGUUGUUCCUUUCUGGCUUUGUCCAGACAGUUUGACGAGGUUCAGAUUUAUUAGCUCGAUCAAAAUUGCAUGUCAGCGCUUGGAUUGAAAAGGCUGUGCGUGUUGGAUCGGCCACAUAUUCCCCCUUGACAAACUCCCUCCACUGCCACCAUAUGUACCAUGCUCCCACAAGGAUUGAUUCCUUCAGUCCCACUUGAUUCAUUACCGGUGAUCUGACUUGUGGUUUACGUAAUAUUUCUUCCAGAAUAAUAGAACCUGACCUAUCCACUUGCGUCAUCUCGUUGAUGUAGUCUAGAAGACCCAAUGAAUGCCAUACUUUCCUUGCUCGGUCACACAUGAACAUGAGAUGUUUAAUAUCCUCUGCAUCUUUCUCACAAACAGGACACUGUGCCGAGGUUGGGAUGUGUCUGUUUGCAAGAAUCGCCAGCCCCGGAACCAUGCCAUGUAAGGCUUUCCAUCCGAAGAUCUUAACUUUUCUUGGCACGUGCAAUUUCCAGAGAAUUUCCCACACUGGGUUGCAUGCUGACGGUCCUUGGCCAUCUGCUUGAGUUAGUCUAUGCCUAUGAGAAUAGUUCCACUCAAUGUAAUAUGCCGACCGCACAGAAAAUAUAUAGGAUUUUGUAUUAGUGCCAAUCAAUAAAAUCCUCAUCAAGGUGUGCGCUUAGGGGAAUGCUAAGUAUUCAGUGGACAUAAAUCGGAGAGAAAAUGUCUCUCAAAAGAACCUCAUCCCAACUUCCAGUAUUUGGGUCAAUAAGCUCAUUUAUAGUUUGCAAUAAGAUAUUUCCCCUUGGCGUUUGGAUCAUACGAGAUGGGCUACCCGGGACCCAAUGAUCAUCCCAGAUAUUAAUCAUUUCACCAGUGACAACCCACCAAAUGUGGCCUCUUCAAAAGGUGUUCAAACCUGCCACAAUACUCUGCCAUGUAAAGGAGGACCCCUUCUUUGGACCAGCUCUAAUUAAGGAGUAGUCAGGAAAAUACUUUGCUUUCAAAACUUUAGCACAAAGGGAAUCAGAAUUUGAGAUGAGCCUCCAAGACUGUUUUGCAAGCAUUGCCAAAUUAAAAGAGUGUAGAUCUCGAAAUCCCAUACCUCCAUCCCUUUUAGGAAUACACAUCCUCCACCAUGCCAUCCAGUGCAUACGCUUAUGGUUCUCUGAGUUACUCCACCAAAACUCAGCCAUCACAUAUGUCAUCUCUUUACAUAGUUUCUUCGGGAUAUUAAACACCGACAUAGCAAACAAAGGAAUUGAUUGUAUGACCGCUUUCAGUAAGAUUUCCUUUCCACCCAUAGACAGAAAUUUUUCCUUCCAAUUUUUGAGUCUUGUUAUGAUCCUUUCUAUAAAUGAACAAAGCUAUCACUUCUAUCCACACCCACCAUAGCAGGCAAACCCAAGUACUUAUCAGAAAGGGCUUCUGACAUAAUAUUGAGCUCGGUACAUAUAUCAACCUUUACUUCUACACUUACAUUGGGACUGAAGAAGAUGCUACAUUUUGCUUCACUCACCAGCUGUCCAGAGCUUGCACAAUAUUGAUCUAGUGUUUGUCUCAAUGAGGUUGCAUUAGUCAUAUCUGCUUUCAUAAGGAUAAGGGAAUCAUCAGCAAAUAGCAAGUGUGACACUGAUGGUGCAUUUCUACUAACCCUUACUCCUUCUAUACCACGAACCUCCUCUUUAUGAGCCAAUAACCUAGAUAGUCCCUCUGCACAAAUCAAAAAUAAAUAAGGGGAAAGGGGGUCUCCCUGCCGAAGUCCUCUUCCAGGAAUGAAAAAAUUAGUUUCUUGAUUGUUAAAUCUGACUUUGUAUUUGACAGAUUGAAUACAGGCCAUUAGCAAUUCUACAAACUCCACAUGGAACCCCAAUCUGAUCAUCAUAUCACGCAAAAACCUCCAUUCAACGCGGUCAUAUGCCUUGUGCAUGUCCAAUUUUACCGCACAAUUAAUUAAUCCUUUAACUGGAGUAACAAAUCACUGGUAGUAGAGUACUGCUCCUAUUGCAAACAUCCAACGGCACAUCUACCAAAUCCUGACCCCCUUUCUUCUCCGACAUCCACCGUUGCUUGUCGUCGCCACCGACAACUCAAUUUCUUUCCUAAAUCCCUUUCUUCUCCAGCGUCUACACUCGCUCGUCGUUGCCGUCGCAAGCUCCUCUUUGUAGUGGACGCAGCGGAGCCAAAGCUCUGUCCCCGUUGCUCAUGAUCUCCCCGCCGUCGACGACCAGGUUCCUCGAUGCCCGGAAGCCACCACCACUCGCUGCACAGCCGGAGGCUCGCUUUGUCGCGCUGCGUCACCUUGUCGUGCCGUCGCCGACGAGAUGCAAAAGACCGAGAUUAGGUCUCUGUUAGAGCAUCUUCAAUAGAUGAUGUAAAAUAAAUCACCAAAAAAUGGGUGAUGUAAAUUCUAUAUCAUCAAAAGGUGGCUUUUACAUUAGCAGGUGUCGUCGAUGUUCGUGUGCGCCGAUGCAUGUAGGUCGCCGCUUCUGCACGGGAGACCCGCUGCAGGUUGGGCCGCACUUCCACUGUAGGCCGCCGUGCGUCACAGGUCCAGGGAAGACGUCGUCGUAGUUGCAGUGGGCCGCCGUGCGUCAGAGGUCCAGGGAAGACACCGUCAUAGUUGCAGUUCUUGGAGCACUGUCGUACUCCCGCUGCAGCUCACCGGGGGCGGCGGGAAUGGCCGGAAUCCGCCAGUGGCAUAGGGGAAUGGGUAGGGGUGGUCGGAUCUGGCCAUGGCGGGGUGCGGAGGUGUCCAAUGAACGGGCGGCAUAGUUGCGUGAUGCGGCGGGAGAAAUCGGACGGUCCUCAACUUUCAUGCGCGGUUGGGGCUUUGCGUCUGCUUCGUUUCUGCCGAUGCCAAGUGAUGUAAAAAAUUAGAGUCAAUUACACCACCGGUGCUUAAAUUUUACAUGAAAAAUCACUUUAGUGCUAAAACUUUUGGCAUACAUUGAACGGGUGCUAGAACUUGGCUGAGGCGUGCAUAUAUGGUGCAAAUCUCGCUCGUAUACGCCCGCGACGCUGACAUCACUUUGUAUAUCUACACUCUGCCCACGCGGCAGUGAUUGGGUCACAUCUAGCAGGACAAAUUAUUAGUAGUUGCCUGUGUGGCAUUGGCUGGGUCCCACCUAUCAGUCAAAGAGCAUAUAUAAUAUUAACAAGAAAAAAAAUUACUGCGCUCUCCUGUUUGAACCAGCAACCUUGUCCUUACAUGCACUCAUGUCUAGUCAAUGGGCAAACGACUUCAGUUACUCUCUCUCAGUUUACAGGGCGUGCGCGUACCUCUAGGUCGUCAAUUUGACCAACCUAAUACAAAUCAUAUAUUACGAAAAAUAUAUCAAUAUAAACUUCAGAUGUUUUAUUUUCAAAAGGUAUGAUUUUUGUGUUAUAUAGUUUAUAUUAGGAUGAUAAAAUUGGCAACCUAGGUAUACGCGUAGGACUUGUAAACUGAAACGGAGGGAGUAUCAUAAUUGAACGCACAACGGUCAUAUUCAUUAAGUAAAAUAACAUAUAUUAUAAUUUUAAUCCAAAAGAAAAGGAAGUAGCGGGCGUUCGAACCAGCAACAAAACUUUCCAAGUGCGCGUGGCUACCCAACAAGACAAAUAACUCUUUUUCUAAGAGCUACAUGACCAAUAAUUAUUGAUGUUUUAAUAUAAGUUGAUACAUAUAUUUUAUAUCCUUUCAACCAAACAGCAUACAUUGUAAUUGUAAUCCAAAGAAGAAGGAACUAGCAUAAAUUAAAAUAAUCACAUAUUAUUUGAAAACAUAUUCAUUUAACUUUAAAAAAUGAAUUAUAAAAACGGUAACAAAAUUUAAAUAUUGUUCAGUUGACGAUCCACAAUUUGUGCGCACAAUACACUCAUAUUUAUUUUUCAUUAAACAAAAUAUUUUUGUUUAUAAAAACACAUUAACUUUAUAAAAACAUGUGAACACUUUUUAAAGCAACAUAAAGAAUUCUUAAAGGUUGAACACUUUGGUACACUACAUGAUUAUUUUAUUAAAAUAGUGAACAUUUUUAAACUCAUAUGGUAAUGUAUUUAGAUACAUAGAAAAAUGAAAAUUACUUUAAUAUUUUUAUUAAACAUGUAAAUUGUUAAAGUUUUUUAAUUCAUAAUUUUCUUAUAUGGAUAUUUCAUCUCUGACUGAAUAAUUUUUAAAUUAAUAUGAAUAUUUAUUAUGUAAUAUAUUUUAUUUACGUAUAUAGUAUUUGUAACACAUGAUCAUAAUUUACAUAUGUUUUACAUAUUCACAUAAGAAACAACAGUGCAAAAUGGGCGGCAAUAACAGUAGGCCGUUUGAUUCUGAAAGGAUAAGAAGACUGUGCAUCCUCUUAGUUGAUGAAAUUUACUCGGCUGGUUGGCUAUUGGCGCUCGCUUGCAAUGCUGAGUACGCAAGUUCGAACCCUGGCGGUGUAUAGGGCCAUGUCAGCGCCACGGGCGUACAUGAGCAGGAUUUGCACCUUAUAUGAACGUCCGAGCCAAGUUCUGACACUCGUUCAAUGUAUGCCACAAGUUUUAGCACUAAAAUGACUUUUCUCGCCAAGUUUACGCACUAGUGGUGUAAUUGACUCAAAAAAUUACAUCUACAUCUUCUGUUGAUGUAUAUUUUGCUUUUUUUAGAUGUGUAUUGGCCACUUGGUGUUGUAUUUAUGUAAAUCUCAGAUUUAAAAAAAUACAUCUACAUCAUCUGUUGAUGUAUAUUUUGUUCUUUUUACAUUUAUAUCAUCCAUUGCAGAUGCUCUUAGGGAGAUGAAUCUAUACCUGAAUAAUAAUAAAAGGGCUAUUACUUCUGACGGUAUGCCAUAAAUAAUUGCACGCUGUUGGGCCAGCCAUGUCCGGGCAGCCUGUUUUUAAAGUUUUGUUUUUAUUGUUUAUUUUUCUUUUCCGUUUUCAUUUUUACUACUUUCAAUAAUUUGGGACUUCAAAAAACUUACAAUUUUUAAAAAAAAUAGAAAUUUAAAAUAAAUAUUUAAUAUAUCAUAAAAUAUUUGAGGAUUCAAAAAAUGUUUGCAUUUUUGCAAAACAAAUGUUUGCUUACUCAUCAAUGUUCAAAAUUUUGAAAAAAAAUGUUAAUAAAAAAGUCUUCAUGAUUUUUUUAAAAUUCCGUGUAUUAAAAAAUAUUAAUGAAAUUGAAGAAAAUUUUGUCAAUUCAAAAAAUGUUGAUGAAUGGAAAAAUAUCCUGAAAAUGAAAACUGUCGAGUUACAAAAUAGUUUAUUCAUUCAUAAAAUAUACAUUGAUUCAACCAAUCAUGCAUUUCAAAAAAUAUUCCUUAAAUAAAAGUAAUGUUUGUGAAUUUGAUAAAUUGUUCCACCAAUUUUCAAAAAAAAGUUCAUCGAUUCUUGAAAUGUUCGUGGAUUCAAGAAAACUGUUUCAAAAAUAUCAUAAUUAUUUAAAAAAUGUUGGAAAUUUUAAAUAUGUCGUGAUGUAUAAAAGCAAAUACUAUAAAAUGUUCAUGGAUUCAAAAAAGGUUCUUGAUUUUAGAAAAUGUUCGAUUUUUUUUUUGAAAUGUUCACGAAUUUGAAAAAUGUUUACCAGUUUAAAAAAAGUUCGUGAUUUCACGAAAUUUGGAGUGAUAGUGUAUCUCGAUGAUGCAGCAAACUGUGAGCAUGGCCAUUGGAGAUUAUAAUUACUUUUUCCUGUUGCGAUUCACGGGCCCUUUUGUUAUCUUUAUCAUUACCUAAUAAUAAAGCAGAUAUCGCUUCUUGUCGUACGUCAUCAAUAUUUUUGUAGAAAAGUCCCUCUAUUUUUGAGAAUUCAACCCAUAGUCCUAUUUUAAGUGGGUAUACGAGAAAAUGUUUCAUUUUUGCCAAAAAAAACACCAUGUAGUUAUUUGUAUUUAACCCGCGAUCCUUUAUUCAGAAAAAAAAAGCAUCUGCCUCUCCUCUUAUCCAUAGCGCCCAUUUUGUCAUGCGCCGGUGACCGUCGUGCCUCGCACGGGAGGGUGGACGACGCCCCGCUGGGGUUUGUGCUCGGGUGAGGGAUGGCACAGGGGACGACUUCUGCCACGUGAUGAGGUCGAGCAGGGUCGACACGGCGGCUCGAGCGCUUGGGGGCAGCGCAGCUUCUCGAUGCAGAACGGCGGGAGCGGCUGGAUUGGCGGCGGUCGUUGUAGCUUGCGAGCGGGAGACGAGAAGCACACCUGAGGACGUGCCACCGCUAGCGUGGGAGGCGGUUGGCUACAGAGGCGUGCAGGCAGCGCUCGGGCAGUGACGACAUGAUGGUCGUCCAACGAAGCGGGGAGCAACAUGACGGGCAUGGGCGGCAUGCUGCCCGCCCGAGAUGAGGAGCAGGAGGGGUGGCGUGUAGGAGGCGGUUGUUGCCGAAGGCGGCACUGGAUGUGUCGGACAUGCGCACUUGCCCGCGGUGAUUUUUUUUCCUGAUUCCAUUUCUUCUCCGGUGUCCACUCUCGCUGGUCAUCGCCACCGCAAGCUCUCUUUGUCGUGGAAGCAGUGGAGCCGGAGCUACAUCCUCGCUGCUCUCCCCACCGUUGACGACCAGGUUUCUCGGCGCCCCGACAGCCAAUUUCGCUCACUGCGCUACCGGAGGCUCACUUUGUCAGGCUGCAUCAUCUUGCCGUGAUGUUGCCGACGAUAUGCAAAAGAUGGAGGUGGGGUCUCUCUUAGAGCAUCUUCAAUAGAUGAUGUAAAAUACAUCAUCAAAAAGUGGGUGAAGUAAAUUUUACAUCAUUAAAAAGUGGCUUUUACAUCACCAGGUGUCGCCGAUGCUCGCGUGCGCGCCGGAUGCAGGUCGCUGCUCCUGCAUGGGACGCCCGCUGCAGGUCGAGCCGCCGGCGACAGAGGUCUAUGGAAGACGCCACCGCUGUUGCAGUUCUUGGUACACUGUCGUGCUCCCGCUAUAGCUCGCCUGGGGCGGCGGAAUCGGCCAACUUCGGAGGGGAUUGGGUAGGGGAGCUCGAACCUGGAGGUGGCGGGGUGCGAAGGCAUCCGGUGACGACCGUUGUGAUUCGGUGGGAAAAAGGGGAUCGGCCAGUCCGAAACUUUCAUGCGGUGGUUGGGGCUUCUUUUUUUUUUGCAACCCAAUCCGAGAGCUUUUAUUCAACAAAGGCACUCCUAGCAUCAUCCGCCAAAAGGCUGGUGAGUAGGAAGGAAGGUCUUGAGCCAGUCCAACUUUCGGUGACCAACAAUGUGCUUGCGUGUUUAGCACAGAGGUGGGCCGGUAGAUUGGCUGCCCCUGUUUACAUGUUGAACAACAAAAGAAGAAAAAGAUGAAGCUAGCUCUCCAAUUUCUACGAGUAAAGGAGCCACAACAGAAAGGCUGUUAUGACGAGUAUUCCAGAGAUUAACUAUCUCCAGGCAGUCUGUUUCCAUGAUCACAUGUGAGAAGCCACGCAAGUUAGCAAAGAUGACUCCAUCACGCAAAGCCAUGGUCUCUCCAAUGAACGGAUCCGAUAACCCUAUAUAAGGUUUACUCCAAACUCCCAACAAGGCCUUGCUGGAACGUGCUACACCUCCAGCUCCCACCUUAUUGAAGUCCAAAUUCACAGCCGCAUCGGUAUUGAUCUUGAUGACCCCCUCUUCAGGAGGUGUCCACCCAAAACUUGGCAGCACUGAAGCAUGUGGAAGAGGAAUAUCAAGUAACGCCAAGUCCUCUCGUAUCCUCUUGACUGAUAGAAAAGGAUCAAGUUGAUCAUCAUCAUGAGUAACUCUAUUUCUAGAGUGCCAAAUAGCCCACAUUAGUGAGAUCAUCUGAGACCUUUCCAGAUCAGAAAAACGCCCGUCACAAAUAAUAUCACGGGCACAUGUAUCCGGGUGUAGGCGUGGCCUACGGAGAUCGAACAAAGCAAAGGCCUGCUCCCAGAACAACCUGGCAUGAGAGCAAUGCACUAGAGCGUGCAUUAAAUCCUCAUCCAUUGCAUGACAAACAUUGCAUCGACUAAUGGGUUUGAUAUGACGGUACCUCAAGGUGGAUUCAUCAGGGAGGAUGCCACGGACUACCCUCCACCAGAACACACGCACUUUCGGCAACACCUUGAGCUUCCAUAGCGACUUCCACAUCUGUUCUUCACUCUGUGAGGAUCCGGUAACCGUCCCUUCCUCAAGAGCUAGACGCUCCUUUUGAGUCACAAGAGCACGGUACGCCGACUUGACAGAAUAGAUGCCGCUUCUUUCAUGGGCCCAAGCAAGAAAAUCAUCGCCGCCACCUCUGCGUAGUGGGAUAUUCAAUAUCGCAUCCGCUUCGGGUGCAGUAAACACAUCAUGAAUCAACUCCCUACGACAUGACCAGUUGUCUGUAUCAAUAAGCUGGUCCACCAUCCCCAGCGUCGUCCCUCCUGGUACAAUCAUAGGAGAUAAAGUUUGUAAACCUGGGAUCAACUUAUCAUUCCAAAUGGAGAUAGUAGUCCCAUUGCCAACCCUUUUGAUUAGCCCAACAUCAAGCGCCCUCCUGCCUGCAACAAUAGCGCGCCAAAUAGCAGAGGCCGUCUUCGGCACCGUGGCCUCCAAGAAAUCCCCGUCGGGAAAGUACCGGCCCUUUAUAACCCUGGCGCAUAAUGAAUCCGGAUUUGUGAUGAAUCUCCAUCCGUGUUUCCCGAGCAGCGCCAAGUUAAAUAAUUUCAAAUCCCGGAAGCCCAUACCACCUCGGGCUUUUGGAGAUGCAAGUUUAUCCCAGGCCAAUCAAUGCAUCGCACGCCGAUCUAGGGAUCCACUCCACAAAAAUUUAGCCAUGCUAGAUGUUAAACUUUUGCAUACCUUUUUUUAAAGAAGGAAGCAACUCAUACUGAACAUUGGAAUAGCUUGUAUUACUGACUUGAUCAGUGACUCUCUUCCAGCGCAAGCUAGAAGUCGCUCUGCCCAGCCAUUCAUUUUGCUCCUUGAACGCUCCCCAAUGUGAUCAAAAGUACCACUGGAAAUCCUCCCAACUGCUGUUGGUAACCCAAGGUAGUGAUUGGUAAAUGCCUCGACUUGUAUGCCUACUAGCAGCUUCAGAUCUUGCCGCCUGUCCACUGGCGUGUUUAGCGAAAAGAAGACUGCACUUUUCUCGCGAUUAACCGACUGGCCUGAACAACCAGCAUAAAUAACCAAGAUUUCAUUUAGUCGGAUCUCACUCUCCUCCGUUGCACUGAUGAAGAUGAGACUGUCAUCGGCAAAAAGCAGAUGGCUCACCCACGGUGCCCGCACUGACACUCAUAUGCCUCUGUCAAUACGUGGGUAGCCAUAAGAAUUCAACAAAGAUGUAAGCCCUUCUGCACAUAGUAAAAAGAGAAAGGGAGAUACGGGAUCGCCUUGUCUCAAACCACAAGAGGGAACAAAAUAUGGCAGAAGUUCUCCAUUAACUCUGAUUGUGAACCGAACCGAAGUAACACACUUCAUUAUGAGAGAAACAAAACUCCGGCUAAACCCAAGCUUAGUCAUGAUUGCCUCGAGGUAAUGCCACUCGACUCGGUCGUAGGCCUUCAUCAUGUCUAGCUUGACAGCACACGCAUAGUUUUUCCCCUUCUUCCUCCGUCUCAUUGUGUGGACGCUCUCAAAAGCAACCACCACAUUAUCAGUGAUCAACCUACCAGGGACAAACGCGCUUUGUUCUUCGCCAACCACUAUAUCCAUAAACUCUUUUAAACGAUUAGUAAUCAUCUUUGCCCCAAUCUUGUAGGGCACCGGACAUAAUGAUAUUGGUCGGAAUUGAGUUAUACUCUGGGGGUUGCGUACCUUGUGUAUAAGAGUGAUCGAAGUGUCAUUAAACCCCAAAGGAAGCUCACCACCAUUAAGAAACCCCAAGAUAGCUGGAACGAGAUCAUGUUGAAUGAUCUUCUAGCGUCGUUGAAAGAAGCCUGCCGUAAACCCAUCCACUCCCGGGGCCUUCGAUGAUGACAUUUGAAAUAGGGCUAUACGGACCUCCUCCGGUUCAUAGGGUUUAUCAAGCAUCAUGUUCAUGUCACCUGUUACACGCUCAGGGACAAACUGGAGCAGCUCGUUCAUAUCAUUUUGUCCUUGUGAGGAGUACAAGUUCUGAUAAAACGACUGCACUUCCACCAUAUCCUCCUGCUCGGACGGACACACUGAUCCGUCCGCCCGUCGAAGAUUGGAGAUUCUAUUGAUACGUUUGCGCUGCGCCGCUUGAGCAUGGUAAUAAGAAGUAUUGCGGUCACCCUUCCAUAGCCACGGCACACGCGAACGCUGCUUCAUCCAUAUUUCCACUUGCCUCAAAGCCUCACGGAGCUGCACCACCGUGACUUUUUCUUCCUCAUUGGGUCCUCUCCCGAUAGACUUUUUCCUCAAAAUUUCAAGUUUGGACUGUAGUUUCUUCACUUUCUGUGUUAGACACCCAAACUCCCGGGCACCCCACGCACCAAGCUCGCUUUGGAGUUUCUGUAAGGUGUCCUGGAUUCCUGCAAGCCCCUGGCCGACAUGAUUCCUCCUCCACGCUUCAGCAAUGAAGUUGUCAUAGUCAACGUGGGACUGCCACACAUCUUCAUAUCGAAACUGUCUCGGGCCCCGGCGCGAUUGCACUGGUUGUGUCUCUACCAACACGAAGCAAUGAUCUGAUUCCAGUGCACUAAUAUGGCGGAUACGCACAGGGUCAAAAUGUUGUAGGAACUCCUCGUUCGCUACACCACGAUCAAGACGGGCUUUCACAUUCAUCUCCCCCUUGCUUGUUAUCCCAUGUGUAUGGUACCCCUGAGAAUCCAAGAUCCUGCAGGGAACAAUCUUCCAAUGCUUCCCGAAAGGCAAGCAUUUGCACUUCCGGUCGCGCAGCCCUGCUGAAGUGUUCUGUACCAAAUAGUGUCUCAUUGAAGUCACCUAGGCAUAACCAUGUCUGGUGCGGUAUAUCAUUCAGCAUCCUCAAACAGCGCCAACUAUGGUGCCUGUCUUCUUUCUUUGGUGCACCAUAGAAGCCCGUGAACCUCCAUUCAGGAGUAGACAAAUCAGCUUUCUGAACCAUAACGUCAAUGUGUCCAUAACUGUAGUUCUUUAACUCAACCUUCACCUCAUUUGACCAAAACAAUCCAAUUCCACCACUAAGUCCUGCACUAUCCACUACAAAGCAUCCCGCAAAACCAAGACUCCGUUGCAGAAUCUCAACUCGUCUAGCCCUGAUCUUCGUCUCUGAAACAAAUUGCAGGGCGGGCCCUUCUUGCUUCGUUAAUUUACGAAGCUCUCGAACUGCCUCGGGGUUCCCAAGCCCCCGGCAGUUCCAACUUAGGCAUUUCAUGGUUCCUGGCAGGGCUGACCAGCAGCCGCUGCCGAAUUUUCAGAUGACGGAGGGGUAGGUUUCUUCUUUUUUGGCUCUCUUGCUUCAGCACCUCCAUCCCUAGUUGAAGUAGCACUGCCAUCCACUCUCUGGGCUGAAAACACCACCAUAUCUGUAGCAGUUCUGGCUGGAAUGAUCAAACUGCCAGAACUUGGUAGGGCCAGUGGAUCAACCCUAUGGUAAACUUUUGCAUCCUGCGGUCCUCCCUUCCGCUUAUAAAUAGGCCUCUUCUUUGGGGAGCUGACCUCAUCCUCUCCCCUAGUCUUGUUGUUCGACGAUGCUGCAUCCUUUUUACUAGCUGCAGAAUUUUGAGUUUCCUUAGAUGAGCCAUCCCCUGAACUAGCAACCUUCCUGUCCUCCGGUGCUCGUAAGUUUGUGUUAAACGGCAAGUUCCCUUUCUCAUCACGAGUGCCCGGAGUAGGGCAAAAUAAAUCUGCAUGGCCCAGACGACCACACGAGAAACAAAAAAUUGGAACAUGUUCAUACUGAAUAUCAUACCAGUCCCUCGAUUCCCUGUUUUUCGAGUCAAUUAGAAUCCAACGUCUCAAGGGUUUAUUGACAUUGAUCAUCACCCUAGCUCUCAGGAACCCUCCCACUGGAUCAAAGUGGACAGAUGUUGCAUUAGGAUCAAUCUGUUUAGCAACUUCUUGUCCCCACCUAUCAUUCUGCAAGUUGAAAAUUUGGGACUCUAGCCCAUAACUGUAAUUUGUCAAACUUAAGCACUGACGGCCUCAUGCAUGCAUCAAAAUCCUCCAGAACUACAGCAUGUUUACUCACAUGCCACGGCGACCCCUCUCGCACGCGAUCGCGAUCACGGCGAUUCUCAAAGUCAGCCACAAAGGUGUUCUCACCCACCGGCCUGAAGAACAAACCCCUAGGGUUUCCCCAAGCCGGCCUCAACGCAUUAGCAAUGGUUUGGAUAUGCAAAAUCUUCCGAUGUAGAACCUUGCCAGCGAUCGACCACUUCUGCGGGACUCCUUCCUCGAGAUCAUCAACCACAAGCGACGUGGCUUCCUCUUCGGUUAGAUCCAGCUUCCCCCAUGGCCUCCUCCAUACGUGNNNNNNNNNNNNNNNNNNNNNNNNNNNNNNNNNNNNNNNNNNNNNNNNNNNNNNNNNNNNNNNNNNNNNNNNNNNNNNNNNNNNNNNNNNNNNNNNNNNNNNNNNNNNNNNNNNNNNNNNNNNNNNNNNNNNNNNNNNNNNNNNNNNNNNNNNNNNNNNNNNNNNNNNNNNNNNNNNNNNNNNNNNNNNNNNNNNNNNNNNNNNNNNNNNNNNNNNNNNNNNNNNNNNNNNNNNNNNNNNNNNNNNNNNNNNNNNNNNNNNNNNNNNNNNNNNNNNNNNNNNNNNNNNNNNNNNNNNNNNNNGAUCUGUAGAUGUCGCCAUCCCUCAGACCAGAGAUUGUAGCGCCCCGCCGAUGAGAUGUCCGCGAGCGCCGCCGCGUCUCCACCGAAACCCUAAUCGCCUCUCGAGGGGGCUCCUAGAUUUUCGGGGAAAAAACUUCUUAAAAAAAGAGUUAAUCCGGUGGUUGGGGCUUCCCUCCAUUCCUAAAUAUAAGUCUUUAUAGGGAUUCCACUAGGUGGACUACAUACGGAGCAAAAUGAAUGAAUCUACACUUAAAGUGCAUCUAUAUACAUCCAUAUGUGGUUCAUAGUGAAAUCUCUACAAAGACUUAUAUUUAGGAACGGAGGGAGUAUAAGCUAACUUUUUGCAAAGCCUUUAGAUGACAUGACACAACUAUAUAGCCAGCAGCAGUCUCUUCUAUUAACCGUGCUCUAAGAGAGAGUUCACUGGAACUAUAAAGUAUCCCCAACAUAAUAAAAAUCACAUCAAGAUUCGUAGACCACCGUACAACUAUUACUACCGGAUUAAGCCGCCGAUGCACCAUUGUCGCUGCUUCCACACUGAAGCCGGCCAGACUUCAUCGAUGACAGCCAAGAAGCUUCGUGCACGUGGCGCUAAGGACCAGCGCACUGGAGCCGUAGUCAUCGCCCUGGAGCCAAUUUCUUUUCUAUCAUUUUUCCUUCUUCUUUUUCGUCUUUCCUUUUUCUUUUAUGCUUUUUAUUUUUAUUUUCCUAUUUUUUUGUUUUUAUUUUCAUGAACAUUUUUGAAUUUGCGAAUAAUUUUUUCAAUUCAUGAACUUAUUUUGAAUUCACAAACAGUUUUUGAGUUCCUUAUUUUGCAUAUUAUUAACAUUUUUUUAUUUUUGAACAUAUUUUAGAAUUUAUUAACAUUUUUAGAAAUUCCUUGAAAACUUUCUGAAUUUGCAAAAUUAUUAAAAUACAUGAACAUAUUUUGAAUUCAUGAUUAUUUUUUGAAUUCCUUCAAUUUGUUCUGAAUUCUUGAACAUAUUUUAAAAAUUCAUGAACAAUUUUGGAUUUGCAACAAAUGUCAUAUUCAUGAUCAUUUUUUCAAAAAUCACAAAUAUAUUUUUCAUAAAACAUUUUUGAAAUUCAUCAAUUUUUUGAAUUGAUUGACAAUUUUUGAAUUUGCAAACUUUUUUGAAUUCACGAUUGUUUUAUGAACUUAGUUACAUAUAUUAAAAAUUGUGAACAUUUUUGUAAUUCUUGAACACUUUUGGAAUUUGCAAAUGUUUUUAAAAUUGAUGAACAUUUUUGAGUUUGCAAACAUUUUUUGGGUUCACGGACAUUUUUCAAAUUCAUGGACAUUUUAUGAAUUCACAAAUGUUUUAUGAAAAUAGUUAUUUUUGUCGAAUUUAGGGGACUUUGUGAAAUUCAUGAACAAUUUAAAAACCCGGAAACAUUUUUCUAAUUGCGGUAAUAUUCUUAGUUUGCGGACAUUUUUUGAACUCAGAAAUUUUCCUUAUAUGUUGAUACGUACUUGUUUGUUAUAAUUUCCCAUAUAUGUUGAUUUUGUAGCUACUGAGCUCAGCCGAGGCAUAUAGAUGUUUCUCGAAUUAACCUAGCAAUACAUAUAGUCGAUCUUUGCACGCGAAUUUGUUUUUUUUUUGCUGGAAUUGCACGCUAAUUUUCAACCCAUCAUGGCCGACGGAGGUACUUGUUGGUUUUCCAGCCAUUAAGGGGUUUUUUGGUUUGUGACUAACCUUAGGCAAGCUUGACAAAAAUGUGUGACAAAGUGUGUCAAUGCAAGGCCUAGAACGAAACAACUUCUAAGUUCCAGCAAUACAUACAGUCGCUAUAUACAUAUUGUGUUUUUUGAAUUAUAUGUGCAUGAAUUUCUGUCCAUCAAGGCAAGGCAACAUGUUGUCCCUUGCGAUGAUUUCACGUCGUGUUUUAUGUUUUUCAAGAAAUUAUGAGUGCCAACAUUUUCAUGAAAUGUUGAUUCAUCAACAUAUCAUCAAAUUUAUGGCAAUCAAUUUGUCUCAAUUUUAGCAUUUUUAAUUUAUGGAUGCAUGUAUGAAGGUGAUAUAUAAAUUUGUCUAGGUUGUGCUUAUGCAUGUAUGGAUAUAACAAUGUAACAUGACGUAAGGUGCAAAACACGGCCAUGACAUCAAAACGUGGCCAAGAAAGCACAUGGCGUUGCCAUGCCAGCAUUGUCUUGGCCUGGGGGACGUUACCAAAUGAAAGGCUGAUUCAUUUGCCCGCUACUGGUAUGAUGUGGUGGGUGAUUUUCUAGGUAUGCCACUGAGUCAUGUAGUACUGCGGCGGCUCCCCCCGCUGCAUUCCGGUGCCAAUGGAAGAUAGAGGGGAGAGAGCCCCACUUUCUUCUUCUUCCUCCCCAUCAGCCUAGACCCCAUCACAAACCCACUUUUCCCUUCAUCCUUCUCUGAGAAGCUGUAGCUAAAGAAUGAUCUGAUUGAGCAUCUUUGAGCAUUCAUACGUACAACUAGAACAUGUGUCCCACUAAGAUGAAUUCAAAUUUGAACUAUCUUAUUUUAAAACUUUAAGUUUUGAUUGUAAUAUUAUUAGCUGAAUCAUUGUUGCAUUGGAAUAUUUAUCUUUUAGUUCCUUAAGAAUUGUGCUAUUUAUAUUUGCUUGUUCUGAGUAGUCCGGUAUCCAAAAAAAAACUCGAAUGUGAUAUUUGGUGACUCGGUUUGAUGGCCUCCGCCCCUACUCAUGUCUGCGGACAUUUGGUGGUGUCUGUUUUCGAGGACCACAUUGAAGUUGCUUUUGGUGAUUGUCGUUGGAGUUGCCCUAAGAAAAAGUGAUGUUCAUCGUUGUCACGGCUUUCACAUCUCAGUCAGCAGGUUGCAAUAUCCUUUUCAUUAUUUUGUUUCUUGACUUUAUGUCAGUAUAAGUAUGACAAGCAUGGUGGCUAGACUUAAGAUUUGAAGCUCCCUCAACUUUUGCAUAUCUGCUGGGCAAACAACUUUGCAUAUCUUACUGCCGACGUAAGGACAACAUACCAGGGACGCACAUUGAGAAUCGGACACACCUAAAUGAGUAAAAUUGCAGUACUACAGAUUGUGGUGUAGUAAUGUAUAUAGACUUUUUAUUGCCAGAAGAUUGUGGCGUAUACAUGAGCCACUCGACUCUAAGGGAGAGAGAGCCGAGCAACUCCGGGAGUGGUAGCUUUCGCUCCUCCUAAGUGACGGGGACACCGUGAGAGGGAGCAUCGAAGGUAGCGCAGUGGCGCCCCUUUGGGAGAUGCAAGAGGGCGACUGGCCGGAGGGAGUGGGGGAGAGGUGGCUGGNNNNNNNNNNNNNNNNNNNNNNNNNNNNNNNNNNNNNNNNNNNNNNNNNNNNNNNNNNNNNNNNNNNNNNNNNNNNNNNNNNNNNNNNNNNNNNNNNNNNNNNNNNNNNNNNNNNNNNNNNNNNNNNNNNNNNNNNNNNNNNNNNNNNNNNNNNNNNNNNNNNNNNNNNNNNNNNNNNNNNNNNNNNNNNNNNNNNNNNNNNNNNNNNNNNNNNNNNNNNNNNNNNNNNNNNNNNNNNNNNNNNNNNNNNNNNNNNNNNNNNNNNNNNNNNNNNNNNNNNNNNNNNNNNNNNNNNNNNNNAGAGAGAGAGAGAGAGAGAGAGAGAGAGAGAUGCGAGGAGAGAGACUGAACCCUAGUUGUCUCAUUGAUUGGGGACGGAUCAUCAAAUUGAAGAAGGCCAGGUGGAGCCAGCCAACGCGAAAUCCUAUCUAUGCCCUCGGCACGAUCUGGGAACUACAGGGGCAACCAUUCCAAAUUUGACCGCGGGCCACCCACACCGAGAAACUCUUGCACCCAAAGCCACCCAAUAUCCCGAGGUGAGAAAAAAAACUAUUCAUUGCUCCAUCUACCAGUUUUGAACUUUUGAUGUUACGACCAGGAAUCACCCGCAAGCCGGAUCAGAAGGUCAGCGUCGCGUCAGGCAAAGGAUCGGACGGCCGAAAUAAAUUCCCUAAGCUCUUAGGAGGCUCAUGUGUUCAGACAAAAGGAUCGAUCGCUAAACAAAAGCUACCAUGGGGUUGCAAACCUGCCAUGCACACGAUGAGCAGUGUUGCUACCGUGUCCUAUGCGUCCUGUUUUUUCGGUAGGCAAAGCUCGUGCCGUGCUGGUCGGCUUUACGGAGAGAUAACACACGAUGAGCAGUCUUCUUUUCUAUAGGGCGUAAACUUAGGCGUGUUUGGUCGAAUACCAGAACACGCCACGCCGCGAACGAAAAUCGAUCGGCGCCAAACUUUUGGCGUGCAUGCCUCAUCAACCUAUAAAUACCCACACAACCUUCAGCCAUAAACCUCAGCCCAAACCAGUGCGUGCCAGCCUCUGUUCUCCUUCCUCGACACCCUAAUCCUCCAAGCCAUGGCGAUGGCGUCCACCGAGCCCCUGGCCCUCCUGCUGCUGGUGGCUCUGUCCGCGACGGCCAUGACCGUCGCCGGACAAGGCUCCUGCAACGGCCACAAGGUGACGGUGCAGAACCUGUGCGGCCACGACCUGACCCUGGGCAUCGAGGCGCGCUCCAACAGCAAGGCGCUCUUCCCCAACGGGUAUCUGCUCCCCAGCGGGAAGCACGAGUCGUUCGACGUGUGCGCGUGGACGGGGAGCGUGUCGGCGCAGGGCGCCGCCGUAGCCGAGUUCCACAUGGACCACGAGGGUGGGGCGUACUACGAGGUGAGCACCAACCAGGCGAGCAUGGCGGUCCGUGUCUCCGUCACCCCGCACGGCAGCCCGCUGCAGGGCCACUGCCCCACCGCCGGGUGCGACACCGGCAACCACUGCUUCGAGCACUCCGUCCCCGGCGGCAACUGCCACGGCGUCACCGAGAUCAAGAUCGUCUACUACAAUCCUUAGGUCCAUGUCCAUCGGCCGCCUACGAACCUAGCUGCUUGCUGCACUUACUAGCUACUCUUUAAUGUUGCAGCUAAGCUCGACCGUCGUUAAUCUAUCGUGUGUUCCGACGAGGUUGUACCAUCGUUAGCGGUGUACAAUCGGAUUUGCAGUGUUUAACUAGCUACUCCCUCUGAUGGAGGGAGUACUAUUUUGUGGUACUACAGUGUAGUAUUUACAUAAUUAAUCGGACGGAAAACCUCUUUUUUAUAUUAUAAGCAACAAGAAACCAAAUAUCGUAAUGGCGAGUCCAGACAUGCAUGUGAGAUUCCUUCAUAGAUCGGUGUCGCAAAUAUUGGUUUGCAGUAGCCUCUCAGCAGCAGCUUUGCUUUGUUUGCACUUAUGUGUCAGUGAGCUGCGGCAACAAUGGACGUAAGAGCCUUUUCUAUUGCUUACCACAUAUGUCAUGUGGUAUCGACGGAAGAGACUUAUUCAUGUGAUAUGCCUACAUGUGUUUUUUAACAAAUCACUUUCUUAUCUUAAAAAAGAAAAGUUAUCCCNNNNNNNNNNNNNNNNNNNNNNNNNNNNNNNNNNNNNNNNNNNNNNNNNNNNNNNNNNNNNNNNNNNNNNNNNNNNNNNNNNNNNNNNNNNNNNNNNNNNNNNNNNNNNNNNNNNNNNNNNNNNNNNNNNNNNNNNNNNNNNNNNNNNNNNNNNNNNNNNNNNNNNNNNNNNNNNNNNNNNNNNNNNNNNNNNNNNNNCACCCCCACGUCAAGCAUUAGGGCCUCCCGACGUAUGGGACCAGAUAUAUAUAAAACAAUGAGCCGACGAGACAGUUCGGCAAUUUUGGUUCCGAUCCUCGUUCAUCAAGAAUAGGAUAAUCGACUGCCUUGAUGCAGAAGCGCUAGCCGCUUUUCGUCACAACUAUCAUGAUGAGGGUGCAUUAAACGCCCUCGUGUGGCGUCAAGUUCAAACUUUCGCCGAGCUCUUCAAGUUAGUGUCAAAAUUUUGCACCUUAGAAGAUGUCUGGUUGACUCAGAAAUCAACCCGCUCAGACAAACCGAAAGAAUAUGACAUCGCACAAGUGGAACCACCUAGGCACCCCGUGCUAGCAGUGGCAUCAUGGAAAAGAAGAAAGACACGAUCCCUGACCGCCCUGGAUGGACUGCUGGAUCAACCAUGCUCUAUACACUCCGUCUUGUUAAACACCAAUCCAAUCCACAUCCUUCGAGCUUGCUGGGUCAUGAAACAGGUGGCCAAUGGUGGCGAGGCUCUCCUCGCAAAUAGGCCCACCAUUAAUUAUGCCACAAGAUCCUCGGACCAAGCCGAGGUUUUAAUGAUCUAUCAAACAUACACAUCAAAGAAUCAAAGAAAAAGGGCUCUGCAUGAGCUCAGCCACGUCUAGAUACGCACGAUCCCGGCCGUGUGGUUAGACACGUCGAUCACAUUUGAGCAGCAUGACCAGACGGCGAUCGACCGGAGCCGGUGCCCAGCCGCCUUGAUCCUCGACCCCAUAGUGGACGGAUGCCGACUGCAUAAGGUGCUAAUGGACAGCGGUAGCAAUUUGAACCUCAUUUAUGAGGACACGAAUGCAACUUGAUACAACUCGCAUCCAACAUAGCUUCUUCACAUUCAAGGGAAUCAUCCCCGGCAGAGAAGUGCGACACAAGGAAAAAAUCACUCUUGAUGUGGUCUUCGGCACUCCCGAGAACUAUCGGUCCGAAGAGUUGACCUUCCACGUCGUAUCCUUCCGAAGUGGUUACCACACUCUUCUUGGGUGAGAAGCGUCCAUAAAAUUCCACGCCAUACCCCAUUACGGGUAUAUGAAUCUCAAAAUGCCAGGGCCCAACGGAGUGAUAACCGAUCAGCUCCCGUGCAACUUCUAAGUGCUUGCGACGCCCAACUUUUUUGUUUCAUGGUACUCACCCCAUGGCCGGCAUGCUCUUUUAGAGGAUAGGUGCAAGGUUGAUCUGUAUAUGAAAUGUACCUCGACAUAUACGUACCUCGACAUCUACACGGUAUUACGACAUCGCUGUUUUGUUUAGCGAAUCGGCAUACUUUCAACACGUGCUUAGGUGAGAUUAGAGAGAAGCUUAACGAGAACCUCACCGUGUUCUUGCUUCUCGUCCGUCUCUCGCACAAGUCUUCAGUUUUUGGGACGAACAACCGUAUGUUCUUCAUUAUGCCCACGGCAUGGCUGGCGUCCGUCCCUCUGCCUGCCUACACGCCAGAAUCGCAUAUCAUGACUUGAACUCUGGUGGGUUGGGAAUACCACUAUCCCUCUAACCAUCUAACCAAAGGUUGAUUCGCGUGCUAGUCUUUUUUUAGCAAUGUUAAUUAGCACCAAAGUAUAGGAGGCUGCCAAGCCAUAUAUAACGUGCACACCGAUUGCCAAUUUGGCUAACUUUUUGUACUCACGUAUUUCUCUCUUCUAACAAUUACAUUUCUCUUAGUUCAUUGUGUCAAACUUCAAUCUAUUUGCACCACUGUAUUUUACAUGAUGAACUCUACAAAUAGACUUCAAUGUUUAAUAUAUUCUUUUUGUUAAGUUAUAUUUUCCUCACAUAUAUGUAUGCUUGUAUUCAUUUGCAGGCCGGUCCACCACGGCUCACACAAAUUAUUGGGCUGGGUGCGUACAAAAAAUGCAAACAGCCCAAACCGAUCUUGGCUCAUCUUUAUACCCCAAUAGAGCAUUCUCCCGGAAACCUAGCACGUUCGAUCUAUCCCUAAAAAAAAAACUAGCACGUUCGAUCUCCUUAUUUUCUUCUCUCCCUCCCACCGAAAAGAUUGCGGAGGCUCGGCAGUUCUUCCCAGAUGCGCUCGGUGGCCGGCGGCUGCUUCACCGCAAGCCGGAGGCAGUGACGGGCGGGCGGGCGGGCAGGCGGCAAGGCGGUGACGAAGGAUCGAGCCGGCAGGCCGAAGGUACUGACGGGAGAGGCGGCAAGGCGACGAGACGACUGACAAGUCCACGAUGAAGUACGCGUACAGGCAAGCUCCCUGUGCUCCGUUUCCUUGAGACCUUGAGUGCAGACAUCAAUGGAUGUGGUGUUGCUGAACUGGGGAUGUUUCUUUCUGUUGAACUGGUGCAGACCUUGAGACAUUAAGCGGUGAACUGGUGAUUCUCGAGGCCCUGAAUUUAUAACGAAUAUUAUGUGGUGAAUUGGUUCUGUUGCAGAUCUCUACUAUUCUGGUUAUGUCUGAAUUUCUAAUGAAAAUUCCCUGUUUCUUCCUAAAAUCCUCCGUUUCUGGGACAAGUGUGCACAUGCACUGAUUGCCGCUAAUUGGUUUAGCGGCCGCUAUCUCCCGCUAUAGUGGCUGUAGCGUUUAGGGCGGGCAGCCGCUAAAUGGUUUCUCCCGCGGUUUAAAACUUUGCUGAGACUUGAGAUUUCUGUACCUUGUUGCAUGUAUAGUACGACUACCUUGUUCAUUUUUGCAUGGCACAAACAACUCCAAUUAAAACCAUACUGAUUUGUCAGUUGGGUUGUGUACGGUCUACUUUUGAAUAAAUUUAAAUCUUUCUUUUGUGAAGUCCUGAGUUCUAUUUUCAUUCAUCUUUGUCUGACACUAGUGCAGAACCGGGCAAUAGCACCGGUUCGUAAGGCCCUUUAGUGCCGGUUCCAUAACCGGCACUAAAGUGUGGUCACNNNNNNNNNNNNNNNNNNNNNNNNNNNNNNNNNNNNNNNNNNNNNNNNNNNNNNNNNNNNNNNNNNNNNNNNNNNNNNNNNNNNNNNNNNNNNNNNNNNNNNNNNNNNNNNNNNNNNNNNNNNNNNNNNNNNNNNNNNNNNNNNNNNNNNNNNNNNNNNNNNNNNNNNNNNNNNNNNNNNNNNNNNNNNNNNNNNNNNNNNNNNNNNNNNNNNNNNNNNNNNNNNNNNNNAAGGGCAACCACGUGGCACGAGCCAGCUCCGGGGGCUUGGAGCCCUUUAGUGCCGGUUGGUAAGACCAACCGGUACUAUAAGGUUUGGGGGUUUUUACUUUUAUGAUUUCUUUUUCAUUUAAUUUUGUGUUUCCAUUUUAAUUCUUUUUUGUUUGCUGGUAUUUUACGAUACUACACAUUGUAAACGUUAUGUGUAUAUAUAUAUAUAUAAUUAGAAUUUCUAGUAGAACCAAUCAUCGAGUUCAACAUGAUUGUCAUGAUAUUAUAAGCGUUCAUAUAUAACACCACAAAAACAAAUCACUUAAGUUCAGAACGAAGAACACGGACAUGAAAGGACAAGUACUAAUUAAGAGCAGCAUAAAGAACUAGCUAAAUCACUCCUGCUAGCUACUCUCUCUGGUAAAAUAGCAUAGAACAUGUAUAGCUCUUCUAAUUGAUCAUACUGAAGCAUGCCGAUGAACCUGUCUCCUAAUCGUGGGCUGCGCUUCUCAUUGCUGCCCCCUAGUACUUCUCUGCGAUCAUUAACAAUUUUUCUCCAAUCUUUCACUAUUAAGCAUUCAUCGCUUCUAGAAAUCCUGAAUGCAUUCAUGUGCAAUGCAGGAUAUCUUGACCGUAAGCUAACAAUUGACAUCUGACCUUUAGUCUCGACCCCCUGAGCCAUAACUGUCAUCGGGAGUCUCUGUUGAAGAACAUCGUAUAGUACUUAAUUAAUAUACUUAGCAAUGAAAGUUUAGCAAAAAAAAUAUGUAUGCAAAAUAUGCACUGAGGACAAAUAGUAAAUAUCUUACCAUCAUUUCUAAAUAGAUGUGACCGUAGUUCAAUACCAUCACUAUUUGUCGCACGUUUUGAGUACUAACAUUUCUAAGUGCAGGAAAAAAAUUUGUCUUGACAGUAUGAAGAUCCUCAAGCCAUGAAACAUAAUGACUUAUCUCCUCGCAGUUUAGUUCAGCUCCAGGACAGUAGAAGGUCCUGUCUAUCAAGCGCCGGACAUGUUUGGUUGAAUGGAGAUAAGCUGUCAAUAGAAAUUAGUUGUCAGUUAUUUUUGAAAUAAGCAAUAUCAAAGACAAAAAUAUAUUUGAGAAGAACUCACAUAAUGGUAGAACUGGAGGCGUCUGCGCAUCGACCCAUAUGUCUCUAUUACCUUCAAUAUCAUCUUCCAGACGAAUAUCGAAGGUGAUAACCAUACCAGGCUCAAAUGCAUAAGCCUUGCAUAGUGCUUGCCAAGUUUUGCAUUCAAAAUAGGUGUACGUGUGUGCAUUGUAAACUUUGACGUUGAAAGUAUAACCAUCAUGCUCAGUUUUCAGGUAAGCUCUCUUUACCUUCAUAGUUUCCAUAUCUUUGAAACCUAUCUUAUCCAAGACAAAAAUUCUUGCAUGGCAGGGGAUGCGCUAGUAGAAUAGUGAAAAUUAAAAAUUAUAAGUCAGGCAAAUGAAGCAUAUAUAAGUCGUGCUUAAUUACGAAAACAGACUUGUCGUUGUGACUUACUGUAUCGAAUUCGAAAGUCUCAUCCAGCUUGAUGCUGAAUCGCCUACCAUCAACAAGGAAAUUUCUGUCGCACUGGCCGCGCUGGUCUUCACAGUAUUGGCACAUACAGAAAUUUUUUCCGUCGUCAGACAACAUUUCCUAUGUUCAUAUUAGGCGAAACAUUAAACACUUACUAAUUCAAUUAAUUCAACUACUUCUAUUAAUUCAACUAAGCAUUUACUAAAAAUAAACUAGUUAUAUUAAUUCAAUUAGUUCAACUAAGCAUUUACUAAAAAUAAACUAGUUCUAUAUAUUAAUUCAAUUAGUUCAACUAAACAUUUAAAAAAAUAAACUAGUUAUAUUAAUUCAACUAGUUCAAAGUAAGCAUUUACUAAAAAUAAAUUAGUUCUAUAUAUUAAUUCAACUAGUUCAACUNNNNNNNNNNNNNNNNNNNNNNNNNNNNNNNNNNNNNNNNNNNNNNNNNNNNNNNNNNNNNNNNNNNNNNNNNNNNNNNNNNNNNNNNNNNNNNNNNNNNNNNNNNNNNNNNNNNNNNNNNNNNNNNNNNNNNNNNNNNNNNNNNNNNNNNNNNNNNNNNNNNNNNNNNNNNNNNNNNNNNNNNNNNNNNNNNNNNNNNNNNNNNNNNNNNNNNNNNNNNNNNNNNNNNNNNNNNNNNNNNNNNNNNNNNNNNNNNNNNNNNNNNNNNNNNNNNNNNNNNNNNNNNNNNNNNNNNNNNNNNNNNNNNNNNNNNNNNNNNNNNNNNNNNNNNNNNNNNNNNNNNNNNNNNNNNNNNNNNNNNNNNNNNNNNNNNNNNNNNNNNNNNNNNNNNNNNNNNNNNNNNNNNNNNNNNNNNNNNNNNNNNNNNNGACGGGGGCGGCGACGGAGACGAGGGCGGCGACGGGGACGGGGGCGGCGAUGGGGACGGGGGCGGGCCCGGGGGGGCGACGGAGACGACGGCGGCGACGGGGACGGGGGCGGCGACGGAGACGAUCGAGGGCGGCGGCGACGGCGACAGAGACGGAAACAGAGGAACAAACAAAGAGGGAAAACGAAAUUUUCAGACGUGUUGUAUAUAUAGACCCCCCCCCUUUAGUACCGGUUGGAGCCACCAACCGGUACUAAAGGCCUGUUUUGGCCAGGCCAAGCGGCAGGAGGCGACCCCCUUUAGUACCGGGUGGUGGAACAAACCGGUACUAAAGGCCCCCCCUUUAGUGCCGGUUUGUUCCACGACCCGGUACUAAAGGCCACGCGCUGUCACCCCAAAGUUUAGUCCCACCUCGCCGGGCGAAGGGCAGCCGCACUGGUUUAUAAACCCAGCCGCGGCUACCACUUCGAACUCCUCUAUAUAGCAGGCUGGUGGGCCUAAACUCUGCGCGCUACCCUGUGAGUCUGCUGGGCCUUUAAGGCCUGUAAUUACACACUUGUGGCCUAUCAGGCCCACAGGGCAGCGCCCCAAUUUUUUUAUAGUUUUUUUCUUUUCUGCUUUAUUUUCUUCUAUUUAUUUUUGCGUAGUUUUUUGUAUAGUUUUUUCUUUUCUGUUAUAUUUAUUUUCUUCUAUUUAUUUGUGAGUAGUUUUUCAUCUAGUUUGCCAAAAUUCAACAUUUUCAGAGUUCAUUUUGUAAUGAUUUUUAAUUUCACGAUCAUUUUGUAAACGAUUGAAAAAUAGCAAAUAUAAUUUUUUUUCUUUUCUGCUUUAUUUUUUCUUCUAUUUAUUUCUGAGUAGUUUUUUCUUUUCUGCUAUAUUUAUUUUCUUCUAUUUAUUUUUGAGUAGUUUUUUUAUAUAGUUUUUUUCUUUUCAGCUAUGGUUUUUCUUCUUUUCUGCUAUUUUUUCUUUUCUGCAAAACUUGAUGGUCAAAGUCUGGAGUUAAAACUUAAAAAAAAGAAAUGUCGACGUGCAAUUAGUUUUUGCCAUAACAGAAGAAGUCCGGAGUUAUAAUAAGUUAUUAAAAAUAAAAAAGAGGUGCAAUGCUCGUUAAUUUGCUUCAAGCCUUUCGGAAUAGUGUAAACUGCACUGCGCAUAGCUCCGUGCAGUCUACCGUAUUCCUGAAGGCUUGAAGCUAAGCAACGUGAGCAUUGAGCCUCUUCUUCAUUGUCUCUGCACUCAGGGCUUAUAAACCGUCCUAGUCCCUCUCACUUCGCGAGGUGGGACUAAAAAACAGCUUACGUCUGGUUUAUCCAUGAACCGGUACUAAAGGUGCUCGUGGGGCCCCAGCCUUACCUGACACAACCUCAUUAGUACCGGACUAAGGGUUUCCUCCCAAAUUACUAAACUCACAAAUUACUAAACUACUAAACUCACAAAUUACUAAACUCACAAAUUAAUAACUAUAUAAAGCAUUGCAAGAGCUAAUCUAGCAAUGAGAGAUGAAAGGACAAAGUUGCUAACCUUUGUGAUCACUUAAGCUUGAAUGGAUGGGGGCCUUCAAAUCUUAACAAAUUUUGGGCAAAAUGUGUGAUGAGCUCGAGGGGAGAAGAGGAAGAACAGAGAGGAGAGGAGAGGGGAAAGGGGGAAGAACAGAGCGAGCUGGACUAAGGGUUUAUAUGCAGGAGGACCUAUAGUACCGGUUCGUGGCGCGAACCGGUACUAAAGGUGCUGGAGGGGGCCCAGACUGACAACAUCCUGCCAUCACCCUCAUUAGUACCGGUUCGUGGCACGAACCGGUGCUAAAGGUUAGCCACGAACCGGUACUAAUGAGAGCGGCCCGGCUAGCCGUUGGAACCGGCACUAAUGUAUACAUUUGUGCCGGCUCUAAUACAAACCGGCACUAAUGUGCUUCACGUUUGACCUUUUUUCUACUAGUGUGAGUUCACUCAUGCCAUAUUGGGAUGGUAAUGUUUGGACCAGAACUCUAUAUUUUGUUACUAGUACACGUCCAUCUGAUCUGUUUAGAUAACAUGUGUUGUUGUCCAUUGUGUCUUGUUUUCUCCUGUAGUAAUGUUUCGGAUCCCUCUACUUUGGUUGUGCACUUGACUGCCACCUAUGUACUCCUCUUUGCACUAAUAUAAACCUUUUUUCAGCUCUAUUACGCUCUUAUUUAUGUACUUUUCUAAGUGCAUUAUUAUUCAUUGAACCUUCUCUGCGACUAAACUUGGAGGUGAAUAAAAUGGAAUUGUUGAAUGGAUUGAGGAACAGACGACAGUGUACAUGCUACUCUUCAAAGCUGGACGGACAAGUGAUUCCAAGGUUAGUUUGUCCAAAAGGAGAAAGGCAUACUCAUUUUUUUGGUAUAUGGUUUAGAAAUUUGACAAUAGUGUACUGUUUUAUGUGGUUGAAUGAAUAUAAUUGACGUCCUUGCUACACACCAUUAAUGUCAAGCUAACCAACUUUACAACUGAAUAUGCGAAAAUGCCAAACGGAGACCGAGCUCCAUGGAGGCCUUCAAUUGAAAACAUCAAAAUUCUAACUUUUCAGUUUCAAAAAUUGUGAAAUAAAUACAUAUACCUAGAUACAUAAUGUACAUGUGUGCAAAUUUUCAGGUAGAAAUACAUUGAAAUUUGAGCUACACAAAAAGACAAUUCUGGCGCUUUUUAGCAUAGGUGUUGUUCAUCUUCAAAGUCCAUUAUUUUUUUUGUGCAGCUCGCAAUUCAAGGUGUUCCAUCCUGAAAUUUUUCACACAUAUACUUUACAUCCUUGCAUACAUGUGUAUUUUUUGUCCGAAUUUUUUGAAACUGAAAAUUUUGAAUUUUGACUUUUUUCAAAAUAAAGGGUUCCAUGGAGCUCGUCUCCAAAAUGCCAACUCCUAAAUAUGUAGUUAUAUACAAUAUUUCCCCAUUUGUUUCCCCUCGCCAUAUUAUGAGCUUCUAUAUAUUGUAUAUAAAAGAAGAAGAAUUGGCUGACUUGUUUCUCUCGCUCCUUCCCCAACACUCUCUACCCCGGAUCCAUGUAGAUCGAGGUCGCCGUCACCGGAUCCGUGUAGAUCAAGGUCGCCGUCACCGGAUCCGUGUAGAUCAAAGUCUUCCGUCAUCCUGGUAUGGAAUUCACCGUUUUUUCCCUUCCUCGUUCUAGAUAAUGUUUCAUCCUGCUGCUUCUGCUGCUCCCCAUCUGGGGCUCGGAUCUAGUGUUCUGUAUUGCUGCUGCUUAUUUAGAUUAUAAGAUUGGAUGGGCUCCUCCUGCCACUGUUUAGUUUUAGAUAGAUUGGACGGACUCCUUGUGCCGCCAGCAAGGCAGAUUCAAUUGGAUUUGUUUGGAUUAGGGUUAGAUGAUUGGCUUAAUCAGCCUGUGUUUAAGUCAGAGGACUGAGCCUGUAUUGUGUGAUGUACACAGCGGCAGGACAUAUUCUUGUGGUCUGAUAUGCUUCAUUAUAUAUCUUCUUGUGCUCUAAUAUGCUUCCUUAUUAGAUAGAUUCACUAUCAUUGUGCGUGCCAGUAAAUUUUACAAUAUCAAUGUGAGGCAGAGUGAGUGGUAGCCUUGUAGGUUUCUCCUUGAUUAACUUUGUGAAACAUCAAUCCACACAAAACAAUAUUUAUAAUCUAGCAUUGCUUGACUUUCAAUUAUGAUGACUAAUUUUGCAUUGUUGAUCCUUCAACUUAGCAUUCCCCUACUGUUAUUUUUUUUGAGCUGUGAGGGCAGCAUGAGAUACUCCUACUGCCUUUUUUUAUUAAGUUAGAAUAGGGUACACAGAGUAAUUACUCCUGUACUGUUAAUUGUGGGGUAUACACAGUGACAGCUAUAUGAUUAUGCCACAUAACAUAGAUAACAAUUGUUUCAAGUUUGUAUCCAUGUAUUUAAUAUCACCUCUUCUUAUGCCACUGUUGAUCCAUGCUCACUAUGAACGUCUUCUACGGAGAAUUGCUUGACUGUUAAUUAAUCUUCUGUGUACUAGCCAUGCAUGCAUUAUCAACUUUUCUGCAAGAAUGUACUAGUAUCUGCUGACUCUGUUUUGUUAUACUUGUAUUAUUUUAUCCAGUUAUGUUGCACCGACUGCUGACACCUUAACCCAUGAUUUGGGCUUUGAAUCCAUCUCUAUUGAUUAAUGCAUGCCCUGUUUUUUUUGUUCCAACAAGAUAAGAGAAGAGGAUCCUUCCUUCUGGAUUCGUUCGUGGAGGCGACUAUCCAGUCCCUCAGCCGCUGGAGGGGCCGGCAUGUCCGACGCCGAUGUAUGGAAUCACUCCCCGCCGAGGGGAGAACUGGGAUGCCGAGUUUUUCAAGGCCGACCUCAUCCUGGUAUGAAAUCCAUCGAUUUUCCCCUAGUUCUACAUCUACUAGUUUGCCCUGCUGCUGUUCCCCUUCCUUCUCCUGGUGAAUUGGAUCCAGUCAGAUAGGUUUGUCUGCCUUGGCACUGUUUAGCUUAGAUUGGACGGACUCCUUGUGCCAUCACCAAGGCAGACUCAAAGGAUUCAGUUGGAUUAGGUUAGGGUUUACAUGCAUGCAUGAUUCGCUUGGAUUAGGUUAGUGGUGCUUUUAGUCAAAGGACAGAGCAUGUAUAUUAGCCCUGCUGUUGCUACUACUAAGUUGCUUUUGGAGGCAUCUUCUAAUGUAAUCCUUGCUGCUGCUACUGCUAAGUUGUUUUUAGAAGCACAUUCUAAUGUAAUCCUUGUUGCCUCUGCUACUACCAAGUUGUUUAUUUAACAGCACAUGUCUCCUGAAUAUAGCGGUUUCGAGUAAAGGAUUUCAGAAAUCUAAUAUGUCAUACCUAUUUUUAAUGGGAAAACUAAUGGUACCUUAUUUACAAUUUGACUACAAGCUUCAUGAGGUGCCUUCUAUUUUAGAAUUGUCAUGUAAUGUGGUUUCUAGAUUAUUUCUUGGAAGCAUAUAUUGCACAUGCAACUGAAAUCAGGGCCGGGCCCAUAGAUGUACAAACUGUGCGGCCUGCACAGGGCCCAUAAAUUUUGGGGGCCCAAAAUGUUUUAUAGGCUUGUGUAUUUAUUUUUCCUGGGAUGGGCACAGGGCCACGCAUGGCUGGGCCGCUCGCGCUGGCGCUGGCGCAUGAGUAAGCCUCGACCAUCUCCCGUCCUAGGUUGUUCUCAAAAAAAAAAUCCCGUCCCAGGCCGCCUGCUCAAUCGGUUUUUGAUCGAUGCCUCGAUGGCAGGACGCAGGUUCGACUCGAUAGGAAAGGAAACUGAAUGGCGAACCUGGAAGGCAGGGAUCGAUCUCAUCUAGAGGAAACUGAACAACGCGGGAUCUUGGUUCGGUUCUAGAUCCGGCGAAGCUUUGAUGGGCGACACAACAAGAGGUACAUGAAUUACAGCCCUCAUUGGUUCGCAUCCAUGAUCCAUCGUUUAUUCCUCUCGUAGUCUCAUGAUCUCAGGUUCUCAGAGAGGAAUUUUCAAUGAUAUACCCAUGGCACCCAUGUCAUGAGGGUAUCUAGUGUUAUCUGCUAGCUAGCUGUUGUGAUUCUAUCAUUCUAGUUUUUGUGAUCCGAUGAUAUACCAAUUGUGAUUCUAGCUAUCUGCUAGCUAGCUAUUGUGUUAUCAAUACGGUAUAUACCUAGUUAUUGUGAUUCGGGUUCUCAUGGAGAAAAAAUGCUUCUUAUAUACGGCAUAUACGAUUGGACAGCCCUCAUUGUACUCCUAAUUCUACUCCUAUUCUCCUAAUUCCUAUUUCCAUACAUUCACCCACAAUCUCCAAUUUAUAUCUGCUGCCGUAUGAAUAGGUAUAUUUAUAUAUCCAAUUAUUAUGCAAGACAUUAUAUCAUAUACAUUAUAGUUACUCAUUAGUUCAUUUUAGUGAGAUAGGGCCCAUUUUUUAGUUUGGCAUAGGGCCCCCAAUUUUGCCGGCCCGGUCCUGACUGAAAUCUUCAUAUGUUCCAGUCGAUUUCCACCACCCUUAGAAUCCCUUGGUAUGACUAUUUAUAUAAUCUCAUAAGGCAAAUGUGAAGUUUGAGAUCAAUGACUGAAACUCAGUUGAUUAUGCACUAGCAAUUCGAUUUAUAUCUAUGAUAUCUUUAUGAACACAACUAUUAUGCAGUAUGAUGCUGCCCAAAUUGUCCUUUAUCUUGGAAUAUUCCUUUAUGUUGGGGCUACUACCUAUCCAGAUCACUAAAUGUUAUACAAAGUGCUCUUCCAGCUUACACGGAAUGAUACAAAAGUGUCCUACCUGCCUUUGUUUCUAUAUUCUUGCUAAACAUGCUGACAUGUAUCUUCAUUUAUAUACCAUCUCAAAUGUUUUGUGAUACUUCUUCCCAUUAUUAUUCAUUUUAAUAAAUUGAAUAACAAUCUCGUAAACAAUCUGAUUAAAAGUUAGCUACAAUGAACACAUGUGUAGGUAAGUCGAAAUGCAUAUUAUCUUGAGGGAGAGUUAAAAAAAAUACAUGCAUUGCUGCAAUUUGAUUUUUUUUCUUGGUUGUGCGGAUGUGAUAGUACUUUUCAUGUCUAUGUGCUGGUUACCGGAAUAAUAGUUGUACAAGUUUCUUACUCAUGCUAUGAGGUUACUACUUUUUUCUUUUACUUCCUGAAGAAUCAGCUUCUGCUGGUUGCAUGUCAAGUACAAAGCUAACACCUUUUGUUGCUUCAUUGACAUUGAUUAGUAAUUCUUUAUUCACUAUGUUUGAAAAAACUGAGUGCAUGCUUAAUAUUGGUUGUUCUGCUGUGUGGCGAAAUUCCUUGCCAUGCAUGUAAGUAAUUACUCUAACAUGAUUAUUUUUACUGGCGUAGCUGGACAUCUAGACGGCGUUGUUCAUAAAUGUACUUUCUAAAGUAGUAUAUUACAUAUAUUGUAGCUGAAUACAUUUUCUUUUGCUUGGAGACAUGUUGAGUUCAUUCAGCCUACUAAUUAGCUGGAACAAGUUGAGCCAAGAGGUAGAUGUUAUUUGUUCUUUCUUGCUCUUUCUUUUGUUGAUAUUCAGUCCUACAUUAGCAAUGUGUGGAAAGUUUGUCAGACCUCUCAUUCCUUGUUAUGCUAGAACAGCUCAAUUAGCACCAGUUCCCAGCAAUGUAGCCAAGACGGUGCAAGUAAGUGGGCAUCCAAAGAGGAAAGAAAUGACAAUAGUCUCCCUACAGCCCGCGAAACAUCUGUCAUGUUGAGAUAUAUCCUUCUAAUGCCGACAUCAGCUAACCAAAAUUACACAACUGUCGUCGGUCAAUCGAAACAGUCGGCUUUCCCAUUCCAUGCAGCUACGUACUACACCUAGUCAGAACACCGGAGCCCAUGGUAUGUACUAUUUUCUUCUGCCACUUGGCUUGGCCGCGCCAUGUUCUCUUCUGCUAACAUUCUUUGGAACUCAACGAUUCUAGAUUUAGCAUCCUUCUUUGCCAGUUUGUCACAUGAGAAAACAAUACAGGUAAGGGAACAUUAGAAUGAGCCACUCUAUUUGGUCUCUUAUCAAACCAAACGUUUUGUCAUGAUUCUGUAUUUCAAAAAGAAAACUGUGGAAAGAUAAAAUAGAAAUAGUUAUUAGACAAAUAAAUACCUUCGCCGCUUCAAUAUAUUUGCAUUCCUGAACACCAACUUCAGAUUCAAGUGGACAAGCCCGUCUCAAAUAGAAUUCAGGCCGAAGGGUGCGAGCAAGCGCCGGAGAUGGCGGGACAAUGGGCCCAUUAUACUUGCUUGGUUUAUAAAAGGGAUUUCUCUGCUCAUGAAAGAUGCCGCCGGAAGCACUACCUCUUAUCCCCCAAGCUCCAUUGUUGCCCUAAAGCUCAUUUUCGCCCGAUCUCUCUCCCUAGCCAUCAAAACUUGUUGACCUUCUAGGGUUUGGAGGAGAGGGCCUUCGUCUACACUUCCACCAAGAGAUAUCGAUUCCCCAUUAAUCCCUUGUGGAUCUUAUUACUCUUAUGUGUUUGGGCACCCGAGACGGAAGAGGUUACCUCAGAUAUACAAUCCAUUGCGGUGAAGUUUCGUGGUGGUGUUGGGAGCCUCCAACUAAGUGAUGGUGUUUGUAAAGGUUCGGUCGCCGCCUUCAAGGGCACCACUAGUGGCAUCAUGGCAUCUUGCAUUAUGCGAGGGCGUGAGGAGAAUACGGUGGCCCUAGUGGCUUCUUGGGGAGGUGCCUCCACACCGCACCAACGAAGACGUACCUCCCCCCUAAAGGGAGGGAACUUCGAUAACACAUCCUCGUCUUCACCGACUCCACUUGUGCUAUUUCUAACCUUUACUUUGUGUAAGCUAUAUUGUGUUUGUAUCUUGUGCUUGCUUGUGUGCUUGUUGUCGUGCUUACCAUAUAUGUUGUCCACCUAGUUGCAUAUCUAGAUAACCUAUUUUAUUGUCAAGCCUAAUUUGAUUAAAAGAGCUAAAAAUUUGUAGUCACCUAUUCACCCCACCUCUAGUUAACCAUACUACCCGUCCUCUACGGCUCCACAUAUAUAAGGGGAGGUAGGAGCCUAGGCAUCCAACCUACCUAUCAACAUCUCUCAUAUGAGACACCGGUAUAAUACAUAGCAGACAUGCAGGAUGUGUUGGGGAACGUUGCAGAAAACAAAAAAUUUCCUACUCGUUUCACCAAGAUCAUCUAGGAGUUCAUCUAGCAACGAGUCAUUGGAUGCAUCUACAUACCUUUGUAGAUCGCGAGCGGAAGCGUUAAAAAGAACGGUGAUGAUGUAGUCGUACUCGACGUGAUCCAAAUCACCGAUGACCAGCGCCGAACGGACGGCACCUCCGCUUUCAACACACGUACGGGACGGGAGACGUCUCCUCCUUCUUGAUCCAACAAGGGGGAAGGAGAGGUUGAUGAAGAUCCAGCAGCACAACGGCGUGGUGGUGGAUGCAGGGCGUCACAGCAGCAGGGCUUCGCCGAGACUACGAGGGAGAGACGUAACGGGGGGAGGUGGAGGCGCCAGGGGCUGGUGUAAAAUCCCUCCUCUCCCCCCCACUAUAUAUAGGGGUGCCAGGGGGGGCGCCGGCCCUAGUAGAUGGCAUCUACUAGGGGGGGCGGCGGCCAAGGGGAGGUUUCCCUCCCCCCCAAGGCACCUAGGGGUGCCUUCCACCACAUGGACUCUUCCAUGGUGGAAACCCUAGGCGCAUGGGCCUAUAGGGGCUGGUGCCCUUGGCCCAUCUAGGCCAAGGCGCACCCCCUACAGCCCAUGUGGCCCCCCGGGACAGGUGGCCCCACCCGGUGGACCCCCGGGACCCUUCCGGUGGUCCCCGUACAAUACCGAUAACCCCGAAACUUGUCCCGAUGCCCGAAAUAGCACUUCCUAUAUAUAAUUCUUUACCUCCGGAUCAUUUCGGAACUCCUCGUGACGUCCGGGAUCUCAUCCGGGACUCUGAACAACAUUCGGGUUUCUGCAUAUACAUAUCUUCAUAACCCUAGCAUCACCGAACCUUAAGUGUGUAGACCCUACGGGUUCGGGAGACAAGCAGACAUGACCGAGACGACUCUCCGGUCAAUAACCAACAGCGGGAUCUGGAUACCCAUGUUGGCUCCCACAUGCUCCACGAUGAUCUCAUCGGAUGAACCACGAUGUCGAGGAUUUAAUCAAUCCCGUACGCUAUUCCCUUUGUCUAUCGAUAUGUUACUUGCCCGAGAUUCGAUCGUCGGUAUCCCAAUACCUCGUUCAAUCUUGUUACCGGCAAGUCACUUUACUCGUACCAUAAUGCAUGAUCCCAUGACCAGACACUUGGUCACUCUGAGCUCAUUAUGAUGAUGCAUUACCGAGUGGGCCCAGUGAUACCUCUCCGUCAUACGGAGUGACAAAUCCCAGUCUUGAUCCAUGUCACCCAACAGACACUUUCGGAGAUACCCGUAGUCUACCUUUAUAGUCACCCAGUUACGUUGUGACGUUUGGCAUACCCAAAGCACUCCUACGGUAUCCGGGAGUUACACGAUCUCAUGGUCUAAGGAAAAGAUACUUGACAUUGGAAAACUCUAGCAAACGAACUAUACGAUCUUGUGCUAUGUUUAGGAUUGGGUCUUGUCCAUCACAUCAUUCUCCCAAUGAUGUGAUCUCGUUAUCAAUGACAUCCAGUGUCCAUAGUCAGGAAACCAUGACUAUCUGUUGAUCAACGAGCUAGUCAACUAGAGGCUCACUAGGGACAUGUCGGUGUCUGUUAUUCACACAUGUAUUACGAUUUCCGGAUAACACAAUUAUAGCAUGAAUAAAGACAAUUAUCAUGAACAAGGAAAUAUAAUAAUAAUGCUUUUAUUAUUGCCUCUGGGGCAUAUUUCCAACAGUCUCCCACUUGCACUAGAGUCAAUAAUCUAUUUACAUUGUGAUGAAUCGAACACCCAUAGAAUUCUGGUGUUGAUCAUGUUUUGCUCUAGGGAGAGGUUUAGUCAACGGAUCUGCUAUAUUCAGGUCCGUAUGUACUUUACAAAUCUCUAUGUCUCCAUCUUGAACAUUUUCACGAAUGGAGUUGAAGCGACGCUUGAUGUGCCUUGUCUUCUUGUAAAACCUGGGCUCCUUGGCAAGUGCAAUAGCUCCAGUGUUGUCACAGAAGAGCUUGAUCGGCCCUGACGCAUUGGGUAUGACUCCUAGGUCGGUGAUGAACUCCUUCACCCAUAUUGCUUCAUGUGCUGCCUCCGAGGCUGCCAUGUACUCCGCUUCACAUGUAGAUCCCGCCACGACGCUUUGCUUGCAACUGCACCAGCUUACUGCCCCACCAUUCAAAAUAUACACGUAUCCGGUUUGUGACUUAGAGUCAUCCAGAUCUGUGUCGAAGCUAGCGUCGACGUAACCCUUUACUACGAGCUCUUCGUCACCUCCAUAAACGAGAAACAUUUCCUUAGUCCUUUUCAGGUACUUCAGGAUAUUCUUGACCGCUGUCCAGUGUUCCUUGCCGGGAUCACUUUGGUACCUUCCUACCAAACUGACGGCAAGGUUAACAUCAGGUCUGGUACACAUCAUGACAUACAUAAUAGAACCUAUGGCUGAGGCAUAGGGGAUGACGCUCAUCUCUUCUAUAUCUUCUGCCGUGGUCGGACAUUGAGCUGAGCUCAAUUUCACACCUUGUAACACAGGCAAGAACCCCUUCUUGGAUUGAUCCAUAUUGAACUUGUUCAAUAUCUUAUCAAGGUAUGUGCUUUGUGAAAGACCUAUGAGGCGUCUUGAUCUAUCUCUAUAGAUUUUGAUGCCUAAUAUAUAAGCAGCUUCUCCAAGGUCCUUCAUUGAAAAACUUUUAUUCACGUAGGCCUUGAUGCUGUCCAAGAGUUCUAUAUCAUUUCCCAUCAAAAGUAUGUCAUCUACAUAUAAUAUGAGAAAUGCUACAGAGCUCCCACUCACUUUCUUGUAAACGCAGGCUUCUCCAUAAGUCUGUGUAAACCCAAACGCUUUGAUCAUCUCAUCAAAGCGAAUGUUCCAACUCCGAGAUGCUUGCACCAGCCCAUAAAUCGAGCAUUGGAGCUUGCACACUUUGUCAGCAUUCUUAGGAUCGACAAAACCUUCCGACUGUAUCAUAUACAAUUCUUCCUUAAGGAAACCAUUAAGGAAUGCCGUUUUGACGUCCAUUUGCCAUAUUUCGUAAUCACAGAAUGCGGCAAUUGCUAACAUGAUUCGGACGGACUUCAGCUUCGCUACCGGCGAGAAAGUCUCAUCGUAGUCAACCCCUUGAACUUGUCGAUAACCCUUAGCGACAAGCCGAGCUUUAUAGAUGGUCACAUUACCAUCCGCGUCUGUCUUCUUCUUAAAGAUCCAUUUAUUUUCUAUGGCUCGCCGCUCAACGGGCAAGUCAGUCAAAGUCCAUACUUUGUUUUCAUACAUGGAUCCUAUCUCGGAUUUCAUGGCUUCCAGCCAUUUGUCGAAAUCCGGGCCCGCCAUCGCUUCUUCAUAGUUCGAAGGUUCACCGUUGUCUAACAGCAUGAUUUCCAAGACAGGGUUGCCGUACCACUCUGGUGCGGAACGUGUCCUUGUGGACCUUCGAAUUUCAGUAGGGGCUUGAUCAGAAGUAUCUUGAUCAUUGUCAUUAACUUCCUCUCUAGUCGGUGCAGGCACCUCAGGAACAUUUUCUUGAGUUGCGCCAUUUUCCGGUUCAAGAGGUAAUACUUCAUCAAGCUCUACUUUCCUCCCACUUACUUCUUUCGAGAGAAACUCUUUCUCCAGAAAGGACCCAUUCUUGGCAACAAAGAUCUUGCCUUCGGAUCUGAGGUAGAAGGUGUACCCAAUAGUUUCUUUUGGGUAUCCUAUGAAGACGCAUUUUUCCGACUUGGGUUCGAGCUUUUCAGGUUGAAGUUUCUUGACAUAAGCAUCGCAUCCCCAAACUUUUAGAAACGACAGCUUAGGUUUCUUCCCAAACCACAAUUCAUACGGUGUCAUCUCAACGGAUUUCGACGGAGCCCUAUUUAAAGUGAAUGUGGCAGUCUCUAAAGCAUAGACCCAAAAAGAAAGUGGUAAAUCGGUAAGAGACAUCAUAGAUCGCACCAUAUCUAACAGAGUGCGAUUACGACGUUCGGACACACCAUUACGCUGAGGUGUUCCAUGCGGCGUGAGUUGUGAAACUAUUCCACAUUUUCUUAAGUGUGCCCCAAACUCGUGACUCAAGUAUUCUCCUCCACGAUAUGAUCGUAGAAACUUGAUUUUCCUGUCACGUUGAUUUUCAACCUCACUCUGAAAUUCCUUGAACUUUUCAAAGGUUUCAGACUUGUGUUUCAUUAAGUAGAUAUACCCAUACCUACUUAAAUCAUCAGUGAGGGUGAGAACAUAACGAUAGCCACCGUGAGCCUCAACACUCAUUGGACCGCACACAUCAGUAUGUAUGAUUUCCAAUAAGUCGGUUGCUCGCUCCAUUGUUCCUGAGAACGGAGUCUUGGUCAUUUUACCCAUAAGGCAUGGUUCGCAUGUGUCAAAUGAUUCAUAAUCAAGAGACUCUAAAAGUCCAUCAGCAUGGAGCUUCUUCAUGCGUUUGACACCUAUGUGACCAAGGCGGCAGUGCCACAGGUAUGUGGGACUAUCAUUAUCAACCUUACUUCUUUUGGUACUCACAUUAUGAACAUGUGUAGCAUCACGUUCGAGAUUCAUAAAGAACAAACCAUUCACCAUAGGAGCAUGACCAUAAAACAUAUCUCUCAUAAAAAUGGAACAACCAUUAUUCUCAGAUUUAAAAGAGUAGCCAUCUCGAAUUAAACGAGAUCCUGAUACAAUGUUCAUGCUCAAAGCUGGCACUAAAUAACAAUUAUUAAGGUUUAAAACUAAUCCCGAAGGGAGAUGCAGAGGUAGCGUGCCGACGGCGAUCACAUUGACCUUGGAACCAUUCCCGACGCGCAUCGUCACCUCGUCCUUUGCCAGUUUCCGCUUAUUCCGCAGCCCCUGCUUUGAGUUACAAAUGUGAGCAACUGCACCGGUAUCAAAUACCCAGGAGCUACUACGGGCACUAGUAAGGUACACAUCAAUUACAUGUAUAUCAUAUAUACCUUUUGUUUUGCCGGCCUUCUUAUCCGCUAAGUACUUAGGGCAGUUCCGCUUCCAGUGACCGCUUCCCUUGCAAUAAAAGCACUCAGUCUCGGACUUGGGUCCAUUCUUUGGCUUCUUCCCAGCAGCUUGCUUGCCGGGCGCGGCAACCUCCUUGCCGUCCUUCUUGAAGUUCUUUUUACCCUUGCCUUUCUUGAACUUAGUGGUUUUAUUGACCAUCAACACUUGAUGUUCCUUCCUGACUUCUACCUCUGCUGAUUUCAGCAUAGCAAAUACUUCAGGAAUGGUCUUUUCCAUCCCCUGCAUAUUGAAGUUCAUCACAAAGCUCUUGUAGCUUGGUGGAAGCGACUGGAGGAUUCUGUCAAUGACCGCAUCAUCCGGGAGAUUAACUCCCAGCUGAGUCAAGCGGUUAUGCAACCCAGACAUAGUGAGUAUGUGCUCACUGACAGAACUGUUUUCCUCCAUCUUACAGCUGAAGAAUUUGUCGGAGACUUCAUAUCUCUCGACCCGGGCAUGAGCUUGGAAAACCAUUUUCAGCUCUUCGAAUAUCUCAUAUGCUCCAUGUCUCUCAAAACGCUUUUGGAGCCCCGGCUCUAGGCUGUAAAGCAUGCCGCACUGAACGAGGGACUAGUCAUCGAAACGUGCCUGCCAAGCGUUCAUAACAUCUUGUUCUGCAGGGAGAACGGGUGCGUCACCAAGCGGUGCUUGUAGGACAUAAUCUUUCUUGGCAGCUAUGAGGAUGAUCCUCAGGUUCCGGACCCAGUCCGUAUAGUUGCUGCCAUCGUCUUUCAGCUUGGUUUUCUCUAGGAACGCGUUGAAGUUGAGGACUACGUUGGCCAUUUGAUCUACAAGACAUAUUGUAAAAUAUUUAGACUAAGUUCAUGAUAAUUAAGUUCAACUAAUCAAAUUAUUAAUGAACUCCCACUUAGAUUAGACAUCCCUCUAGUCAUCUAAGUAUUACAUGAUCCGAGUUAAACUAGACCGUGUCCGAUCAUCACGUGAGACGGACUAGUCAACAUCGGUGAACAUCUUCAUGUUGAUCGUAUCUUCUAUACGACUCAUGCUCGAUCUUUCGGUCUUCCAUGUUCCGAGGCCAUGUCUGUACAUGCUAGGCUCGUCAAGUCAACCUAAGUGUUUGCAUGUGUAAAUCUGUCUUACACCCGUUGUAUGUGAACGUCUGAAUAAAACACCCGAUCAUCACGUGGUGUUUUGAAACAGCGAACUGUCGCAACGGUGCACAGUUAGGGGGGACACUUCUUGAAAUUAGUAUGAGGGAUCACCUUAUUUACUACCGUCGUUCUAAGUAAACAAGAUGCAAAACAUGAUAAACAUCACAUGCAAUCAAAUAAUAAACGUGACAUGAUAUGGCCAAUAUCACAUAGCUCCUUUGAUCUCCAUCUUGGGGCUCCAUGAUCAUCUUGUCACCGGCUUGACACCAUGAUCUCCAUCAUCAUGAUCUCCAUCAUCGUGUCUCCAUGAAGUUGCUCGCCAACUAUUACUUCUACUACUAUGGCUAACGCGUUUAGCAAUAAAGUAAAGUAAUUUACAUGGCGUUUCUUGAUGACACGCAGGUCAUAUAAAAGAAUAAAGACAACUCCUAUGGCUCCUGCCGGUUGUCAUACUCAUCGACAUGCAAGUCGUGAUUCCUAUUACAAUAGCAUGAACAUCUCAUACAUCACAUAUAGAUCAUUCAUCAUUCAUCACAACUUUGGCCAUAUCAUAUCACAAACCACUUGCUGCAAAAACAAGUUAGACGUCCUCUAAUUGUUGUUGCAAGUUUUACAUGGCUGAAUUAGGGUUCAAGAACGUUUUCUUACCUACGUUAAAGCCACAACGUGAUUUGUCAACUUCUAUUUACCCUUCAUAAGGACCCUGUUCUUCGAUUCCGCUCCAACUAAAGUAGGAGAGACAGACACCCGCCAGCCACCUUAUGCAACUAGUGCAUGUUAGUCGGUGGAACCGGUCUCACGUAAGCGUACGUGUAAGGUUGGUCCGGGCCGCUUCAUCCCACAAUACCGCUGAAGCAAGAAAGGACUAGUAACGGCAAGAAAGUUGACAAAUCUACGCCCACAACAAAUUGUGUUCUACUCGCGCAAGAAGAACUACGCAAAGACCUACCUCAUGAUGCCACUGUUGGGGAACGUUGCAGAAAACAAAAAUUUUCCUACUCGUUUCACCAAGAUCAUCUAGGAGUUCAUCUAGCAACGAGUCAUUGGAUGCAUCUACAUACCUUUGUAGAUCGCGAGCGGAAGCGUUCAAAAGAACGGUGAUGAUGUAGUCGUACUCGACGUGAUCCAAAUCACCGAUGACCAGCGCCGAACGGACGGCACCUCCGCGUUCAACACACGUACGGGACGGGAGACGUCUCGUCCUUCUUGAUCCAGCAAGGGGGAAGGAGAGGUUGAUGAAGAUCCAGCAGCACGACGGCGUGGUGGUGGAUGCAGGGCGUCACAGCAGCAGGGCUUCGCCGAGACUACGAGGGAGAGACGUAACGGGGGGAGGUGGAGGCGCCAGGGGCUGGUGUAAAAUCCCUCCUCUCCCCCCACUAUAUAUAGGGGUGCCAGGGGGGCGCCGGCCCUAGUAGAUGGCAUCUACUAGGGGGGGCGGCGGCCAAGGGGAGGUUUCCCUCCCCCCCAAGGCACCUAUAUAUAAUUCUUUACCUCCGGACCAUUCCGGAACUCAUCGUGACGUCCGGGAUCUCAUCCGGGACUCCGAACAACAUUCGGGUUUAUGCAUAUACAUAUCUUCAUAACCCUAGCGUCACCGAACCUUAAGUGUGUAGACCCUACGGGUUCGGGAGACAAGCAGACAUGACCGAGACGACUCUCCGGUCAAUAACCAACAGCGGGAUCUGGAUACCCAUGUUGGCUCCCACAUGCUCCACGAUGAUCUCAUCGGAUGAACCACGAUGUCGAGGAUUUAAUCAAUGCCGUACGCUAUUCCCUUUGUCUAUCGAUAUGUUACUUGCCCGAGAUUCGAUCGUCGGUAUCCCAAUACCUCGUUCAAUCUCGUUACCGGCAAGUCACCUUACUCGUACCGUAAUGCAUGAUCCCGUGACCAGACACUUGGUCACUCUGAGCUCAUUAUGAUGAUGCAUUACCGAGUGGGCCCAGUGAUACCUCUCCGUCAUACGGAGUGACAAAUCCCAGUCUUGAUCCAUGUCACCCAACAGACACUUUCGGAGAUACCCGUAGUCUACCUUUAUAGUCACCCAGUUACGUUGUGACGUUUGGCAUACCCAAAGCACUCCUACGGUAUCCGGGAGUUACACGAUCUCAUGGUCUAAGGAAAAGAUACUUGACAUUGGAAAACUCUAGCAAACGAACUAUAUGAUCUUGUGCUAUGUUUAGGAUUGGGUCUUGUCCAUCACAUCAUUCUCCCAAUGAUGUGAUCUCGUUAUCAAUGACAUCCAGUGUCCAUAGUCAGGAAACCAUGACUAUCUGUUGAUCAACGAGCUAGUCAACUAGAGGCUCACUAGGGACAUGUCGGUGUCUGUUAUUCAUACAUGUAUUACGAUUUCCGGAUAACACAAUUAUAGCAUGAAUAAAGACAAUUAUCAUGAACAAGGAAAUAUAAUAAUAAUGCUUUUAUUAUUGCCUCUAGGGCAUAUUUCCAACAGGAUGAAGGGUAUUAUUUCACCAUGAGGGCCUGAACUUGGGUAAACCAUUCUUCUCAUGUGCACUGAUGACACACAAGUAUAGGGGAUCAAUCGUAGUCCUUUCGGUAAGUAAGAGUGUCUAACCCAAUGAGGAGCCGAAGGAAAUGCCAAGCGGUUUUCAACAUGGUAUUGUUUGCAAGCACUAAAAUUAUCGGUAAAAGAUGGUUUGAUAACAAGAUAAUUUGUAACGAGCAACAAAUAGUAAUGGUAACAAAGGUGCAGAAAGGUAGUCCAAUCCUUUUUGCAGCAAAGGACAGGCCGUAAUAGUCUCUUAUAAUAAGCAAAUCAUUCUUGAGGACACACUGGAAUUUCAUCUAGUCACUUUCAUCAUGUUUGUUUGAUUCGUGUUAGCUACUUUGAUAAUUUGAUAUAUGGGUGGACCGAUGCUUGGGUGAUGUUCUUAUGUGAACAAGCCUCCCACUUAUGAUUAACCCCUCUCGCAAGCAUCCGCAACUACGAAAGAGGAAUUAAAAUACAGCUAACCAUAUCAUGAAACAUAUGGAUCCAAAUCAGUCCCUUACGAAAUAACGCAUAAACUAGGGUUUAAGCUUCUGUCACUCUAGCAACCCAUCAUGUAAUUACUACUCCACAAUGCCUUCACUUAGGCCCAAGUAUGGUGAAGUGUCAUGUAGUCAACAUUCACAUGACAUCACUAAGUGAAACAACAACAUACAUAUUAUCAAAAUAUCGAACGAAUACCAAAUUCACAUGAUUACUUAUGGCAAGAUUGCUCUCAUGUCCUCAAGAACAAAAGUAACUACUCAAAAAUCAUAUUCGUCUUCAAGAUCAGAGGGGCAUUGAAUAUCAUCAAGGAUCUGAACAUAUAACCCUCCACCAAAUAAAUCAACUAGCAUCAACUACAAGAUGUAAUCAACACUACUAGCAAACCACAGGUACCAAUCUGAGAUUUUGAGACAAAGAUUGAAUACAAGAGAUGAACUAGGGUUUGAUAUGAGAUGGUGCUGAUGAAGAUGUUGAUGAAGUUGGUCCUCCCACAAUGAGAGGAUUUUUUAGGGAAAAAACCCUCUCAUCGAUGAGAGGGUUGGUGGUGAUGUCGAUGGCUUCGAUUUCCCCCUCCCAGAGGGAAGUAUCCCCGGCGGAAUCACUCCACCGGAGAGCAAAAGUGCUCCUACCCAGGUUCCGACUCGAGACGGGCGCUUCAUCCCAAAAGUCCUCUCCUCACCUUUUCUAGGGCAAAUGGCUUCAUAUAGCAGAAGAUGGGCCAUAGAGGAGGCCAGGGGCCCCACUCACCACUAGGGCACGCCUCGUGGGCACCAGGUGGGCCCCCUCUGGUAUUUUUUCUUUAGUAUUUUUUAUAUAUUCCAAAAUAAUUAUCUGUAAAAUUUCAGCUCAUGUUGAGUUGUGCAGAAUAGGUAUCUCUGAUGUAGCUUUUUCAGGUCCAGAAUUACAGCUGCCAGCAACCUCCCUCUUCAUGUAGAUCUUGCAAAUUAAGAGAGAAAAGACAUUAGAAUUGCACCACAAACUAUUAUAUUGGUAAAAAUAUCAUAAAUAAUAGUAUGAAAAUAUGAUGCAAAAUGGACGUAUCAUGCACCUAAUUCGAUCCUCUAUGCAUGCCACCAAUGAUUAAAAUCCAUCGGUAUGCAAGUCAAGGACGGCCAGAAUCUACACUAAAAGUAUUUUCUUAAUUUAGAUGCAAAUGAAUUAGUGGCUGAUGGGGUGAUCUAUAUUUUGAAUAAACAUCCAACUUUGGAUAGAAUUAAACUGAAAAAAUAGUUUGGCAAUACAUUUUGCUAAAAGAGGCAUAUCCUAGUAAUAAGAUGCAUGUGCCUCUUCAGAGAAACCUUCCAUUUAUUUUCUCCCGCGAUUGACGAGAAAUUUCAUAUUGAUUGACGAAAUCUACGGUCUUAGGAAGUAAAUAUUAAAGUUUUUGAUAUAUACCAAAGUUACAGGUGGGCACAAUUAAGUUUGGCCUCCAAAUAUGUCAUAUCCUCCAUCGACAUGGUUCUAUCCUCCUCAUCCUAGUAGGUCCGCCACUAUAAAUCCACCCUACCUUCCGUGCUUUCGACUCACCCAAACUAGCAAUUUUCCUUCCUUUGCAGAUUUUCCCCUUAGCUGACAAUGGCUCGCAAGAAGGUGGCCCUCCGGUACAUCCGCAAUGACUCGACGCGGCUCAAUACCUUGAAGAAGCGUACCAAGAACCUGAUGAAGAAGGCCGGUGAUGUGGCCACCUUGUGCAACGCUAAGGCCUGUGUGCUGGUGUAUGGCGAGGGCACAACGGUGCCAGAGGUGUUCCCAUCCCAAGCCGAGGCGGUGGCUAUCCUGAAUCGAUUCAAGAGCAUGACGGAGGUGCCACAACUAAAGAAGACGAUGGACCAGGAGACCAUUCUUAGCCAGCGCCUCGUACAACUCCGACAUCAGGUAGAGAAGAUUAGGCGCGAGCGCGAGGACCGUGAGGCCAGGAUUCUCUUGCACAAGGCCAUGCUCAGCGGAGACCUCCCAGGAAACAUUGCGGAGCUCACAACCAUGGCCUGGAAGAUGGAGUUAAUCCUCAAGAGCCUGGGGGAGCGCACCAUGAACAUAAGUGGGCAGCCGCCAGUUUACCAAGCCCAAGCACCAUAUGUCACCGGCGGCAUGGACAUGGGGUCUCCGAUGUAUCAGGCGUUGCGGCAGCAGCAGAAGGGAUGGCUUGACAUGGCGAGGUCCAAAGGGGACCCCGACACCCAGAUCUACAAUGGCCACAAUAGUGGUCUAUGAAUAUGUAAGAAGGGAGAGGAAUUCCACAGGUAGCGCAUGACCAGCUACAUGUGUCAUCUCUUUUUAUUUAGAUUUGGAAUGGCUAAUAAGAUGGAUUGCUUACCUGCAUUUUUUUUAAGAUGGAUAGAUGACAAUCGUCAAUAAGAUGAGACAUUUGGUCUCAGUGUUGCUCUUUUAGUAGAGUCAAUUUUAGUCGUUGUUAUUGUUAUUAUGGAUCUCUUCCAUGCUCUAUUUGUUUUAUCAGUUAGUUGCAACGUUGAGGUUUUACCUACUCUUUAUGUCAACUUGUUU
rnacentral:lncRNA from 1 species